rnacentral:lncRNA from 1 species
UUUGUUAUUUCUUGGGGAAGCUCUCCACUUAAAUUAUUGUCGGAUAGGUCUAUGCCUACAACCAGAGAAAGAGUCCUGGUGUAUUCAAGACUUUGGCCUUUCAUAAUCACCACCAAUCGUUCUUCAUACAAGAGUUGCUCACAUGGUCAUACAAAGGAUAUAUAUUCUUGUUAUACUCCGGAACCAUGGCUUUAAGCUCAAACAAAGUGACUGGAAUUUCACCCAUCAGAUUGUUUUGUGCAAGGUCUAAGACAUGUAGGGAGCUUAAAUUUGAAAGCUGGAAGGGAAGUCUUCCAAAAAAUACAUUUGACCUCAAGUUGAGUAUUACAAGAUUUAUGAAAGCAGUUCCAAUCCAUGAAGGAACCUUACCCGAUAACUGGUUAUAACUGAGAUCAAGGAGUUCUAACCUUGAUAAAUUUUGGAAAGACGAGAGGAGCUCUCCUGAAAGCUUGUUAUCGUUCAGAUGCAAUGAUUCGAGCCAUUGUAACUGGCCCAAGGACUUUGGUAUCAUCCCAGAUAAAUUGUUAUUUCCAAGGUCAAGAAUAAUUAGGCUAGAGCAAUUACCUAUGGUAUAAGGAAUGCUUCCAGUCAAAUUAUUCCUUGAAAAAUCAAUGACUUGAAGAGAGGUGAUGUGUCCUAUGGAAUCUGGGAUGGUCCCAGAUAAAUUGUUAUUUCCAAGGUCUAGAACAAUUAGGCUAAAGCAAUUAUUUAUGGUAGAAGGAAUGCUUCCAGUCAAAUUAUUCCCUGAAAAAUCAAUGACUCGAAGAGAGGUGAUGUGUCCUAUGGAAUCUGGGAUGGUCCCUGUUAUUUGAUUUUCCGAAAGCGAAAGGUAAUUCAAGUCUAACAUAGAUUCACCUCUGCUCAGUGGGAUAGGGCCAGAAAAUUUAUUGUGGGAGAGAUCUAGUGAAGAAACCCCUUUGAUUGAAAAAGGAAUAGGUCCUUCAAAGAGGUUGGAACUGAAAUCGAUUACAGCAUCACCAGAAGGAAAUUUUAAUGAAUUUGGUAGCUGACCUUGUAACUGAUUGUCAUAAAGUAUUAUGGUCUGCAGAUGAAAAGACAUAUUCCAAAACCACUUGGGUAUGGAACCUGAGAUGCUAGCAUUUGACAAAUACAGAUAGGAGACCUCCUUUUGAGACCUAAGCCAAGUCGGGAAUGAAGGGCCUAAAUUGCAUGAAGCCAUAAUCAGAUCAGCAAUUUGGAAUGGGGGGACCCAGGUGGAACAAACAUUCAAAACGAGACCUGAAUUUCCAUCCAUCAACAGAGUCUUCAACUUACUUAACUUUGAAAAAUGUUCUUCAGAAAGAAUUCCAGUCAAGCGAUUCCCAUAAACUUCCAAUACAACCAAUUCAGAAAGUUGUCCAAAACUAACUGGGAGACUCCCAUUCAGUUCAUUCCAUCCAAGCCGCAUCUCAUUCAGAUUUUUGAAUGUCCCAAAAGAAGCAGGGAUAGGGCCUUGAAGCUUAUUGUGGGAUAGAUCGAGAUAUGUAAGUUUUUCCAGUUGACUCAACUGUUCUGGCAAUCGGCCCACUAAUUGAUUCGAGGACAAGUCCAAAUACCCCAGUUCUGGUAAAGGACCUUCAGAACUGCAGUUUUUGAUCUCUUCGAGAAACUCAGAGAAACUUCCUGCAAUCAUCAUCAAGAGUAUUAAAAUAAUUUGUUUUUAAUAAAUUGUUUUAUGAAAAAUAAGAAAGUUCACGAGAAAGGUAAGAAACUUUGCCUUCUUAAUGCAUUAUCAAAUGAACGGAGAAAAUAUAAUUUAAAAUAUUUUUAGAAACAAGUGUCUGCAUGGAAUAAAUUGAGAAUAUUGUUUUUAGAAAUUAAAGUUUCCAAACAAAAUUUUGUUUCAAAAUAUAAUAUAAUAUUUGUAAAAAUUAUUAUAAAAAAACUCAAAUUUUGAUUUUGAAAAAAUAUUUUAAAAAGGUUUACAAGAAACAAAAUACAUUAUAAUAUUUGUAAAACUAUUAUAAAAAACUCAAAAAAUGAUUUUAGAAAACUAUUUUAAAAUUUGUUUACAACCAAAACCUAGAUUUUGUAGUGUAAUCUUUCAAAUACAUCAAAAGCCCUAAAAAGUCCCCUUUAUUGGUCAAUUGUGCAAUGAAUUUAUGACAAAUCAUGCAUCAUCAAGAGUAAAAAAUAAUUUAAUUUAAAAUAAUUUUCAAAAAAAAAGAGAGAGAGUUUAUGAGAAAAUAAUUUGAUGAGUGGUGAGAAGAUAAUUGAAGUUGCUUUGAUGGUUUAAUGAUAAAAGUAAGAGAUUAUUAGAAAGUCAGAAUAAUUUAAUGCAAAAUAUUUUUUAAAAACAAGUGUUAAACUGUAGAACCACUACUUAUUUUGAUGUAUCGAAAUCAAUAAGCAAUAAUAAUUUUUCUAAGCUAAAAAAGUACCAAGAAAUUUAUUGAUUGCCAAAUUCAGAAAUUCUAUCUUAUUCCAGCUUCCGCUUAACAGUUGAGAGCAACUACCUGUGAGAUUUUUGUUCCAAGAUAGAUCCAAGUGCUGCAAGUUAGGUAGUUCCCCAAGGCCAGGUGAAAUCUGCCCAUAUAACUGAUUAAAGCUUACAUCAAUGUAUACAAGGCUGCUAAGGUUUAGAAGCCAUAUUGGGAACUUUGACCGGAAAGAGUUGCCACUGAUGCUUAUGACAGAUAGUGAAGUAAAAUUGAUAGAGUUUAGAGAUGAAAUUGAACUAGAGAGCCCACAAUGUUGUAGGUGCAACUCUGUUAAAAAUGAAAGCUUGUUGAAUACCUCCAUCCAGUGAGAUCCUACCAUUGAUAGGUUGACAUAGUUCAACUUGAGAUGCCUUAAGGAAACAAGAUUAGUCAUCCAUUCAAGGUCCUUAACAAAUAACUGAGAUUCAAUGGAAGAAAGAUCAAGAAAUUGCAAAUUAGAAAGGUUUCCCAAGGUUGGAGGAAUUGCACCUCUGAAUCCACAAUUUGAUAAGUUUAGAUAUUGUAAAUUUUUCAAAGAUCCGAAGAAUUUAGGAAUUGGGAUAUUCUCAAAUGAGUUGCCACUCAAAUCUAAAGAUCUCAAAGAUUUGAGUUCUAUCAAAGAAGGUCGGAUCUCCCCGCUUAAGUUCAUUGAGCUCCAAUUUUCAUAUGCUUCUUCAAGAUAAUAUGGGUUAUGAAGAUUGAUUGAAAUAACAACUCCUGUGUUAUUUUCACAACCAAUUCCCUCCCAUUGACAACAAUUGCCUCCUAUCCAUGAUGAAAGCCGGUUGUUAGAAGAAUCUUUGAGACCAUUUUUGAAGUCAAGAAGAGCUUCUCGAUCAGCUUUUAAGCAAUUUCCCUCAAGGGUUUCACUCUUGCAAGCAAGAUCUCUUGUUAUUAAACAUAGAAUGACAAAAAGGAAACCAAGAAUUGAAAUUUUCUCCAUCCAAGAACACCUAUAAAAACAAGUAAUUAAUAUUAAGUUUCAAUAGAAGAAUCAAAAUAGUGAUGAAAUUUGAUAAGUAAUCAAAACUUCAAGUUAUUGGAUAUUAAAUAACACAUAUUUUAAUCAAUCAUAAGUUUAAUAAGAUUAAAACAUGUCAAAUGGAUGGCAUACUUGAACACAUAUCCAUAUCAAACAUGGUCUGAUGAUUGUUGCUUAUCAAAACUAUAGAAAUCACCCACAAGAGAAGCUUAGAAGCAUUAGGCAGAGGAAAACACUAGAGACAACUUGGCAUUAUUGGUAAAGUAAAACAAGACUAGUCAUCCAUUCAAGAUCAUUAACAUAUAAAUCAUAGGAUUCAAAAUUAAUAAAUAAAUCAAAAGAUUCAUGGCUAGAAAGAUCAAGAAAUUUCAAAUUAGAGAGGUUUCCCAAGCUAGGAGGAAUUGCACCACUAAACCCACAAUUUGAUAGGUUUAGAUAUUCUAAAUUUUUUAACUAUCCAAAGAAUUCAGGAAUUGAAAUAUGCUCAAAUAAGUUCCCACUCAAAUCUAAAUAUCUCAAGGAUUUGAGUUCUAUCAAUGAAGGCCUAAUCUCUCCACUCAAGUUCAUAGAAGUUUCAUUCUCAUAUGCUUCAUCGGGAGAAUGUGGGUUAUGAAGAUCAACUGAAAUAACAACUCCCAUUUUAUUUUCACAAUCAAUUCCCUCCCAUUGACAAUAAUCGAGCCCUCUCCAUGAUGAAAUCUGGUUGUUAGAACCUUUGAGACCAUUUUUGAAGUGAGUAAGAUCAUCUUUAUCAUUUUUUAAGCAAUUUCCCAAAAUGGUCUCACCUUAACAAGUAAGUUCUCUUUUUAUUAAACAUAGAAUGAUUGAGAAUUGAAAUUUUCUCUAUCUAGGAACACCUGUAGAAACAAGUAAAAUUAAGUUCCAACACAACAAGAAAAAUAGUGACAAAAUUCAAUUAGUAAUGGAAACAAGACAUUAGACAAUUAAUAACAUAUUUAAUUUAACUAGUCAUUUGUUUAAUAAGAUUAAAAAUUCCCAAGUAAACAACAUAUUUGAAUACAUGUCAAAGAAAAUAUAAUUGAAAUCAUCCCAACAAAUAUCAAAUAUGCUUUGAUGAUUGCUAUUGAUCAUACAUUCCAACUGUAGAAAUCACCUACAAAAAAAAAAAACUUGAAGCAUUAGAUAGCGAGAAACACUGUAAAUAACUUGGCAUUAUUAGUGGAGUAGGAUGUUACCAAUUUUUUAUUUUUUCUUUCUGGUGUAGUCAUUCCUUUAGAUGCAGAGACAUAUAUAGAAGAUAAUUCAACUAGAAACCAUGUGGAUGAUAGUGAUAGACUCCUUUCCUUUCUUUUUAGCAAUAUUUUUAAAAAUAGACUAGACCAACCAAUUGAACCGAUUCAAUUGUUGACCAAUUCACUUUCCAAUUCAGGUGACCUUUACCAACCAUUUUGGGCUUAAAACGGUGGGAAACCAAUUACUACUACUUGAUUAUGAUCAAAUUGUGUAUAUGAAGUAAAAAAGCUGAAUUUGUAACUAUUUUUCUAAAAAGUUUUUGCCAAGAAAAAAUAUUUAAGUGAUGUUUGUUUUUUUAACUUAAUAUAAAAUGCAAUUUAAUUUCGAACUUCAACUAUUUGUUUUAAUUUUUUUUUCCAACUUUUAACUUAUUUAUCAAUAUUUUUAAUUAAAUAGAAAAAACUAAAAUAUGUAACUUUUUACUUAAUUUAAAAAGUUAACUGAUUCAUACUUUUAACCCCUCCAACCUAACUCACAUUGUGAAAAAAUAAUUAAAUUAAUACUUAAUACUUUUAAGUUGUAUUUAAAAUUAAGCUAAAUUAAGUUCUAUUUAUAUGUAACUAAAAAAAACUCCAUCUUAAUCUAUUAGCUCUUAAUUUAAAAAAAAAAAAAAAAAUACUUAAUCUAUCAUGUUGAACCAAACUUUAACUUUGCAUGAUGUCAAUAAUAAUAAUAAUAAUAAUAUGCACAUAUAAAUGAUAAAGUCAUUACCUCUAUGAAUUGGGUCAUGGAAAAAUCUUCCUCAAAAUAUCACAAUCUUCAUGUUGUCUUAUCAAUAUGUAUACAAGUAAAACCAAUAAGUUUAUAAGUAAUGUUUCACAAUCUUAUAAAAAAUUAAGGGGAAAAAAAUAAAAUAAUCAAUAACACAUCAAAAAACAAUUUUAGCAUACCACCCCAAAAUAAAUAAAAUCUCUUAAAAAUUUGAAAAUUUCUAUUAUAAGGUUAUUAUUUCGGAUAGAAUGACCAUGCCCAUCAAAGUUGGGUUUGCACUAAUCCAAUCCAAUCAAUCAAAUCAACUAUUUAAAGUAAUCCAAAAAUUGUGGCCACUUUUUAAAGGCACUUUCGUCAUGUCAUGUCAAGGGAAAUUUAAGGACAUUAUUUUCCUCAUUCAUUUAUUCAAGGUUUAUGUCGUGUGUACCAAGGUGGCCAUUUUUUCUUCAAUCAUUUUUAAUAUAUUUUCUUUCAUAUCUUGCUACCUUAUCAAGAAAAUUUUGCAUUAGCUUGACUUUGACUCCAUGCUUGGGUCGUCUAGAUUAGGGCCCUAUAAUUGUCUAUGACUUGUCAAUUACAUUUUAAAUUUUAUAGGACUUCGAUGAAUAUUUGAAAAUAAUAGAUAUUUUAUAUAUUUUAAUUUUUGUUGAAAAUAAUUUUUUUUUGGUAAAAAGAAUUUUACACUACCAAUUCAUUUCCUCACAUGGAAGUGCUGGGAAAAAUUUUUAAAUUACCUAAUCCAUUUGGUGCUUUUACAAAGUAUAUGAACUAGUUGUGCUUCGAUGAAUCAAUUGCUUUAGAUUAAUUAAUUUUCAACCAACUGAAUUAUACAUUUAGAUAUAAGGUAAUUUGGGUAAGUAACAUUUAAUAACUUCAUAAUUUCUUUAUUUAAAUCUUAUAAAAUAUUUGAGAAGAAAAUAAAAAAGUUACAAAUUAAAACCGCAAUGAAAAAUAAUAAGAAAAAAAAUAAACAAUAAGAAAACAAACACAUAAAACACGAUUGAUGUAGUUUGCCCUAAAGCCUACAUUCACAAAUGAAGAUAAAAAAAAAAACUUCCAAUAUUGUUUAAGAAGAUUAUAAUCUAACUCUUAAAUCCUAAAGUCUAAACUAAUUAUACCAAGAAAAAUGAUUAUUUCUUAUUCGUUAAAAUGUCUUCUCAUAUUUUCUUGAUUGGAAUAUUUAAUAUAAGGAACUAAUUAUCUAAUUAUUAGAUCUACAUAAUAUUUGUAGAGAUAUUACUAUUAAUUUUCCUUAUUCUAUAAAAGGAAUCUAAUUAUAAUCACAUGAUAUGAAUUUAUGAAAUAUUUUAUAUAAAGUGGUGAGGAAUAUAUGUGGUAGACAGAGAUAUGAGAAAGAGUGAGAGAUACUUGGUGGAGUUAUAGAGGGCUCAUUAGGGUGUAGAUGUGAGAAAGAGUAAAGAAUAUUUGGUGGAGUAAAAUGACUCAUGGUUCAAGGUGGGGAAAUAAAGCGUAGGGAAACUUAAGAUGUUUUGACACCCAAUAGUUGUAUCUAUUUCUAUUCUCUGUACUCUUUUACAUGACAUAGUAGAAUGUUAUUUCUCAUCUAUUAAGGUAGGCAUGGUUGGUCGAACCUUUGUGUGUGGUUUGCUUUAUUUUUAAAUUUUUAUUUAACACAUCUAUAUUGAAGUUGUUGUUGGCCCAAUAAGUGAUAUCAAAGCUUCCGAUGACAUAACAAAUAUUUGUUGGGAAAAUUGAAACACCUAAAUACAAAAAGAAAAAAAAAAAGUGAAAAAAAAAAAAGACAAAAUAUUUACCUAGUUCAAGAUAAUCGCCUACAUCCAUGGGAAAGAAAGAUCAAAUUAAUUAAUAAACUUUACACACUUCAAACUCUCUCGACCUUUCUUUAUCAAAAACUCAUACAACUUUUGACUAUCUCUAUUCACUCCUUGCUCACUUUUUCCUUCUAUUUUAAAAUAAUAUAUAAAACCACAUAUCUAUAAAGUCCUAAUCUUGAUCAAGCUUAAAAGGGUAUUUUACCCAAAUACAAACUCUACAAAUAUUAAAUUUUCUCAAAAUAAAUAUAUAACUAAAUAAAUUGAGUCUAUAUAUAUUAAAAGACUUUUUUUUCUUCUAAACCCAAGAGACCAAGUCCCCCGAAAGGAGUAGAUAUCAUUUUAUUGAAUUUUCAUGGGCCAAACAUAACUUGCUUGUACAGGAAGGUAGAAAAUUUAUGACAAUGAAGAAUUUUCCACAUUUCUUUUCAUUGAAUUCCACAUCCAUAACAAAUGAAGACAUUUUUGUCAUGUCAUGUUAAGGUAAAUUUAAGGAUAUUAUUUUCUUCAUUCAUUUAUUCAAGGUUUAUGCUGUGUCUACCAAGGUGACCAUUUUUUCUUCAAUUUUCUGUCAUGUCCUGCUACCUUAUCAAGAAAAUUUUGCAUUAGCAUGACUUUGACUCUAUGUUUGGGUCAUCUGGAUUGGGGCCUUGUAAUCGCUUGUGACUCAAAAAAUACAAAAAUAAAGACUUAGAAACUCAUGUCAACAAAUUUUAACAAACCACUCCAUAAUAUAUGAAAUUUCUUAAAAAUUGUAUUUUUGUAAUAAUAGUUCUAAGCUUUUUUCCCCUUUAUUUUAAGAAACAUUUGAAAGUGUCAAUUGCAUUUUAAAUUUUGCAGGACUUUGAUGAGUAUUUGUAAAUAAUAGAUAUUUUAUAUAUUUGAAUUUUUAUUGAAAAUAAAUUUAUUUUGGUAAAAGGAAUUUUACACUAGUAAUUCAUUUCCUCACAUGGAAGUGCUAGAAAAAAUUUAAAAAUUACCUAAUCCAUAUGGUGCUUUUACAAAGUAUAUAUGAUUUAGUUGUACUUCAAUGAAUCAAUUGCUUUGGAUUAAUUAAUUUUCAACCAACUGAAUUAUACAUUUAGAUAUAAUGUAAUUUGGGUAACUAACAUUUAAUAGCUUCAUAAUUUCUUUAUUUAAAUCUUAUAAAUUAUAUAUAUAUAUAUAUAUAUAUAUAAACUUAUUAUAAACAAGUUGGAAGCAUAUGCUCAUUCAAGCCUUCAUUUUUCCUUUUCGAUUUGCUAUAAAGUUGAUUUUCUUUCCUAAAGAAUUAAAUAUUUUAGAAAAUUUUGAAAAGAAAUAAAAGAAGUUAUAAAUUAAAACCACAAUAAAAAAUAAUAAGAAAAAUAAAAUAAUAAAAAAACAAAAACAAAAAACACGUAAAACAUGUAAAACACGAGUUAUGUAGUUUGCCCUAAAGCCUACAUUCACAAACUUAACAAAGAUAAAAAUGAACUUUUACUAUUAUUUAAAAAGAUUAUAAUCCUAUAACUCUUAAAUCCUAAAGUCUAAAUUAAUUAUACCUAGAAAAAUAUUUUUUUCUUAUUAUCUAAAAUGUUUUCUCAUAUUUUCUUGAUUAUAUUGGAAUAUUUAAUAUAAGGAAUUAAUUGUCUAAUUAUGAGAGAUACCUAAGAUAUUUUCAUUAUAAUUUGCAUGAAAAAGCCCUAUAAUAUUAUACUAUAAAUGUAAAAAUCCACAAUAAUAAAUCAUAUUAAAAGCCUCACUACAUCCAUAACAUCAAUUUUUGAAAUUAUUUUAAAAUAUAUACAAAAUCGAACUUCCAAUCGCAUCAAACAAACUCGUAAAUAUUUCUCUCUCCUACCUUCUUAAAAUUUUUGGUCUACGCUUGUCACCAUGUCAAGUCAAAAUCAUGUUUAAUUUUUAGCCAAACAGAAAAAGACUUGACCCACUAUCUUCACUUAAACGUUAAGUUUUAAUGGAGACAGAUGAAUUAUGGGCUACAGAACAUAUUUCUUCAUCUUGAUGAGUUGUAGGUCAUGAACCAAGUUGCUUGAAAAGGAUGGUAGAGGACUGACAUAUUUCCUCACAAGAGCCCUAUAAUAUUAUAUCUUGAUGACUUCCAGCAAGUCAAUACCACUUUCCCCACAAGAAGUCUUCAAUGGGUCGAAAUUCAAAAUAAAUGAUUCAUCUAAUGUGAUGGAAAUAAGAAUAAUUUGCAUGCAUUUCUUUUACUUUAUUUAUUUGGCAUAUCAUAACUCAAACUGUUUUUUUUUUUUUUUUUUUUUAUCAACUUACUGUUGUACUAUUCAUUUAGUUUAUCUUAUACAAAUAUAUACACUAAAUAUAAUAAUUUCAUAAAUAAAAAAGUCACCACCCAAAAUAUAUAAAAAAAAUUAAUGUUUAUUUCUAAUUUAUUUUUAAUUUAUAUUAUCAAAAUUGCUAAGCUUUGGAAAAUUUGAUUAAAUUACAAAGUCAAAAAACUAUUGAAAAAAUCUAAUUACAAAAAAUAUUAAAAAUAAAUUCCAAGGGAUAUAAAGACAAAUAAAAAAAAGAAAAAAAAAUGAGGACUUUUCCUAAAUUGUCGAAAUCCAAAACUCAAAUCUCAAUUUUUUGCAUCAAACAUUAACAAAAGUUAGUUUUUAUUACUUAUUAAUGUAAAACUUGAUUAACAUAUUGUAAAAAUAAAAAGAAAAAUAGUUGUUAAAGUAAAUUUGUAAAAGUAUAUUGAAAAUAAAACAAACUCUCUCUACACUCCUACUUCAUCUAAAUUCUUGAAACCCCUGGUUUCUCUACGAUCUUUGCAAAUAUAAAGCUAAUCAUCUCUCCGAAUCCAUGACAGACAAAGACUUUAACUAAACAGUUCAACUCCCCAUUUGUGCUAUGCAAUUUUAUUUGCUUAUGUUCUAAAGGGUCGUAUUUGGUUAUUGAGUUUUUUUUGUUUGGUGGAUAAGAAAACAAAAAGAUGGUUAAAAAAUUGAAAUUUAAGGACCAUUAAAGAAUCAAAUUUAUGUAAAUUAGGUGUAACUGUUGGUUAAAAAAGAUGGCAUUGCCUACUAUAUAAUGACUCCUUUAAACAAGUCUCACAUCAAGCAUCUUCUCGGGGUAUGCUUUUAGAAUACAGUUAACGUAUUUUUAGUUGUUUUUGUACAAUGUUGUGAGCAUUGAUUAAAAAGAUGAAACGAAAAUUUUUACAUUGUACUUAAGUGUCCAAUACUUCGAUGAAAAAUAAGUUAAGAAAAAUAAUUUUCACAGCAGAAUUUUGUUUCUAAAAAUAAUUAUCAAUUAUUUUUAAGAACGUAGAAUUGUUUUCAAAUACAUUGUUAAAUAGACCCUAAUUUUUUUACCUUUUAAGCAAAGUCAUACUCAAUAACCAAUAAUGACUUGUUCAUUUUUUUAGCACCCUUUCUUCUUCCAUUAUUUCAACAUUUUCAGCCUCCUUGCCUUGCUUCAUUUAACAUCCCCUCCUCUUCAUAUCGAUAUAUUGCUCUUUCUACUGCUUCUUUUUAACCAUAUUCUUGUACUGAUUUAACUUACACUCCCCCCUCUUCAAUUAUUACUUCUUCUAGCACUACAUUAGUUUCAUUAUCUAUCAAUCUUUCAAUAAUUUCAAGUGUCGGUUCCUUAUAAACACAUUGGUAUUUGACUCUAAUUUUUUAUUUUUUAUUUUUAGGAGAGUCAAUAUUUGUAUAGUUUGUGUUUGGGCAAAUUAUGGUUUUGAAUUUGACUAGAAUUAGGAAACUAUUAGUUUAGGGUUUAGCCAAUAGAAAUUUAUAAAUAUGUGAUUCUACAUGAGAUUUCCACAAAAGAGCAAAAAAAAGUGAGCAAAGAAUGGAGAGAGAUGGUGUAUUAGAUUUUGUGUAAAGAGAGGUUAAGAGAGUUUGAGUUUGUAUUUUUGAAAUUUAUUAAUAAAUUUGAUCUCCCUUUCUAGUGGACCUAGGCGAUUAAGUCGAAUUGUAUAAGAGAGUGUUGUGAUUUUCCUAACAAUUGUAUCGAAGCUUUCAUUUUCUUAAAAAGUGAUAUCAAAGCUCCUAUUUUCCCAACAAGCUAACAUCAAAACUUUUGUUUUCUCAACAAGUAGUAUAUGAUAAACAUCAAAAGUCUUCACCAGAAUAGCAACUGAUUUGUUAGAUAGUUACCCUUAGUUAGAUAGGUUGUUGAACCAAUAGUUUGUUAAAUCAUUUUUUAAAUAGCUUGUAUAAAUAGCUUGAUAACAAAAGUUCUUGGAGCGUUCUUCUUGGUUGAUAAUCUUUUAUGGUAUUAAAGUCGAGUUUUUCCCUUUCAUCAUUUCUAGAUUUGCUUUCUUCCUUCUUGUUGGCCUGAUUAUAGUCGUUCUCUUCUCUCAAAGAACACACACCAUCAUAGGGCUACUUUAACCUAAUUUUCCAAUCCAUAAAACACUUUGGACAUAACUUCCUCACAAUCUCUUAGCUUGAUUCAACUGUUGCAUAUGUUGAAUCAUCCUCUUCCUAUCAAACUAAAUAGGAGUAGUUACAUUAUCUAGUGGAGAAUAUGAUCUUUGACAAUGGGUUUGAACUUGGCGACAUUUUUAUUGCAUCAUCCUGAGUUGGAUCUACACUUUCCUUACUCCCGAAAUUAUGGGACAAAUAAUUGGAUAUCAUACUUCUCAUGCAACAUGGACUGCUCUAGAGAAGAUCUCCACCUCAUCAAAAGCAUAAGCAAUGUAGCUUCAGUUAGAAUUUCAAACAACUUGGAAAGGCUCCCUCCAUGAUGGAAUACAUACUCAAGUUGAAGAUGCUCAUUGAUUAACCUUGCUACCAUUGGAGAGUAGGUAUAAAAAAGAAACCAAAUCUUGAAACUUCUUGGUGACCUUGAAACAGAUUACAACUCCAUAGUUGCAUCCCUUAUAGCUCGUGAAGAUGAUAUACCCCUGCAUUAGUUUACAACAUUUUACUCACCUCUGAACAAACACUCAACUUUUGGAGUUUAGUAAUAGAAAACGAAGUUAUCUCCACUCAUAUAGCCACACAAGGACAAUUUGCUCACCCAAGAAGAUACCAAAAUGGGGAAACUAACUCCAAUUUCAGCAACCAAAUUAGCUCCCACCAUCAUCAAGGAAGAGGAUGUUCAGGUGGCCAUGGGCAAGAUCAUUGAACAAAUCUUAGUGGCAAUGGUACUAAACCUCAAUGCCAACUUUGUGGAAAAAUCAUAGGUUUGAUAUAAAUUUUCAAGGACCUAAUCCCUUGCCUAUAAACCUUCAUCAAGCACUCCUAAUAGCAAUGAUAUACAAAUGAUGAUGGUCUUUCCUUUAAUCUACAAUAUCUUGGUUUCUUGACAAUAUUAGCCUAAACCCUAAAUCCCUAAACCCUAAACCCCAAACCCUAAAACCCUAAGCCUUAAACUCUAAAACCCUAAACCCUAAACCCUAAACCCUAAACCCUAAACCCUAAAUCUUAAACCUAAACCUUGAAACCCUAAACCCUAAACCCUAAAUCCUAAACCCUGAAAUCCUAAACCUUAAACCAUAAACCUUAAACCUUAAACCCUAAACCCUAAACCUUAAACUCUUAAACAGUAAACCGUAAAACCCUAAACCUUAAACCAUCAAUCCUAAACCCGAAAACCCUAAACCCUAAACCUUAUACUCUAAAACCCUAAACCCUAAAACCCUAAAUCCUAAACCCUAAACCCCAAGCCCUAAAACCUAAACCCUAAAAUCCUAAACCUAAAUACUUAAACCCUAAACCCUAAACUCUAAAACCCUAAACCCUAAAACCAUAUACCCUAAACCCCAAAACCUUAAACCUAAAAUCUUAAACCCUAAACCCUGAAACCCUAAACCCUAAACCAUAAACUCUAAACCCUGAAACCCUAAACCCUAAACCCUUAAACCCUAAAUUGUAAAACCCUAAACCCUAAACCAUCAAUCCUAAACCCGAAAACCCUAAACCCUAAACCCUAAAACCCUAAACCCUAGGGCGACACACCAUCUCUCCCUAAGUGAUAAUACUCUCAUAAACACUCAUCCAUACCACGACAAUUGCAAAGUCAUAGUUGGAAAUGGCAAGAAAUUAUCCGUCUCACAUGUUGGCUCCAAGUCAUUUCAAACUCCUCACAAGUCCUUUUAGUUACGAAGCAUUCUUCAUUUUGCUACAAAUCUUAUUAGUGUUUCUAAAUUUUGCACUAACAACAAUUUAUUUUUGGAAUUUCAUCCUACUUUAUUUCUUAUUAAAUACUGGAAUACAAAGAAGAUUCUUCUUCAAGGAAACAUUGAGCAUAGCUUGUACAAAUUCCCCAAUAACCACAUUGGUACGUCUUUAACAUCCUUUCAUUCUAGGCACUUAGCUCUCAUUAGAUAAUAAAAUAAGAAUGAGCUAAUCAACUGAUGAAUUCAACAACCAUCUUAUUAAAGAAUAUAUACAAUUACCCAAAUAGUGUGAUGGUCAGAUAGGACAGUCUAAUGGAAGAUGGUGACAACCUCUCUUUUCUUAACAUAAAGCAUAAUAAUUCCAAGUCCAGGAUACUUUUCUUCUAAUAAAGUGCUUGCUUUAAACUUUCCUUUUGAUAAUGUUUUUGCUUUAAAGUUUAGUUAUUUUUAGAGUCAUGUGGUCUUGUCCUCUUAUACAAAAUCUUUUUCUUACCCAAUUACAAAAAAUGAUAUGAGAUAAUGAAUUAAGAAUGAACUAAUCCAAUUAUGGAUCAACAACCAUUUUAUUAUAUAUAUAUAUAUAUAUAUAUAUAUAUAUAUAUAUAUAUAUAUAUAUAUAUAUAUAUAACCAAUUCUAAUCACCUAAUUACCUAGAUAAUGUGAGAGUUAUAGCAAAAGUAAUUCAUUUAAUGUUAAACUUGAUUGACAAUUAAUAAUCCUUCUAUAAAUUACCUUUUAAAUUAGUUAUAUAUUAAUUAACAUAUUUUUCUAUCUUAAUUUAUAAAAAGCUACUUAAUCAAUUUCACUAACUCCACCUAAAAAAAUACUAUUUUAAGUUACAAGAGAGUUUGAAUUAAUGAUUAUCAAUUCUUUUAUAUUUCAUCCAAGUUGUUGAGUCAUUACAUCUAGCCCCCUACAAGAUUGAAUGAUCUUAGAAUUAGUAUUUGAUUAUGAAUUAAAUAUUUUUAAAUUUGAUUCUUAAAAAUUUGCUCUAUUAAGCUAAUAAUUUGAUCAAAACUAUAAGGAAGUUGGGUUAAGACUAUAAUAUUUCACUUAAGUGGUUCCUCCUCUAGACUGAAGUGGAAUAACUUUCUAUUUGUUAGGAGAUCAAAGAAUUUGAUUAAGAUUUAAGAAUCCAAACUUCCAAUUGAUAGAGAUUCUACAGGAGUCCUAGUUUUAGGUAAAUAAGAAAGGGAGAGUUUCAUGAAAGUCUGACAGUUGGUUGCACCAAAUUUUUGGUAUUGUUUUAGAUUUAUAAGGUUGUUCUAUUGGAUUCAUCAAACCAUUGUGUAGAUCUACUAACAAAAGGGAGAGCCAAUUGAUCUCUUUAAUUUGUUGGAUAUUUCUACCUUUUAAAUUUUGAGUCCAUAGUUGGUAAAUAAUAGUUGUGCAUUUCCACCAAUAUUUAGAUUUUUUUAUUUUUCUUUUUUAACUUUUGAUCAAAGUUAUGUAGUGGUUGUAUUUUUUGGCAAGAUCUCUUAUGCAUGAGUAAUCCAACUUCGGUGAUAUUUUAAGUUACCAACCAUGCUAAAAUCUUCAAAGGACUCAAUGUUGAGGUGUAUUGGCUAUAAGGGAUUGAGAAUAAAGGUAAAAUGCCAUGUGGAAGAGAUGAAUCAAAUCCUAACAAAAGUGGGAUUUGAUUUAUAUGAGAAUAAAUUUUGUAUUCUAUACUCAUUCCAAAAAAUAAUAUAUUCAAAUAUAAAAUGAAUGGAAAAUGAAAUAAAUUUUUCAAAAGAGUGGUAUCUUGAUGGACUAGAGUUCUUUGUUUCAUAAAUUUUUUCUUUCACAAGUUGCCAACAACAAAUGCAAGCCAUCGGCUAGCCUUAUACAGUCUAAGUAAGGUUUUGGCUCGUUCGAGGGUUGACUCGAUCAAGAAUAAUCAACCUAGUAGUUAGAUCAAUUAACCAAUUGAACCAAUUGGGUUUGGAAUGAGUGUUGAUUGUUUUUCCUAUAACUUCAAAAUAACAUAUCAUUUUGCUCCCAUCCUAGACCCAAAAGUUGAAAUUUAGAUAAAAUUUUGGGAAAAGUCCAAAUAAAUAGAGAUGAUGUUGGAAUAAUGAUAAAUUUUAAUUUUUAUAUUUAUAUCUAGUUAUUUAAUUAUUUUAUAUUAUUUAAAAAAAAUUCUUAUUCAAUAACCAAUUCAACUUUAAAAACAUUGAUAUGUACACCUCCAUGAUUUUGAUAUUCAAUGGAGUUUAUUUUAUUCUUGUUGCCACUUUUGCCAUCAAGUAGGAUUCUUAUGAGAAAACAUUUUUGGAUUGACUUUUGAAAAUUAGUUAUGGUUUUAAGUCUAAUAAGAAAACAUGUUCAAUUAAUUUUAGAAGAAAUAUGUAGGAUCUUUCUAAAAAAAAGUACUAUUCGAUACCAUAGCGAAAAGCACCAUCCUAUUAGAGACAAGAAAGUCUUAUUCCUUUAUACCAUAAAUGAACCAAAAAAAAGUCUUAUUGCUUUGUGUCUUAAAAAUAAUCUCUUUUUUCUUUUCUAAAUCAAAGUCUCAUUUUUUAUUUUUUUAUUUUUUACCUUCAUCAUCGAAAAUUCCCAUACCAUUCAAUACUUUAGCAUUUUGAAAGCAAAGACAAAUGCUUUCCAUAAGAAGCCUCUUCUAAAAAUUUACCUAAAUAUUUUUUCCUCAAUACUUUCUAUAACCUAAACCAAGCCUUUAGGUUUUGAAUUCUAUAGACCCUAACAAAGGAAUAAAAUUUUCCCUCAUGGUUCCUAUGAUUCAUAUUGAGUCUUAGGUUUUCAAUUUCUAAAAAUCCUAAUGAGGGAAAAAAGUUUUGAAUUAGAAGGGGUUUAAAUUUCCUAAAAACCCUAAUGAGGGAACAAAGUGUCAAGCUAGAAAGGAAGAAACUUGUUCCCUUGUUCUUUCUAUGACCUAAACCAAGCUUUUGAGUUUCAAUUUCCAAAAGCCAUGAGGGAACACGGUUUUCCCCCAUAGUUUCUAUGAUCCAAAUUGAACUUUGUGGUUUCAAUUUCCAGAAACCCUAAUAAGAAAACAAUGUAUCAAGUUGGAAAUGAAGAAAGCUUGUUCUCUCACUUUCUACUAUACAAACUAAAUCUUAGGCUAUGUUCAGUUCUUAAAAUAUGUCAAAAAAAUGUUUAAAAAAAAUUAUUUUCUCAUGGUUGAUUGUAUCGUGGAAAAUACUCAAAGAAAGAUUAAAUAUAAUUAAUUAAAAACUUAUGCAUCUUUUAAUCAUUUAAUUUUUAUGAGUUUGAAAUAACAUAUAAAAAUCAUUUAUUAAUUUUAAAUUUAUUUUGUUAUUUUCUUUCACGUUUUUUUUUCUUCUACACUUUUUUUUUCCUUCAAAGAACCAAACAUAACCUUUAGGUUUCAAAUUUUAGAAACUUUAACAAGGAAAUAAAGUUUUCCCUCGGUUUCUAAUUUCUAUGAUCCAAACCAACUCUCUAGAUUUUGAUUCCUAAAACCACAAUGACCGAACAAAAUGUGAAGUUGAAAAGGGAAGAAACUUUAUUACUUCGAACUCUUUAUGACCGGAACCAAACAUUCGGUUUUCCUUUCCUAAAAACCCUUAUGAGUGAUACAAAGAUUUGAAUCCUCAAGUUUUUUGGAAACAAACAUAACCUUAGAGUUUCAAAUUUUAAAAACCUAUACGAGGGAACAAAGGUUUCCCUCAUAGUUCCUAAUUUCCAUGAUCCAAACCAACUCUCAAGAAAAUGACGAGUUGAAAGGGAAGAAACUUCAUUAUUUCGUACUGCCCAUGACCAGAACCAAACCUUCGGUUUCCAUUUACAAAAGACCUAAUGAGAGCGAGCCUUAGGAUUUCAAUUUCCAAAUAUCCUAAUGAGGGAACAAAGUGUAAAGUUGGAAAGGGCUCUCUCAUCCAACAAUUUUAAAUGCCAAGGCAGGCAAAGAAAACUAUCAUUUAAUUGCGAAGAAACAAGGAGUACAAGAGAGCACACACGGUUCAAGCCAAGCCUUCUUCAAUUACAAUAUCUAGCCCAUCUGAGCAUGCUCCUAUAUGAGCUUUAACGACUGAAUCCUAUUGCGUUAAAAGAGUAAUAAAUCCUUUAAUAACCGCCCAAAAACAUGAGAAUUACACACGGUAUCAGAAAAUCAGAUGAAAUUGUAUAACUCAUCCGAAUAAACCCCUUCAAAUAAUAAAACUAAGCAAAAUAGUCUAUACCCUAUGUUACAUACCGAUGGCUUUCAUAAUAAAGGGCACUGUAGCUUUACUAGAAUACAACAUUCUCACAAGCCCAGAUUGAGUGGAACUAGGGCCAACAUUAUUGAGCUGAAUGUAGGAGGCCCUUGGUUGAUUUUCAAAAGCUAUGGUAUUGAACUCCUAGGCUCUUCACCUAAUUAGAGCCUGAAAAUUUGGAAAGGGGUUCCGCCAAAAAAAUUUCUAAAAGAGGAAAAGAAUCCUAAUCAUCAACUCACCGACCUUCCUUCCUGCCAUGCAACCUAUAGAAUUGUCAUGACGAGUCAUGAUUCCUAUUGGGUGGGCUUCGGUGUUGAAAACCCACUCAUCUAAUGAAAUGACUGACGAAGGUGAGAAAAGAAGAUAGAGAUAUUUGAGUGUCUCAGCAAGGAAGAAGCUUUGCAUCAUAUUGUCUUUGACGUCUCUAUUUACCUGUGAAUACCCAGAACCAGCAGAGUAAGCAAAGAGCACAGAUGUAGCAGUAAACAAAAGAAAGUAACAAUGAAAGAAAAUGAUAACCAGCACAGCCAAGAGUGUUUAGGAUUAGAUAAAAUACAUAAUCAGUGAGCACAUUUAUUUCAGUGUAAAACCACCACACCUGCUGGGCUGGCAACUGUCAUUCAUGAUUGAAACUUAUCUAGUAAUAAUAGAUAACUUCUAAAUAGGUUUUUCAUAUUAAUAAAAAUUAUAAAAACUCACUCAAUCUACAAAUAUUCUAAGAUUUCAUUGUGUUAUUUGUUCAGGGUAACAAGUAAUGAGAGAUAUGUUCUAAGAUUUCAGGAAUCAAAGUUCAAAAGUAAAUACUAAAAAUGCAAAUCAGCCAGUCUGAAGUAGGGAUUAGUGAGUUUGAAGAGUGUACUUACAUCCUUCAGUCCAACAUAUCCUGACUCUAUGCGGGAGUUCUUUUCAAAUGCUUGAAAUAUGUUCCAACCCCACUCUUGGUAUGUCUUGCUGCCAGUUAAACGCCAGAGGUAAAACAGUGAUUCAACUGUCUCGGGCCUCAAUAUGUUCCAUGAUGUACCCACACUCAUAUCCUGUAAAUGUUUUAGAUGGAAAUGAGAUUGAGCAGUAAAAGAAAUAACUAGUAUAUAAAAAGAAAAGAGAAAAACUAACCUGCCCAGAGUGGAAGAAAUAGUUCUCUCCAGCCAAUUUUGUUGGUGUUGACUGGUAGAAAUUAUAGCAUGUCCAGGCAAGCUGCAAAAAAUAGGCCAAGCAAUUCACUCAUAGGAACCACAUGAAAAGCAUCCAAAUGCUGGAAAAGUAAGAGAAAACUCAGGGAGGGCAGAAGGAAUCAUUACAAUUCCUUCCCUUAGAACUGCGUGUGAAAUUUUCAUCUCAUAUGGCUCUUUCAUUAUAUGCAAAAUGAUAAUAUUACAUGGAAUAAAUAAAAAAUUGAAAUACUAUCAUUAUAAACCGGGUACGGCUUGUGAUUUUACAAGAAGCCUCUAGCUUAUGAAGUUCUUAAUGUCAUGGGAACAUCAAAAAAAUCAGUGGCUAGUGCUAAUGGAGACCAAAAAAAUGCUGCAAUGGCAAAUAUGUUCAAGGAGCUAAACAACUACUAAAGCUUAAGCUCUAGAUGGGUAUUAAAGCUUAAGGUCAAAACAUUUUCCUAUCAAGCACAAAAUAUCAGAAAUGGUAUGAAGAGAAUUUAAAAAUACCUCUUCGGCAAGGGAUAGGAAUUUCUGAGAUUCUUCAGGACCAUAACCAAGUGAUCCUAAAGCAAUCAUUCCUGGGGCAAAGCAUGCUAAUCCAUCCAUCUGCACAUAUAUAGAAAAAACAAAUAGCACCAAAAUGCUAAUGGUCAAAUAUUAGUGCAGUAGAACAAAUGAGUAUUUUGGUAUCAAAUAUUACCUUGUCAUGCAGAGAAUCCCCAUUUUUCUCACAUAUAUAUGUGAAAGAUGAUGAUGUUGUUCUUCGGACCAAGCUUAACAGACCUUUCAUAGAUGUCUCCCACAUUUCUCUGCUUCCAACAAACCAAUAAAAGAAUUUUGAUAUCAAUAGAUUCUAUGAAGGAAAGACUGUCGACAUUUUUUAGACAUUGGAUAUUUAAAAGAAAAUCUGUGAGUUGAAUUAAAAUAAAAAGUAUGCACCUUUUCCCAAAGAAAUGAGCAAAUGAAAAGAUUAAAAAAUAAUAAGGAACAAAGGCUAAUCAGACUUGUUAGUCAAUCUAAGGUUCUAGUUAAAUGCAUCCACCAAAUUCCUCUUAUUCUAGUUAUUGAAAAGCUAAGGGCCUUUCACAACUGACAAGACCCAAUAUAUGACAAAAAAAAUGUUCCCUCUGAAAAUAAAUUAAAAAAAAGCCCAUGCAAGAGGCUUCCCUUGGACUCACUAAAAGUGUAAAGUUGUCUACUUCAUAUCAAGCCCAAACAAAGCCUCAAAGAAAGCAUGGAAAAAGACACUCCCAUGUUCCCACAUAGCUCUCUUACUUCCCAUCUGGCCCCCAAGGGAGCACACAUCCAAAUUAAGCCCAAGACUCCAAGUAGGAGUAGUUCAUUGCAGUGUUAGCUGUGUUAAGGUUCCUCCAAAAACCAAUAUCCCAGGAGGGAAAUUAUUUAAGAGAAUAAAGUUUAGCUUUACGACACUUCUAAAGGCUGAUUUUCCACUAGAGUUUCACCCAUGACCAAAUUUUAGAGCCACUGCUAGCAACAAACCUCACAAUAGAAAAGAGCAAAAGAAGAUCUUGGGAAUUGAAUUUUCCCUGCAAUGUCAACUUUUAACAACAUGCCAAGUUAAAUUCCACUUCAGGAAUCUCCAAAUCCCUCUUCCAAUGGGAGCUCAGUUUCACAGAGUCCUCAAAAGCAUACACCUUCUUUCCUAGGUGUAGACACCACCUCCCACCUAUUGGGGGUUCUCAAACUAGCAUCCUUGGGCCAAACCAAAAAGAAACUCAGUUUUCUUAAUAAUAGAGGCAACCUUAACAGGAAACACAUUUUUUGUUUUUUGUUUUUUUUUUUUUUGUGUUCAUUUGCUUUAAUAGCAUGAAAUAAAUUGGGAUGUAAACAAAGUAGGACAGAGGAACAGUAAAUCCUAUCCCAUAAAGAAAGGACCAUUCUCUUCUGUACAUCCAGAGGACCUCCACAACAGGAUCCUAGAAUUCUAGGAUUCAAGGGCCAUUCACUAGUACCGCAACUAAUUAAUUAUACCAAAGUAGCUCAUUUCCCAUUAAAAACAAUUCAUUUUAAUUAGUCAAACAGGAAAAAGGAAGGAACGAGGAUCAUGUCAUUCAAUAAGAUGCCAGAUAUCGCAAAUAAACAAUAUUGGCCCAUAGUAGUUCAAGAGAAACUGUCUGACAGUCAAAAUCACAAUCAUCAUGUGGUAUUGAUAAACACAUGCCCUAUGUAGCACACAAAUGAUAUUUCACCAGAAUUCAAUGGGAGAUGUAGGGAUUCACCUAUAAUGCUUCACAUCAGCAGUUUUAUUUCCUUGUAUCCAAACUUUGAGUAAAUAUUCAUAAAAGCUGCAAUCAAGUUUUUCAAGUUAAUCACCAAUGUCAAUCAAACUAACAAAAUUAUGCACAUAGUUCAGCUCCUCCAUCAGGGAGAUAGAUAAAGUAGUAGAAUUCCUAUGACAUAAUGAGACCCAGAUCUCAAGAAAGAUAUCACAAAUCGUACAGAAAUAUUAAAUGGUCAUACCUGUCACCCAUGGCUCCAAAGGUUAUGGUCGAAUAAGAUGAUGUUCCUCUAUGAGGAUUAAUAUAUAUGGGAAGCAAACCAUCAGCAGGAAAUGUUUUAUUAAGCUCAAUGAUAACAUUCUCAACCUGAAACAUCAGAAUUCAAUGCCAGCAAAUUAAACCUCCCGAGAAAAUGCUUGUUUCGUUGGAAGCAGAAGUUAAUGACCAAUGUCUUCUGACUCUAGUUUCUUUACCAAAAAAUUUAAACUUUGUAUGGAGAAGAUGAUAACUAACUGAAGUUGCUUAGUCUUAGGAUUUAAUCCUAGUCAAUACAACAAGAUAGUAAUUGACAUUACUUUAGAUAAUUGUCAAAGGUCAUCUGCAUUUUAAGACACAUGAAAACAAUUCCUUUUUUGGUGUGUGCACAUAUAAGCAUAAGAGGAAUAUACCUUUUUCUGAUACUUUGGAUCACCAGUCCUUUGAGAAAGGGCAAUAAACUCCAGCUGCUCUGUGCCGGAAUCGGCUAGGAUACUGUCACCCUAGGAACAAGGAAAAUUAUACAUUUUAAAAAACAAUGAAAUCAAUUACCAUGGAUAUAUGUUUGAUUUUUUUUUUUUUUCCAUUUCAUGUAUUUAUUAAUUUAUUUGUGGACAUUAAAUCAUUAGCAUGAAACAAUUCAAAAAAGAAAGAGAAAUUGCACCUAAAACAACAGAAAGAGAUUUAGGCAUUAGGAUUCAAUGGUUUUAGAGACUAAGAUGGACUUCUGCAAAUAAUUCAUGUAUUUAUUAAUUUAUUUGUGGACAUUAAAUCAUUAGUAUGAAACCAUUCAAACAAGAAAGAGAAAUUGCACCUAAAACAACAGAAAGCGAUUUAGGCAGUAGAAUGCAAUGGUUUUAGAGACUAAGAUGGACUUCUGCACAUAAUUAAGAACACCGGGUUUCAGAUGCAUCUUAACAUUGUUGUCAGAGGAUAGGAAGCUAGAAAAAGAAAUAUAGUUAAUUAAGGCCCUGUUUAGAUUCACUUCCUCAAAGCAAAAGCCUUUUUUUUUUUUUCCUUUUGAAAGCUCCAUAAGAGCUUAUGUAUGGUUUUUUUAUAAUUUCAGGGUAAGAUUUUUUUGGCAUAAAAAAGAGACUAACAGGGAAGCAAGGACCAUGUAGGUUCCAGUGGAAGCCCUUUCUUGGUUUAUAUGAUAAGCUGUUACAUGUUUAUUCAAACUUUUAAUAAUACCAAGAUUCCUCCUUUAAAAUCAUGAUUUUAGCUUCAACUUAAGCAUCUAACAGAAGUCAAAAGCAAGAAGUGAUCUGAAACAGACCUAAGCUAUGUAGCAGUAGCUUGGACAAUUUUAAAAAGGAUCCAUGACCAUUUCAAACACCAUGUCAUACACAUCAGUAGAAAUCUUAGAAUAUUACCAUUUUUCCUUUUUUCUCUUUAUAUAGUUUUUUAAAGAAUAAAUAGAAGAAGAAUAAAGAAAGAAAAAGACACACCUAUUGAAUCUUGGAAAGCACUAAGAGGAUCUGUUUGUGUGUGAUCCAUUAGUCUUGGCUUGAUAGUUGUUGCUAGAAGUUUCCAUGAAAUAUUGUUAACUUAUGAGUGGAGGAUAAUGGUCAAGGCCAUUGAAAUCCAUAUUUGCUUAAGAGCUUGAUUGGAAAUUGGAGUUGGUGGGAUAGCCUUUGCAGCCAAUCCAAUCCAGAGUUGUUUGUAGUGGCUGGAAGGUAUAUUUGUUUGGCUGAUUCAUAUGAUGUCGCAGUAUGGAAAAAGAUGCUUAUAAAUUUUUUUUUUUUUUUUGAUAGGUAAAAGCAUAACCUUAUAACCAAUUGCCUUGAGGAAUAGUUAGAAUUCAGUUAACAGGUGUUGUGCACACAGAAAACGAAGAGGAAUCAGUGUAUAGUGAUUUGGUGUAGAGGAUGACCCUUUAUGUUUGAUUUGGUGUAUCUGGGGAGAGCAGAUUAGCUGAGUUUUUAAAGAUACAGUGUAUAGUGAUCGCUUUCAGAAUUUAUUUCCUCAAAUCUUGUUUGAAUGGUCAAGAGAUCCUGUGGAUGAAGCCAAUAUUUCUUUUCUAGAGCCCACUGAUUGCUUGGGAGUGGGUUAAUUUGUGCUGUGGCUGUUUUUCUAGUCUUUCCAUUGCUGUUUUGGCAAUCUUUGUAUACUUUCUGGAUAUGUGUAUGAGGAUCGAUAGGCCCACAAAGGAUUAUGUUAACAAGUGCCUUACUCCCCAAGGCACCCAAUAAAUAAAAUAUAAUAGGGAAGAAAUUAAGGACACCCCAAAAUAUCAAGCCAUCAAAGAAAUCUGGAAAGGAUAGUCUCUCAUUCCCUAUAAAUCUUCUGGAUCACACAAGUAUAGGUUUCAUACAAACAUAUUUUUACUUGCAAUUCCAACAGCUCCAAAGCAUUGGAGAUCCUUCUAAUUUCAUUCCUUCCAUGAACAGAAAAAUAGGCAGAGGGGAAUAAUUUGCAAAAUUUCCUCCUCCCUUUGCAAACAGACCAUCCCUGCCAACUGGCUAAGGUGUCCUAAGCUAACUUAGGAAAUACCCAUGAAAUACUGAGGGAUCAAACAAAAGAGACCACAAACUUCAAGUUGUUCAAGGUAUCAAAAUGCAUAAACAAAUUAUUAUACCAACCCAUCCUAUUUGCAAACAGUACCAACUAGCGAUAAUCCCACUCCACUAGUAAAAAUGAACACAGGGAAUGGGUGAGAAUCCUUAAAUCUUUCUAUGCGGAAAACAGGCAAAGUUCCUGGCACAUGGCUUCACAGUGAUUUCACAUAGAAGCAAGUAGCAACCAUCUUCAGAUAACUUCCACUCGUUUAUCCUCCCCGCUUACACACUAUCUUGAAUAUGAGACAAGAACAAUUCUACCAUUUCUGACUCACAACUAUGAAAACUUCUAUAAACCUUCAUUUUUUAUAAUCCUGAUCACCUUCCGCAUUUCGAUGAUUUGCCACCAUGUUGUCUCAAUUAAUUGAAAUGUAUGACAGAUCUGGAAAACGAAGAAAGUUUUUCCCACACCAAAAUCUGACAUAGGAGAUAAAACAUCUCACCCUUUUCUAAGAGCAUUUCAUCACCCCACAACAGCAGCUACUCAUUUCCUCACCAAAUUUACAUUUAUGUGUGGAACACUCUCUAGUGUUCAUGUUCAUGCAAUCAUGCUACAUAUUUAGGUCAAAUAAGGAUUUCAGCAGAAGCCAAAUCACAUCAUGAUGUAUGCAAAAAUCCAACCAGUAGAAGAUCAAUUUUAGGUCAGCGUCAAACCAAGUCAAGUAAAAACUCCAGGUCAUUGUUGAGUAAGCAAGUAGCAGCAAUUACAUAGUGAAAAUGGUAAAUGCAUUCUAUUUUCCCUCAUGCCACACAACUAAGAAACAUAAUUUCCACACCUAAGCCCAAGACACAUUUUAUAACUUCACACAACUCAAAAUAGAAUAAUAAAUCAACAGAAGGCAAUAAUAAACAUAUAAAUAAAUAAAACAACUUUCCAAUAAAUAGUGACAAAAGAACAACCAGAAACCAGACACUUACUCCAGUCCAUCCAGGGUUAUGCGCAUUUCCAUGUGACAGUAUUUUUGCAGUAAACUGAGGCAUUGUCAAUGGUACUAUUGUGUUACUUUUAGAUAUAAAAAUAUGACUUGGGAAAGGAUUUACACCCUUUCCAUCUCUCUUCUAUUGUAUUUUAUUCUUUCUUCUCCUCUCUUCUCUGCAUCCAAAUCCUCAUAGCAUCUCCAACUCAGUAUCAAGUUGAUCCGGGUGUAAUCAUAUUAGAAACUUUAAAAUAGAAUUUAUCAAUAGCAAAUGACGGGAGAUGACAAUAAACUUCAUUUGUUGCAUCAUAAAAAUUAAAUUACUUAUUAAGACAUUUAUUUUUACAGUAGUUUAUGGAAUAAUAAAUUAGAAAAUUCUAAAAAUAUGUUACAAAGAUUCUUUUCUAGGCCAAAAACGAUUAAUUAGUAAGUACCUAACAAACGGAGGAGCAACCUAGGUGUAGUGGAAUACAAGGAUCACUCAAAACAUCAAAAUACAUGGAAACACUGCCUGCUCACUAGCCUGGGAUUAANNNNNNNNNNNNNNNNNNNNNNNNNNNNNNNNNNNNNNNNNNNNNNNNNNNNNNNNNNNNNNNNNNNNNNNNNNNNNNNNNNNNNNNNNNNNNNNNNNNNUAACAAAAUUUCAGCUCUAACUCCAAUUGCCCAAGACCAUACAAAUGAGGUUUCUAAGAUUUGUUUCCUUCUUAUGCCAGUAUAUAAAGAUUGCCUCCAUUUAGGGAAUUUCUUGCAAUUCAAUUUAUAAAUAUAGUCUUGCACAAGUAUAUUAGGAAUGCCUUCAUAUGAGAAUUUCUUGCAAUCCAAUUUACACAUAUACCAAAUUAGGCUAGACAGCCACCAGCCACCACCUCCCUCUAUAAAAUUCACAUAUUCUAAAGAUGAAAAUUCCCAAGUUGAGAAAAAUUGUCUCAUGAUUAUCUUUUAUGCGUUAGAACAUAGUUUUCUUCUUUUUGCUCAUGAAGACAUAUUUGCGCCUCUUGGAAUAUUCCAAGGGCCCAACCAACUAAUUUCUUGCUACAUCUUUCCCAUACACCUAAUCUCUUCUUCCCUAAAUUUCUGUAUUUCUUGCCAUUAUCUUUUCUUACUUCAAAUUUCUGUUCCCAUGGCCUUUCGGUAGCAUUAUUUUCUUGAAAUUUGCAUUCAUUCCAUCCAUGUCUCUGUUUCACUUAGUAAGGUGAACCCAACCUUCCUAUAGUUUUUCUCUUCAAUCUUCUUGGUUUCAUCACUUCCCAACUGUUCUCCAUUUCAAACUGUUUUUGCUUUUCCCACGACAGGAGCUUAUAUUGGACCUUGAACAUACCUGUACCUCUACCUGAAACCAAAAUAGAUAGGAGGGGAAAGAAUAUGUAAGAGUAUGACCUCAUUCUAAGGAAUUCAACAAAACAAACACAAAACUUUGUAAGAAGAGGUGCCUUCUCAUAAAGGGGAUUGCAGUGACCAGUUACCAAAAAAGGAAAGCUCUAUUUUCCAGGCUCUCCCAUAGUUGAUACUUUGGAACCACAAGAAUUCUUACUAAGAAUGAGAGAUCCUUUCUUUCUCAUCCUUUCUUUCAUCAAACAGGACAAAUAUAUAUAGAAUCAAACUGAACCCAAUAAAUGCCCAUUCAUGGAAGAAUAAGCUUCAACAGAUUGAAGACCUUCAAUUUCCCAUACAUCCACCUUUUUCAAGAACUAUCCCACUAGAAUCAUCCUUCUACUAGUGCUCUUUGCCCAUCUAAUAUCGAUUCUCUUCCUAUUCCCCAGAGUCAAACUGAUGUCUUAACUAAUCUCCCAAGUUUGGUGAAAAGCUCUGGUAAAUAUAAACAGGAACUGCGAAAAAGAGUGCUAAUAAAUCAAAAAAUAACUUUUCAAACAUUUAUAAUUAAUCAAAAACCAAACUAAAAAAAAUCAACUUACCUUCCCAUGGCUGCGUGUGUGAAUCUCUUCUCCAUUAUGAUGCGUCAAAAGUGACAGCGGCUUUUCUUAAGUCCAAUGUGCAGCUACUACCACUAUUGUAUGGUGUGUCCUAUGGAAAUCUUUUCAACUAUGUAUGGAAGUCUUUAUGUGGCUGUGUGUGGAGAAUGCUCUCCAGUGGAGUCCCGUGCAGCUGCUUGUUGUGGAAGAUGCUGCCCAAACUGUGGUGCGUGGUUGCCUCUUCUGUGUGUGCCUCUUGCAGCCGCGAUUGGUGGACUCCAACUUCUCCAAUGGUGUGCUGUGAUGCUUCUCGAAUUGAUGGUCCCUUUCCUUGGUGUGUGAUGCUAAGAGGGAUCUCUAAUGAUGCAGACUGUGUGGUUGGGAGGGUGGCUGUGAAGAAACUCGUAUUCGCGUGUAAGAGAAGGCCCCUCUUAUAAUGCGUGAUUGACUCCCUUAGCGGACUGUGCAUUCUUCCAAGAUGGACUGUCUCCCCUUUCAGGCUGCUGCGUGUUGGUGCUUCUCCAUGAAGAAUGCCGACUACAAUGAAACUUUAGUUUUGUAGUUCGACCAACUUCUAUAUGGUUAAUAAUUGCCUUUCCUCAUCAUUCAAACAGAAGAUAAGGUAACUUAACAUUAAAAAUGCAUUCUUGCAAAGAAACCUUGAGAGGGAUGUUUGCAUGGAGCAACCGUUGAGGUUCAUUGAUUCCACCAAGCAAGGCCAUGUUCUUACUUAAAAAGUCUUUCUAUAGAUUGAAGUAGGCACCUCAUUCUUGGUUCGAUCAACUGUCUUAAUAUCUACUACAACUUGCUUCUAUUAUAACAAAUUUAAUGCUUAAUUAACUCUUUGUCUAUCGCACCAAUGAUAUUACAACUAUUAUUCUCAUAUGCAUGGAUGAUGUUCUUCUCAUAGUGAGUAAUGAUGAUUUUGUUCAAAUUUUAAUUGAACGUCUUGGCUAAGAGUUUGAAUUAAGGAACUUGGAUCACUGAACAAUUUUCUUGGAGUAGAAGUGAAGCCUUUUUUCGAUGAUGUAUUCUUGUCUCAACAGAAGUAUAUGCGUGAUUUGCUUCACAAAAAGCAAAUGCCACUCAAAGACAAAGAAGACCUCUUUGGUUACAUGCAUAGAAUCAUUUUCAGAACUUCAUCUAUGAUUUGUUUAUGAUAUUUGUUUUUUCGAUGGAGCUAAAUGGCAAAAUAAGAUUAGUGCAGCCCCUAGUCCCUGUAGUAUGUUAGAGACCCUUAAAACUACUAAGCACUUUUAGAAUUGAUAUCCAAGUUUUAAAAACUUAUAGAAUUGAUCAAUAUGACAACUGGGCAAACGAUUGAUUGUUCUCAAGGUGAACAGUAGAGAAGAAUAUUCAUUAGCUUAAUUUUUUUUCAUAAAAAUUACCAUGAUUAAUAGAAAUAUAGGAUAAGUCAUCCAGGCUUACUGUCUUCAUGUGUGUCCAUCCAAUAAAAUCAGGUGUUGGAUAAGCACAUACUAAUGGUAGGAUUAAUUGAACCUAAAAAUGUCAACUCCCUAGACUUUAUUGUAUCAACAUCCAAAAUGACAAUUGCAGACCAAGGAGAAGCCCUAAGGGAAAUAUCAAGCUUUGGAGAAAGGUUGUCGUUGUCAAAAUUACCAUAUAAGAAAGUCACUCUUACAAGGUAUGUUUACCAUAUAAUAAACAUGAUUAUUUAAUACGGUUUGGAAUCUGAAAUGUGAUUGCUUGAAACCAUCACUCCUUAAGAGGUUUUAAUUACUUUACCGAAAACCAAAGAUUCACAUUCAACAGUCCUAAAUCUGUAGAAACCUAAAAAUAAUCUUGACCAAAUUUGCAUAAUCUAGGGUUUUGAAUUCACCUUAUGAGAAUUUUAGAUUCCGUUGAGAAUUUGCACCGACCUCAGACUACCCUUUUGAGUCUCUCUCUUUAUGUUGGGAUGUGAAGAACGUGCCUUGGCUACUAGUGUUUGGGAUUAGGGAUUCGGCGAAAAUGAGGUAAUGUAUUUUGUUAUAUAAUAGUGAUUUAUUAUUUAAAUGCAUGUUGUAUUAUAUGCUAAUUGUGCCGUAAAAGAAAAAGUGAAAAUUCAAUAAUUUAUUAUUAUCAUAUGAAUUGCAUAUAUAAUAUAUUGUUUUAUAUGGUAAUGUUACCAUAUAUAAUGAAGUAUUUUAUAUGUUAAUUUAUUGUUCAUAAUAAAUUGAAUGUUAUUAUAUUAAUAUAUUUUUAAGUUUAUUAAUUUUUUAAGCUUAUUUAAUUCUACUUAUUUUUUUAAUAUUAAAAAUAUUUUAUUUUGCAUAUCAUCCAAUAUUGAGUUGAGAAGUUGAGAUUGUUGUGUCUCGAGACCUUUCAAGUUAAUGACUAAUACCGUGACUUUGAACCAUGGUAGACACAGUUAUGCUGUUAAAAUCAUUAGAGAAGUCGAAUAGAAAGAGAAGUUGCAUUGUACAUAGAGAAAUUAAUUUUUCACAUAGAGAGAUAUCAAUAGAACUUGUGUAUACUGUAGUGAGAAAUGAGAGGAAAAAAUGAUUUUUGAGAUGAGCAUUGUUGGGUGUGAAAUUAGAGAAGCUUGGGAUAGAAACAGAAAUGGUGUGAGAGAAGCAACAUAAGCAUUAAAAAGUAUAUAUAUAUACCAAGUACUUCACCAUGUCUAUAAUGCUACCAUACACACAAUUCUCAAAUUAGUUGCCACUACAUAUCUCAAUGCCAAUUUUUCCACUAAAUUUUACCUCCAUCCAAUUCUUUGCACACAGAUGAAUUUAAGAUGCAACGAUACCAACAUGUUUGGACACAACUUAUGCUAACCUCUACUAAAGUUAUGUGAUUGUAUCCAACUUUUCUUCUAGUGAUAUUCAUUGAUUGAUGCAAUUAGCAAUGUGAUUUCCUUUCAAGUAAAGUGAUGUAAUUUUCUUUCCAUUAAAGCUUAUAUUUACUUGUAUAUAUUUUACCUAAACUGGCGAAUGGAAAUAAGUGAGAUCUUAUUUCCACCUAUCUUCUUAUGGGACCUCUCACUAUCGAGUUAACAGAGUAAUAAAAUCCUUUAUAACCACCUUAAAACUAAAAGCAAUGACACAAUAUCAGAAAAUUAGAUAAAGCUGUAGGACUCAUCCCUUGGAACAAAUAAAACCAAGCCAAAUAGCCUAUACCCUAACUUACAUAUGGAUAGCUUUCAUAAUAAGGGGCACAGGAACUCACUAGAAUACAACAUUCCUCACAAGCAUAGACUGAGUGGAACUUGGGCCAACAUUAUUACCUUAUGGUUUUAUUGAAUUCGUUUAAUUAUUGAACUUUUAUAAGUUUAAAUAUUUUAUUAACCAAUGUGAGAACUUGAACCUUCCACUUCAUUUAUUAGAAUUGACCCUUCUUCAUAUAGAAGAUUUUCCAAUUCUUCAACAUCUAACUCUGCUAGUUGAUCGUCAUCAACUACCCAAAAAUCGGUCUCAUCAAUGCAUGCAUAGUCAAUGGGAUCAUAGAUUCUUUUCUUGUUAUAGAACCUAAAAAAAAAAAGCAUAUAAUUAUUCAUAAUUGUGAAUAGAAGAAUUUAAAUUCAAAACAACUAAGAAAUCAUUUAUACCGAUUUUUUAAGCACAAAUUGUAAUGAACGUAUACAAGAUCAUUAAGCCUUUGAUGUUCCAAUCUAUUCCUUCUUUUGGUAUGUAUACGUUCAAAGACACUCCAAUUCCUCUCACAUCCAGAAGACGAUGCGGUUUGGCUCAAUAUUAGAAUGGCUAACUUUUGCAAAUGUGGUGCACUGUAUCCAUGUAGCCUCCACCAUUCAUCUAGUUACCAUUUCACAUUAAAAAUAAGAAAAAAAUAAAACACAUUAGCAAGUUUAAAAUAUUAAAUAGUAAGUAGGUAACCAAUAAAAAAGAAUAAACAUACUCAUAAAUGAAAAUAAUAUUUUACCAGGUUGAAGUACUUCACAUGAAGAAUAAGCAAGGUCUCUUCCAAAACUUCCCAAUUGAUCACGAAAUAACUUCAUUUCAUUCAUUGUUUCAAGCUUGCCUUUCAGAACUUUCUGAUCAAUAACAUCCAUGACACCUCCAAUAACAUUUGGCUUAUUACAAAAGUUUUCCUGAUCAUAUUGGAAACAUGGAUUCAACCAAUAAGCUGUUGAAUGAAUGCUUUUCUUUAGUUGUUGAUCCCAACGUUGCUUUAUGAUCUCUGUAUAAGGCUUGUAUAGUCUUUCGUUGUAGUUAAACAAUUUCUUAAUGCCCAAACGAACCCUAUACAUGUCUUCAUACACAUAUCCCAUCGAAGGCCUCUCAUCACAAUCAACAAUAUGCAAUAAGCGCAUUAGUGGAGACAUAAGAUUCACAACAAUCAAACAAUCAUUCCAAAAUCUAUUAUCCAAGAUUAUGGAAAUUGCAACUUUGCUUUUAUAAUCCUUUGAAUAUCUAAAGUCCACAAAAAACUUACUAGUCACCAAAGCUUGCAAGUCAUGUUUAUGAUUAUGAGGACUCUUGAGUGCAAUGAAUGUAGUAGCAAAGCGAGUUACACCAGGUCGCAAAAUCUCUAUCCAUCCUUCUCUUUUUCUUAACCAACUUAACAAAGCAACAUGAUUAUAAACAAAAAUUGUCACCUUUGAUGCACGUCUUACAAGUUCAGCAACAUGGUCCAUCUUACCAAUAUCCUUAAAGAUCAAAUUAAGACAAUGAGCUGCACAAAGUGACUAAUUAAUGUGUUUAUGCUUCUGAGAAAUCAAUCUCCCUGUGGCCACAUAAUUUGCUGCAUUAUCAGUGACUAUAUGAACUACAUUGAGUGGACCAACCCAUUCAAUCACCUCAUCAAAUAACUGAAACAAAUUAGUUGCAUCAUUGACAAUGUCCGAAGCAUCAACGGAUUUCACAAACGAUAUUCCUUUAGGAUAAUACACAAGGAAGUUGAUGAGUGUUCUUUGUCUAUUAUUUGUCCAACCAUCACCCAUUAUUGUACACCCAACUUUUGCCCAAAUUGCACGAUAAGAGUCCACAAGUAACUGAACUUCCUUCUUGGCAUCCUUUAAAAGAUUAACUCGUAGCUGAUGGUAAUUUGGACUCUUAUAUCCAGGACCAAUUGCAAAUAUAGCAUCCAACAUUGGCUUGAAGUAGAAGGAAUUCACUACAUUAAUAGGAAUGGAUGUAUCAUAAAAGAAUCUCCCAACCGCCAUAUCCGUUCUCCAAAUAGCUUAUUUCCCAACUAGUACACUUCUCAUGGAAGGUUGAGCUCCUUGAGUAUUUCUUGGUGCAAAAUACUUAUCCACUGUUGAUUUUUUCCUUUUUCCACUAUUAGCUGCCAUAGGACUUUGCAUUUCUUGAACCUCUUCUUCACCUUCUGCCAUAUCCCCUUCAAAUUGUGACAUAUUAGGACCAUAAGGAUUUCUACAUUCAUAUGCUUCUUGGGUUGCUUUCUUAGAAUUCCCAAACUCUUGCAAAGAAUUUUUCCAUUCGAAAUAUUACAUCAGGAGGAACCGAUUUACAUGGACCAAUAUCUCAUUUCACUCCAGCAAGAUGUUGUUUCAUUCUAUAAAUACCCCCACCUUUUGUAAUCUUUUUACAAUACAAACAAAUAAGAGCUUUCCUUCCAUUUGCAUAUCUUUCUUCAGAAACAUGCUCCCAUGCAAGAUCGGUCUUACUUCUAGUUGAUUGAGAAUUGGUAGUUGAAUCUUGACCAAAGGAUGGAGUCAUGUUUGAUUCCAUUUUUUAUUUCUUUAUCAACUUAGAAACAAAAAUCUCACAUUAAUGUAGAGAAUGGAAGUCAUCAACAAUUUAAUGAUUUAUAAUCAAGUCAUCAACAAUUUAUAACAAUCACAUAUCAAUGGGUAAAUUUAUCUAAAAGAAUAAUGGUCAUUAUAACAAGCAUGUUUUGAUCCAAUUAUAAAUUUAUCUAAAUUCUAAAGUAAUUUUGUAGAGAUAUAUUGAUGGGAUACAAGGAGCAAACCAUGAGAAUCACGUGCUUGGGCAUUCAUUAAAGUUUGAAAUAUUAAUGAAAUCACAUGCCACUAUGAAUGGAUGAAUCUCACCAUUCAAUUGUCUUAUACUCCUAUGCUUUCUAACAUUUGGAUGGCGACUCCUCUUUAUUUCUUCUUGGCUCAGGUCUCAACCACCCCCACCAUUCCUCUGUUCAACGUUCCACCCAUUCAAUUUCAACCCACUUUAACAAAUGUACAUAUGUUUUCCGCUUUGAGACAAAAUCAAAGCCAUAUAAUUCAACACCCCUCAAACUCCUAACUAGUCACUCCAUGCUUUCAUUUUGGCUUCACACAGAGACUUUAAGAACAUAAAUUAUAGACACACACCUAUUUUUACUUAUCAAUGCAUUAUUUAGUAAGAGGUUUAAGGCUAAUUAACCAUGCAAGGGCACAUGGUUAGACCUAGAAUAGUGAGAGGAAGUGACUGUGGAUGAAUUGAAGGUGGCUUUGGGUAUAAAAGCUAAGGAGGCCAAAGGGAAAACUCACUGGGCAAACUCCAACGUCGGGGCGGGCUACCAGCUGGGAGAGGGGGGGAGCUUUCCAACGUUAGCGAUACCUGUGUGGGUGUCGUGAGCCGCCUGCGGGACCUGUGUGGGUGUCGCAGGUCGUCGGCGGGAUCUGUCUUGGUGUUGCGACAGGGAUGCGUCGACAACGGGCGGAGGAGAGGGGAGGAGCUUUCCAACGCUGGCGAUACCUGUGUAGGUGUCGUGGGCCGCAGGCGGGACCUGUGUGGGUAUCGCAGGCCAUCAGCAGGAUCUGUUUUGGUGUCACAGCUGGGAAGCGUUGACGGCGACAGAGGAGGAAGGGUUGGAGGUUGUAGCCUGUAGAUUUUGAGAUUUUCAUUUUGUUAUAUAGGACUCCAAAACGGCGUCAUUUUGAUGUUGUUUUUUUUAAAAAAUAAAUUAAAAUCAAUUGAACUGGCUGGUUCGUCCAGUUCACCGGUUGGACCGUCGGUUCAGCAGUCCAACCUCGGUUCGAUCCCCAUCCGGUCCAAAUGACCAAAUCGGACCGGAACGGUGACCGGUCGAUGGUCGGACCAGCCGGUCAGGUCCGAUUUUUAAAACAUUCGAAAUAACAACUCCUGAAUUAUUUUUGCAACCAAUUCCCUCCCAUUGACAACAAUUGCCUCCUCUCCAAGAUGAAAGCCGAUUUUUAAAACCUUUGAGACCAUUUUUGAAGUCAAUAAGAGCAUCUUUAUUUUCCCUUAAGCAAUUUCCCAAAAGAAUUUCAUCUUUACAAGUGAAUACUCUUGUUGUUAAACAUAGAAUGAUUGAAAGGAAACUAAGAAUUGAAAAUUUCUCCAUCUGAGAACACCUGUAGAAACAAGUAACAAUAAGUUCCAACACAACAAUAAAAAUAGUGACAAAAUUCGAUAAGCAACGGCAUCAUGAUAUUAGACAAUAAAUAACAUAUUUAAUUUAACUACUCAUUAGUUUAAUAAGAUAAAAAAUGUUAAGUGAACAACAUAGUUGAAGACAUAUCAAGAAAACAUUAUUGUGACUAUCUCACCAAAUGGCAAAUAUGCUCAAUGAUUGCUAUGGAUCAAAACAUUCAAACUACAUAAAUCAACCACAGGGGAAAAAAAAGGCAUUAGGAAUAAACACUAGGAAUAGUGGCAUUAUUACUCAUGAAGUAGGAUUUUACCUAUUAUCUCUUUUUAGGUUGUCCUCAAUCCUUUCGUUGAAGAGAAAUAUAUAGAAGAUAAUUCAAAAAGAAGCCAAGUGGAUGAUAGUGAUGUGGACCUCGCAUUUUUAAUGAUGCGUUCCCACUCGAUCGGCGAGACUCACUUUUCAUUAUUUGGGUGAAAAAUAUGUUUCUCAGAAAAGACUUGGAGUCGCCACUUACUUUUAUUUAUUUUUAAAGGGGAAAACAAGUAAGAACAAAACCCCUGGAUGGACUCCUGAUUUUGUUUUUGGAAAAGCUGUCUGCGAAAAAAACCUAAGUCUGGGUCCGGGGAUCAGGUUACUUAUUGGGAAGGUACGAUAAAGACCGUAGCACCCCUCUAAGCCCCUAAAAAAGGGUCUCUACUAAAUAAGGUGAAGCAAACAUGGCAAUUAACUAGGAGAUCAAUGGAUACCAAAAUGAUCAUAGUUCAAAAAUAAAGUCAUGAUAACGAAAUAAUAAACAAAGUGAGAGUGAGAGUGUACCUUAUUAGCAGGUAAUAAAGCGCUGUCAUGAAAACAAGGUUAGUGUACAAUGACAAGUGUAAAAACAAUCUCAUACAGAACUAAAUUAAAAUCAAACAGAAUGGAGAGCACAACUUACUUGAAUUAUUUUCGAAGAAAAUGUUAUGAAUGUCGGGCCCCCACCAAAGCCCAAUUUAUUUUUGCUAUGAAUUAAUUCUCAUAAAUUCCAUUAUUUUGGAAUUAUGAAAACUUAUUCAUUUCUAAAUAAAAAAAAUUUGAAAAAAGGAAUUUUGAAAAUUAAAUUUGAAAUUUCGGAAGUGUGGAAUUUUAUUUUAUAAAAAAAUGAGUUUGAAAAUUUUGGAAAUCUCUUUGAGAAUGGUAUUUCAAAAUAAAUAAAUAAAAAAAUAAUUUAAAAUAAAAUUAAAUAAAAAAAACGAAUAAAUAAAUAAAUUUUGAAUUUUGGAAAAUGGAAAUUUUGAGAAUGGAAUUUUGAAAAAUUAAAUUAAAAAAAAUUGAAAAUUUGGAAGGAUUAUUUUUUAAAAAUGAAAUUUCGGAAAAUUAAAUUUUAAAAAUUGGAAAUUUGGAAAAUUGGGACUUCGAGAAUGGAAUUUCGGAAAAUUAAACUUAAAAAAUGAAAUUUUGGAAAAUUAUUUCAAAAAUAGAAAUUUUUGGAAAAUUGGAAUUUUUGAAAAUCGAAACGUGAAGAUCAACGUUUUGAAAAUUAUAUUUUUUGAUGUAUGAGAAUAAAAAUAAAAAAAUAAUAAAUAAAAAGAUGGUACGUAGUCGGUGGGACUCGCAUCCCGAAAGUGGCCAUGCAAAGCGUGGUCCUGGGAUGGAAUAUCUUAUAACAUAAUAAUAAUAAUAAUAAUAAUAAUAAUAAUAAUAAUAAUAAUAAAACAAUCUCAACCUCACAUACUUUAAUACUAUUUACACAUGAAAUAUUGAAAACUAACAACUGAAUAUCAGAACAUGAUAAAAUUAAUUAAGGGAAACUAACCCUAAAAUUAUUAAGAGUAUAUACUAACAUGAAACAAUAAAAUAAAUUGACAACUAGGAAUAUUAAAAACCUAAAUUAAUGAGGAACGACCAAACUAAUGCUAGAGAUAAUAAAAAAAAAAAAACAUGAACUAAUUUAGGUUCAAUAAGAAUGCAUAAUUGGAAAAUAAUAAAAACUAACGUCUAAGGAUAUUUAAAUCCCAAACUAAUAAGAGGUAAAUAAAUACUAAAACCUUAAUAUUUAAAGAAAACUAUUGAACAAUAAUGGAUCAACCGAAAUAUCAAUUAAUCAUUCAAAGAGCAAUAUAUGUCAACAUGGAUCAGUUCAACCAAAGACUAAAAAUUCAAGAAGCAAUAUAUACUAACAUGAGUUAUUAAAAUCAACAAUUAAAAACUCCUAGGUAUAUACAAAUUAUCAUAGGCCAUCAAAUUAAAAAACUAAAAAUUCAAAGGACUACAAAGAAUUAACAUGGGUCAACCAAAAUAACAAUUCAUAAUUUUAAUGACAAUGUAAAUUAAUAUAGAUUGACAAAAAAUAAGAAUAAAAAUUUAAUGAGCAAUAUAAAUUAACAUAGAUAUUUAAAAAAAUUAACAACAAAUGAUUUUAUGAAAAUGAAGAAAAAUAAUAAUAAUAAUAACAAUAAAUAAACAAACAAAAUUUCAUGAAUAUUAUAAAGCUACAUAGAUAUUAGUUUUCAUUUUGUUUCAUUUUAAAUUUAUAACAAUGUAAACCAAUAACAUAUGAUCCACCAUAUUCACUUGAAUUUUUAAUUCAAUGAAACAAACCACUAACAUGAAACAUCUCAUGGCCGGCCAUUAAUCUUACUUUGAGUUUUUUAUAUUAAAAAAAAAAAACAAUGCUCAAGCUUCCACUAUUAUUCGAAAUUAGCCAAAAUUAAGAAAAAAAUAAAAAUAAAAUCCUAUUAUUUAAUAAAAUCUAAUUUUCCAUUAUUAUUAAAAUUGAUCAAAACUAAAUUUAUUUUUUUUAAAAAAAAAUUCCAAUUUUCUACUAUUAUUCAAAAUUUGACCAAAACUAAAAUUAAUUAAAAGAGAAAAUUUAUGAGGAAUAAAACAAAAAUUCUUAUGCCGUGAGAUCAAACCGAACACUUAAAAUAAAAUGAUAAACACGCAAUAGCUUAGAACCUAAAAUACAAGAGCCUAUAAAAAUAAUAAACAUUCAUGCAUAUUAUAAUACAAGUCCACACGCAAUGCUAUAUCCACUAUGCAUCAACAAUUCUUUAAACAAUAAAAGUUAGUGGACUUUGAAUGUCAUGAAAUCCCAUAAUAAUUAAUAAACAUUGACAAUGGUCAUUUGACACAUGCUGGAAAACUUUCUUGUGCCUGUUGCCAAAAAAAACUUUAAAACAAGGAUUUUAAAAACACUAUUUGGGCCAGAAAAGUGAAUAAAAUAUAUGGUUUAAUAGUUUUUUUCCUUUCUUUCUUUUUGUUUCCUUUUGACUUUAACAGAGGAGCAAAGUGAAUGGACUGCAUAGAGACGAGCUCUUGCAUGCACUGGUACUCCUCAACCACAGAAGACAAACACCAAUUCUGCAAUUUUCUCAAACAACCCACAAGACAGCCUGUCCGGUGCUUUCCGCGUUUGCACCACAAUAAAACAAUGCCCUUAUUUUCCCUGCCUUAAGAGUAAAGCUUGAAACUGCAGGGAAAAUCACUUCUAAAAACUCUCAAAUUUCCCGCUCCAAUGACAAUGCAAGGAGCAGAAGUUUGCGUUCCGAAACCAAGAAAAAAAACCCCCUAAUUUCCUCUGCGUUUCUCAGCAAAACUCGGUUUGACGCGCAUAGAACUUGAAAUCUACAGAGACACAGUGGAAAAAUCGCCCUGCAACACUCUCGAAUUUCCUAUUCUAACCGCAAUGCAAGAUAGAAAAGCAUGCGUUUGGAAACCAAGGAAAAUAACACCCUGGUUUUCUCUGCGAUUCUCGGGGAAAAAAAUCUAGAAUUUGACGCGUGUACGCAGAGCAUUAAAAAGAGAGAAUGAAAAUUGCAGAGAAAUAGAGUCACACUAGCACCGAGCCAGUCCUCAAGAAUGGCAGUGAGAUCAGCAACAACUAAAUAUAAAAAAUAAUCCAUAAAUCAACAAAGUUCAGCAUGUAACCCAUCUUACCCGCACCCAAAUCAACAAGCAAUGCAAAGCAAAUAAAUGAGAAAAAGAGGACAAGUAUAUUAAUCAAAGUAAGCAAGAAAACUCACAAUCAGCUUACCUACGGCCGCUCCUUUCCUUUGUUAUGCUUUCUCCUAUCCUUCGUUUUUUCUGCUGGUUUUCCUGUCUUCUCUUCCUCUGCAACUCAUUCCUUUUCGAAUCUGUACCUCUUCCCAACCUCCCGACCUUCUCCUCUCAGACCUCCUUCUUUUUUUUUCCUCAGUCUCCCUUUUAUAUCCUCCCUUGAAAACCCCUCAUUUUCAUCUAGAAAAUGGCCCCUGCCUCUUUCCCAUGCAGACUCCUCGAAAACCUCAUUUUUCAGCCGAUUCGUUUCUUCCUCUUCAAGACUUCCUUUCUCUCCAAUUUCCCACAGCCUCUUCGGGAAAUACCCUCCACUUUUUCUUUCUCUUCAAGAAAAAUCCCUUUUUCUACCCUUCCUCUCUUUGUUUUAAAAAUAACAACUUUUUUUAAUCCCCAUGAUUCUUGCUGGCUUUUGACUUUUAAUUUUUUCCAAUAGAAUAUCUUUUUUUUCCUUCUUCUUCUUCUUCUUAUGUAGUCCACCGACUCUCCUUUUCCAUUAUUUAUUUAUUUUUUAUAUAAUAAAAACAAAGUAUAUAAGGCAAUAAAAAAAAAACAUAAUACAAUAAAAAAAAAUGAAAAUAAAAUGACAUAGUAAAAGCAUAAUAUAACUAAAUAAUAAUGGUACUAAGAAUAACAAAGGUGAUGAUAAAAAAAUAAUAAUAAUAAUGAUUAUAAUAAUAAUAAUAAUAAUAAUAUUGAUAAUAAUAAAGACAACUUAUAAUACUGGUACUAAUGAUAAUAUAAGAUCCCUAGUCACUUACGAUUUUCUGAAAAUAAAUAAGUGGAUCAAUGAACAAAUAAAGCAGGAAAAAUAAAUAAAUACCACACGCACAUAACAAUAAUCUAAAUAUUAAACUAAAACACAAAUGAAAAAACUAAAAAUAAAUAAAUAAAUAAAUAAAUAAAAAGAUAAAAUGAAAAUAAAAAUAGAACAUCAAGCUGAUACAAUUAAACAUCGAAAACUCAUCUCAAGCAACCCAAAUAAAAUAAUAAAGAAAUAUCAAGCUGAAUACUCACCUAGUCUCAAAAAUUCAUCAAUCAAGAAACUAAUCUUAAAUAAUUAAGCUUAAAAUAAUAAUAAUAAUAAUAAUAAUAAAAUAAAAAAUAAAAUAAUAAUAAUAAUAAUAAAAUAAAAAAAAUAAAAAAAAAUAAAAAAAAUCCAAGUGACCUGGGUGACCUAAGUGGAAAGUGUCAAGGUGAAUUAGGUGGAAACUAAACCAAGGAGGUGUCCAAGUGAUAAAAAAACAUGCUAAGUGACUUAGGAGUGUACCUACCGGGCCAGGUGUAUCUAAAUGGGCCUAGGGUGCAAAAGUGGGCCUAAGGUGGUGCCCAAUGGGUCAUCAGAGAAUUAUUAUAAAGUAUCAAACGGACACGUAAUAGAACAUGUGCUAGUAGGACAAAAUAGAGGGUCUACAAGUGAUAGUCAAUCCCUUCUUUAAUUUUAGCUAUAUUUUCAAAAUUAGAUUGGACAAAUGGGUCAAUUGUCAACCAAUCCCUUUUGGUUUGGGUGGCCUUUUUUUUGACCAUUUUGGGCUUAAAUAGGUUUAAAACUGGCAAUUACUACUUGAUUAUGAAUUAAUAUUACUUUUAAACUUGAUCCUUGAAAUUUCCAAUACUUCAACAUUUCACUUCAUUAAUAGCCUAAAUAAAUUAUAAAAAAAACAAAAAAAAAACAUCGAUAAAAUUUAAUCACUUAACAAGAUUUGUAAGUCCAAAAUUUUGAUACCAUGUUAUAAGGUAAUAAUUUAGCAUGAUAAUAUAUAUUACCAAACAUUUGGUUUAAUAAGAAUAAACCUAAUCUAAAUUCUCAUAACUAUUUAUUGGGUUGCUACUAUAUAUCAAGAAAAAUCUCAUCAUUAACUAUGCUUUUUAAAAUUAUCUUCUAAGGAAAAAGACUUAAGUUAUUAUCUCUUUAAUAUUUUUGGAAAGGAAAAGGACUCAAUCUAUCAUUUUGGUCCAUAACUUUGACUUUGUGCCUUAUCCACUUGUCCCUUUGAGCAUGACUUUGUUACUGUUGGCAGAUCAGAGGGUUGGUCGCGUCCAUCAACUCCCCUUGUGUUCACCGUGGGCGCUUGGGUGAAUGCACUAUAAGGUUAGGGUAUGCGCCUUUCCUAACAAUAAUUGCUUUUAGGAGAGUUGGUAGCGCCUAAGGUCCUACAAGUGGUAUCAGAGCCGAGGUCACUGGUUCGAACCCCAGGGGUGUCGUUGGGAGGGAGAUUGUUGGCAGAUCGGAGGGUUGACCGCAUCCAUCAACUCCCCUUGUGUUCGCCGUGGGCACUUGGGUGAAUGCACUAUAAGGUUAGGGUAUGCGCCUUUCCUAACAACAAUUGCUUUUAGGAGAGUUGGUAGCACCUGGGGUCCUACAGUUACUACUUAGCUCAUCAAACACAUAGAAAGUUGUAGAGAAAAGUUACAAAGAGUCAUGAAACCACUCUAUCCCCAAAUCAAAAGGAUUUUUUGAAUGAUAUGAGGAACAGAGACAAAAACUCCCACUAUCAUCCAUUAAGUAAUAUAUAAAGGUGUUUUUCAAUAGAUUUCAUGUACAACUACCUCCAAGUAAGUAUGAAGAUAUUACAAAAUAUACACAAGGGAGUUGAUAAGGUAUAAAAAGUUUGUCUCCAAACUCAAUCCAUGACUUAGAUUAUCUAUCCAACUUAUAAUUUACUCAAGUCAUGUGCAAUUCAAGUAGUGCAAAUCAAAAUGCUCAAAUGCAAAUAAGGAUAUAGUGGAAACUAACUUUGUUACACUAUUCCUUACUUUUAAGGGUUCUAUCCAAUAAUUCCAAUUCAUUUCACUUUUUUUCCUCAUCUAUAUAAAUCUCCAAUGAUUAAAAAAUGUAUAAAUUUUUAAAUAAAUUUAAUUGUAAUUGAUUUUAUUUUAUAUUUUUCAUGGUAAACCAAACACCAAAAAAUCAUUUCACUUUUGUUUAAAAAAUAUUUUGAAGAGGGAAGAAGGGGGAUAAAAGGAAAAAAGAAAUUAAAAUAAAAUAAAAUGAUAACAAUAAUAAUAAAUAACAAUACGUGUAUUGAAGUUUUAAAUUUUGUUUAAAAAAUAUUUAUAUUUUUUUUAUAUAUAUUAAAUUGAUCUCAAAUGCAUAUCGUAGAGAGUAGUUUUCAUAAAAAUAUUUAAAGUGAGGGUUCUUUGUUUGUUUGUUUUAUUUUUACUCAAAUUUUAAAACAAGUUAUUUUAUUUAGAACUACUUUUUUAACUUAUCAUAUUUUUUAAGACAAUUUUAAAUUUUUUUUUUAUAUUCUUUUAUGGUAAGAUAUGUAUAUCAUAAGAUAUCAUAUCUCAUUGGAUAAAAAGUACAUGUUUUAAAACAUAUAAUUUCCAAUGAGAUAUAUUAUUCUUGAAUAUACAUAUUUUAUGAACAUAAUAUUGUACGAUAGCAUAUCCAAUGAGAUAUGGUAUUUAAUUUUUGAAAUGAUUAAAAAAGGUAAUAUGAAAUAUAUAUUACUUUCAAUAUUUAAAAUAAAAAUUAUAUCACAUCCAAUAUUUUUUUAUUUUAAAAAAUGAAAUUUCUCUUAUAUUUAGUAAUAUUUGUGAUUAAAAUAUUUUAAAUUUAUAAGUAAUUUUUUUAUUAUGUUAUUAAAUAUAUAAAAAUAAUUCAUAUAUUAUAUAUGAUUAUUAUUUUAUAAAUAUUUUUUAAAAAAUCCUUUUUUAACCAUAAAUUUAAUUUAUAAAAAAAAUUAUUUUGUGAAAUAAGUAUAUAAAAAAAUAAAAAAAUAAAUUUAUCAUAUAUAAGAUAUGCAUAUCAUAUAUCUUAGUAUGAGAUUAAUAUAUUUCAUGUAGAAUUGAAUAAAAGAAAAAAGUGAAUAAUAUAUCUCCCCACUUAUCUUAUCUCAUGUUUGGAUAAGAUAAAUGAUGAAAUAACUUAUCUUAUAAAAGAUCAAUCAAACAUGUUAUAAUAUUUUAUUUUUUAUCCUAUUUGAUGUUAUAUCCGGCCAACCAAACACGACUUUAUUUUCAUUUUUUUUUUCAAUUCUAAACUUUAAUACUGUGAUCAAACUUUUUAUACAAAAUUAAACUAAAUCUAUUUUUGAAAGUUUUAGAUAACUUCUUUUUUUUUUUUUUUUUGAAACUAGUUAAACUACCUUAAUGUAAUAUAAUUUGAAUAAAGAAAUGAAUUAAACAACAUAUAUAAGAAUGAACUAAACUUUUUUUUUUUUUUUUUUUUUUAUGAGUCAAGUGUUUGCUUUAAACUUUUUUUUAGAAUCAAGUUGUUUAAUCCUCUUAUGCAAAACCCAUUUCUUACUCAAUUAUAAGGAACAAUAUGAAAUAAUAAAAUAAGAAUAACCUGCAAAUAAUAAAAUAAGAAUUAACUAUUUUUUUUUUCUUGGGUCAAGUUUUUUACUUUAUUUAAGACAGUUUUUGUUUUAAACUUUGCUUUUACACUCAAUUUGAGUUGAGCUCAAACCAAGGUUUGAAUAAUCCGGUAUAAUCCAAACUUGAUUUAAUAUUUUUUGAUAUUUAUAAUGCAUUUAUGUUAUAUUCAUUUUCUUUUCAUAUUUUUUUAAAAAAUAUUAAAUUAUAUUAUUUCAUAUACUUUUUCAUUUUUUUAGAAAUAUGUACAAAUUUAUUUUUUACUUUUUUUUUGCUAUAUUGAAACUUUUUUUUUUUUAAUUUACUAAUUAAAUUUUCAUAUAAAUAUAUAAAAAAAAAAUGUAAAACAUUAUCAUGGAUUUUGAAUUAUGCAAUUCCAUCAACUUGUUUAUAUAUAUGAAUAUAAGGUAGCAAACCAAUCAAAUAAAUCCUCUAAACAAUCACAAACCCCAAAGAAAAUCCAACAAAAAUAGAAGAAGAAGAAAGAAACCUAGCUAAGUGCUGGAGACAAAGGAAAAAAAUCAUAAGUAUAUUUCAAAUUAAAAGAACUAUUAAUAUUAAUAUUAUUUUGUAGAGAAUCGUAUUAUGUUUUAAUGGGAAGAGUGAAGAGAAAAGGGCUGGGUUCCUUGGCCCAGAAAACCCUUGCAAGCUUAUGACCUGGGUUGGGUUUCAAAAUUGGGCCUUCAUGAAGGAUUCAGCACAGAAGGUUUUGGGCUCACCGAUGAUGCGGGUGUAAGAUAAAUCAUAAUUAAUGUAUGAUUAUUGAUUUAUUUUAUUUUUUUAAGCAAGUUCAAAAUCAUUGAAUUGGAUAGAAAUUUGCUAGCCCCGUUUGGAUUAACAUAAAAUGCUAGGAAAAAUAAAAGUUAGGAAAUAAAUUUAAAUUUUUAAAUUGGAUUUUUCAUGAAAAAUGUGAAAUAAAAUAAAAUGGAAAAUACGAUAAAAUUUAUAAAAAUUUUCAAAGUCUUCUUUCCAUUUUAUAAAAGAGAAAUAAAUUUGAAGAUUUGUUUUAUAGCUCUAAAUGUAAAAAGGGAAUAGAGGUGUUGAAAUGGUAAUAAUAAAAACCUACAAAAGUUUUCAAUAAAGUAAUUUUUUCUAUACCACUGACUUUAAAAAAAUAAUAAGAAGAAAUAUUUGGAACUAAAAUAAAAAAUAUAUAUAUAUUUCCAAUUUUAAAGGUUUAUUUUCAAAUUUGAUAAAUAUAUUUUCAAAGUUUUGCUGCUUUUAAUAUUUUAUUUCUUUAGUAAUAAACAAUUUUUAUGAGAAAACUUGUACAAAGCAAGAAUAAAAAUAUAAAAAAUUUACAAAAUAUUGGUAGUUGGAUUUUAUGAAGAUUUCGAAAAAUAUUAUAUAAAAAAUCCUAAAUAAUUCUGAUGUGAUCAAAAUUGGCCACAACCCAUAACAAGAAAGGAAAAUCCUCAAUUUUCUUUUCAAUCCUAAACUUCAUAUACUCGAAUCGAAUUUUUCAUACAAAGUUAAACUAAAUAUAUUUUUGGAAAUUUUAAUUAACUCUUGUUUUAGAAACCAGUUAAACUACCUUCAUGUAGUACAAUUUAAAUAAAAAAAUGAAUUUACCAUAAAUUAAUGAAACUAUCUUCUCAAAAAUUUAAUAUGACUAAAAUAAAUUUUGUUUUUAUCUAUUUUCUCACUUUUUUUUCAAGAAAAUUUAGAUCUAAAACUUUCCCAUGAAAUGAUAACUCAAAAACCACACCAACAAUAUAAAAGUGGAAUCAAUAUAUAUAAAAUAAAUCCACAAAUUUCAAAAUCAUAAAACCAAAAUUCUAUGUUUUUUAAUAAAAUUUUACCUUAACGAAAUAGUGAUUUUUUUUUUUUUUUGCCUUAAUAACAAAGUUAUUUUUUUAUACAAAAAUAAACUAAAUUUGUUUUUGAAAAUUUUAGAUCACUCUCGUAUAAAAAACUAGUUAAACUACUUCAAUAUUAUACAACUUGAAUAAAUGUGUAUACAAGUGCAUAUAUAUUGUAAAUAUAAAGGAAAAAACGCAAUAUACAACAAAUUUCAUGAAAGAUAGUAGGAUUUAAAGAAUUAAAAUAUGUCAUACCAUAUGAAAACAUUGAAUGCUAGAUUUUUAAAAAGUUCAAUUUAACAAAAUAUAAGUUUAAUAUAAAAUUUCAUCACAAAAUCCAUAAAAACAAACUUCUUAGAAUUUUACAUUUAGGUUUUAGUUCCAAAUUCUACCUAGGCAUAAGUACUUAUAUGUGUUGUUGAUAUAAAUGUCUCUUUGUGCCAUCUCCAAAGUUCCAACUUUUCAUGUUCGUCAUUAUCUCUUCCUCGCCUAAAAAAACCCUAAUAAAUUAAGUAAAAAUUUUUUAUUCACUAAUUACCAUCAUUUUCAUUGUCAAUAUCAAAACCAUCGAAAUGGAAAUUCUCUGAUAUUCAUUAUAAGAAUAAAUUUAUUUAACUUCCACUUUGGCCUUUGACAACAUGAAUAUAGCUUUCAUGUAGGAUUAUCUUUACUCUUUCUCCUAUUAUGAUCAAUUUCUAACCAUUUUGUAUAUAUUUCCUUUAACAAAAUACUUUUGCUAAAAAUUAUGAAAAAUAGCUAAAAGUGUAAAUAUCAUUUUAUCAAGCAUUGGAUGAUGUAUCAUAUAUGUUUCAUAAGAUACACUUAAAAUAAGAUAGGGGUUGCUAAGCGCCUCGUAUCAUGUAUCCUAAGUUUUUAACAACUAUGAUCUAGAUAAAGUUUGAUCCAUAUGCUGAAUGGUGAAGUCAAUGUAAAUAUAACAAAUACAAGAACAUUGAUGCCAAAGGUGACCUCUGAAAUGAAAUACUCACGGGUGGAUAGCAUCAGGAGCACGCCUUGAGCUACUCAGACCAUAUGCAAGAAGAGCCUACAUUGUGAAUAUGUAUUAGUUUCUCUGCAUUCAAUAACUACAAAAUCAACACAAAUGUAAAACAAGAGUAAAAGAUAAGAAUGUCAGGAAGAUGAACAAUCAGACUAACAGGAGUACCUGAUUUGCAAAAUCUGCGGCUGAGUGCACAACUUCAGCCAACAUAACAUGGCUAGAGGUUGUUAACCAGACCCCAAACUUGAGAGAAAAGACGAGGAAGUUACACCAUAAUGCAGUUCUGACUGCUCGUUGGCUAGAAUAAACAUGUUAGGCAGACACAAAAGAAAACAAAAAAGGUCAGAUGGUGAAAAGUGGGAGCUAAAUUUCUGGUCCCUAAUUGCAAAAAAGGCUCAAAAUUCUUGAUAGGUUUGGAUUCAGUGCAGUUCAUUAAUAUGCAGCUUGGAUUGACGUCAUCCACAAUCACUCCACUUCCUAAGAAAGUCACCCAUAAAAUCACACUAGAGGAGAGAAUCAAGAAACAAAGGAAUCAAAAGAACGAAAAGCUUUCUCUUUCAUGACUGCUUGCAUCAACUAGUUAAUUUACUCUUUUCUUGUAUUAAAUCAAAGAUAAUGUUACAGAAGAUUAAGAAUUUCCAAAACCAUAAAUAUACACACUCCUAAAGGUUUUGUAGCCUAUUUCUGUGAACUGGGACAUUCCAACUAACCCCAUUUUCAUUUUCGGGUUGCUAUAAAAUAGUGCCCCAAAAUAAAACAUUCCCAUAAAUCUUGCCUUACUUUCCCAAAACCAAAAUACAUGUACUCCGACUCUUAUUUGCAAGUCAACCACACAAAUGCUCACAUGAUCAAUCAACAAACCAACUUACAGCCCCAAAAAUGGCCAGAAAACAACUCAAUUUACCUGUCCUAUAGUAAGCCCUUAACAUAUUCAUUAUACUAAUUGUAUUUUUAUUAUAAUAUUAUAAAUCAAUAUCAAUUUUAACUUAGUUUUAUGUUGUUUGGUUGUGAAUGAGAAAUUUGCCCGAAAGAAAAUUAAAUUUAUUAGGCAUGACCUAAAAACAAAGAAUAAAAUCCAUUUUAUCCCCUCAACCUUUUGUGUCUCAUACACUUUGUCCCACAUUCAAAAUCCAACACCCUUCAAACUUCUUAAUGGGUAGCACUCAACUUUUUUUUUUUUGGAUAAUUUUUAUUUUCAUUAAAUGGAUGUGCUCCACAUGUGAUGCAAUAAGAGGGUAAAAAUGUCAUUUAAAAGAUAUCCAUGGCCCUAUAAUCUAUUCCUUCAUUUUUCUUUCUUUGAAAACCUUGAAAUCCUCAAGUCUAAAAAAAACACACCUCCUUUUAAUCGAUCUUCCUAUUAUGCUAAGACAAUGAGUCUAGUACAUUAUAUGUUGGCAAUUUUGUUUCAAUAUAUUCUGGCUUAUGAAAAUUUUUAAAUAGUGACUUACUCUUCAUUGAAGAUUCAAGGUUGUUGUUGGUUAAACCAUAAAUCUACAUGUAAGUUUAAAAAUGUUUAUUUAGUGGCAAGUUAAAUGAUUAAAGGGUUAAAGUGGAUUGAUAUUUUUUUUAUAAGCUAAAAAUACUUGAAUUAAUGUUUUGGAAAAAACAAGAGACACUCGAGCAGUGGAACCAACACUCAAGUUCACAAGGCGUUCGAGCGAUGGUUAAGUGCAUUCAAGUGGUUGUCCCAAAUCUGCUAGAAUAUGGUAGAUUUCUUUUCGAAAUUUUAUAAGUAUUCUUUUUUGGAAAUUCUAUAUAUCGAUCCCUUAGGCCUGUAGGCCUAUAUAAACCCUCUAUUAACCCCUUUUAGGGUUAGACACCUUGAAAGAGUUGACCAACUUAACCUAUCAUUCCUAAUCUUUCAAGAAAAAAUUCAUAAUAUUGAAUUUCGGGUUGUUGGAAGAACUUGCAUCCCCUUAGAGGUUGAGAAGAAUCUACUAGAGCAUUAGAGGCGUUAUGUUGUGGAUGUGGAUCAAGGUAUAGGUGCUAGAGAAUAAGUUUUUAAGGUAAAAUGGUCAAGUAAAUCUAUGUACUUUGAUCUGAAAUAGUGGAUUGUAUAUUAAAGGUCUUAGACCUCAUGGUUUUUAUUUCGACAGUUAGUGUUAGGUUUUUCCACAUAAAAAUUAUUAUGUCUCUUGUUUGAUAUUUGAUUACUUUGAUUAUCCCUAAUAUCUUCAAGUUUUAUUUUGGGUUAAUUUUUCAUCGCUUAUAUUGUAUUAUUUAAAAACACCUAUUCCCUCCUCUCCCAUCUCAGGUGUUAUCCUAUUGGACAAAAGGUUUUUCAAUUGGUAUUAAAACAAGCUUUUCUAAAUAAAAACCAUAUUUUUAUUGAUCUUGCAAGUCCAAUAUGGAACAACCAAGGUCUGAAGCUCCCCUAAAUAGUCCACCCUAUUUCGAUGGGAGUAAUUAUCCCAACUAAAAGGCUUGAAUGAUUUUUUGAAAAUGCAAGGAGAAAAGGUCUAGAAUGCAACGAAAUAUGGAUGAAGACUUCAUUGAAACUAGAUGUGAAUGGGAAAUCUAUUGAUGAAUUAAAACCCAAAAAAGAAUGGCAUAAAUUAGAUAAUGAAGAAAGUGAUGCCAAUGCUCAGGUUCUCUUUAGCAUAUUCAAUAAGGUAAGUCAUAAUGAGUUUUGCAAGAUAGCCACUUGUAAAGAUGCUAAAAAAGCCUAGGACAUUCUCCAGGUUACUCAUGAAGGCACUUUAGUUGUGAGGUUGGCUAAAUUGCAAAUGUUAACCUUCAAGUUUGAAAGCAUUAAAAUGCAAGAGAAUCAAACUUUCUUUGCAUUCUAUGCUGAAUUAAGUGACAUUGUGAACUUCUUUUUUUAACUUAAGAGAACAAAUCCCUGACUUUAAAAUAAGUAGAAAAAUCCUGAGAUCCCUUCCUAAAAGGUUUAGACCUAAGGUCACCACAAUAGAGGAAAACAAGGAUACUUACUCUAUGAGGGUUGAUGAACUUGUUGGUUUUUUUCAAAUCUAUGAAAUGACCUUUCUAAACUCUCACAAGCCUAAAGAUUCUACUUUUAAGGAUAAUGAAAUUGAAGAAAAAGAGUCUGAAAAUCAUAAUGAGAUAAUUAGGGAUGAACUAGCGCUCAUGGCUAAACGCAUUAAAUGGGUUUGAAACUUAACAAUAGACCUAAUAAGAACAAGGACUUGGGAAAGGAAAAAAGAUUUGGUAGGUCUUCUAAAGAAAAAGAUAAGGAAGUUACGAAAGAGAAAAAAGGUAAAGUGUUUUAAUUAUGGAGGUUUGGAACAUUUUUCUAUUGACUAUGUCCUAGUCUCAAUGACAUUAAAAAAAAAUUGUGCAGGCUACAUGGAGCGACACUUACUCUGUUGAGAGUGACCCUAUGACUUUUGAAGAUGUAAGGUAUGAGCAAAAUGAUUAUUUAAAUUUUAUUGCAUCUGUUGACUCUAAGCAUGAUACUAAUAGUCAUGAGAGUGAGUAUACUAAUGAAUAGAAUGCUAGUUUUCUUAGAAAUAUUUCCAUUGAAUAUCAAAAACUGAUUGAACAAUAUUUGAAGACUCAUAAUAUUCUUAACUCAUAAAAAGCUAAAAUUGAAUAUUUUUAGUGAAAAAAGACUAAUUAUUUUGCGAAAAUUUGAUUCGUUGAGUUUGAAUAUCAUUCUUUUCUUGAGAAAAACAAUAUUCUAACUUUAAAAAUUGAGACUAAAAAACCAUCAAUAAGGCUUUUCACCUUGGGACUAGUGUUGGAUGAAAUUCUUGAGAAAUGCAAGUCCCAAGGAGAUAAGAAAGGCCUCGACUAUAUUAGCAAAACCAAGACUUCCACAAGUGGAGACAUAGUAUUAGUUAAAGGUAAGGAGGAAACUCCUAACCAAGAAACAUCUUCUAGCACUCUCUCACUAUUCACACACUGUAAGAAGUCUGAAUAUACUCAAAGUAGGUGUCACACUAGAUUUCUUGAGAGCUAUGAGUCUCAAUUGAAUAGGCUUGUGAAUGAGUUUAAAUCUUUAAAGAAUAAUAUUUUGAACACUAUGAGAGGGAAGAAAACCAAUACAGAGCUUAAGACUCAACAAAGCUCCUCUAAGUCACCACCUAAAACAAGUGUGGAUGAGAAAAGAUAGGCUUAAGUGUUGGAUUGUUUUCACAACCCUUAGAGCUAAAGCCCUUAGUGAAGCUCUAGGCAUAUGAUAGGUGAUAAGUCUUUCGUCACCUCUCUUAAGGAUUUUAAUGGAGGAAACAUCACCUUUAGGGAUAGUAGUGCAGCCCGUGUGAGAGGUAAAAGUAGUAUCUCUAUCCCCAUAUGCCUAGAUUUAGAUGGAGUCCUUUAUGCUAAUGAACUUAAGGGUAAUCUUCUUAGCAUUAGCCAAAUUUAUGAUAGUGACUAUAGGGUAAACUUCUUUUGAAGUUUGUGUGAAGUGAUAAACAAGGAAGGAGAAGUCAUUUUCAUUAUGCUUAGAACAGUGGAUAAUUGCUAUGCAAUAAAUUCUAGUUCUAAAACCUCUUUGGUUUGUAGUAGGGCUAAGUUUGAUAUCAUUGAGUCAUGGCAUAGGAGGCUAGAUCACAUAAACUAUAGACACUUGGUCCACAUAACUAACAAAGACCCAGUUAGAGGUAUCCCUAAGUUGAGUAGUCAACCUAAAUCUAUUUGUGGAAAGUGCCUAAAAGGUAAACAAGUAAAAAACUCACACAAAAAUAUUAAAGGGAAUAACACUUCUAGGCCUUUAAGCCUUCUCCACAUGGAUCUCAUGGACCCUAUAUGAAAAUGGAGAGUAAAAGAUGUCAUUGAUUUUUCCAAAUAUUCCUUUGUAAGUUUUCUAAAGGACGAAUUUGAAACAUUGAGCACUUGAAGUCCUUGUGCACUAGAAUUCAGGUGGAAAUAGGUAAUCCUAUUGUUAGGAUUAGGAGUGAUAGUGGGAAAGAGUUUGAAAAUGUAGAAGUUGAUCUCUUUUAUGAAUUAAAUGAGAUUAAACAUAAUAUUUUGCCUUUAGAACUCCUCAACAAAAUGGAGUGGUAGAAAGGAAGAAUUGUGUUCUUUAAGAAAUGACCUGAGUAAUGAUUAACAUGCAUGAUACUUCUAUGCAGUUUUGGACUGAAAUAAUUAACAUGACUUGCUAUACUGCUAAUAAGGUUUUCCUUAGGCAUGGAACAAAGAAAACAUCCUAUAAAUUGUGGAUUGGAACAAAGAAAACAUCAUAUGAAUUAGGGAUUGGCAGUGAGUGCUAUAUUCUCAAGGAUAGAGAAAAACCUAGGUAAAUUUGAUUCUAAGUCUAAUUUGGGUAUUUUCCUAUGUUAUUCCAAUAAAAGUAAAACUUAUAAGGUUUAUAAUUAGAAUACUAAAGUUACCCAAGAAUCUUCAAAUGUAGUCAUCAAUGAUUUUGGAUAUGAUUAGGAAGUCAUUGACUUUGAAAGUUUAACCUAAAAAUCAAUUGGGAAUAACCUCGAAAAAGUUGACUUAGAUGAUAGUCUUAAAAGUAUCCUAAAGAGGCAAUUGACCCCAACAGGGAUGAAAACCACUUGAAAUUGCUAAGUUAGGCAAAGUGGAAAGUAAACAUAAAUCCAGAGUACCCAAAAAUUACCAUAUCUCAAAUGUAAUAGGAAACAUGGAUGAUUCCAUGGUUACAAGGAGACAAUCUAGACAGAAUGAUAUAUAUAUAUAUAUAUAUAUAUUUGUUAUACCUCCUAAUUAGACCUAAAGAAUGUAGAAGAAGCCUUAGGAGAUAAAUCAUGGACUACUACACUAUAGAAAGAAUUAAAUCAAUUUGUUAGGAAGAAUGUGUGGUACUUAGUCCCUAGGCUUAAAGACAAACCUAUAAUAGGCACAAAAUGGAUAUAUAAGAAUAAAAAAGAUGAAAAUGGGUUCAUUGUGAAGAAUAAACUAGGCUAGUAGCCCAAGGAUAUUCCCAAAUUGAGGGGAUUGAUUUUGAGAAAACUUUUGCACCUUUAACUGGGUUAGAAUCUAUUAAAAUCCUCCUAGAUAUUGCAUGCUCAUUGAGAAUGAAACUUUUUCAAAUGGAUGUUAAAAGUGUCUUCCUAAAUGGGAUUCUUAACGAAGAAAUCUAUGUUGAACAAUCUAAGGGCUUUGCAGGUCCUAAACUUCCCAAUUAUGUUUAUUGGUUAAAGAAAACCCUCUUUGGAUUAGAACAAGCUCCUAGAGCUAGGUAUGAGAGGCUUACAACUUACCUUUUGGAAAAAGGGUUUGAGAGAAUGAGAGUUGAUAUAACUUUUUUUCAUUUAUAGGUCUAAGUCUAAAUUAUUAAUGACUCAAAUUUAUGUUGAUGGUAUAGUUUUUAGAGUCACCCUUACCCUUAACUUUGUUGUGGAUAUGAAAAAAGAGUUCGAAAUGAAUAUGGUAGGUGAACUCAAUUUCUUUCAAGGACUACAGAUUAGACAACUUAAAGAUGAUAUCUUUCUAUCUUAGUCUAAAUAUGUUAAGGAGUUAGUAAAGAAAUUUGGACUUGAGUCCACUAAACACUUUAAGAUACCCAUGAGCACCACUACUAAGCUUUGUAAGAACACUUUUGGGAAGGAUGUUGAGAAAAAGCUUUAUAGGAGUAUGAUAGGGAGUUUGUUAUAUCUUACUGCAAGUUGUCAGGGCAUCUCCUUUAGUGUGGGAGUUUGUGCUAGGUACUAAGAAAAUUCCAAAGAGUCACACUUAACUUUUGUUAAAAGAAUCAUUCAUUACAUUAGUGGGACUUUGGAUUAUGGGCUAUGAUGUCCUUAUGAUUCCUCUUGUGUUAUUAUUGGAUAUUUCAAUAUUGAUUGGGUCGAAAAUGUAGAGGAUAGGAAAAACACUUUUGGGGCUUACUUAUUUAUUGGGGAUUGUUUAGUCACUUGGCUAAGUAGAAACAAAAUUUAAUUUCUUUAUCCACCACACAAACGAAAUAUAUGGUCAUAGGAAAUUGUUGUACCUAACUCCUUUGGAUGAAACAGAUGCUCGGUGACUAUGACAUUGAGUAAGGCACUAUGAGUAUCCAUUGUGGCAAUCUAGUGCUAUUAACAUUUCAAAAAUUUUUGUUCUUUAUUCUUGAACUAAAAAUAUAGACAUCUGUCAUCAUUCUAUUAUGGAUUUAGUUGAAGAUAAAGUCAUUUCUCUAGAGUUUGUCUCAAUGAAACAUCAAUUGGCAGAUAUUUUCACUAAACGCUUGGAUUCUCUUAGGUUUGAAUUCCUUAAGAAGUCAUUGGGUAUAUGACUAAUUGACUAAAAGUCAAAAGGGUAUAGACCUAAGGAUUUGUGUUUUUUAUCUAUCUUCUUUCCUUUGGUCAAUCCCAUCUUCCUCUUAGAGCACUGGUCUUAUACCCUUUUUCAUUUGCCUCAUUAGUAAGAAUUUCAAUCUCUCAAGUUUUAAGUCUGAGUGAAAUAUACUAAACCUACAAGGGUUGAUUUUAUUUUCCCUAGAAUUUUUUUAAUUACUUUUGAGGUAAAGAAUCAAGGUAUAUACAAAUCUUUGUAUAGUGGGAUAUCUAAAAGGAAAUAAUUGGCAAGUGAUCCAUGAGGAAUAUUCUUAAGUUUAACUAAUAAAAUAGAAUUUGUUUUUUUCUUUGGAAGUAAUAUCAUGCCUAAUUCUUUUUCAUUCACUUGCCUUGUUUGUCUAAGUUCAGUAUUAUUUUUCCCCAAAGUGUCUUAAGGCAUUCUUGGAUUCUUAGUUAAAAUAAACUAAAAUAUUCUUUCCAAGAUUCUUUCCAAGUUUAUAUACUUUCACUUGCAACAUUUGGAAACACCGUCCUAAGUGGAAUAAGACAACCAUAGUGAAAGUAUGAUUUCCAUAAAUGGUGUACAAUGUGCUUAUUUUCAACUUAUAUGCUUUGAUUGUUAUCAAUAUGAUUUCCAAACUAAGAUCAUGAUUAACCUUGUUCUUUAGAUUUGAAAAUAUCAGUCUUGUUUGGUUGAACUAUGUUUUUUGGGCAUUCAAUUUGUUUUAUUACUUUUCUUUCUAAUUUUGUGAGUUAUUUGAUUUGAAUUUUGCCUUAAGUUGAAUGUUUGACCUGUUUCUAAGGUUUUUACAUGUCUCUAUGUUGUUAGUUGGUUUCUUAAUUUGUUUUAUUAGUUCACUUUUAGCGUUCAUAAUCCUUCUAGAGUUUUUCACAUAGCCUCGAGCGUUUAUCCCAACGCUCAAGCAUUGGCUUCAUUGCUUAAGCGCUCAAGUGGCCUAAGUUGUUUCUAGUGUCGCUUCAUGUGGUUGUAUUACUCAAGUACUCCUUAAGUUACAUCCAAUGCUUGCAUUGCUCAAGUUCUAAUCUUGCAUCCAAUAGCCUGAGCAACUAUUUAAGUCCUUCUAGCCAAGGAUGAAAAUAUCGGUAAUCAUGGAUAUAUCAGUACUUUGAUUUUACGGAUAUAUCAUAAAUAUUGGUGGAUAUUUUUCACAAAUAUUGAUGGAGCAAAAAUUAUUCAAAAUUCAUAAGAAUUCUUGGAAAAACUCCAAAAAAUGAUAAAAUAAGCAAGAAUACACAUUUAAAAGUUAUUUUGUAGGUAUAAUUGACAUAGAUAUGAUCAAGAAGAAAAACAUCGGUAGGCAGAAAUAUAUCGGUAGAUUCGAUACUUGGAUUUUAAGAAUAAUAAAUAUGAAUUUUGGAAGUGUAUAAAGUUAGAAUUGAGUUAAGAAAUAUUUGAUUUUAUUAAAUAAAAACAAUUUAUGCAUAAAUAUAAUACAUAUGUCAUUGCAAUAGUCCUUAGUACCAAAAUGAAGAUCAAUGUGGUUCCAUCAUAUUAUUAGAUGACAGGAGCCCAUCUUGUUGAAGACAAUAUUUAUUUUAAAAUUUUUAAAAUACUUUUAUUAAAACAUGUUUUAUUACAUUUUAAAUGCAAAAUUAAAUUAAUUUAUAUAAAAUAUUUUAUUUGAGAUUUAAUUUCUAAAAUUUUAUUAAAAAUAUGUGAUAACAACUUUUUCUCUUAACAUUAAUUUAUUUAAAUAAUUAAAAUUAUUAAUAAUUUAUCUUAUCAAAUUAAUUUUAAUUUAUAAAAUAUUAGGACUUUCUUAAUUUUUUAUAUUAUAUCAAUUUUUUUGGGUAAAAUUAUAUUUUUAAUAUUUUAAAAUAAAAACAUUUAAAAUUUAAAUAAAAUUGAAAGGAUAAAUGUAAAAAAAAAAAUUAAGAGUGAAGUGAAUUAAGAGUGAAGUGAUAAUAAUUUUUAAAAAUAGGAUUAAUGAGAUAACUAUGAAAAGUGUUGAAAAUAAAAGGAUAAUAUAAAAACAUGGUUGAAAUUUGGACCAUCUAAAAAAUUCAAAUCUAGAAAUUUUCAAAAGAAACCCCAAAAAAUCUCUGAUUUUUCAAAGAUUUUUUUCCGUUCUCCCUCGUGUUGCUCCACUCGUGAUUUUAUCGCCGAUCUAUCGGUUCCAAACCGAUAUAUCGCCGAUAUUUUGACGAUUUUCACGAUAUUUUUCUAACAUUCCUCUCGUUCGAUAAUCAGUGCUCAAAAUCGUUUUGGGGCCAUCCGAUAUCCGAAAUAUCGGCGAAAUAUCGCCGAUAAAAAUCAAAAUUUCAAUCCAUGCUCCUAGCACACCUUUUUUAAUCUAUUUCACUUCUUUAGUUCAUUUGAGCACUUUGGGUUGCUGCUUUUCGGCUUCCAGUGAUCUGUUCAUGACUUGUUUCAUCUUUUCAUCUUCAUAGUAUUGUUUAAGACUGCUUUUUGAGCAUUUCUAAUGGUUUAUUUUCCUCAUAUAUUUUUCUCUAUUUUCGAGCUUUUUUACUUUUAGUUUUUGUAUGAUAGGACGCUAUUGUCUUAGGGAGGUGUCUUCUCUGAAGCCUUACUCUCACGAAGUUGUUCAGGGCAUCCCUAUCUAGGGUCUUUUUGACUUGAAUAAUCUUCCCUUGGAGCAUUUUCACUCUAAGGAGGCUCAAGAUAAAUACUACUCUAUUCUCCGGGGUCAUCGAGUCAAAGUAGAGCUACCCAUUGAUCAUAGAGCCUUUAAGGACACCUCUUUCUUGGUUUCUUCCAUGUUAGGGGCUUGGAAACUCUUACGACUGUUUGAGAGACCUCGUAUCCUCAUUACAUUCAGAUGUUCAAUUCAAACAUCCAUUCAGUAGUUUGUGGUCUCAUAUUUAGUGUUACCAUGUAUGGCUAGACUUUCAUGGUCUCUACUUGAUCUAUCAGGUGUGUUAUGGGCAUGUUUUUUUCUUACUAAUCAGCUAGCUUUUAGUCUUCUUUCCAGAGGUUUAAGCAUUCACUAGAGGUGAGCUUGUCUCUAUUCCUGUUACUUUGUAUGGCGAGUCCUAUCCAUUGUCGACUUACGUUUCCAUUGCUAACUUCACCAAGUUAGCUUGGGUCCUCGCUAUGUUUAUGUCUUAUUCCUUCUACUCCUCCUUCCAUCGUACUCAAAUUUGUCACCUUGUGGCUUGUUUUAUUCAGAACAUUCUCUUUGGGUAGUAGUUCGACAUUGCCUAGGUGAUCCUUAACACCAUGACAUCAUAACCCGAUCCCACCAUGUGCAAUGGAGCUCCCUUAUUCACCCUUCUUAUUACUAUGAUUCUGGAGCACAUCAGUUUCAAUUUCGAUCUUGCUUUGGUAGCUUGGGUGUCUCGCACUCUCAUUACUGCGAGUUCCUAAGUCAAGCACUAUAGCCAUGUGUACGGUCGAUAAUCCCUCUGGCCUCAGCUCAAUCAACCUCCAUUCUACUAACUUCAAUGUCAUAAGAGGUGGCUCAAGAGACUGCAAUAGAGAAGGAGGAGAUUAAGCCAACGGAGUAGGAUUCUCCCAUUUUAAAGGUGGUUUCAAGAUGGGGAAUAGGGCCCUUGUUUUCACCCGUCUCCAAUUUUGGAUCUUUAACAUUUGUUGACCUCAACCCUAAUUAUUUCUUCCAAUCUAUGCCCCAGUGAUUACUACUCAAAAAGUGCUAUUUGAUAGCCUAUAAUUAAUCCUUUUUAACACUUUUGAGUAGUAGUUUAGGCCUUUUAACUCAAUUGGCAUGUUAAGGAUCCUUUAAAGCAAUUUUGAUCACUUUGUGUAAGUUUUGGUGUUUUUGUUAGUAUAUUGAUCACCAAAGCAAGUCAAGAAUGAGGAGAGCUAUGAGGAAUCUUGGGCAAAGCUUAGAAUUCAAUUGCCAAGAGUGAAUCCGGAUUGCAAGGAGAAAAAGCAAAGAGAAUCUGCCAUGAAGCCUAUUCUUGAUGACAGUUGUAGCAGCCACUUUUGGAGCACUUUCUGAAGUCCAAAUGAUGCAUGCUAUAUACCAUUUCAAAGCUCAGGAAGUCAACAAUCCAAUGCUUCAAACGGUGCGCAAUUCGGAGUUGAAACGAAGAAGUUGCAGCCAUUACAAGUCAAUCACUCUAAAGUGUUGCGGAAUCAGCCAUUUGUUGCGAGAAUUUCGCAGCACUUUUGUACAGUAAGGUGUUUCUCCUUCUGACGAUGCACGAACCAUGCCGCGAGAAGGGAGCUGGAAACCUCAAGGUGGAAGCCAACUUCGCAGCCCUGUGAAGAUAGCUCGGUCUUGCAAAAUAAUUUCGCAGCCCUCUUGGGUGUCUGCGAAAUUUCGCAGACACCACUUUUCUCCUGCAAAAUGGUUCCUGAAGCCUUCCGAAAGUUGCUACCGACAUUGGGAGAUAUUUUCCAUUAGAUUUUUGUUGUCUAAAUCCCAAAAUACUCCUUGUAAACCACCAAUUACAUGAUUCCUUAGUUUUUAAGUUAGUAAAAAGACCAAAUAUCUUUGUAAUAAUUAGUUUUAUAUUGGUUUGAUAUAUAUGCCUCUCGGGAGCCUAUUCUCGGGGAGGAGUUCCUUCUGUAAACGUUUGGUAAGCUAGUAAAGUCUAUUUUCUUUCUACUGCCUUACCUUCUCACUUUGUAUUUUCAUUUUAUUUCUAAGUUAUGAAUUCUCUGAGGAGUUUUCCCCAGAGAAUGAGUAACUAAACCUCCAAUUCCUUGGAGCUAAGGUUGCCGGGGAAGGUUCCAAGUGCAAGAAUGCAAAGCUCUGUGGUUUUAGCUAGUAAUGAAGAGGAAGUGAAAACCUUUAGUGAUUUCAAUGUUUUUAGUUAACUUAAAACACCUUGGAGUCACCUGGGCCAACACUUGGUAAGGCAAGUGAUUUCCAACCAUGGAAAUGCACUAGUUUACCCCUUGCGAGCCUCUGGUAGGUGACUUCAAGGUAGGAUUUUCUGGAAUUACCAACACUUGGUAAGCUUUUGGACUCCUAGGAGACAUCCAUUAGUUAUCUCUUGCGAGUUUGUGAAGGGAAGUCCAAGGUUAAAGAUCACCUUGAAUGGUAAGUGCUCGUGAGAGGCAUGAACCAUUGCAAAUUGCAUCAGUGAGAGAAUUAAAGUGAAAUCUAAUUGAAGGAGUCUCUGUACAUCACCGGUUAGAGAAUUGACUAUAAGUUGAAUCUCUAAUGCGAGGAAAUGAACCAACUGACCAGAGCCGUGUCUUUUGCAUGAGGAACCACCCCAGUGAACCUAAAUCUCCAAGGAAUGUUUUUCUUCCUAAAUUAUUCCAAACUUCUGUUAAGUUAGUUAGUUUAAGUCUCAACCUUUACCAAUCAAAAUUUUGUGUUUUAUUUCUUAAGUUAACCGUGAAAUGAAACAAGACCAAUUCACUUGGAAUUGGUAUCCUUGAUUGCUUGUUAGUCAUUCCCAGUGAACGACCCUAGAGCCACUAUACUAUAGUAGCUUUGUAUUUGCUACCCUAGUGUAUGGUGUUAUAGGUAUAAAUUUUGUUGAUCACUUUCUCAAUCAAGGAGCACCAGCUGAACACAAAUCAGCUGAGACACCAAUUGGGCACGAGUCACCCCAUUACAAGCAUUUUUUGUUAUCUCCUUAUCUCCAUUUUAUGGUGGGCUUGGUCUAGCACAAAUAGGUUGGUGAGUUAGUUAAGGUUUGUCUUGGAGGCCUGAAUAGACCAGACAUGAGCCUAGUUUUUUAUAACACCUACUAGUGGUGGGCCUUUGGCUCUUCUAAUGUAAGCUCCAAGGCUUCAUUGACAUAACAAAUGAUCAGGCAAAACCAUUUUACAUUUUUUAUUGUUAGCUAUUAUAUUUUUACUUUUAACCAUAAGUAAGGACAAAGGGGCUAGGUUCCUUAGCCUAAAAAACCCUUGUAUUCAAGCUUAUGACCUAGGCUCGGGUUUCAAAAUUGGGCCUUCCAACCAAGAAGAAUUUGGGCUUAGGGCGUUAGAUAAAUCAUAAUUAAUGUAUGAUUGUUGAUUUAUUUCUUUUAAGCAAGUUCAAAAUCAUUGAAUGUGAAAGAAAUUUAUUAGACUUGUGUGGAUUAACAGAAAAUGUUAGGAAAAAUAAAAGUGAAGAAAUGAAUUUAAAUUUUUAAAUUGGAUUUUUCAUGAAAAAUGUGAAGAAAAAUAAUAAAAUAUAAUAUAAAUACCAUAAAAAUUUUCAAUUUUCAAAGUUUUCGUUCCUUUUAUAAAAGAAAUAAAUAAAUUUGGAGAUUUGUUUUAUAGCUCUAAAUGUGAAAAGGGAAUAGAGGUGUUGAAAUGGUAAUCAAUAAAAACCUACAAAAUUUUCAAUAAAGUAAUUUACAAAAUAAGAAUAAAAAUAUAAAAAAUUUACAAAAUAUUGGUAGUUUGAUUUUAUGAAAAUAUCGAAAAAUAUUAUAUAAAAAUUCCUAAAAAAUUUUGAUGCAAUCAAAAUUGGCCAAAACCCAUAACAAGAAAGGAAAACCCACCUUUUUCUUUUCAAUCCUAAACUUCAAAUACUCAAAUUCAAUUUUUCACACAAAAUUAAACUAAAUAUAUUUUUAGAAAAUUUAAAUAACUCUUGUUUUAGAAACUAGUUAAACUACCUUCAUGUAGUAUAAUUUAAAUUAAAAAAAUGAAUUUACCAUAAAUUAAUUAAAUUAUCAUUCUCAAAAAUUUAAUAUGACUAAAAUAAAUUUUGUUUUUUUUUUCUAUUUUUUCCCUUCUUUUUCAAGAAAAUUUAGAUCUAAAACUUUCCCAUGAAAUGAUAACUCAUAAACCACACCAACAAUACAAAAGUGGAAUCAAUAUAUAUAAAAUAAAUCCACAAAUUUCAAAAUCAUAAAACCAAAAUUCUAUCAUAUUUAACUACUAUUUUGAACUCUAAUUUCAAGGUUUUUAAUAAAAUCUUACCUCAAUGAAAUAGUGAUUUUUUUAAUUUUUUUUUCUUUAAUAAAAAAGUUGUUUUUUCCUCAGUUAUCUUUUUCCAUCUUCAACUUUAUUAUAAUACUCAAAUCUAAUUUUUUUUAUACAAAAUUAAACUAAAUUUAUUUUUGAAAAUUUUAUAUCACUUUUGUAUAAAAAAACUACUUAAACUACUUUAAUAUUAUAUAACUUGAAUAAAAAAAAUGAAUUUAUAAUUAACAAAGAUAUAAUAAAAAUAAAUAAAUAUGACUUAAAUAAAUUUUAUUUUUAUUUAUAUUUAUUGACAAAACCAUAACCUUUCAAUAGCCUGAUUGUGCUGGACCAAGCCCAUCUUAAAGUGGGAGUGUAACAGUAAGGAGAUAAUAAGAAAUGCCUGCUACUCGACCAAUAAGGAUAUAAUAAGAAAAAUUAUUGGUCUUUGACACUACUUUGAAAGUUUAUUUUGGGUUUUUUUUAGUCCUUUUUAGAGUGUAGGAUCAGUUAAAAUUUUUUUUUGCAUGGAUUGAAUCUUUGUUGUGCUCUUAAUUCAUGCAAGAGAAUGACAUCUUGUGGGAUGAGAAUUCUUUGAUCCCUAAAUUUUUUAUAUCACAAGCAACCAACAAACAAAUUCCAUACACCAAUGUUUUAAAAAUGUGACCAACCAAUCAAAUUAGUUGGCUCUACUUGGUUUGGAUACGAUCUUGACGAUUGGUAAAUUGGUGGAACCAACUAGGUUUGGAACCAGUCUUGAUUUUUUUCCAUUUAGGUUAGACAAAAAUUUUGGAAAAAAUCAAUAAAUAGAGAUGAUGUUGAAAUUUUAAUAAAAUUUAUCAUUUAUAUUUAUGUUCAACUAUUUUUCGUUAUGAUAUAGUUAUAGAAUGUAGUUGCAAACUAGAAGAAUAUAGUUGGAGGAAUGGUGUAUGCUCUAGUGGAUGGUGUCUCAAACUCAAUUCCCAUGGAUAGAGAAGUAAGAGUUAGAGACACAACAAAUGGAAUUGGCACUAAAACGGGUUUUGAAUUUGAUUGAGAAAUAACUAAUCUCAUGAUAGAUAAAGGAACGACUGUGCUAAGAAGAAAUUGGGUUUUGUUGCUGUUCUUUGUAGGUUGAUGAGUUCUUUGGUCUAACAUGUGUGAUUUUCUCACUUUUGAAACUUCAUUUUUGGUUUUGAUCCAUUUUAGAGAAGAUAUGUGAGACAAUCCAAAAUGGGGUUACAUUGUCUCUUGCUUUUGGCUGUUGUUAUCAUUUGUUGCAUUCAUAUGGUAGAAUGAUGAUUGUUAACUAAAACUUCUAUGACCAAGUUUGAAUUUGAUACAUGGGUGGAGCUUAUUUGUUUAAAUAUUCAUGUUUUGGUGAAUACAAGUCAUUUUAAUUGAGCAAAAAAUACAUAUAAUGUAGAAGAUGGAUAAAAUUAAGUUAUAUACUUAUAGAAAAUUAAGAUUUUAAGACUCUUCAAUUUAAUAAAAGUUUUUUUGUACUAAGGAUUAUGGGUUAUGCAUUCAAUUUUGGGUAGAAGGAAAAUACUAUCCAAACAAGGCCUACAUAUAAUCUAGAGCUUUCCCAUCCCUAGGAAGCUUAGGGAAUGGAUUAGAUUAAAUAAGUUAGCUCAAAAGUGAUGUAAAAUGUGGGUAUGUUGUAUAAAAACACACAUAUAUAUAUAUAUUUUCUUCUUGUUUUUCACCAUUCAAAAAGUUAUGAUUUGCUUAAUUUGAUUGAAAAAAAAAAAUCAUACUACUUUUUUUUUUUCCCAAUUAUAAAUUUUAGCCACUUUUUGUGAAAAUUAACCAAAAUUCUGUAGACACCAAAAAGAGGGGAAAAUGUCAUAGAUUUAGGUUAAUAAAGAAAUAUAGUUGGGAUAAAUAAUUAAAAUAUCUUACAUUGGACGAUCAUCAUAUCCCACUCAAAUUUAAUAAGGUAGUGGAAACAUAACUAAUAAAUAUAUUUUCAAAGAGAAUUUGAAAAUUUGAAAUUGGGAAUUUCUUCUAUUCAUUUUUAAUAAUUUUUAGGGGCUACUAUAAAUUUUAUCCACAAAGGGAUAACGUACUCUUUUUUUAGUAGUUAAACAAGCUAUAACCUUUGAGAAUCACUAUUGAUCUUAAUAAAGGUCCUUUUUAUAUUAAGAAAUUUCUCUUUGAAUAAAUUAAAAGAGAAAUUUUGCCUUUUAUUGCAAUUGUAAUGACAUUCACUUUCAAAGCUUGUAAUUAUACAUAGAGCAUAUAAAGAUCUACAAACAAAAUUUAUUACCUUCGCAGGUGAUCUUUGGCAUAGGUUGCUCUUCCUCUCAACAACCAUUUGACAAUUUUAUCCACAAAAUCAAAGUAGGUCUCACUCCAAGAUUUCCUUGUUGCCAAAACAAAAUAUGGAACUAAAAUACCCAUCGCAAAUCCCAAGCCAACACUCAAGUAAAACCAUUGAUCAAUAUAGCCACCAUCAUUUUUGUCCUCAAUAACACUACACUUUUUAUCUAGAUCUUCAUCUUGGCAUUUUGUGACCAAUGGAGCUCCACAAAGAUUAGGGUUUCCAACAAAGGCUAACUCAUUGAAGGUUGUCAUUUGCCCUAUAAAGGGGAUCUUACCAGAGAAAUUAUUAUUCGAUAGAUUCAAAUAACUCAAGAAUGUUAAUGAAACCAUGCUUGAAGGAAUGCUGCCGGAAAGCUUAUUCCUUGACAAAUCAAGAGAUAAUAAUUGGUGCAACAUUGAAAUGUUUUCAGGAAUUUGGCCACUGAUGUGAUUCCCAGACAAGUUCAAAACCACCAAACCAAACAAUCUUGUUAUUUCUUGGGGAAGCUCUCCACUUAAAUUAUUGUCGGAUAGGUCUAUGCCUACAACCAGAGAAAGAGUCCUGGUGUAUUCAAGACUUUGACCUUUCAUAAUCACCACCAAUCGUUCUUCAUACUGAGAGUUGCUCACAUUUUCAUACAAAGGAUAUAUAUUCUUGUUAUACUCCGGAACCAUGGCUUUAAGCUCAAACAAAGUGACUGGAAUUUCACCCAUCAGAUUGUUGUGUGCAAGGUCUAAGACAUGUAGGGAGCUUAAAUUUGAAAGCUGGGAGGGAAGUCUUCCAAAAAAUACAUUUGACCUCAAGUUGAGUAUUACAAGAUUUAUGAAAGCAAUUCCAAUCCAUGAAGGAACCUUACCCGAUAACUGGUUAUAACUGAGAUCAAGGAGUUCUAACCUUGAUAAAUUUUGGAAAGACGAGAGGAGCUCUCCUGAAAGCUUGUUGUCGUUCAGAUGCAAUGAUUUGAGCCAUUGUAACUGGCCCAAGGACUUUGGUAUCAUCCCAGAUAAAUUGUUAUUUCCAAGGUCAAGAACAAUUAGGCUAGAGCAAUUACCUAUGGUAUAAGGAAUGCUUCCAAUCAAAUUAUUCCUUGAAAAAUCAAUGACUUGAAGAGAGGUGAUGUGUCCUAUGGAAUCUGGGAUGGUCCCUGUUAUUUGAUUUUUCGAAAGCAAAAGGUGAUGCAUGUCUAACAUAGAUUCACCUUUGCUCAGUAGGAUAGGGCCAGAAAAUUUAUUGUAGGAGAGAUCUAGUGAAUAGACCCCUUUGAUUGAAAAAGGAAUAGGUCCCUCAAAGAGGUUGUGACUGAAAUCAAUAUAUGCAGAUUGAAAUUUUAAUGAAUUUGGUAGCUGACCUUGUAACUGAUUGUGAGAAAGAUUUAAGUACUGCAGAUUGAAAGAAAUAUUCCAAAACCACUUGGGUAUGGAACCUGAGAUGCUAGCAUUUGACAAAUCCAGCCAGGAGACCUCAUUUUGAGACCUAAGCCAAGUCGGGAAUGAAGGGCCUAAAUUGCAUGAAGCCAUAUAAAGAUCAGUGAGUUGGAAUGGGGGGACCCAGGUGGAACUAACAUUCAAAAUGAGACCAGAAUUUCCGCCCAUGAACAACAUCUUUAGCUUACUCAACUUUGAAAAAUGCUCUUCAGAAAGAAUUCCUGUCAAGGUAUUAAGAGUAUUAAAAUAAUUUCAUUUAUUUAUUUAUUUUAUGAAAAAUAAGAAAUUUCAAGAGAAAUGAAUUUUCAAAAAAUGUAUAAUAAAUCAAAUGAGUGGAAAAAAGAUAAUUUAAAAUAUUUUUUAAAAACAAGUGUUUACAUGGAAUCAAUAUAUACACAAUUACCAGAAGAAAAUUUUAAUGAAUUUGGUAGCUGACCUUGUAACUGAUUGUCAUAAAGAAUUAAGUCCUCCAGAUUGAAAGAAAUAUUCCAAAACCACUUGGGUAUGGAACCUGAGAUGCUAGCAUUUGACAAAUCCAGCCAGGAGACCUCAUUUUGAGACCUAAGCCAAGUCGGGAAUGAAGGGCCUAAAUUGCAUGAAGCCAUAUAAAGAUCAGUGAGUUGGAAUGGGGGGACCCAGGUGGAACUAACAUUCAAAAUGAGACCAGAAUUUCCGCCCAUGAACAACAUCUUUAGCUUACUCAACUUUGAAAAAUGCUCUUCAGAAAGAAUUCCUGUCAAGGUAUUAAGAGUAUUAAAAUAAUUUCAUUUAUUUAUUUAUUUUAUGAAAAAUAAGAAAUUUCAAGAGAAAUGAAUUUUCAAAAAAUGUAUAAUAAAUCAAAUGAGUGGAAAAAAGAUAAUUUAAAAUAUUUUUUAAAAACAAGUGUUUACAUGGAAUCAAUAUAUACACGAUUACCAGAAGAAAAUUUUAAUGAAUUUGGUAGCUGACCUUGUAACUGAUUGUCAUAAAGAAUUAAGUCCUCCAGAUUGAAAGAAAUAUUCCAAAACCACUUGGGUAUGGAACCUGAGAUGCUAGCAUUUGACAAAUCCAGCCAGGAGACCUCCUUUUGAGACCUAAGCCAAGUCGGGAAUGAAGGGCCUAAAUUGCAUGAACUCAUACCAAGAUCAGUGAUUUGGAAUUGGGGGACCCAGGUGGAACUAACAUUCAAAACGAGACCUGAAUUUUCAUCCAUCUGUAGAGUCUUCAGUUUACUUAACUUUGAAAAAUGUUCUUCAGAAAGAAUUCCAGUCAAGCGAUUAUAAGAAACAUCCAAGACAACCAAUUCAGAAAGUUGUCCAAAACUAACUGGGAGACUCCCAUUCAGUUCAUUCAUUUUAAGCCGCAUCUCAUUCAGAUCUUUGAAUGUCCCAAAAGAAGUAGGGAUAGGGCCUUGAAGCUUGUUGCCGGAUAGAUCGAGAUAUGUAAGUUUUUCCAGCUGACUCAAUCGUUCUGGCAAUCUGCCCACUAAUUGAUUCCAGGACAAGUCCAAAUACCUCAGUUUUGGUAAAGGACCUUCAAAACUGCAGUUUUUGAUCUCUUUGAGAAAUUCAGGGAAACUUCCUAUCAAGGUAUUGGCACCUAAAUCCAAAUGUUCUAAGUUGCAAAAAUUUCCGAUGGAGGUUGGAAUUGUACCUGCAAUCAUCAUCAAGAGUAUUAAAAUAAUUUGUUUUUAAUAAAUUGUUUUAUGAAAAAUAAGAAAGUUCACGAGAAAGGUAAGAAACUUUGCCUUCUUAAUGCAUUAUCAAAUGAACGAAGAAAAGAUAAUUUAAAAUAUUUUUAGAAACAAGUGUCUGCAUGGAAUAAAUUGAGAAUAUUGUUUUUAGAAAUUAAAGUUUCCAAACAAAAUUUUGUUUCAAAAUAUAAUAUAAUAUUUGUAAAAAUUAUUUUAAAAAUGUUUACAAGAAAACAAUUACAUUAUAAUAUUUGUAAAACUAUAAUAAAAAACUCAAAAAAUAAUUUUAGAAAACUAUUUUAAAAAUUGUUUACAACCAAAACCUAGAUUUUGUAGUGUAAUCUUUCAAAUACAUCAAAAGCCCUAAAAGGUCCCCUUUAUUGGUCAAUUGUGCAAUGAAUUUAUGACAAAUCAUGCAUCAUCAAGAGUUAAAAUAAUUUAAUUUAAAAUAUUUUUCAAAAAAAAAAAAAAAAGAGUUUAUGAGAAACAAAUUUGAUGAGUGGUGAGAAGAUAAUUGAAGUUGCUUUGAUGGUCUAAUGAUAAAAGUAAGAGAUUAUUGGAAAGUCAGAAUAAUUUAAUGCGAAAUAUUUUUUUAAAACAAGUGUUAAACUGUAAAACCACUACAUUAUUUUGAUGUAUCAAAAUCAAUAGGCAAUAAUAAUUUUUCUAAGCCAAAAACGUACCAAGAAAUUUAUUGAUUGCCAAAUUCAAAAAUUCUAUCUUCUUCCAACUUCCGCUUAACAGUUGAGAGCAACUACCUGUGAGAUUUUCAUUUGAAGAUAGAUCCAAGUGCUGCAAGUUAGGUAGUUCCCCAAGGGCAAGUGAAAUCUGCCCAUAUAACUUGUUAGAGCUUACAUCAAUGUAUACAAGGUUGCUAAGGUUUAGAAGCCAUAUUGGGAACUUUGACUGGAAAGAGUUGCCACUGAUGCUUAUGACAGACAAUGAAGUAAAAUUGAUAGAGUUUAGAGAUGAAAUGGAACCGGAGAGCCCACAAUCUUGUAGGUGCAACUCUGUUAAAAAUGAAAGCUUGUUGAAUACUUCCAUCCAGUGAGAUCCUACCAUUGAUAGGUCGACAUAGUUCAAUUUGAGAUGCCUUAAGGAAACAAGAUUAGUCAUCCAUUCAAGGUGCUUAACAAAUAAUUGAGAUUCAUAGGAAGAAAGAUCAAGAAAUUGCAAAUUAGAAAGGUUUCCCAAGGUUGGAGGAAUUGCACCUUUGAAUCCACAAUUUGAUAAGUUUAGAUAUUGUAAAUUUCUCAAAGAUCCGAAGAAUUUAGGAAUUGGGAUAUGCUCAAAUGAGUUGCCACUCAAAUCUAAAGAUCUCAAAGAUUUGAGUUCUAUCAAAGAAGGUCGAAUCUCCCCGCUUAAGUUCAUUGAACUCCAAUUUUCAUAUGCUUCUUCAAGAUAAUAUGGGUUAUGAAGAUCGAUUGAAAUAACAACUCCUGUGUUAUUUUCACAACCAAUUCCCUCCCAUUGACAACAAUUGCCUCCUAUCCAUGAUGAAAGUCGGUUGUUAGAAGAAUCUUUGAGACCAUUUUUGAAGUCAAGAAGAGCUUCUCGAUUAGCUCUUAAGCAAUUUCCCUCAAGGGUUUCACCCUUGCAAGCAAGAUCUCUUGUUAUGAAACAUAGAAUGACCAAAAGGAAACCAAGAAUUGAAAUUUUCUCCAUCUAAGAACACCUAUAAAAACAAGUAAUUAAUAUUAAGUUCCGAUAGAAGAAUCAAAAUAGUGAUGAAAUUUGAUAAGUAAUCAAAACUUCAAGUUAUUGGAUAUUAAAUAACAUAUAUAUUUUAAUCAAUCAUAAUUUUAAUAAGAUUAAAACAUGUCAAGUGGAUGGCAUACUUGAACUUCCAUAUCAAAUAUGGUCUGAUGAUUGUUGUUUAUCAAAACAACAGAAAUCACCCACAAGAGAAGCUUAGAAGCAUUAGGUAGAGGAAAACACUAGAGACAACUUGGCAUUAUUGGUAAAGUAAAACAAGAUUAGUCAUCCAUUCAAGAUCAUUAACAUAUAAAUCAUAAGAUUCAGAAUUAACAAAUAAAUCAAAAGAUUGAUGGCUAGAAAGAUCAAGAAAUUUCAAAUUAGAGAUGUUUCCCAGACCAUGAGGAAUUGCACCAUUGAACCCAUAAUUUGAUAAGUUUAGAUAUCGUAAAUUCUAAAAAAUACAAAGAACUCAGGAAUUGGAAUACGUUAAAAUGAGUUGUCACUCAAAUCUAAAUAUCUCAAGGAUAUGAGUUCUAUCAAUGAAUGACCAAUCUCUCCACACAAGUUCAUAGAGGUCCCAUUCUCAUAUGCUUCCUUUGGAGAAUAUGGCUUAAGAAGAUCGAUUGAAAUAAUAGCUCUUGUUUUAUUUUCAUAAUCAAUUCCUUCCUAUUGACAACAAUCAAGGCCUCUCCAUGAUGAAAGCCAAUUGUUAGAACUUUUGAGACCAUUUUUGAAGCGAGUAAGAGCAUCUCUAUCAGUUUUUAAGCAAUUUCUCAAAUUGGUCUCACCUUUUCAAGCAAGUUCUCUUAUUAUUAAACAUAAAAUGAUCAAAAGGAAACCAAGAAUUAAAAUUUUGUCCAUCUAGGAACACAUGUAGAAACAAGUAAAAUAAAGUUCCAACACAACAAUAAAAAUAGUGACAAAAUUCAAUUAGUGAUGGAAUCAAGGCAUCGGCCAAUUAAUAACAUAUUUAACUUAACCACUCAUUUGUUUAGAAAGAUUAAAAAUUGCUAAGUAAACAACAUACUUGAAUGCAUGUCAAAGUAAAUAUAAUUGAAAUCAUCUCAACAAAUAUCAAAUAUGCUUUGAUGAUUGCUAUUGAUCAAAACAUUCCAACUAUAGAAAUCACCUACAAAAAAAAAAAAAAAAAAAAAAAACCUUGCAGCAUUAGGUAGAGAGAAACACUAUAAAUAACUUGGCAUUAUUAGUGGAGAUCUUACCAAUUAUCUUCCUUUUUUUUUUUCUGGUGUAGUCAUUCCUUUGGAUGUAGAGACAUAUAUAGAAGAUAAUUCAACUAGAUACCAUAUGGAUGAUAGUGAUAGGCUCCUUUCCUUUCUUUUUAGCAAUAUUUUGAAAAAUGGAUCAGACCAACCAAUUGAACCAAUUCAAUUGCUAACCAAUUCACUUUCCAAUUUAGGUGACCUUUUCCAACCAUUUUGGGUUUAAAACGAUGGGAAACCGAUUACCACUACUUGAUUAUGAUCAAAUUGUGCAUAUGAAGUAAAAAGUUGAAUUUGCCAUUAUCUUUCUAAAAUAAAAUUUCCAAGAAAAAAAAAUUUAGGUGAUGUUUAUCUUUUUAACUUAAUAUAAAAUGAAAUUUAAUUUCAAACUUCAACUAUUUGUUUUAAUUUUUUUUAUAUAUUUUUAACUUAUUUAUUAAUAUUUUUAAUUCAAUAGAAAACAACUAAAAUACGUAACUUUUUACGUAAUUUAAAAAGUUAACCAAUUCAUACUUCUAACCCCUCACACCUAACUCACAUUGUGAAAAAAUAAUUAAAUUAAUACUUAAUACUUUUAAUUUGUAUUUAAAAUUAAACUAAAUUAAGUUCUAUUUAUAUUUAAGAAAAAAACACCAUCUUAAUCUAUUAGCUCUUAAUUUUUUUUCUUUUUAAAUGAGAGAGACUUAAUCUAUCAUGUUCACCCAAACUAUAACUUUGCAUAAUGUCAAUGAUAAUAGUAAUAGUAAUAACAAUAAUAAUAAUAAUAAUAACAAAUAUGCACAUGUAGAUGAUAAAGUCAUUAGUUCUAUGAAUUGAGUCAUAGAAAAACCUUCCUCAAAAUAUCACAAUCUUUAUGUUGUCCUAUCAAUAUGUAUAUAAGGGAUACCAAUAUGUUUAUAAGCAAUGUUUCACAAUCUUAUGAAAAAUUAAGGGAAAAAAAUAAAAUAACCAAUAACACAUCAACAAUUUUAGCAUACCAUCCAAAAUAAAUAAAAUCUCUUAAAAAUUUGAAAAAUUCUAUCUUGAGGUUAUCAUUUCUGAUAGAAUGACCAUGCCCAUCAAAGUUGGCUCUGCGUUAAUCCAGUCCAAUCAAUCAAAUCAACUAUUUAAAGUGAUCCAAAGAUUGGGACCACUUUUUAAAGACAUUUUUGUCAUUUCAUGUCUUGGGAAAUUUAAGGACAUUAUUUUCCUCAUUCAUGUAUUCAAGGUUUAUGUCGUGUCUACCAAGGUGGCUAUUUUUCCUUCAAUCAUUUUUAAUACAUUUUCUUUCAUGUCUUGCAACCUUAUCAAGAAAAUUUUGCAUUACCUUGACUUUGACUCCAUGUUUGGGUCAUCCAGAUUAGGGUCCUAUAAUUGUUGUGACUUGUCAAUUGCAUUUUAAAUUUUAUAGAACUUUGGUGAAUAUUUGCAAAUAAUAGAUAUUUUAUAUAUUUUAAUUUUUGUUGAAAAUAAUUUUUCUUUUUUUGGUAAAAAGAAUUUUACACUAGCAAUUCAUUUCCUCACAUGGAAGUGCUAGAGUUUUUUUAAAAUUACCUAAUCCAUUAGGUACUUUUACAAAGUAUACAUGAUUUAGUUGUGCUUCAAUGAAUCAAUUGCUUUAGAUUAAUUAAUUUUCAACCAAUUGAAUUAUACAUUCAGAUAUAAGGUAAUUUGGGUAACUAACAUUUAAUAGCUUAAUAAUUUCUUUAUUUAAAUCUUAUAAAAUUAAAUAUAUAACUUAUCAUAAACAAGUUGGAAGCAAAUAGUCAUUCAAGCCUUCAUUUUUCCUUUUCGAUUUGCUAUAAAGCUGAUUUUUUUUCCUAAGAACAAAAUAUUUGAGAAGAAAAUAAAAAAGUUACAAAUUAAAACCACAAUGAAAAAUAAUAAGAAAAAUAAACAAUAAGAAAACAGAAACAAAAAACACAUAAACGAUUUAUGUAGUUUGCUCUAAAGCCUACAUUCAUAAAUGAAGAUAGAAAGGAACUUCCACUAUUGUUUAAGAAGAUUAUAAUCCUAUAACUCUUAAAUUCUAAAGUCUAAAUUAAUUAUACCAAGAAAAAUGAUUAUUUCUUAUUCGCUAAAAUGUCUUCUCAUAUUUUCUUGGUUGGAAUAUUUAAUAUAAGGAACUAAUUAUCUAAUUAUUAGAGAUACAUAAUAUUUGUAGAGAUAUUACUACUAGUUUUCCUUAUUCUAUUAAAGAAAUUUAAUUACAAUUAUGAAAUAUUUUAUAUAAGGUGGUGAGGACUAUGCGUGGUAGAUAGAGAUAUAAGGAAGAGUGAGAGACACUUGGUGGAGUAAGAGGGCUCACUAAGGUGUAGAUAUGAGAAUGAGUGAAAGAUAUCUGGUGGAACAAAAAGACUCAUGAUUCAAGGUGGGGAUAAAGCGUAGGGAAACUUGAGAUGUUUUGACACCCAAUAGUUGUAUCUAUUUCUAUUCUCUAUACUAUUUUAUAUGGCAUUGUAGAAUGUUAUUUCUCAUCCAUUAAGGUAGGCAUGGUUGGUUGAAUCUUUGUGCGUGGUUUGCUUUAUUUUUGUAUUUUUUUUCUUUAACAUAUCUAUGUUGAAGUUGUUGUUGGCCCAAUAAGUGGUAUCAAAGCUUCUGAUGAUAUAACAAGUAUUUGUUGGGAAACUUGAAACAUCUAAAUACAAUAAGAAAAAAAAUGAAAUAAAAAAAGACAAAAUAUUUACCUAGUUCGAGAUAAUCGCCCACAUCUAUGGGAAAGAAAGAUCAAAUUUAUUAAUAAACUUUACACACUUCAAACUAUCUUGACCAUUCUUUACCCAAAACUCAUACACCUUUUGACUAUCUCUAUUCAUUCUUUGCUCAUUUUUUCUUUCUAUCCUAAAAUCAUAUAUAAAACCACAUAUCUAUAAAGUUCUAAUCUUGAUCAAACUUAAAAGGGUCAUUUACCCAAAUAAAAACUAUACAAAUAUUAAAUUUUCACAAAAUAAAUAUAAUAAAUAAAUUGAAUUUAUAUAUAUAUAUAUAUAUAUUAAAAGAAUUUUUUUCUUCCAAAUGCAAGAGACCAAGUACCCCGACAAGGACUUAGAUAUCAUUUUUAAGGUAGAAAAUUUAUGACAAUGAAAAAUUUUCCACAUUUCCUUUCAUUGAAUUCCACAUCCAUACCAAAUGAAGAUUGUGACCACUUUUUAAAGAUGUUUUUGUCAUGCCAUGUCAAGGGAAAUUUAAGUAUAUUAUUUUCUUCAUUCAUUUAUUCAAGGUUUAUGCCAUGUCUACCAAGGUGGCCAUUUUUUCUUCAAUUUUUUGUCAUGUCUUGCUACCUUAUCAAGAAAAUUUUGUAUUAGCUUGACUUUGACAGCAUGUUUAGGUCAUCUGGAUUGGGGCCCUGUAAUUGCCCGUGACUAAAAAAAAUACAAAAAUAAAGACUUAGAAACUAAAAUUCUAGUUCAUGUCAACAAAUUUUAACAAAGCACUCCAUAAUAUAUGAAAUUUCUUAAAAAUUGUAUUUUUGUAAUAAUAGUUCUAAGCUUUUUUCUCCCUUUAUUUUAAGAAACAUUUGAAAGUGUCAACUGCAUUUUAAAUUUUGUAGGACUUUGAUGAUUAUUUGUAAAUAAUAGAUAUUUUAUAUAUUUUAAUUUUUAUUGAAAAUAAAUUUAUUUUGGUAAAAGGAAUUUUAUAGUAGAAAUUCAUUUCCUCACAUGGAAGUGCUAUAAAAAAAAAAUUUAAAUUACCUAAUCCAUUUGGUGCUUUUACAAAGUAUAUAUGAUUUAGUUGUGCUUCAAUGUAUCAUUUGCUUUGGAUUAAUUAAUUUCCAACCAAAUGAAUUAUACAUUUAGAUAUAAGGUAAUUUGGGUAACUAACAUUUAAUAGCUUCAUAAUUUCUUUAUUUAAAUCUUAUAAAAUUAAAUAUAUAACUUAUUAUAAACAAGUUGGAAGCAAAUAGUCAUUCAAGCCUUCAUUUUUCCUUUUCGAAUUGCUAUAAAGUUGAUUUUCUUUCCUAAAGAAUAAAAUAUUUGAGAAAAUUUUGAAAAGAAAUAAAAGAAGUUAUAAAGUAAAAUCACAAUGAAAAAUAAUAAGAAAAAUAAAAAGAUGAAAAAACAAAAACAAAAAACAUGUAAAACACGAUUUAUGUAGUUUGCCCUAAACCCUACAUUCACAAACAAAGAUAAAAAGGAACUUUUACUGUUGUUUAAAAAGAUUAUAAUCCUAUAACCCUUAAAUCCUAAAGUCUAAAUUAAUUAUACCUAGAAAAAUGAUUCUUUCUUAUUCGCUAUAAUGUCUUCUCAUAUUUUCUUGAUUACAUUGGAAUAUUUAAUAGAAGGAACUAAUUAUUUAAUUGUUAGAGAUACCUAUGAUAUUUUCUUUAUAAUUUGCAUGAGAAAAACCUUAUAAUAUCUUAUAAAGUUAAAAAUCCACAAUAAUAAAUCAUAUUAAAAGUCUCACUACAUCUCUGACAAUGAUUUUUGAAUUAUUUUAAAAUAUAUACAAAAUCGAACUCCCAAUAACAUCAAUAGGAUUGUAAAUAUUUCUCUUCUAUCAUUUAAAAUAAAAAGGAAAGAAAGACCAAAUUAUUGCUUUGGAAACCCAAUUCUUCUGUAGUUUAGUUUUAUAAAAUCAAUUAGAAAAUAAAAAAAAAUUCUUAGAAUAUUCAUUUUGCAAUCCUUUGUUGUUUUUACAAUCCAAUUUGACAUAUUUUAAAUUGUAGGAAUUCUUUGGAGGAAUUUGAAAAUCAAUUUCUGGUUUAUAGCUUAAAACAUUACUCUAAUCACUUAGAGCAUGUUUGACAAUGAUAUUAGAAGUUUGAAAUUUUCUAUCAUGACAUUAUUAUUAGGAUUAUAUAAAAGAAAGGAAAAUAGUUAUCACCUAAUCCAAUCAUGUCAACUUUAGAUAGUUGGAAGUGAUCCAAAAAUUGUGCAACUAGUUUAUGUCAUGUAAUUUUAUAAUGUUUCUAUCACUAUGACCACUUUUUCUUCACUCAUUGUUAAUAUAUUUUUUCGCUUCUUGGUACCAUAUUAAGGAAAAUUUUCAUUGGAUUGACUUCAACUUUAUGGUUAGAUCAUCAACAUUCAAGCCUUUUCAAUGGCCUCUAACUAAAAAAUAUACAAAUAUAUAAAUUAAAAAUUCAAAGUCCAAAAAAAUGUUGCUAUCUUCACUUAAAACAUUAUUUUUGAAGUCGUGUCCUUUUGUCCUCUUGCACAAAACAAAAAGUACUCCUUACUCCAAUCCAAGGAUGUAUAGAAAAUAAUAAAAUAUGAAUUGACUAACCUAAGUAUGAAGUCAAGAACCAUCUUCUCAUUUAUUAAAGGAACCAUUUUUAAUCAUAUCAACUACUUAAAUAGGGUUAGAGCUUUAACAAUUAACUUUAUUUGAACUUUAUUAUCAAUUGGCCAUAUUCUUUCCAUUAAUUAAUUACCUUCAAAUUAGUUAUGUAUUAAUUAACAAAAUUUUCUAUCUGAAUUUAUAAUUGAAUAAUUACAACUAAGUGAUACAAAAUUCAAAUUAGGUUCUAUUUGGAUUAAAGUAAAAUAAAAAUAAAAAAUCACCAUCUUAAUCUAUUAUCUCUUAAUUUUAAUUUUAAUUUUUUAAAUGAGAGAGACUUAAUCUAUUAUGUUGACUCAAACUUUAACUUUGCAUUAUAUCUUGUUAUCCUAUUAGCAUGACUUUGCUACUACUUGUCCCACACAAGAAAUAAUAUGCACAUAUAGAUGAUAAAAUCAUUAGUUGUAUGAAUUGAGUCAUGGAAAAACCUUCCUCAAAAUAUCACAAUCUUCAUGAUGUCCUAUCAAUAAGUAUACAAGUAAUAUUUCACAAUCUUAUAAAAAUUUAAGGAAAAAUAAAAUAAAAUAAUCAAUAACACAUCAACAAUUUUAGCAUGCCACCUCGAAAUAAAUAAAAUCUCUUGAACAUUUGAAAAUUUCUAUGAUGAGGUUACCAUUUCUGAUAGGACCAUGCCCAUCAAAGCUGGCUCAGCACUAUAAAAUCCAAUCCAAUUAACAAAUCAACUAUUUAAAAUAAUCCAAAGAUUGUGGCCUUUUAAAGACAUUUUUGUCAUGUCAUGUGUAAUCAAGUCAGCUUUGAAUAAGAUGCAAGGGAAAUUUAAAGACAUUAUUUUCCUCAUUCAUUUAAUUAAAGGUUUGUGCCGUGUCUACCAAGGUGGCCAUUUUUUUUCAAUCAUAUUUAAUUUGUCAUUUCUUGUUAUCUUAUCAAGAAAAUUUUGCACUAGCUUGACUUUGACUCUAUGUUUGGGUCAUCUAGAUUAUGGCCUUAUAACUGUCUAUGACUUGUCAAAUAUUACAUUUUAAAUUUUAUUGAACUUUGAUGAAUAUUUGUAAAUAAUAGAUAUUUUAUAUAUUUUGAUUUUCAUUGAAAAUAUAUAUUUUUUUUUUGGUAAAAUAAAUUUUACACUAGCAAUUCAUUUCCUCACAUGGAAGUGUUGGAAAAAAUUUAAAAAUUACCUAAUCCAUUUGGUGCUUUUACAAAGUACACAUGAAUUAGUUGUGCUUCAAUGAAUCAAUUGCUUUAGAUUAAUUAAUUUCCAACCAACUGAAUUAUACAUUUAGAUAUAAGGAAAUUUGGGUAACUAACAUUUAAUAGCUUCAUAAUUUCUUUAUUAUAUAUAUAACUUAUUAUAAACAAGUUGGGAGCAUAUAGUCAUUCAAGUCUUCAUUUUUCCUUUUCGAUUUGCUAUAAAGUUAAUUUUCUUUCGUAAAGAAUAAAACAUUUGAGAAAAUUUUGAGAAGAAAUAAAAGAAGUUAUAAAUUAAAACCACAAAAAAAAAAAAAAAAAAUGAAAACAAAAACAAAAAACACGUAAAACAUGAUUUAUGUAGUUUGCCCUAAAGGCCACAUUCACAAAUAAAAAUAAAAAGGAACUUUCACUAUUGUUUAAGAAGAUUAUAAUCCUACAACUCUUAAAUCCUAAAGUCUAAAUUAGUUAUACCUAAAAAAAAUUAUUCUUUCUUAUUCACUUAAAUUUCUUCUCAUAUUUUCUUGAUUACAUUGGAAUAUUUAAUAUAAGGAACUAAUUAUCUAAUUAUUAAUAGAGAUGCCUAAGAUAGUUUCUUUAUAAUAAUAGAAAGUCUCUAUAGAAUAUAUCAUAAUAAGAAAAUAUCAAACGCAUACAAAUUAAUUCAAAUGUUAAUUUAACAUACUUUCCAACAAUAUAAAUCCAUCUCGACUCAAAUUCCCAAGAUUUAAACAUACUUGAAAGUCAUCUUUCAUGUUUCUUUACUCCACACACUUAAACAAAUUUUAGGUACAAUAAUCUCCAAUUGAGUUUAGACAAUUCUUGAGCUUAAAUAUAGAAAGAAAUUUAGUAAUUACAUCUAUUAGACUCUCUAAUACAAUGAUCUUUUUACUAGUGUCUUUUGUACUAAGUAAAGAAGCAACAAAAUCAUCAAUAGCAUACCUAUGAGAUAGUUUAAUCCACUUUCUUAUUUUGCCCCUAACCAAAGUAUAUUAUUGCUUUUAUGACACAUUUUCUUUAUCAUCAAUAUUUUGCAACUCUUCCUCAUUUAAUUUUAUUGAAAGUUUCUUUUCUAUAGUUGAUGAAGCAUUAAAUUGGAACUCCACCUUUUUUCUCGCCUUAGAAUUGUUUUAUGUAUCAAAUUGCUCUUUUCUAUUACUCAACUUUGGAGGCUCAUCAAAGAUCACAUAUUAGACAAUUAAAGGAUUUUGAACGAGGGUACCACAACCUAUACCCUUUCACACUAUCUACAUACCGUGAAAAUAUGUGCUUCCUUAUCCUUGCAUCUAAUUUAUCUUCAUUGAAAUAAGUAUAAGUAGAACAAUUAAUUUUUUUUUAAUUAUCCUUAGUUGUAAUUUAUCUUCAUUUGAAUGAGCAUAAAAAGAACAACUAUUUUAAAAAAAAAUUAUAUACAUACUUCUUGAGAAAACAAAUGGUAUUUUAUUAAAAUUGAAAUAUGAGGAGUUCUUUUUUUAUAUAAGAAAAAAACAAAUCUUGAACAAUUACAUAAUGGAUUUUUAAUGCAUCGAUUUCCUAAUAUAUAAAUAUAAUACAAUAUUUAACUAGGUUAUUAAUUUGAAAUUUAGUUAUAUUAUAAUAUGAUUUUUUUUUUUUUCAUGUCAUAUUCUGAGCACUACAUAAAAGCUAUGGUCUUUGGGUGUAAGGGCAAAUGUGUAGAAUUAAAUGAUUUUUUCAUGUUUUUUUGAAAAUUAAAUUCAACAUUUAAAUUUGAGAAAUUAUAACUUCAACACUUAUAAUUUAGCAAUAAACUUUUUUAUAUUUAAUUUUUAGUUUUAUUAGCACCAUUUUAAUCUUUGUAUAACACUAAAACCUUUUUUUUUUUUUUUUUAACUUGUGUGCUUAAAAAUGUUUUUAUUAAAUAUAAGAAUAAUUAUAAUGUUUCUAAAAAUUUUAAUUAAAUAAAAAUUUGCUUCCAAUGUUGCAUUUGACAAAAAUCAAGAGUAUCCUUAUUUAUCUGAAAAGCAAAUAAAUCAUAUGGGGAAGUGUGGUAUCCAAGAUUGAAAGUUUGGAUGCUUAUGGUAUUGUAUAAGAUUUAGCUCUAUCGAUCUAUACAUAAUAAAUGCUAGUUACUAAUAGGUAAGAAAAUCACCAAAACCGUGUGUCCAUUUCGUUUUCAAGAAAAAUAAACUAUGUGCAUCAUAGUAAUCAAAGUCUAUGGUUAGGGCUAUCCCAAGUCAAGGUCUUGCUAAAAGGUAAAUUAAUUAUAUAUCAUAGCUCAUAAACUUAAUUUUAUAUAAACUAAAAAGUAAAUUAAUGAUAUAUCAUGGUUCAUAGUGGUUAGAAAAAUUGAUAAAUUUCUUUGAGUUAUUAUAAGUAAAUCUCAUUACUAACAAUUGGAAAGAACUUUGUUUUUUGUUUUUCUAGUUGUUAGUUCACUAGACCUCUUGAGGUCACUACACGAAAAGUACUUAUAUAUAUCAAAAGAUUUUUUUUCUUCAACACCCAAGAGACCAAUGCCACCAACAAGAACUAGAUAUAAUAUCAUUGAAUUUUUAUGAACGAAGCACAACUUGCCUAUGCAAGAAGGUAGAAUAGAAGAAUUUUCCACAUUUCCUUUUAUUGAAAUCCACAUCCAUACCAUGAUAAUUUGUGCCUUCAUCCGAGAAGUUGUAAUAUUAUAAAUAUAAGAAAAUAUUAUUGGUUCUUGCCUAGUAUUCUCUUUUCGCUAUCAGUUGGAAAAGAGACAAUUUUCACAAUAAUGUGUGCCAGGACUUCUACAAUAUCCUUUGCACACUUAUAAAUGUUAAAAAAAAAAAAAAAAAAGUUUCAAAACCCCAAGACUUCAAAAAAAAAAAAUUGUUAAACUAAUUAUGGAACUUAUAACUUUUUAGAUGAGUGUAUUUACUAACUAUGCAAUCUAACAAAAUCUAUAAAAGUUCAUUAAGGAAAAAAAUAUUUAUGAGAUGUUAUAUUUUAUACUACAUAACAUUAUGCUUUGAGGAAAAAUUCUCUAGUUGUAGAACAAUUUCUUCUAAAUUAAAAGAGAAAAAAAUUGUCACUCUCUUGUAUAAUGAUUGAUUUAAGUGGUUAGAAGAAUGAUACUUGGUGAUAAAUAAUAUGAGAAUCAAUUUUUAUAAUAUAAUAAAUAUCUCAUCAAAUCAAAUGGCUAGUCUCAUACUUAUCCAUCAAUAACACACUAAAUAUCCAACCACCCCACCAAUCUCAUUAAAACCCUAUAAUACCCUAUAAAUCAUCUUUAUCAUUCUUGAAAAAAUCCACAAUAAUAAAUCAUAUUAAAAGGCUCACUACAUCCCUAACAAUGAUUUUUGAAAUUAUUUUAAAACAUAUACAAAAUCGGACUUCCAAUAACAUCAAUAGGCUUGUAAAUAUUUCUCUCUCCUACCUUCUUAAAUUUUUCGUCUACGCUUGUCACCAUAUCAAGUCAAAAUCAUGUUGAAGUGUUAGCCAAACAAAAAAAGACUUGAGCCACUAUCUUCACUUAAACGUCAAGUUUUAAUGGAGACAAAUGAAUUAUGGGGCCAUGGAACAGAUUUCUUCAUCUUGAUAAGUUGUAGGUCAUGAACCAAGUUGCUUGAAAAGGACGGUAGAGGACUGAAAUAUUUCCUCACAAGAGCCUUAUAAUAUUAUAUCUUGAUGACUUCCAAUAAGUCAAUACCACUUUCCCCCACAAGAUGUCUUCAAUGGGUCGAAAUUCAAAAUAAAUGAUUCACCUAAUGUGAUGGAAAUAGAAAUAAUUUGCAUGCAUUUCCUUUACUUUAUUUAUUUGGCAUAUCAUAACUCAAACUUUUUUUUUUUUAAUCAACUUACUGUUGCACUAUUCAUUUAGUUUAUCUUAUACAAAUAUAUACACUAAAUAAUAAUAAUUUCAUAAAUAAAAAAUUCACCACCCAAAAAUAUAAAAAAAAAUUAAUGUUUAUUUCUAAUUUUUUUAAAAUUUAUAUUAUCAAAAUUUCUAAGCUUUGGACAAUUUGACUAAAUUACGAAGUCAAAAAUUUAUUGAAAAAAACUAAUUACAAAAAAUAUUAAAAAGAAAUUCCAAGUGACACAAAGACAAAUACAAAAAAAGAAAAAAAAAUGAGGACUUUAACAAAAGAAAGUUUUUAUUACUUAUUAAUGUAAAACUUGAUUAAUAUAUUGUAAAAAUAAAAAGAAAAAUAGUUGUUAAAGUAAAUUUGUAAAAGUAUAUUGAAAAUAAAACAAACUCUCUCUACACUCCUACUUCAUCUAAUUUCUUGAAACCCCUGGUUUCUCUACGAUCUUUGCAAAUAUAAGUUAUUUGCUUAUGUUCUCAAGGGUCAUAUUUGGUUAGAGUUUUUUCUUUUUUCUUUUUUUUUUGGUGGAUAAAAAACACAGGAAAAUGAGAAAGGGAAAACGAGAAAGCAUUAGUUUGUGGGCCUAAUGCUUUCUCCACUGUCCAUGAAUUUAAGGACCAUUAAAGAAUCAAAUUUAUGUAAAUCAUGUGUAAAUGUUGGUUAAAAAAGAUGGCAUUGCCUGAAGGGAUAAACACAAAGAAUGCACAACCAUGUUUUAUCCCCUCUUGUGAGAACCUAAUAGGAAUCAAUCAAAUAGAGCAACAAGAAUUCACCCAAUCAACAAGUAUAUGAACACCAAUAAUUUUAGCGUGGAAAACCUUCUCCAAUAUGAGAAGUAAAAACCACGAGACCUUUAAGCCACUUAAAAACUCCAGUAAUAUAAUUAAUGGGUUGCACAAUUCUCUCUAGAUAAAACUACAGGCAUACAUCAACCAUAUCUCAAGAUCAAUUAAUCUCGGCAAUUUCAAUAACUUUGGAUAAAAAUAAUGGAAAGAUCUCACCAAACACACCACUGUUCUCGGACUAAAAUAUAACUGUUCCAAACUCCAAAUCCAAUCUCCACCGUUCAGAAUGAAGAUCAAUAAGUCAUGAACGUGCUAUCCAAAAAUCGGCUCAAUCGAACCACGGAUUAAUCUUGAUCGGAGCUUAUGAUCAAAACUAUCCGGAUAGAAAAUGCAUCAAAACAGAGGCUUUGUUCUCGGACUGAAAGACGACCGUCCAGAUCUCCAAAUCCGAUCUCCACCGUUCAGAUUGAAGAUCAAUGAGUUAUGAACCUCUCCUCCAAAUUUCAGGUCGAUCGGCCCACAGACGAAGUGGGAUCGUACCUUUGAUGAAAUCUGGGCAAUGAAGAAAAAACUGUGUUUUUCUCUUCAAAAAUGGUGGUUCUCCCCUUCUCUCUCUUUUCUCUCUCUCUUUUUCUUCUACCUCCGGUGGCUGCAAAAAAUUGGAAGAAGAAGAAGAAAAGGGAUUCUUCUUCUACCCCUUUUAUAUAAAGGCUUAAGAGGCCUUAAAUUUUGGGCUCUCAAUUUUGGGCCUUCCACAUGAGGAAAAACCCAACAAAUCUCCCCCUUUCCAAUUAUGUGGAGGGACUCGCUAUUCCGGCGAUUGAAUAGCAAACUUCAAGCUUCUCCCUUGGUAAGGACUUCGUUAACAUAUCUGAGUCAUUGUGAUCUAUAAGUAUCUUCUCAAGUUCAAACAAGUUGUCAUUGAGAGCAUUUCUCAUCCAAUGAUACCUCACAUCAAUGUGCUUCGAUCUUACAUGAAAGGUAAAAUUCUUACUAAGGUGAAUGGCGCUCUGGUUAUCACAGUAUACCACAUAGCGUUGCUACUUAAACCCAAACUCAUGUAUGAAACGUUUCAUCCACAACAACUCUUUACAUGCUUCUACUGCUGCAAUGUACUCUACCUCUAUUGUAGAAAGUGCAACACAUUUCUGUAGUUUUAAUUGCCAAGACACAACACCUCCUGAGAAUGCCAUUAAAUAGCCUAAAGUAGACCUUCUAUUAUAUACAUCCCCUACCAUAUCUGAAUUAGUGUAGCCAACAAGUACUAGUUUCCCACUUCCAAAAGUGAGUUUCAACUUAGAAGUGCCUCGCAAAUAUCUCAUAAUUCACUUGAUUGCCUCCCAAUGUAGUCUUCCUGGAUUAGAUAGAAAGUGGCUAACAACACCAACUGCAUAAGUUAUGUCUGGUCUAGUACAUACCAUGACAUACAUCAAACUUCCUACUGUUGAGGCAUACGGAACUCUUCUCAUGUCUUCCUUAUCCUUAUCUAUAGAAGGGCAAUGUCUACUGCUUAGCUUAAAGUGACUAGCUAGAGGAGAACUAACCACUUUAGCUUUGCUCAUGUUAAAUCUUUCAAGCACCUUUUCAAUAUAUUGCUCCUAUGACAUAUAUAGCUUCUUGGAUGCUCUAUCUCGCUCAAUUCUAAUACCAAGAAUUUUCUUUACUGGCCCCAAAUCCUUCAUGGAAAAGGAUUUACUUAACUGCUUCUUCAGCUUAUCAAUUCUUGAAACAUUUCUGCCAAUAAUCAAGAUAUCAUCAACAUAGAACAACAAUAUAACAAAAUCAUCAUCAGAGAAUUUCUGCAUAAAUACACAAUGGUCAGAAGUAGUUUUUCGGUAGCCUUGCUCUCCCAUAACUGAUUCAAACUUCUUAUACCACUGUCUUGGUGCCUGCUUUAACCCAUAAGGACUUUCUUCAACUUACACACAUAAUCCUCUUUUCCUUUUAUUGUGAAACCCUCUGGCUAUUCCAUAUAAAUUUCUUUGUCUAAAUCACCAUGGAGAAAUACAGUUUUAACAUCCAUCUGCUCAAUCUCCAAAUCAAGACUAGAUGUCAAGCCCAAAAUAACACGAAUAGAUGACAUCUUAACAACAGGAGAAAAAAUCUCAUCAAAAUCAAUACAUUUCUUUUAACUGAACCCUUUAACAACCAAUCUAACUUUGUAACGUGGCUGUAAAGUGUGUUCUUCUUGCUUCACUCUAUAAACCCACCUAUUCUUCAAAGCUCUUUUUCUCUUUGGCAACUCGACAAGUUCAAAAGAAUGAUUCUCAUGCAAUGACUUCAUCUCAUCUUGCAUAGCAUCAACCCACUUCAUCUUAUUUUCAUCUCCCAUGGCUUCCUCAUAACUUUCAGGUUCUCCCCCGUCAGUUAGUAAUACAUAAUCAUCAACAAAAUACCAUGUGGAAGGAUGUAGGUCUCCGUUAGACCUCCUGAGUGGAAUAUCUAGUGGAGCCUUUGCUACUGGUGACUACUCAUGAACAUCAUCAUCCAUCUCAACCUGUGUGGGAGUUUCAACAUCACCAAUGUCAUGUUGGUCAUCAUGUGCUUAAUCUUCAACCUGUGUAGGAAGAUGUGUCAAAGGAACUGGAUCUAAGUCAAUCAGAUUAUCACUAUACUGAAACUAUGUUGCAUCAGUCUUCUCAAUGUGUUUGACAUUCUUCAAAAUCAACACAGUACCAUUACUAGUCUCCAAACACACAUCUCCCAUACCAAUGGCUUUAGCUGAGCCAUCAUUACCCAUCUUAACACUUCCAAAAUCACCGGAUGUGUAGGAUGUAAGGAAAUCUUUCCAAGGUGUAGCAUGGAUUGAGGCACCACUAUCAAUCACCCAACUGGUCUCCUGGCAAACAAAAUUAACAACAUUACUAUCAUAAACAAUAAGGAAAUCUGAAGUGGUAGUGGCAACUUGAUCAUCUUCACCACCAUUGUCAUUAUUCUUGUCUUUCACUUUCCCUUGUUUCAUAUCUAUCUUCAAUUGGCGACAAUACUUCCUUAUAUGCCCUUUCAAAUGGCAAUAAUGACACUCAACAUUGGCAAACUUGUUAGUCUUGAUUUUGCUUCUGUCUCUGUUCUUCGGACCUCUACUCUUACUCAUCCCCCUCUUUUCAGUAAUUAGGACAUAUGACUGUGAAGAAGAACCCUGUAACUUUCUUCUCAUCUCUUCAUUCAAAACACAACUCUUAACCAAAUCCAUAUUCAUCUGGGGCUAAGUUAGACAAAGAAGUUCUAAACAUCUCUCACGAGUCCGGCAAUGUACCAAGAAGUCACAACCCUUGCACCUCUUCCUCAAACUUGAUAUUCAUUCCAGCCAACUGAUUAAUAAUACCUUGGAAUGUAUUCAAGUGAUCUGUCAUAGGAGUUCCAUCUAGAUACUUCAAGCUAAUCAUCUUCUUGAUUAGAAACAAUUUAUUGUUACCAGUCUUUCGAGCAUAUAACUGUUCAAGCUUGUUCCAUAGACUCCGUGCAUGUUUCUCUUCACUAACAUGAUUGAGAACAUUAUCAUCUACCCACUGUCUGAUAUAACCACAAACCUGUCGAUGAAGUAAAUUCCAUUAUGCAUCAGUUUUAUUUUCUGGCUUUUUAGAAGCAAACACAGGCAAAUAAUUAUUAUUCACAUACAAUAGGUCUUCCAUCUUUCCUUUCCAAACAUGAUAAUUGGAGUCAUUCAAAGUAAUCAUUCUACUUGUAUUGUUUUCCAUUGUUCUACACAAGGCACAAAUUAUCUUGAACCAAUGCUCUAAUACUACUUUGAUGGGAUAAACACAAAGAAUGCACAACCAGGUUUUAUCCCCUCUUGUGAGAACCUAAUAGGAAUCAAUCAAAUAGAGUAACAAGAAUUCACCCAAUCAACAAGUAUAUGAACACCAAUAAUUUUAGCAUGGAAAACCUUCUCCAAUAUGAGAAGUAAAAACCACGGGACCCUUAGGCCACUUAUAAACUCCACUAAUAUAAUUAAUGGGUUACACAAUUCUCUCUAGAUAAAACUAGAGACAUACAUCAACCACAUCUCAAGAUCAAUUAAUUUUGGCAAUUUCAACAACUUUGGAUAAAAAUAAUGGAGAGAUCUCACCAAACACACCACUGUUCUCGGAUUGAAAUAUAAUUGUUCAGAACUCCAAAUCCAAUCUCCACCGUUCAUAAUGAAGAUCAAUAACUCACGGACGUUCUCUCCAAAAAUCAGCUCAAUCGAACCACGGAUUAAUCUGGAUCGAAGCUUAUGAUCAAAACUGUCCGGAUAGAAAACGCAUCAAAAAAGAGGCUCUAUUCUCGGACUGAAAAACGACUGUCCAGAUCUCCAAAUCCGAUCUCCACCAUUCAGAUUGAAGAUCAAUGAGUCAUGAACAUCUCCUCCAAAUUUCAGGUCGAUCGGCCCACAAACGAAGUGGAAUCGUACCUUUGAUGAAAUCUGGGCAAUGAAGAAAAAACUGUUUUUAUCUUCAAAAAUGGUGGUUCUCCCCUUCUCUCUCUUUUCUCCUUCUCUCUCUUUUUCUUCUACCUCUGGUGGCUGCAAAAAAUUGGAAGAAGAAGAAGAAAAAAAAGGAUUCUUCUUCUAACCCUUUUAUAUAAAGGCCUAAGAGGCCUUAAAUUUUGGGCUCUCAAUUUUGGGUCUUCCACAUGAGGAAAAACCCAACAUUGCCUACUAUACAAUGACUCCUUUAAACAAGUCUCACAUCAAGCAUCUGCUUGGGGUAUGCUUUUAGAAUAAAUUUAACGUAUUUUUAGUUGUUUUUGUACAAUGUUGUGAGCAUUGAUCAAAAAGAUGAAACGGAAUUUUUACAUUGUAGAAUUUUUACUAAAAUCAAUUAUCAAUUAUUUUUAAGAACUCGUAGAAUUGUUUUCAAAUACGUUGUUAAAUAGACCCUUAUUUUUUAUGAAGUAUAUACCAUGCUACAAAGUUUUGUGGUGUAAGAAAGCAUAAUUGUGCUACAAUGUACAUACCAUUGAACUUCACAAAUGGAUCAACCGCCCUUGAGCCUUGAAAAUAGCUAGAGAAACAUGCCUUGUUUUCUUCUCUUCUCUACCUCUUUUCUCCUUUCUUUUCACUCCGCACGAUCUCUCUCCGAAAUGGUCUUCUGCUGUCUCUAAAUACCAGCCCUAGCUGCUAUCCAAGAAUGGGCUUAAGAAUACCAAAGAACCAGCCCUAUAUGUGGGCUUAAGAGAGUCUUUUCAUUGGCAAGUCCAACAACGAUAAUAAUAUAGGAUUAAAAAAAUUAAUGAUUAACAAAGGUAAUUAUGAUUAACAAAGAAACCAAUUAUUUUUUUACCUUCUAGGCAAAGUCAUACUCAAUAACCAAUAAUGACUUGUCCAUUUUUUAGCACCCUUUCUUCUUCCAUUCUUUCAACAUUUUUAGCCUCCCUGCCUUGCUUCAUUUAACAUCCCCUCAUCUUCGUAUCGAUAUAUUGCUCCUUCUACUACUUCUCUUUCAUCAUAUUCUUGUACUGAUUUAACUUACACUCCUCCCUCUUCAAUUAUCACUUCUUCUAACACAACAUUAGUUUCAUUAUCUAUCAAUCUUUCAACAAUUUCAAGUGUUGGUUCCUUAUAAAUGCGUUGGCAUUUGACUCUAAUUAUUUAUUUUUUAUUUUUAGGAGAGUCAAUAUUUGUAAAGUUUGUGUUUGGACAAGUUAUGGUUUUGAAUUUGACUAGAAUUAGGAAACUAUUAGAAAAAGGUUUAGCCAAUAGAACUUUAUAAAUAUGUGGUUCUACGCGAGAUUUCCACAAAAGAGCAAAAAAAAAAAAAAAAGUGAGCAAAGAGUGGAGAGAGAUGGUGUAUUAGGUUUUGUGUAAAAAGAAGUUAAGAGAGUUUGAGUUUGUAUUUCUAAAAUUUAUUAAUAAAUUUGAUCUCCCUUUCUAGUGGACCUAGGCGAUAAAGUAGAACAGUAUAAGAGAGUGUUGUGGUUUUCUUAACAACUGUAUCAAAGCUUUCAUUUUCUUAAAAAGUGAUAUCAAAGCUCCUAUUUUCCCAACAAGUGAACAUCAAAACUUUUGUUUUCUCAACAAGUAGUAUAUGAUAAACAUCAAGAGUCUUCACCAGAAUAGCAACUGAUUUGUUAGAUAGUUACCCUUAGAUAGGUUGCAACUGAUCUAUUAGAUAGUUACCCUUAGUUAGUUAGGUUGUUGAACCCAUAGUUUGUUAAAUCAUUUUUGAAAUAGCUUGUAUAAAUAGAUUGAUAACAAAAGUUCUUGGAGUGUUGUUCUUCUUUGUUGGCAAUCUUUUAUGGUAUUAAAGCCAAGUUUUUCCCUUUUAUCAUUUCUAGAUUCGCUUUCUUCCUUUUUGUUGGCCUGAUUACAGUCGUUCUCCUCUCAAAGAACAUCCACCGUCACAGGGCUACUUCAACCUAAUUUUCCAAUCCAUAAAACUCUCUGGACAUAACGUCCUCACAAUCUCUUAGAUUGGUUCAACCAUUGCAUAUGUUGAAUCAUUCUCUUCCUAUCAAACUAAAUAGGAGUAGUUACAUUAUCUAGUGGAGAAUAUGAUAUUUGACAAAGGGUUUGAAGAGCAUAUUAAAGGAGUUCCGUCCUCCCAAGACAACCACCAUUAGUGAAACCAAUCUAGACUUCCUUACUUGGCGACAUUUUUAUUGCGUGAUCCUGAGUUGGAUCUACACUUCCCUUACUCCUGAAAUUAUGGGACAAAUAAUUAGAUAUCAUACUUCUCAUGCAACAUGGACUGCUUUAGAGAAGAUCUUCUCCACCUCAUCAAAAACAUAAGCAAUGUAGUUUCGGUUAGAAUUUCAAACAGCUUGGAAAGGCUCCCUCCAUGAUGGAAUACAUACUCAAGUUGAAGAUGCUCAUUGAUUAACCUUGCUACCAUUGGAGAGUCAGUAUAAAAAAGAAACCAAAUCUUGAAACUUCUUGGCGGUCUUGGAGCAGAUUACAACUCCAUAGUUGCAUCCCUUAUAGCUCAUGAAGAUGAUAUACCCCUACAUUAGUUCACAACAUUUUACUCACCUAUGAACAAAGACUCAACUUUUAGAGUUCAGUAAUAGAAAACGAAGUUAUCUUUACUCAUAUAGCCACACAAGGACAAUUUGCUCACCUAAGAAGAUACCAAAACAGGGAAACUAACUCCUACUUCAACAACCAAAUUAACUCCCACCAUCAUCAAGGAAGAGGAUGUUCAGGUGGCCAUGGGCAAGAUCAUUGAACAAAUCUUAAUGGCAACGGUAGUAGACCUCAAUGCCAACUUUGUGGUAAAAUCAUAGGUUUGGUAUAAAUUUUCAAGGACCUAAUCCCUUGCCUACAAAUCCUAUCAAACCUUCAUCAAUCACUCCUAAUAGCAAUGAUAUACAAACGAUGAUGGUCUCUCCUUUAAUCUACAAUGAAUCUUGGUUUCUUGACAAUAUUAGGGCAACACACCAUCUCUCCCUAAGUGAUAAUACUCUCUCAAACGCUCAUCCAUACCACAACAAUUACAAAGUCAUAGUUGGAAAUGGUAAGAAAUUAUCCAUCUCACAUGUUGGUUCUAAGUCAUUUCAAACUUCUCACAAGUCCUUUCAAUUACGAAGCAUUCCUCAUCUUGCUACAAAUCUUAUCAAUGUUCCUAAAUUUUGCACUAACAACAAUUUAUUAUUGGAAUUUCAUCCUACUUUCUUUCUUAUUAAGGACUAGAAUACAAAGAAGAUUCUUCUUCAAGGAAACAUUGAGCAUAGAUUGUAUAAAUUCCCCAAUAACCACAUUGGUACCUCUUCAACAUUCUUUCCUUCUAGGCACUUAGCUCUCAUUAGAUAAUAAAAUAAGAAUGAGCUAAUCAACUGAUGAAUUCAACAACCAUCUUAUUAAAAAAUAUAAAUAAUUACUCAGAUAGUGUGAUGGCCAGAUAGGAUAGUCUGAUGGAAGAUGGUGACAACCUCUCUUUUUUUAACAUAAAGCAUAAUAAUUCCAAGUCCAGGAUACUUUUCUUCUAAUAAAGUGCUUGCUUUAAACUUUCCUUUUGAUAAAGUUUUUGCUUUAAAGUUUAGUUACUUUUAGAGUCAUGAGGUCUUGUCCUCUUAUACAAAAUCUUUUUCUUACCCAAUUGCAAGAAAUGAUAUGAGAUAAUGAAUUAAGAAUGAACUAAUCCAAUUAUGGAUCAACAACCAUUCUAUUUUAUAUAUAUAACCAAUUCUAAUCACCCCAUUACCUAGAUAAUGUGAGAGUUAUAGCAAUUAAGUAAUUCAUUUAAUGUUAAACUUGUAAUCCUUCUAUAAAUUACCUUUAAAUUAGUUAUAUAUUAAUUAACAUAUUUUUCUAUCUUAAUUUAUAAAAAGCUACUCAAUCAAUCUCAUUAACUCCACCCAAAAAAAAUACUACCAUAAGUUCUAAGAGAGUUUGAAUUAAUGAUUAUCAAUUCUUUUAUAUUUCAUCCAAGUUGUUGAGUCUUUACAUCUAGCCCCUACAAGAUGGAAUGAUCUUAGAAUUACUAUUUGAUUAUAAAUUAAAUGUUUUUAAAUUUGAUUCUUAAAAAUUUGCUCUAUUAAGCUAAUAAUUUGAUCAAAACUAUAAGGGAGUUGGGUUAAGACUAUAAUAUUUCACUUAAGUGGUUCCUCCUCUAUACUGAAGUGGAAUAACUUUCUAUAUGUUAGGAGCCAAAAGAAUUUGAUUAAGAUUUAAGAAUCCAAACUUCCAGUUGACGGAGAUUCUAUAGGAGUCCUAUGUUUAGGUCAAUAAGAAAGGGAGAGUUUCAUGAAAGUCUGAUAGGUUGUUGCACCCAAUUUUUGGUAUUGUUUUAGAUUUAUAAGGUUGUUCUAUUGGAUUCAUCAAGCCAUUGUGUGGAUCUACUAACAAAAGGGAGAGCCAAUUGUUCUCUUUAAUUUGUUGGAUAUUUCUAACUUUUUAAUUUUGAGUUCAUAGUUGGUAAAUAAUAGUUGUGCAUUUCCACCAAUAUUUAGAUUUUUUUUUAUUUUGCUUUUUUAACUUUUGAUCAAAGUUAUGUAGUGGUUGUAUUUUUUUGGCAAGAUUUCUUAUGCAAUGAAUAAUCCAACUUCGGUGAUAUUUUAAGUUACCAACCAUGCUAAAAUCUUCAAAGGACUCAAUGUUGAGGUGAUACGGCUAUAAGGGAUUGAGAAUAAAAGUAAAAUACCAUGUGAAAGAGAUGAAUCGAAUCCUAACAAAGUGGGAUUUGAUUUAUAUAAGAAUAAAUUUUGUAUUUCUAUUCUCAUUCCAAAAAAUAAUAUAUUCAACUAUAAAAUGAAUGGAAAAUGAAAUAAUAGGUAAAGGUCGCCUACUUAAAAGAAACAUAAAAAGGAAGUCUGUGUAAGGUAGGGAAUUUUAUGCAACUAUGGUGUAUCUGAUUUCUUUCCUUGAAACAUUUAUUGGAAAUUUCAUGUCAUUUCUAUGAUUUCAUUAAAUGUUUUAAUGUGUCAUUACAUCUCGGUUUAUUGUGUUGAAAUGUUACAUUGAGAUUGGAACGCAUAUUGGUGUGGAGAUUCAUGGUUCUGUGUUAUGGAAAUAGUCUAUGGUGUGGUUGCAUGGCAAGAAGGAUAUGGAAUAAUCACGGAUGAUAUUUAGAGAAUUGGUUGGUAGGAAGUGUCUAUGUGGUGCUACAGGCAUUAUCUUUUGAUAUAUUGUUUAUGUGGGACCGUGGGUCCUUGGGUGAAAGUCCCUAAAGCCCUCGAGGAAGACACUCCGAUGUGGGUGUAUGGGGUUGGUCCUGCCCUUGGGUUUUAGUCCCUAAAGACACAAGAUUGGUCCUGCCCUUGGGUAUGAGUCCCAAAAGACACGGGGUUGGUCUUGCCCUUGGGUAUGAGUCCCAAAAGACACGGGUAUGACUUGCCCUUCAGUGAUGUCCUAGAAUAGUCAUCAUUAUAUUGAUCGAGUAUCUUGUGGAGCAUUGAUAUCUGAUGUGUAGAUUGUUGGGGGUCAGCAGUUUAUCAGUUGUGAAAGGAUGGAUGGGGAAAAGCAAUGAUGAAACUAGCAAACACAUGCAUACAUGUUUGACAUGAUUAUACAUUGUUUAAUGGUUAUAAAAUGUUUAUCAUCCAUGUUUUUAAACAUUUAAUUCAAGGUUUUUAAGGGUAUGCUUUGGAUUGUUAUAAACUUUUCUACUGAGUUGUGAACUUACCCUAUCCCUUCCACCUUUAGAUGUAGGUCAGAAGACCUAUGCAGGAAAUAAUGCUUGAGCAAUGCUUUACUGUGAUUGGAUUAUGUUUGCUCAAUUAAAAGUCUUUUGAGGCUUUGCCUUUGUAUUAAGGACUAAAUAUUUUUGUAGGAAUGAUGUAAUAUAUAUACUUGUCAGGUACACUUGCAGUAAGGGCUACUCGUAGUGAACAAUGAGGUUUUGGUAUAUGUAAAUUAACGUAGUAUAAGUUUCUUUUAAGAAACGAACCAUAUUUUGUUAACUACAAGUUACAAAGUUUAAUAUAGGAUGUACUCUUUAUAACAGGUUUUGCAUAUCCUCUUUUUGCACAAAAUCAAGUAGGAACUCAACAUUUAAUUUUUUUGAGAGCACUUAUAUUGUAUUUGAGUAUCAAUUGUUUGGUUUGAAGAUUAACAAAAAAAAUUUGGGGUGUGACAUUCUCUCUCAUUCUUUUUUAUAGGUAAUAAAAUAAAAGAAUAGUAUUCGUAAUUUUUCUAUUCUCCUUGUUCCAAACAUAAGGAAAUCAUUUUUCAUUGCCAUAAUAGCCUUUAAAGGCAACUGUUGAUUGCCCAAUGAGAAUUAGCAAUACAAGAACAAGUUUAAACUUGAGGACACCUCUAUUCUUCAGACUAUAUGCCAAAGAUGGGUUUAUAUAGAGUUCAAGAACAUAUUUGAAAAUGACUUGUUUGAAACAUUGGAAUAAGAAAUAGGAAUGAGAAAUCAAUUUCAUCCAUAUAUUAUUUAUUACCUUGUUUAAAUUACUUAUUACAAAAGAAAAUGAAAUAAAAAAUUAAUUUCCAUUAAAACUAAAAAUAAUUUCUAUUAGAGUUUUGAUUUCUCUCUUAUAAUGUUUUCAAGAUUAGAUUGAUCAUUGAAUUGGAAAGUACUUAUUGUGUCACGAUUCAAUCAUUGAAUCAAUGGUUCAACCAUGAUUGAACUAUGAGGAAUAUAACUUCAUAAAUAUAUUAAUAAUAUUAAAUUAAAAAUAAUCAUUAAUAUUAAGAAUAUUUAUAAAUAAUUAAAAACUUAUCAAUUAUUUGCUACCAGUUAGGGGGUAGCUUGUUAACAAUGCCUUAUGGCAAUGAGUGAGUUUGAGCCCCCUUGUUAUAUAAGUAGUGUAAGGUAGAGGUGUGACCCAUAUCACCAAGAUUUGGUGGUUGGGUUAAGCAUUGAGCACUAUUUUAACUUGAGUCUUCGGAAGUAAAAGGUCCAACAAGACUUGAGAACAAAAUCUGAGCCAAAUUUAGGGUCUUCAUGUGAAGUCAAUGUAUGAAGAUGGGUUUAGACUAGGCUAAGCUAGAUUCUAAUACUCGAGAACACCUUGAUAUUGUUAACUUGAUCAUAUUUCAUACCGAGGGAGUGCAAUGAGCACAAGAUUUGAGUGUUCAAGUUGAAUGAAUUGGUUUUUUUGAAUUUCAAAUAUUUAAUGGUUCACUUUACAUAAAUUUAGAAUAUGAGAAGUUGAUGGUUUUAAUAUGAAAAAGUACUCUAUGUUUACAAUAUUCCAAGCCUCAAUGUGAAGUAGAUUUAUUAAUUAGCCCAAAUUCUAGAAUUCUAAAAAGACUGGAGAAUUAUUCACUUCCUUGAAUUUUAUAUUUGAAGAUUGCCUUGAAUUACACCAAGUUCUAUUGAAACUAGUGAGAAUAUAAGUCCAAUAUAUCAUUUUUAUUGUUCUCAUUACAUUUUUCUUUAUUGGUGUUUAAUUUUUCUUUUAGAAAAAAUAAAUGUUUUUCUCAUUAACAUAUCAACAAGUUUUAGCAUACUUAUAGACCCCAAAAUUUGUCCCAAUUUUAAUUUUACAUUAAUUUUGAGCCCAAUUUUAAAUCCCGAUUACAUGUGUUAUUUUAGGCUCACUCACCCUUUAAUUUUUAGUUUUCAUUAUUUUAUAAAUUAUUUUUUAUUUUUAUUUAUUCAUUUUAUUAUUAUUAUUAUUAUUAUUAUUAUUAUUAUUAUUAUUAUUAUUAUUAUAUUCUUUUUUUAUUUUUUUAUUCUUUAUUUCAUUAUUUUAUUUUUCCUCUCUCAUCUCUUUUCCUUUUUCUCCUCCACCUACCCUCACCCACCCACUCUUCUCUCUCUCCCCCAAUUCCCUUUCCCCCCCCCCCCCUAUUUUUUUCCCCCCAAGUUUUCCCUCAUUUUCUUCCCCAACAUCUCUCCAUUCCUCUCUCUUCUCUUACUCUUACACUGCGGGCCCCCAUCCUUCUUCCCUUCCCCUUCAUUUUUUCCCUUCCCCAUCUCCCCACUUCUUCUCCAACACGGCGGGCUCCAUUCCCACUUCCAUUUUUUUUCUCUCAUCCUCACAACCCUAUUUUUUUUUUCUUCCUCCCGCAACACCCAUUCUGGACGGCUAGGAACCUCCCACUUCUUCCCCUAUUUUUUUUUCUCAUUUUCUCCUACCCAUUUUUCUUCCAAUAUUUUUUCCACCAUUUUUUUUUCUUUCUUUCUCAUUUUCUCCUACCAAUGCUUCCAAUAUUUUUCCCACCAUUUUUUUCUUUCUCUCUCUUCCUCCAUCAACCCGACUUCCAAAGGCACCAGAAUCCUUCCUUUAUUAUUAUUAUUAUUAUUAUUAUUCACCAAUCUCCCACUACCGCGGGCAAGCCCUUGCUAGUCGCCGCUUUUCUGUUAUUAUUAUUAUUAUUGUUUUAUGUUAAUAGUAAUUGUUGUUUAUAAAAUUUGGAUUGUUGAAUUAAUAUGAAAUUUGAGUUAAUUUGUUGUCGGUAAAUUAAUAUGAAAUUUGGGCUAAUUUAUUGUUGGUGAAUUAAUUUGGAAUUUGUUAAUUUGGGCUAAAUUAAAUGAUAAUUUAUAUGGUUAUACUCAUUUGAAUUAUUUAAUUUGGAUAUGAUGUAAUAUUGUAAUAUAUUUUGGAUGUGAGUUUGCAUAUUAAAUUGGGUUAAUUUUGGUUGUGGAUUUAGGUUUGCAUGUUAAAUUGGGCUUGAAUGAUGAGAUAUUAAAUUUAGGCCUAACGAUAUUUAUUUUAAUUUAUCAUAUUUUAGGUUUGAUUAUUUGAGCUUAUAUUUUGGCUAUUAAUUUGGAAACUUUAGAUUAUGAUCUAUGAUACGUGAGAUAUUUUUGUUGGGGUAUAUUUGCUAAUUUGGGUUUUUUUUUUUUAAUUGGUGAAAUUUAUUGGGCUAAUUUGAAGUUUGAAUUUGGGUUUGAAUAUCUAUUGUGAAUUUUAUACUUUUUUAGAUAUUUAUAUUUGGGCUAUUUUUGUCUUUGUAUGGGCCCAUUAUGCAAUUAUGUUGGUUGGAUACAGAUUUAUGACAUGUGGAGCACAAAAUUUCAUGGAAGAAAGUGAGAAUAAAAAAGUAGUAGGAAGACGUCGAGCUUGUAAGUUUAUUUGGGUACAUAUUUUAUUUUCCACUUUUAUUUGGUUUGAUUUUUAUUAGUUCUUGUAAAUAUUUGUUUAUAUAUAUUUAUUGAGUGUGUACAGAAUUGAACAUCGAAUAAACUAGAAAUUUUGUUUAAAUGAGAUGAAGAAUUCAGUAAAUGUGUUUUGAUAAAACAAUAAUUUUAAAAUAUUUUUUUUAAUAAAAGAAAGUUUUUUUUUAUUAUUUAUAAAAAUUCAGAAAAAUACAUUUAGAAAAAUCCAAAAUAAUUGUUUUUAAUAGAAUUCGAAAAAUUGUUUUUAAUAACAUUGUCCAAAAUUUUCUUUGUUUAAUAAAAAUUGUCCAAAAAUUGUUUUGUAAAUAAAGUUGUCCCAAAAAAUUAAUUUUUAAUAAAAUUGUUUAAAAAUAUUUUUUUUAAAUGAAUUCUUUCUCUUUAAUUAAAAUGGGAUUAAAAGUGUUUUUCAGAAAUAGGGGAUUCAAAUCUUUGUUUUUCUUUUUAAUUAAAAUUUAUUUUGCAAAUAAAGUUACGUCGUUUUAAAUAAUUUGUUAAAAUCAUUUUUUUUAAAUGAAAAUGAAUCAAAAUACUUUUGUAAAUAAAAUUGUAAAAAUUCAUUAUUUUCUGAAAAAAAUCAAGUAAAAUAAUUUUUGUUGCCAAAUUAAAAUUUUGUAAUAUUUUUUUUUUAUACAAUAAGUACAAAUAACUUUUUUCGAAAAUUAAAUACAAAUGAAAUUGAAUCAAAUCAUUAAUUGAAACUUCUUUUUUGUAAAUAAAUAAAUUGAAAUCAUUAAUUCAAAAUCAUUUUUUUAUAAAAUCUUUUGAAAUUUCUUGAAAACCAUUUUUUUAAUACCUUUUUUUUUAGUUCAAUAAAUCAUUUUUGAACAAUUCUCUUGUUAUUCAUUUCAUGUAUUCUUAUAAUUAGAUUUCAUUAUUAUUUUUGUGUACGUUGAUUUUCAUCAUGACUUGUACAUUAAUUAUUUUUCUUGAUAUCCAUAAUUAAUUAAUUAAUUGUCACAAUUCUCUUGAUUUGUUUAGUAAAGACUGUAUACGGGCUUAGAGGGGUGCUACGUCUUACCAUCUUACCUUCCCAAUAAGUAACUUGACCCCUAAACCCGACUUUGGUUUUCCAAAGACCUGUUUUUCUUUCGGGAAUCACACUUAGGGUUUUUCUUUCUUAUUUGUUUUUCCCUUUAAAAAAAAAAUUAAAAUAAGUGGCGACUCCAAGUCUUUUUAAAAAAAAAUUAAAAUUUCAUCAAAUAAAUAAAAAAAACGAGUUUCUCCAUCAAACGAAAAUGUGGGGUCCACAAUACCACUUCAAAAUAUAUGAGAUUUUUUAAAAAUUGUACUUUAUUAGUAAGAACAAUUCUAAAAUUUUUCUUUUCUUUAUUUUAAGAGCGAUGUGAAAGUGACUACCAUUUUAAAGUUUAUAGGAAUUCCACAAAUAUUUAUAAAUAAUUGAUAUUUCAUAUAUUCUUUUUAAAAAGUUUAAUUUUUUUGGUGAAAUGAAUUUUAUAUCGGUAAUUCAUGUAUUAGAGCUUCCCUCUCAUAGAAGUGCUAGAAAAAUUUAUGUUGUGUUUUGUUCUAUGAAAGAAUGAAAGAAAAAAAUGUUAAAGAAAAUAAUUUUCUUAUAUUUGGUUUUAUUAUGAAAAACAUGAAAUAAAAUUAAAUAUAAUUAAUAUUAGUUAGAAACUUAUUCAUUACAAAUUAUUUAUUCUUUCUAUAGAAGAAGUAAAAUAUGUUAAAUAAGUUUGAAGUAGUAUAUAAAAAAUAAUUUAUUGAUCUUAAAUAUUUUUUUAUUUUCUUUCACUUUUUUCCCUCAAUUUUUCUUCUCUAUUUUAUUUUCCUCUCACAUUCUCUUAGAUUUUUCAAACCUAAAAAUCACCUAAUCCAUACAACGUUGUUACAAAAUAUCAAUUAGUUAUGGUGAAAUAAAUCAAUUGCUUCAAAUGAAUUAGUUUCUCCGACCUUUGAAUUGUGAAUUGGGAUAUACGAUAAUUUGGGUAACUAACAUUUAACAAUUUAACAUUUUCUUUAUUUAAGUUAUAACAUUUAACAUUUAACAAAAUUUUUAGUGUAAAAUUUCUUUCAUGAAUAAGGCUUGAUCAUCAAUUUAAAAAAAAGAAUGACAUUAAUUAAAUGAGAAAUUUCUUCACAAAUUGUGUGAUUGAAUGACAAAAUUGAAAGUUUUGUAUACAUCUAUCUCAAUCAUUAAAUACAAUAGCUUGAUAAGGAGGAUUUAUAAUAUUUGGAAUUGCAAUAAACUUAUUUUUAUAAGACAAUAAAAUAUAAAUUGACAAAUUAAUUAUUUUUUUAUAAACACAAUAAAAUAAGUGGUUAGAAUAUCAUUGUCUACACAUAUAUAGAUUAAGAUAAAAAUAUUUAAUAAUUUCAAAUUUAGAUAAUAGAUGUUAAACCACUUUGCAUAUUUAAUAAUUCAAGUAAAAAAGUUACAAGUAUUUUAUUAAAAUAGGUGGCAAUGCAAUUUAAACUAAUUCAACAAAUUCUUUGCAAGUCAAAAAAUUCCUAGUAUUUUAAUAAAGUCAAUGAGAAUAAAAUUUAAGCUAAUAUAUAAGACUUUAAUCAUAGUGUAAUUGUCCUCUUAAAAUAAUAUUAGCAUUAUAAUUUUAAUAAAAUAGAUGGUUAACAACAUACAGCCAUGUUAGGUUCUUCACUUUUUAGUCUCUUGUUCAUGCUAUGAGGUUCCUACCUCUUGGUCUUUGUAAUUUUAAUUUCUUUUCAUUCCUAAACUUCAAAUAUUGAAAUCAAAAUUUGUAUACAAAAUUAAAUGAAAUUUAUUUUUAAAAAUUUUAGAUAACUCUUGUUUUAUUGAUUAAUUAAAAUACCUUAAUAUAGCAUAAUGUGAAUAAAGAAAUGAAUUUACCAUAAAUUAAUAAAAUUGUCAUUGGUAAUUUAAAACCUUAAUAUGAUUAGAAUAGAUUUUGUUUUUAUCUAUUUUUUCUUUUGUUUUUCAAGAAAGUUUGGAUCUAAAUUUUCUCAUCAAUUAACUAAAAAAAUGAAAACAACAAUAUAAAAGUGAAAUCAAUAUAUAAAAUAAAUCCUCAAAUUUCAAAAUCAUAAGACUAAAAUUCUACUAUAUUCAAAUACUAUUUUGACCUUCAAUUUCACUUUUUUAAUAAAAUUUUACCUUAACAGAAAUAGUGAUUUUUUUUUUUUUGUUUUUACCUUAAUAAGAAAGUCAUUUUUUUUUCUCUUUUGUUUUUUCAAUCUUCACCUUUAUCAUAAUACUCAAAUCUAAUUUUAUAUAUAUAUAUAUAUAUAUAUAUAUAUAAAAUUAAACUAAAUUUAUUUUUGAAAAUUUUAGAUCACUCUUGUUUCAAAAACUAGUUAAACUACUUUAAUACUAUAUAACUUCAAUAAAAAAAAUGAAUUUAUCAUACAUUAUCAAAGAUGUCAUUAAAAAAAGACUAAAUAUGACUUAAACAAAUUUAAUUUUUGUCCAUUUUCUUCUUCUAUUUUUUUGCUAAGGUUAGGUUAGUAUUUCUAGCCCGAGACACAUUAGCUGACAAAACCAUGACCUUUCGAAAAUUAGGCUCAGGUCUGAUCCAUUAAAUUGACAAGCCUCCAAGACAGGCCCUGAUUAGCUUACCAACAUGUUUGUGUUGGACUAAGCCCACCUUAAGUGGGAUUAAGGAAAUAAUAAGAAAUGUUUGUUGCUUAACCAAGGAGAGAUGGGUGUUGAUUUAUAUUGGGUUUUCCAUUGUAUUGGAUUAUUGAUCUUUGAAACUUCUUUGAAAGUUUAUUUUUGUAAACUAGUAAUAACUAGUCUUGAUUUUUGUUUUCAUUCAAGUUAGACAAAACUUUUGAAAAAACGCCCUUAUGCACAAAAGUGAGCCUAUAUUGAAUUCGACUCUCAUAACCCAUGCCAACAAGGUAUAUAAGUUCAAAGUGGGGACCACUAAGAGCCAUAUGAGUAUUAGCUCCUUCAGAUUCCAAUUCUAAAGUUGAAUCAACAUUCCAUUGCAGAGAAUCAACUAAACUCCAAUAUCCUAUGUAAGUAACAAUGAGACAUUAUGUGCUUAGGUCCAUGACUUGCUAUCCAUUACGUUUAGUCUCUCCAUGAACUAACGUUCAUAAUCUAACAAAGUGAAAGUUAUCAACCUUUUAAUACUACCUCUACUAUCCUUGAGUUAUAUAUAUCCUCUUAUUGUGUGUUUAACUAACAUGCCUUAACUUUUAAAGAUCUUAUGUCAAGUUCCAGUUAAGGAAUUACCAUGACCAUAGUUUCCAUGAACACACCUCCUUAGAUCACUCAAGGGGACACACUGUCUCGAUUCCAUUAGAUAUCAUGGUGCCUCUAUUGAGAAUACCUAUUGUCAUUGACUUCCAUCAAUAGUGACCCAAUCUAUAAGCUGUCAUUAAUUAGCUUAUGAUCUCACUCGUAGGUCAAAGCCACUGUUAACUUUAACAUAAACUCAAUAUUCUCUCAAAGUUGAAAGACAAUAUAAUAAAACAGCUUGGUAAAGUCAUGACUACUUGAUAACCAUAAGUCAUGACUCAUUGUAGGUCCUAUCUAAUGUGUAACUAUACACACUAGUGCACUCACCAUAUUCCCGAUAGCCAAGAUCAGUCAUCCCUUCAAUUAGGAGGUAAUGCACUAUACCCUCUAAUGGGUAAUCUAGUCCUACGAACCGGUUGUGAAUAAAUAAUCUAUUUACAAAUAACCAAUGACUUGGAUCUUUUGUGCAACUCCUAAUACACUUGUAGACCCUCGUUUUUCAUGUGUGUUUCCACUUGAUGACAAGACUCAUUUUUUAGUGAAAAACUAAUUUUUAUAAAACUGAUUUUUUAUUUUGAAAUUCCAUUUUAUUUAUUUCCAUUGAUUCAUUAUUUUAUGCUAACAUUACUAAUGUGUUUUUAUUUCCAGUCAUUUCAUUAUUUUAGCUAACAUUACUAAUGUAUUUCAUUUCUAGUCAUUUCAUUUCAUCUCCACAUGCAGCUGGUGGAGAUGACAUCCACCAUAUACUCCCGUUGCUGUCGUGUUUCUGAUUGUAUUUGUGCGCGUGAUGCGAAACUAUAUUUGAUGAUCAAGUCAAUGCCAAAGAUGGAAGACUGAUGAUCUCACCGAGAUGGAGAAUCCAGAUGAAGAAGUAAGAGACCACCGAUUACGGCUUCCAAUAUGGUGAUGUUGUGGGUGGAUAAAUGGAGAAGCUGUCUAGGUGUGUUGCGAGACCAAUGGAGAUCAUGAGCAGUGAUCUGGUGUUGUCGAAAAUUUUCACUCCAGAUGAUGAAGAUGAAGAUUUGGUGUCGAUGAAGACGAGCUUUUGAGAUGAAUUGUUGCACGUACCAAAAUGGCGAAAUGCAGGUCUGAAGAUGGUGACUGCAAGAUGAAAUGUGGACCGAAAUCCAAAGUCUAAUUGAAAACCUUCUAGUGUCGGAAAUGGAAAGCUCUAAUGGCGGUGGUGACUUGUAGCACUGCUGAUCUUCAUGGCGGUCACGGCAAACUCAAAUGGUGGACCUAAACCUGCAGCAACGAUGAUAUUCAUGGCGGUGAUGGAGAGCUCUAAUGGCGGUGAUGAAUUUCAUGAAGGCGGUGAUGGACUCUGAUGUCGGUGAUGAAAUUUUUUCUCAGAGAAAAGAUCAUGCUCUCUUCCUCCCCAAGUCGAUCAUGUAAGUGGAGUCUUCCAGAGGACUCCACUUACAUCCAAAUUACAUGCGGUGAUCAUCUACCCACACGCACCUACAUGACCCUCUUAGACUGCAUGAUAGUCGCGUGAUGGAGCACUUCUCUUCCCAAGCUUAAAUAACCUUCUCCAAGUUACAUAAUAGCCAUGUGAUGGUGCUUCUCUCCUAGAACCUAAGUGACCUCAAAAUUCCACAAUAGUCACAUGAUAAUGCCUUUCUUCUAGAAGCCUAUGUCAUGAAACCUUGCCUUUGGACCCAUGCAUGAAUAUUCCUAAUGUUAAUUAUGCACUACCUCAUAUCUAAAAGUGACCUCAUGCAAAAAUAAAAUUAAAACACUCUCAAAAUUACACAACUAAAAAUAAAAAAUCAAAAGUCAUAUAUUUAAGGAUAAAAAUCCAAAUACAUGCACACAAAAAACAAAAAUAAGUUUCAUACAAUUAAAAGAAAAUCCAUAUAUCCCUCGCAUGCAAUCAAAUAUCCAAAAUAGCCUACAUACAAUAAAAAAAAUCAAUAUCAAUCCAAACUCACCUAAUCCUAAAACUAUGCCAUGGUAAAAUAAACACAAACCUAAAUGCACUAGAAAUCAAUCAAAAACAAAGUCCUGAACUGGGAAUCAGGGGUCACUAAAAUCAAGGUUGGGAUCCACCUAAUCCCUCCUAAAUAUCUCUCAUAGAAAAUCCAAAAAUAGUGAUUGAAAUAGUUAUAGUGGACCACCAAUGAGAGCUCAAAAAUAGCUUAAAAAAAGACCAUAAGUGGAUAAUAAGACAAUAGAGAAAAUAGAAAGGCAAUCUUGGAUGGAAUGUGCCAAGAGGAUAAAAUAGAGGGUUUACAACACUCAAAUCACAUACAAUGCAAAAGAUGUAGGCAAGAAUGCUCAUAAAGCAUAAUGCAUGGAAUAAAGAUAGAUAAAAGUGAAACUGGAAUAUCAGUAAAUAAAUAACGAAUUCCAAAUUUAUUACAUCAUGUCAUGCUUUUAAAGACUCUAUAAUAACAGUAGGAACCUAUGUCCCUAUCUUCGCUUGAAACUUUACUUUAGGAAUUUAUUAUCUUGUCAUCUCAUAUAAAAUAUACUCCUUAAUUCAAUACAAGGAAGGAUAUAAUAUGAUAAUAUAUGAAUUAGCUAAUCAUGUUAUGAAGUCAAUAACCAUCUUAUCAUUCAUAAAAGAAUUAUAGUGUUAGAACUUUAGCAAUUACCUAGUUCAUUUGAUGUUACUACAACUUGAUCAUUAAUUAGUAAUCCUUUGUAAAUUAAUUACCUUUCAAUUAUUUAUAUAUUUAUUAACAUAUUUUUUCUCUCAAUCUAUAGAAAGCUACUCAUUCCAUCUCUUUAACUCCACCUAAAUAAUACAUAAUACCUAAAGCUAUAAGAAAGUUCAAUGAAUGAUUAUCAAUUCUUCUAUGUUUCAUCAAAGUUGUUAGAUGAGUUGUAGUGAUCCCUACAAUAUUGAAUGCUUUUAUAAAUACUUGAUUAAAAAUUAAAUAUUUCUAAAUUUGAUCCUUGAAAAUCGGAUCCACUCUAUAAUUUGAUCUUAUUAAUAAUUUUAUCAAAUCAUUUAGGGACUUGGUUUAAAAUUAUAACACUUCACCUUGCACCAAGAUGAGGAAAAUAAACAUCUAUAAAAUUUAAACUCAUGACUUAUCAUCAGUUAAAAUUUUAACAUAUUAUUAAGCUAAUAAUUUGAUUUGGUGAUAUAAAUAGUUGAUUGGUUAAUUAACAAAGAAUAGAAGCAAAUUCAAGUUCAAACUAUGUAUAUCAUAGUGAUCCUUUUUUGUCCUUUUAUUUUGGUCUUUAUUUAGGCAUAUAUCAAGUAAAAAUCAAAUUUACAAUUAUCUAUGUUUCUAAAAUUUUUCUUCUACAGAAAAAGAUUUAAGCUAUAUUUCCUCAAUUAUUUUGAAAGAAAAAGUACUUAAUAUGUAAUAUAUAUAAUGGCCCAAACUCUAACUUUGUGUGAUGUACUCCACUUAUCCCUUGAGCAUGACCUAUGAUGAUAAAUCAUGUGUAGAAGUCAUGUUUGAUAAUAUUAUAAAAAGAAAAAAAAAAUACAUAUGCACAAGUUUUAGCAUACCGCUUCAAAAUAUAUGGGAUUUCUUAAAAAUUGUAUGUUAGUAAAAAUGUUUCUAAGAUUUUUUUUUCAUUGUUUUAAGAAUCGUUUGAAAGUGUCUGUUGCAUUUUAAAGUUUAUAGGAGUUUUAAUGAAUAUUUGUAAAUAAUGUAUACGAACCCGAGCCGACCAAAGAGGAGGCGGAGAGACUUGCUGAAAAUGGUCCAUUUUACUUGAAGCCAAAAAAGAUCGAAAUCAAUGUCAAUCAAUAGAAAUAAAUGCCAAGUAGAAAAAAAUAAGGAAGAAGAAAACGAUCGAAAUUCUGACCAAAGAAUUAGACAUUCGAAGACCUUUGUUACUCAUAUUAGCACCAUAUUUUCUUUUUCUUUUUUUAAAAAAAAAUAAAAUUGGUAGAAAGAAUUUUACACCAUUAUGCUUCUAGCUGGCCUAAUACUCUCCAUAUUCCACUCAAUUUGUAGAAGCCAUAUCAGAAACACAUCACCAUUCACUUGCGAACCUUUCUGCCUUCUUUGAUAUUUUUGUGCAACAAACCCAUCAAAUAAAUCCUCUAAACAAUCACAAAUACACAAUAGAAAAUCCAAGAGAAAGAAAUGAACCAAAUAUGGGAGACAAGCGAAAUGGAAGAUCAUGAGUGUAUUUCGAGUGUUUGAUAUGGGAGAAAAGGUGAUAAAAAGAGAAGGAGCUCGAGUAGUUGAAAGGCAUCUUCACUGCAAUUUAUGUGUGUGUUGUGUCCUAAUCUCCCCCAAAACCAAGACCAAGUUCUUUUGCUCCAUCUGUUCUUGUUCCCUAAUCCUUGCAUUUUUUUAUUUUUAUUUUUUGCAAGCAUUUUCCUCAUUACAACACCAUAAAUAAUAGUAAUGUGAGUAUGGAAACUUAGGAAAUUUGAGGUUGGUGUUUGUUUUAUGUAUUUGGUAAUAAUUUAAGUGGUGUUUUGGAUGUAAUUUGAAUGAAUGUAGAAUCUUGUUGUUUAGGUUAUGAAAACCAAGAGAAUUUGAAGAGGGUGUUUUUGGUUUGCAAUUAUUUACCUAGUGUAGUCAUACACACACAUAUAUAUAUAUGAGAAAAUAUUGUUUUAGAUUUAUUAAAUUUAAAAUGUAGAAAAACUAAGGAAUCAAUAAAUUUGUUAUUCCUAUUGGAAACUCUGCACUAAAGUUAUUGGUGGAUAAAUCAAUACUGACUAUGAGAGAAAUAGACUUGAUAUAUUCUAGAUCUUGGUCUUUCACUUUCAAGAUCAAACUAUAUUCAUAGGAUCGGGCCUUAUCAGGUGUUGGGUAUAGAUAGCGGCUUAUAUUUUGCUUUUAAGUCAUUGGAUCACCCAAAGUGCAUGGACUACUACCACUCAAAUUGUUUUCAACAAGGUAUGAGAUAUGCAAUGAACUUAAAUUUGACAACUCAAAAUGAAGUCCUCCAAAAAAUGCAUUUGAACUCAACUUAAGAAUUCAAACCAAUGUGAAAACAGCUCCAAUCCAUACUGGAAUAUCACCUGAAAGCUUGUUCUUGUUUAAGUGAAGUGAUUGAAGCCAUUCUAACCGACCAAAAGAUUUUGGAAUAGUCCCCAAUAAAUUGUUCUUUCCAAGGAUUAGAAAGUAUAGGUCCGUGCAAUUAUUUAUAGAUGAAGGAAUGCUUCAUGUUAGACUAUUCCUUGAAAAAUCAAGGAUUUGAAGAUGUCGUAUAUGUCCUAUAGACUUUGGGAUGAUUCCUAUCAUUUGAUUGCCUGAAAGAGAAAAUACAAACAAAUUUGGGAUGGAUUCACCUAUUUUGGCUAGGAUAGAACCAGAAAAUUUAUUGUUGGAUGGAUCAAGUGAGUAGCACUGAUGAGGAUGAGUUUUCAAGAUAUAUAUCAAGAAAGGGAAUUAGUAUUAGUUUUAAUUAAAGUAGGAUUAAUAUUACUUGGAAUUAAAUUAGGAUUAAUAUUUGCUGGAAUCAAAUUAGGAUUAGCUAGUUGAGUUAUAAUAUAAUUAGAAUUUGAGUCAUGAUAGGUUAUUAGAGUCUUAGUAGACUUUGGAUGUUAUAAUUAGAAUUAGAAUCAUAAUAGGUUUUUAGAGUCCUAGUAGACUUUGGAUUUCUUAGAGAAGCCUAUAAAUAGGCUAAUCAAUGUAAAUCAAAGGAAUAAAUUGAUGAAUAAUAUUAUACUUUCUUUCAUUGCAAGGUUGCAACCCUCAAUGGUGAGACUCCAUUGAUUUUCUUUUAGGUGAGACUCCUAGAAGGCCUUAGCGAGACUCUAAGGUUUUCCAUCUUUUCUUCAUUGUUUCUUCUUUCUCUCUAUUUCUUAUCUUAUAAUUUUCUCUACCAUAAAAUUUAUUCCUUAUUCCUCUCCUUACACCCUAAAAAUAAAACCCUAACCCACCUACCCUUAGGUGUAGGCAACCAUCCUAGGGUUAUCCUACAUCAAGCACCCAUGGUGUGGUAGAGGAAUUGGACCUUCAAACAGGUUGGAGCUGAAAUCAAUAGAUGCCCAAGGGGCCAUAUUUAACUGAUUUGGUAAUUGACCAUAUAACUGAUUCAAAGGAAGAUUUAAAAACAAUAGUUGAGAAUAAAUAUUCCUAAAACCAAUUGGGUAUCAUCCUUGUUGUAGAAUUAGGAUCUUUUAAGACUAUAUUAACAGUCUCAUAUGCAAUAACCUGAAUGAUUCAAUUUGGGUGGUUUUUCAUGGGCUUCAAAACAAAGAAAGUGGGUCUAAAUUGAUGAACAGAUAUUACCCCAAAAUGAGUUUUAAGCUUUUAGCAGAUGAUAAUGCUAGUUACUUUUAACCUAGAAAGUGACCAAGAACUUUCGGGGUUUUUUUUUCCUCUUUUCAUCACAAUUGUGAAACAUCAAAUUUGUCAUUGUUUUCCUACAAUUUAGAUUAUGGGGGUGGGGAGAUGUAUGCUCCUUUGCCCACGUUAGCAUUGGAGUGAACUAUGAAUUUCAGUUCUUGGAACCUGUCUGGAUAUGUUUCUAGAUGCUAGAAGGUUGGGGUGGGGGAAGAUAGCGGCAAGACCUGGUGUAAUUCCUUAUGGGUAAUUUGGGGAAAAAUGAUAGUAGUAACUAUUUUGCCUAUUUAAUUUUUCAAUCUAAUAUGCCUAAAGAAUUUGCAUAUCAAGUUUAAAAGUUGGCUUAAAUACCCAAGUCAACCUACUAUCGAUUGUGCGAGGAAAAAAGAAGAUGGGCAACAGGUAAGCUGUUGGAUUAAUUGGUAACCAACAUUUGCUAAUUAAGGUCGGAAUUUCUAUCUUAUAUUGGUGAGGUAGAUGACUUUUUUCUUAGUUUAUGGGGCCAAUGGAAGCAACCUACAACUAAGGAAAAUGGUUUCUCUCUACUCCCAGCUUACUAAGUUAAUUUGCUAAUGCAAAAAAGGCUUUCCCUUUCUACCAACAAGUUAGAAGGGUACUUCUUUCACUUAUUGUGCUUCUUGUUUCCAUGUUUUAUCUAUAAGGUGAACAUGAGGUGUCAAUCCCUUCCAAUUUUGUUUUCAUGUAUUAAUAUAGUUGAAGAAUCUAAUUACAGACUGAAAGAAUAUAGUUGGAACCUUGGAGGAGUGGUAGAUGAAGGGAUGGCCAUGCUAGGAGGAAUGAUAGUUGAAACAUCAACUCCAACUAGCUGAUCUGAGUGCAUCAGAAAUGGGAAUGAUAAGGCGGCCUCUCCUCUUUUUGGAAUGGAUACCGGCUCUAAAGACAUGAUCUUAGAAUAGGAAACCUUGUGUGUUUCCUAUAAACCAACUCAGCCUAAUCCACCUACCUAGGUUUCGUCUCCUAGGGCAACAAGCAUAUCCUAAAUGGUCUCAAAAGGCAAUAGAGUCCUGUGGUGCAUUAGUAUGAAAGUAUAGUUGAUUAUCUCGUUUCUUCUUAUGCACUAAACUCUGGAAAAACUGGCAGAUCACUUUCUAGUAAAAAGGAAGCUUUUUCUCCAGGAAUCUGUUGUUCAAUUUUCAAUUUUACAAUACUUCUCAUCUGACUCUCAUUGUAGAAUUAAGGUUUUUUUUAAGACUGCAUUAACAGUCCCUUAUGUAGAAACCUAAAUUAUUUAAUUUGGGUUUGUCUAGGGCAGAUUUUUAUGGAGUUCAAAACCAAGAAAGUGGCUCCAAAUUGAUAACCAAACAUUGCCGAAAAAUGUGUUUUUAACAUAUGAGACUGGUAGUUACUUCAAGUUACUGCUAACCUAGAAAGUGACAAAGAAUGCUACUUUUGGAUUUUAAGGAAAUUUUUUCUUUUAUUUAUUUACUUUUUUUUUUUUGUGCAGGUGCCACAUUUUCUCUUUUGGUUGGAAUUGUGAAGUAUCAAAUUCAUCGAUGUUUCCUACGAUUUAGAUUUUGGGGGUUGGGAGAGGUAUGUUCUUUUGCCCCACUUUGCAUUAAAGUGAGCAAUGAAUUCUAAUUCUUGGGGGCAUGGGUUGUGCAAGGUGGAUGCCCACACCACUUGGCGGGUGCAAAUGGAAGUCCUCUAAUGUGUUUGAUAAAGUGUUUCACCAAAAGAUUUUCUUGCUGAAGAAGGGAAAAUCCCAUUUUACUUUUGUUGUUAAUCAUGUCAAUAUGCCUUGUUUGUCAAUUACCUUGUUGCUUAAACUUUUUAUUUAUAUUUAUAGUUUAAAAUGGUGCAGAAUCCUUUGCUUCUGAGAGGUCUUAGGUUUGAACCUCACCGCUUAUGUAUUCCCUUUGUAUUGAAUCCAUGUAUGAAAGAAUGCCAUGGAGGCUAGUGUUGAGGCAAUUAUCUGUACUAUUAACCAGCUUCAUUUAAUAUACAUUGUUGAUCUAUUAUCUAAUCGCAUAAGUUGUUGGAUUAAGUGGCAAUCAACAUUUACUAAGGUUGGAAUUCCCAUAUUAUCUUGGUGAGAUAGAUCAUGACUUCUACCCUCAAUUUAUGGGGCCGAGGGAAACACCCUACAACUAUGGUAAAUGAUUUCCCCAUUCCCGAAGUUCUAAGUUAAUUUGCUAAUGCUAACGUAGAAAGGCUUCCCCUUCUACCAACAAGGUUAAGAGAGUGCUUCCUUCACUUACCUUGCUUAUUGUUUCCAUGUUUGAACUAUAAAGUUAACAUGGGGUGCUAAUCUCUUCCAAUUUUGUUUCCAUGUAUUAAUAUAGUUGAAUAUAGUUGGAGGAAUGGUAUAUACUCUAGUGGAAGGUGUCUCAAACUCAAUUCCCAUGGAUGGAGUAAGAUUCAGAGACACAACAAAUGGAAUUGGCAAUAAAACAGGUUGUGAAUUUGCUUGAGAAAUAACCAACCUCAUAGCAAAUGAAGGAACAAUUGUGCUAGGAGGAAAUGAGGUUUUGUCUUAGACGUAGUUCUCUACAGGUUGAUGACUUCUUCAGUCCAAUAACGUGUGAUUUUCUCACUUCUGAAACUUCAGUUUUGGUUUUGAUCCAUUUUAGAGAGGAUAUGUGACACAAUCCAAAAUGGGGUUACAUUGUCUCUUGUUUUUCGCUGAUGUUAUCAUUUGUUGCCUUCAUGUGCUAGGAUGACGUUUGUUAAUGAAAAUUUCUAUGACCAAGUUGAAUUUGAUACUUGGGUGGAGCUGGUUUGUUUAAAUAUUCAUGUUUUGGUGAAUAAAAGUUAUUUUAAUUGAGCAAAACUAAUACAUAUAAUGUAGAAGAUGGAUAAAAUUUAAGUUAAAUAUUUAACAAAAAAAAUAUGAUUUUAGGACUUUUCAAUUUAAUAAAAGUUUUGUUGUAGUUAUGGGUUAUGUAUUCAAUUUUGGGUAGAAGGAAAAGACUAACCAAGCAAGUGCUACAUAUAAUCUAAAGCAUUCCCAAACCCUGGAAGCUUAAGGGAUGGAUCAUAUUAAUAGUGUGUGAUAGUGAUUCUUGAAAGUGUUUUUAACGUUUAUAGUACUUGAAAAAUGAAAUCUUAAAGUGUUAGAAAUGUUAAAAACACUUCCUAGAAUAACUAUCAAAUGCACUCUAAAUAAGUUAGCUUAAGAGUGAUGCAAAAAAUGGGUAUGUUGUAUAAGAACACAUAUUUUCUUUUUGUCUUUCACCCUUCAAAAAGUUAUGAUCUACUUGUUUGCUUGGAAAAAAAAAUACUUUUUUUCCCCAAUUAUAAAUAUUAGCCAUUUUUCAUCAAAAGUAACUAGAAUUAUAUAGACCCCAAAAGGGCAAAAAAGGUCAUAGAUUUAGGUUAAUAAAGAAAUAUAGUUGGGACAAACAAUUAAAACAUCUUACAUUGGAUGAUCAUCAUAUCCUACUCAAAUUUUAUAAGGUAGUGGAAACAUAACUAAUAAUUAUAUUUUUCAAAGAGAAUCUAAAAAUUUGAAAUUGGAAAUUUAUUCUAUUCAUUUUUAAUAUUUUUUGGGGUCUACUAUAAAUUUUAUCCACAAAGGGAAAACAUACACUAUUUAUCUUAAUAAAGGCCCCUUUUAUAUCAAGAAAUUUCUCUUUGAAUGAAUUAAAAGAGAAACCUUGUCUUUUAUUACAACUAUAAUGAAAUUCACUUCCAAAGCCUAUAAUUAUACAUAGAGCAUAUAACGAUCUACAAACAAAAUUUAUCACCUUCGCGGGUGAGCUUUGGCACAGGUUGCUCUUCCUCUCAACAACCAUUUGACAAUUUUAUCCACAAAAUCAAAGUAGGCCUCACACCAAGAUUUUCUUGUUGCCAAAACAAAAUAUGGAAUUAAAAUACCCAUUGAAAAUCCCAAGCCAACACUCAAGUAAAACCAUUGAUCAAUGUAGCCACCAUCAUUUUUGUCCUCAAUAGCACUACGCUUUUUAUCUAGAUCUUCAUCUUGGCAUUUUGUGACUAGUGGAGCUCCACAAAGAUUAGGGUUUCCAACAAAGCCUGACUCAGUGAAGGUUGUCAUUUGCCCUAUAAAGGGGAUCUUACCAGAGAAAUUGUUAUUUGAUAGAUUCAAAUAACUUAAGAAUGUCAAUGAAACCAUACUUGAAGGAAGGGUGCCAGAAAGCUUAUUAUUUGACAAAUCAAGAGAUAACAACUGCUUCAACAUUGAAAUGCUUUCAGGAAUUUGGCCAAUGAUGUGAUUCCUCGAUAAGUUCAAAACUAGCAAACCAAACAAUUUUGUUAUUUCUUGGGGAAACUCUCCACUUAAAUUAUUGUCGGAUAGGUCUAUGCUUACAACAAGAAAAAGAGUUCUGGUGUACUCAAGACUUUGGCCUUUCAUAUUCACAACCAAUCGUUCUUCAUACCAAGAGUUGCUCCCAUUGCCAUGCAAAGGAUAUAUAUUCUUAUUAUUCUCUUGAGCCAUGGCUUUAAGCUCAACAAAAGUGAUUGGAAUUUCACCCAUUAGAUUGUUUUGUGCAAGGUCUAAGACACGCAGGGAGCUUAAAUUUGAAAGCUGUGGGGGAAGUCUUCCAAAAAAUACAUUUGACCUCAAGUUGAGUAUUACAAGAUUUAUGAAAGUAGUUCCAAUCCAUGAAGGAACCUUACCCAAUAGUUGGUUAUAACUGAGAUCAAGGAGUUCCAAUCUUGAUAAAUUUUGGAAAGAUGAGGGGAGCCCUCCUGAAAGCUUGUUAUCAUUCAGGUGUAGUGAUUCGAGCCAUUGUAACUGGCCCAAUGACUUUGGUAUCGUCCCAGAUAAAUGGUUAUUUCCAAGGUCUAGAACAAUUAGGCUAGAGCAAUUAUUUAUGGUAUAAGGAAUGCUUCCAGUCAAAUUAUUCCUUGAAAAAUCAAUGACUUGAAGAGAGGUGAUGUGUCCUAUGGAAUCUGGGAUGGUCCCUGUUAGUUGAUUUUUUGAAAGGAAAAGGUAAUUCAAGUCUAACAUAGAUUCACCUAUGCUCAAUGGGAUAGGGCCAGAAAAUUUAUUGUAGGAGAAAUCUAGUAAAUAGACUCCUUUGGUGGAAAAUUUUAAUGAAUUUGGUAGCUGACCUUGUAACUGAUUGUGAGAAAGUUUUAAGUAUGACAGGUUAAAAGAAAUAUUCCAAAACCACUUGGGUAUGAAACCUGAGAUGCUAGCAUUUGACAAAUCCAAAAAAAAGACCUCCUUUUGAGUCUUAAACCAAUUUGGGAAUGAAGGGCCUAAAUUGCAUGAAGCCAUACUCAGAUUAGUGACUUGGAAUGGGGGGACCCAAGUGGAACUAACAUUUAAAACAAGACCUGAAUUUCCAUUUAUCCACAACUCCUUCAACUUACUUAACUUUGAAAAAUGUUCUUCAGAAAUAAUUCCAGUCAUGCGAUUCAAAGAAACAUCCAAUUUAACCAAUUCAGAAAGUUGUCCAAAACUAACCGGGAGACUCCCAUUCAGUUCAUUCGAUCCAAGCCACAUCUCUCUCAGUUUUUUGAAUGUCCCAAAAGAAGCAGGAAUAGGGCCUUGAAGCUUGUUGCCAGAUAAAUCGAGAAAUGUAAGUUUUUCCAAAUGACUCAACCAUUCGGGAAUUGUACCUGCAAUCAUCAUCAAGAGUAUUAAAAUAGUUUCAUUUAUUUAUAUAUUUAUUUUAUGAAAAAUAAUAAAUUUUAGGAGAAAGGAAUUUUCAGAAAAAAAAGGUAUAAUAAAUCGAAUGAGUGGAGAAAAGAUAAUUUAAAAUAUUUUUUUAAAACUAAGUGUUUACAUGGAAUCAAUAUAUACAUGAUUACCAAAAGAAAAUUUUAAUUUAUUUGGUAGCUAACCUUGUAACUGAUUGUUAGAAAGACUUAACAACCACAUAUUCAAAGAAGUAUUCCAAAACCAAUUUGGUAUGGAACCUAAGAUGCUAGCAUUUGACAAAUCCAAAAAGAAGACCUCCUUUUGAGACCUAAGCCAAGUCGGGAAUGAAUGGCCUAAAUUGCAUGAAUCCAUACUCAGAUUAGUGACUUGGAAUGGGGGCACCCAAGUGGAACUAACAUUCAAAACGAGACCUGAAUUUCCACCCAUCCACAACUUCUGUAACUUACUUAACUUCGAAAAAUGUUCUUCAGAAAGAAUUCCAAUCAAGUGAUUCCUAGAAACAUCCAAGACAACCAAUUCAGAAAGUUGUCCAAAACUAAUUGGGAGACUCCCAUUUAGUUCAUUCGAUCCAAGCCACAUCACAUUUAGAUUUUUGAAUGUCCCAAAAGAAGCAGGGAUAGGGCCUUGAAGCUUGUUGCAAGAUAGAUCGAGAUGUGUAAGUUUUUCCAGCUGACUCAAUGAUUCAGGAAUUGUACCUGCAAUCAUCAUCAAAAGUAUUAAAAUAAUUUUGUCUAUCUAUUUAUUUUAUGAAAAAUAAGAAAUUCAAGAGAAAGGAAUUUUCAAAAAAGGUAUAAUAAAUCAAAUGAGUGGAUAAAAGACAAUUUAAAAUAGUUUUUAAAAACAAGUGUUUACAUGGAAUCAAUGUAUACACGAUUACUAGAAGAAAAUUUUAAUGAAUUUGGUAGCUGACCUUGUAAUUGAUUCUGAGAAAGACUUAAGUCCAGCAGAUUCAAAGAAAUAUUCCAAAACCACUUGGGUAUGAAACCUGAGAUGCUAGCAUUUGACAAAUCCAGAAGGGAGACCUCCUUUUGAGACCAAAGCCAAGUUGGGAAUAAAGGGCCUAAAUUGCAUGAAGCCAUACUUAGUUUAGUGAUUUGGAAUGGGGGGACCCAAGUGGAACUAACAUUCAAAACGAGACCUGAAUUUCCAUUUAUCCACAACUCCUUCAACUUACUUAACUUUGAAAAAUGUUCUUCAGAAAGAAUUCCAAUCAUGCGAUUCCUAGAAACAUCCAAGAGAACCAAUUCAGAAAGUUGUCCAAAACUAAUUGGGAGACUCCCAUUCAGUUCAUUUGAUCCAAGCCACAUCUCUCUCAGAUUUUUGAAUGUCCCAAAAGAAGUAGGAAUAAGGCCUUGAAGCUUGUUGCAAGAUAGAUCGAGAUGUGCAAGUUUUUCUAACUGACUCAACGAUUCAGGGAUUGUACCUGCAAUCAUCAUCAAGAGUACUAAAAUAAUUUCAUUUAUUUAUUUAUUUAUUUUAUGAAAAAUAAGAAAUUUCAGGAGAAAGGAAUUUUUAGAAAAGGUAUAAUAAAUCAAAUGAGUGGAGAAAAUAUAAUUUAAAAUAGUUUUUAAAAACAAGUGUUUACAUGGAAUCAAUAUAUACACGACUACCAUAAGAAAAUUUUAAUGAAUUUGGUAGCUGACCUUGUAAUUGAUUCUGAGAAAGGCUUAAGUCCUGCAGAUUAAAAGAAAUAUUCCAAAACCACUUGGGUAUGGAACCUGAGAUGCUAGCAUUUGACAAAUCCAGGAGGGAGACCUCCUUUUGAGACAUAAGCCAAGUCGGGAAUGAAGGGCCUAAAUUGCAUGAAGCCAUACUCAGUUUAGUGAUUUGAAAUGGGGGGACCCAAGUGGAACUAACAUUCAGAACGAGACCUGAAUUUCCAUUUAUCCACAGCUCCUUCAACUUACUAACUUUGAAAAAUGUUCUUCAGAAAGAAUUCCAGUCAUGUGAUUCCUAGAAACAUCCAAGAGAACCAAUUCAGAAAGUUGUCCAAAACUAACUGGGAGACUCCCAUUCAGUUCAUUCGAUCCAAGCCACAUCUCUCUCAGAUUUUUGAAUGUCCCAAAAGAAUUAGGAAUAGGGCCUUGAAGCUUGUUACCGGAUAGAUCGAGAUAUGCAAGUUUUUCCAAUUGACUCAAUGAUUCAGGAAUUGUACCUGCAAUCAUCAUCAAGAGUACUAAAAUAAUUUCAUUUAUUUAUUAAUUAUUUUAUGAAAAAUAAGAAAUUUCAGGAGAAAGGAAUUUUCAGAAAAGGUAUAAUAAAUCAAAUGAGUGGAGAAAAGAUAAUUUAAAAUAGUUUCUAAAAACAAGUGUUUACAUGGAACCAAUAUAUACACGACUACCAUAAGAAAAUUUUAAUGAAUUUGGUAGCUAACCUUGUAAAGAAAUAUUCCAAAACCACUUGGGUAUGGAACCUGAGAUGCUAGCAUUUGACAAAUCCAAGAGGGAGACCUCCUUUUGAGACAUAAGCCAAGUCGGGAAUGAAGGGCCUAAAUUGCAUGAAGCCAUACUCAGUUUAGUGAUUUGAAAUGGGGGGACCCAAGUGGAACUAACAUUCAGAACGAGACCUGAAUUUCCAUUUAUCCACAACUCCUUCAACUUACUUAACUUUGAAAAAUGUUCUUCAGAAAGAAUUCCAGUCAUGCGAUUCCUAGAAACAUCCAAGAGAACCAAUUCAGAAAGUUGUCCAAAACUAAUUGGGAGACUCCCAUUUAGUUCAUUCGAUCCAAGCCACAUUUCUCUCAGAUUUUUUAAUGUCCCAAAAGAAGCAGGGAUAGGGCCUUGAAGCUUGUUGCCGGAUAGAUCGAGAUAUGUAAGUUUUUCCAAUUGACUCAACGAUUCGGGAAUUGUACCUGCAAUCAUCAUUAAGAGUAUUAAAAUAAUUUUAUUUAUUUAUUUUAUGAAAAAUAAGAAAUUUCACGAUAAAAGAAUUUUCAAAAAAUGUAUAACAAAUCAAAUGAGUGGAGAAAAGUUAAUUUAAAAUAUUUUUAGAAACAAAUGUCUACAUAGAAUAAAUUGAGAAUAUUGUUUUUAGAAAUUAAAGUUUCCAAACAAAAUUUUGCUACAAAAAUAUAAUAUAAUAUUUGUAAAAAUUAUUAUAAAAAACUCAAAUUUGAUUUCUAAAAAAUAUUUUUACAAUGUUUACAAGAAACAAAAUACAUUAUAACAUUUGUAAAACUAUUAUAAAAAGCUCAAAAAAUUAUUUUAGAAAUCUAUUUUAAAAAUUGUUUACAACCAAAAUCUAGAUCUUGUAGUGUAAUCUUUCAAAUCCAUCAAAAGUCGAGGAGGAGAAGAUGAGCCAAAAAGCCCUAAAAAUUCCCCUUUGUUGGUCAAUUGCACAAUGAAUUUGUGAUAAAUCAUACAUCAACAAGAGUUAAAAUAAUUUAAUUUAAAAUAAUUUUCAAAAAAACAAAGAGAAAGUUUAUGAGAAAUAUAAUUUCAAGACAAGGUAAGAAACUUUACUUUCUUAUUGCAUUAGUGAAAUGGAUACAAUGAAUGGUGAAAAGAUAAUUUUACUUGCUUUGAUGGUUUAAUGAUAAAAGUAAGAGAUUAUUGGAAAGUCAUAAUAAUUUAAUGUGAAAUAUUUUUUAAGAACAAGGGUUGCAAUGCAAAACCUCUACAAUAUUUUGAUUUAUCAAAAAAAAAUAAGUGAUAACAAUUUUUCUAAGCUAAUAACGUACUAAGAAAGUUAUUGUAUGCCAAAUUCAAAAAUUCUAUCUUCUUCCAGCUUUUGCUUAACAUUUGAGAGCAACUACCUGUGAGAUUUUUGUUCCAAGAUAGAUCCAAGUGCUGCAAGUUAGGUAGUUCCCCAAGGCUAGGUGAAAUAUGCUCAUAUAACUGAUUAGAACUUACAUCAAUGUAUACAAGGCUGGUAAGGUUUAGGAGCCAUAUUGGGAACUUUGACCGGAAAGAGUUGCCACUAAUGCUUAUGAGAGACAGUGAAGUAAAAUUGAUAGAGCUUAGAGAUGAAAUUGAACCAGAGAGCCCACAAUCUUGUAGGUGCAACUCCGUUAAAAAUGGAAGCUUGUUUAAUACCUCCAUCCAAUGAGAUCCAUUGAAAGGUUGACAUAGUUCAUCUUGAGAUGCUUUAAGGAAACAAGACUAGUCAUCCAUUCAAGGUCCUUAACAAAUAAGAACUUCUGAAAUUCAUUGGAAGAAAGAUCAAGAACUUGCAAAUUAGAAAGGUUUCCCAAUGUUGGAGGAAUUGCACCACUGAAUCCACCAUUUGAUAAGUUUAGAUACCAUAAAUUCUUCAAAGAUCCAAAGAAUUUAGGGAUUAGUAUAUGCUCAAAUGAGUUACCACUCAAAUCUAAAUAUCUCAAGGAUUUGAUUUCUAUCAAAGAAGGUCGAAUCUCCCCGCUUAAGUUCAUUGAGCUCCAAUUCUCAUAUGCUUCUUUAGGAGAAUAUGGGUUAUGAAGAUUGAUUGAAAUAACAACUCUUGUGUUGUUUUUGCAACCAAUUCCCUCCCAUUGACAACAAUUGCCUCCUGUCCAUGAUGAAAGUCGGUUGUUAGAAUCUUUAAGACCAUUUUUGAAGUUAUGAAGAGCAUCUCGAUCGGCUCUUAAGCAAUCUUCCUUAAGGGUUUCACCCUUACAAGCUAGAUCUCUUAUUGUUAAACAUAGAAUGACCCAAAGGAAACCAAGAAUUGAAUUUUUCUCCAUCUGAGAACACCUAUAAAAGUAAGUAAUUAAUAUUAAGUUCCGAUAGAAGAAUCAAAAUAGUGAUGAAAUUUGAUAAAGAACUAGAACAUCAAGAUAUUGGAUACUAAAAAACACAUUUAUUUUAAUCAAUCAUAAGUUUAAUAAGAUUAAAACAUGUCAAGUGGAUGGCAUACUUGAAUAGUUAUCCAUAUUAAAUAUGGUUUGAUGAUUGUUGCUAAUCAAACACAAGAUAAGCUUGGAAGCACUAGAUAGGGGAAAACACUAUUGAACCCAUUCGAGGCUAAUCAAACAACUUGUCAUUAUUGGUAAAGUAAAACAAGACUAGUGAUCCAUUCGAGAUCAUUAACAUAUAAAUCAUAGGAUUCAAAAUUAACAAAUAAAUAAAUAAAUUGAUGGCUAGAAAGAUUGAGAAAUUUCAAAUUAGAGAGGUUUCUCAUACUAGGAGGAAUUGCUCCAUUGAACCCAUAAUUUGAUAGGUUUAGAUAUUCUAAAUUCUUCAAAGAUACAAAGAAUUCAGGAAUUGGAAUACAUUAAAAUGAGUUAUCACUCAAAUCUAAAUAUCUCAAGGAUUUGAGUUCUAUCAAUGAAAGUCUAAUCUCUCCACACAAGGUUGUAGAGGUCCCAUUCUCAUAUGCUUCCUUGGGAGAAUAUGGGUAAUGAAAAUCAACUGAAAUAAUAGCUCUUGUUUUAUUUUCAUAAUCGAUUCCUUCGCAUUGACAACAAUCAAGCCCUCUCCAUGAUGAAAGCCAACUAUUAGAACUUUUGAGAUCAUUUUUGAAGAGCAUCUCUAUAAGUUUUAAAUCAUUUCCCAAAUUGGUCUCACCUUUACAAGCAAGUUUUCUUAUUAUUAAACAUAGAAUGAUCAAAAGGAAACUGAGAAUUAAAAUUUUCUCCAUCUAGGAACACCUAUAGAAACAAGUGAACUUAAGUUCCAACACAACAAUAACAAUAGUGAAAAAAUUCAAUUAGUAAUGGAAUCAAGACAUCAAACAAUUAAUAACAUAUCUAACUUAACCACUCAUUUGUUUAGAAAGAUUAAAAAUUUCCAAGUAACCAACAUAAUUUAAUACAUGUCAAAGAAAAUAUAAUUGAAAUCAUCUCAAUAAAUAUCAAAUAUGCUUUGAUGAUUACUAUUGAUCAAAACAUUCUAACUAUAGAAAUCACUUACAAGAAAACUUGAAGCAUUAGAUAGAGAGAAACACUUUGAACAAUCUCCUUUUUUAUGGUGUAGUCAUUCCUUUGGAUGCAGAGAUAUAUAUAGAAGAUAAUUCAACUAGAAACCAUGUGGAUGGAUAGUGAUAAGCGCCUUUCCUUUCUUUUUAGCAAUAUUUUGAAAAAUGGAUUGGACCAACCAAUUGAAUAGAUUCAAUUGCCAACCAAUUCACUUUCCGGGUUGGGUGACCUUUUCCAACCAUUUUGGGCUUAAAAUAGUGGAAAACCGAUCACUAGUAUUUGAUUAUGAUCAAAUAUUUCUAUCACAACAACCACUUUUUCUUCAAUCACUUUAAUAUAUUUUUGUCGCCUCUUGGUACCUCAUUAAGCAAAAUUUGCAUUGGAUUGACUUCAACAUUAUGUUUGGGUCAUCAAGAUUCAAGCCUUUUCAAUUGUUUGUGAUCCUCAACAAAAAAAGAUAUAUAAAUUAAAAAUUCAAUUCAUAUCAACAAAUUUUAGCAAACCACUUUAGAAUAUAUAAAAUUAAAAUUUGUGUUCUUGUAAUAAUGAUUCUAAGUUUUUUUUUCUCUUCAUUUUAAUAACCAUUUGAAAGUGUCAAUUGUGUUUUCAAUGUUAUAAGACUUUGAUGAAUAUUUGUAAAUAGUAUAUAUUCAUAUAUUCUUAAUUUUUUGAAAAAAUAAAAUAAAAAUUAGAAAAAAGAUUUAUUUAUUUAUUUAUUUGGAUAUAGAAGAUAAUUCAACUAGAAGCCAUAUAGAUGAAAGUGAUGGCCUCCCCUUUCUUUCUCCUUUCUUUCUUUAUAGUAUUUCUUUUUUAAGCAUACGCAGUCAAAAUUUUGCUUUUGGUAAAGUCUUCCACCUGUAAUUGAAAUGUAAAGAAUAAUAAUUCAAAGUCCAAAAAAAUAAGGACAAAAAAGUUGCUAUCUUCACUUAAAAACUUUGUUUUUGGAGUCGUGUCCUCUUGUCCUUUUGCACAAAACAAAACGUACCCCUUACUCUAAUGCAAGGAUGUAUAUUAAAUGAUAAAAUAUGAAUUCAUUAAUCUAAUUAUGAAGUCAAGAACUUAAUUAAUUAUUUAAUUAUAUUAAUUAAUUUAAUUGAAGUGUAAAGAAUAAUAAUUCAAAGUCCAAAAACAUAAGGACAAAAAGGUUGCUAUUUUCACUUAAAAACUUUAUUUUUGGUGUUGUGUUCUCUUGUCUUCUUGCACAAAACAAAAAGUUCUCUUUACUCCAAUGCAAGGAUGUAUAUCAAAUGAUAAUAUAUGAAUUAAUUAAUCUAAUUAUGAAGUCAAGACCUUUAUUAAUUAUAUUAAUUAAUCUAGUUGAAAUGUAAAGAAUAAUAAUUCAAAGUCCAAAAACAUAAGGACAAAAAAGUUGCUAUCUUCACUUAAAAACUUUAUUUUUGGUGUUGUGUCCUCUUGUCUUCUUGCACAAAAUGAAAGAUACUCUUUACUCCAAUGUAAGGAUCUAUAUUAAAUGAACAAUCUUCUCAUUCAUUAAAGGAACCAUUUUUAAUCAUAUCGACUACUUAAAUAAGGCUAGAGCUUUAACAGUUACCUUUAUUUGAACUUUAUUAUCAAGCAUUAAUUAACAAAAUAUUCUAUUUGAACUUGUAAGUGAUAUGAGAGUUUGAAUUAAUGAUUAUUAAUGCUUCUAUAUUUCAUCUAAUUUGUUGGGUUAGCCGUAUCUAAUCCCACAAUAUUGAAUGAUCAAUCUUAUUACUACUUGAUUAUAAAUUAAAUAUUUCCAAGCUUGAUCCUUAAAUAUGGUCUAUUAAGGCAAUAAUUUGAUCAAAACUAUUAAGGACUUAGGUUAAUAAUGUAACACUUCAUUUCACUAAUAGCAUAUAUAUAUGAGAAAAAUAAACAUUGAUGAAAUUUAAAUGCCUAACCUACCCUAAGUUAAAAUUUUGAUAUCAUGCAUGGUAAGCUCUGAUAAUUUGACAUGAUAAUAUAGAUCACCAAGCAUUUGGUUUAAAAAGAAUAAAAUCUUCCAAGUUCAAAUUGUGUAUAUUUGACAUGGUGAUAUAGAUCACCAAGCACCUAUUUGAAAAAUAAUAAAAUCUUCCUAGUUCAAAUUGAGUAUAUGAAGUAAGAAGCUGAAUGGGCAACCCUUUUUUUUUUUAAAAAAAAAAAAUUCCAAGGAAAAAGAUUCAGUUGAUGUUUGUUUUUUUUAACUUAAUUUGAAUGCAAUUUACUUUCAAGACUUCAAAUAUUUGUUUUUAAUAUUUUUUUAAACUUUUAACUUAUUCAUCAAUAUUUAGAAUAGAAUAGAACAAGCUAAAAUAUGUGACUUUUUACUUAAUCUAAAAAGUUAACCGAUUCACACUUCUAACCCCUCAUACCUAACUCACAUUGUGAAAAAACAAAUAAUAUUAAAUACUUUUAAGUUGUAUUUAGAACUAAGUUAAAUUAAGUUCUAUUUAGAUUUAAAUAAAAAAAAUCAUCUUAAUUAUGUUGAUCCAAACUUUAAUUGUGCAUGAUGUCUCGUUUUCCCUAUGAGCAUGACUUUGCUACUACUUAUCCCACACAAGAAAUAAUGGGCUUUUAGUUAAUUAACUACUAAGAAUAAUAAUAUGAACGUAUAGAUGACAUUAGCCCUAUAAAUUGAGUCAUGAAAAAACCUUCCUCAAAAUAUCACAGUCUUCAUGUUGUCCUAUGAAUUAGUAAUAUUUCACAAUCUUGUAAAAAAUUAAGGAAAAAUAAGAUAAAAUAAUCAAUAAGGCAUCAACAAUAGCAAACCACCUCGAAAUAAAUAAAAUAUCUUAAAAUUUUGAAAAUCUCUAUGAUGAGGUUAUCAUUUCUGAUAAAUUGAUCAUGCUCAUCAAAGCUAGCUCAGCACUACACAAUCCAAUCCAACCCAAUUAACAAAUCAACUAUUUAAAGUAUCCAAAUAUUGUGACCAUUUUUUAAAGACAUUUUUGUCAUGUCAUGUCUAUCAUGCAAUUUAAAGUAAUCAACUCAGCUUUGAAUAAAGAAAUUAUGUUUAUGCCCAUUCAUUAAUUUAUUAAUUUAUUCAAUGUUUAUGCCAUGUCUACCAAGGUGGCCAUAGAAAAUUUUGCAUUAGCUUGACUUUAACUCUUAUGUUUGGGUCAUCUAGAUUAGGGCCUUGUAAAUUAAGAUUUCAAUUCUUGUCAACAAAUUUUAGCAAACCACUCCAUAAGCUUUUUUCUCCUUUCAUUUUAAGAAUUAUUUGAAUGUGUAAAUUGCAUUUUAAAUUUUAUAGGACUUUGAUUAAUAUUUGUAAAUACUAGAUAUCUUUGUAUUUUUAACUUCUUUAAAAAUAAAAAUUUUUUAUUAAAAAGAAUUUUGCACUAGCAAUUCAUUUCCUCACAUGGAAGUGCUAGAAAAUUUUAAAAAUUACCUAAUCCAUUUUGUGCUUUUACAAAGUAUCAAUUAGUUGUGGUUAAAUAAAUUUAGUUUCCAAUCACUAAAUUAUACAUUUAGACAUAAGAUAAUUUGGGUAUCUAACAUUUAACAACUUCAUAAUUUCUUUAUUAAGUUGUGAUGACCCAAUUUAUUUCUAUGCUAAAUUUUUAAUUUUUAAUUAUAAUUCUAUCUUUAGUGUAAAAUUUCAUUCAUGCAUGAGGGUUAAUAAUCAUUUUAGAAGACAAGAAUGACAAGAUUGUGUGAGAAAUUUCUACAUGAAAUCUUGAGAUUGAACACCAAAUUGAAAGUUUGGACAAACCUAAGAAUAAUAACUAAUGCAUCAAGAUUUUAGAUACAACUAUUUCAAUAAUUAAAUAUUGUAGCUCAAUAAACAUACUUCAUAAUGUUUGGAAUUACAAUAAAUUUAUAUUUAUAAACUAAAAAAAAAAAAAAAAAACUUAGACAAAUUUUCCUAGAAACAUAUUCAAAUAAGUGGUUAGAGUAUUAUUGUCUAUGUAUACAUAGAUUAUAGUUAGAAUGUUAAGUGAUUUCAAAUUUAGACAACAAAUGUCAAGCCACUUAACCGUCUGAUUAGUCUUAUAAAUUAAAUAUAUAUAACUUAAUAAAUAGGAGUUGGAAGCAUAUGGUCAUUCGAGUCUUUGUUUUUCCUUUUUCACUCACUAUAAGGAUGGUUUUCCUUCCUAAAAAUAAAAUGAUGUAAAAAACCAUGAUAGAGAAUAAUAAUUAACAUGGAGAAGAAAACAAAGAGAAUGAAAACCAAAAAACAUACAAAGCACAUAAUGACUUACAUGGUUUUGUGUAAGGUUUACAUAAACAAGUAAAAUUGAAAAAGUUCAAAGGGAUUAUAAUCCUAAAACUCUCAAAUUCUAAAGUCCCAAUUACCACCUCUCCUCCCAACCCCUUGCCACUCUUAAAAAAAGAAAACUCUCUUUGAGUAAAAAAUUGUUCUUAUUUUCUUGAUAACAUAGAAAUAUUCAAUAUAAAAAAAUAUCUAGUUAUUAAAGAUUUCUAGUAAAUUUUCUUUAUAAUAAUAGAAAGUCUCUUGCAAAAAUGUAUUUUGAUGGGAAAAUAUCAAAGAAUUACAAAAUUGUCUCAAAAGAGAAUUUGAGAUACUUUCUAACAAUUUCCACCUUGGCUUUAAAUCCUAAGAUUAAAACAAAUUUGAAAGUCUUUCAUGUCACUUUGCACUCAUGCUCUUAAAGGAUCUUCAGAUGUUGUCAUAAACAAUUAAGUUCAAAACACAUUAAUUGGUUUCUCCACUACAAUGAUCUUUUUACUAGUGUCUACCAUCACUAGCAUACCUUUAUCUACCUCUUUGUUUCAUCUUGGUUAAAUUGUAUUGUUACUCUUGUUAUGCAUUUUCCUUAUCAAUGUUGAACCUCUUCUUCAUUUGGCGUUACUAAAUUCUUUCCUAUAGUUCCUCAAGCUUUAGGUUUGAGCUCCAACUUUUUCUCACUUUGAUGUUGUUGCUGUUUUUUUUUUUUUUUUUGGUGUAUCAAAUAGCUUCUUCCUAGGAUUAAUCAUUAUAGCCUCAUCAAGGGUCACAGCCACACUAACAAGAAAAAUGAAAGAUUUUGAAUUUGGGCACACAACAUAUACCCUUUAGAGUACAUUUUCUCCAUACCCUAAAAAUAUGCAUUUUCUUACCUUUGGUUCCAACUUACCUUUAUUCACAUGAGCAUAAGCAGGACACCAUAAAAUUCUUAAAUCUAUACAGUUAGCAAGGAAACCAAACCAUUCCUCUUAAAGAGUCUUAUAAUUAAUAUGUAGGAUGUCCUUUCACAAUAUAACAAGUUAAAUUUAUUGCUUCAACUCAAAAUUCCUUUCAUAACCCUACAUUCAAAAGUGUGCACCUUGCUCUCUUUGAAAGAGUUCUAUUCAUCUUAUUUGCAACACCAUUAUGUUGUAGAGUAUGUCUAACUAUGUCUCACAUUAUCUUUAAUAUUGCACUACUCAUUAAAAUAUUUUCCACUAAAUUCCAUAUCAUUGUCGAUUCUCAAGCAAUUUGUUUUCCCAUAUGUUUCUCCAUUAUCUUUUAUAUUGCACUACUCGUUAAAAUCUUUUCCACUAAAUUCAAUGUUAUUGUCAAUUCUCAAGCAAUUUGUUUUUCCAUACGUUUCUCCAUCAUAAUUUUCAAUUGUUUGAACUUCUCAAAGACAUCACUCUUAUGUUUAAGAUAUAUACCCAAACCUUUCUAAAGUAAUCAUCAAUUAAGCUCAAUGUAUAUGUUCCACCAACAUGUGAUAUAACCUAAUAAGGACCCCAAAGAACUAGAUGAUGUAAUCUAAAGUACCUUUAAUAUUGUGAAUAGUUAUACUCCAUCUAAUCGAUCAUUUUUCUCAAACAUAUAAUGCUCACAAAAAUCUAGCUCUUCCAUUUUCUAACCACCAAGAAAAACUUGUUUGCUCAAAAUUGUCUAAUGAAAAAGGAAGACUAAGUUUUUGAUAUGGAGUUUAUGUUUGAAAGUUUUGGGAUUUAAGAAUAUGUUCAUUAGAGUUAAAUUCAUUGGGUGUUAGGAUUUCUUAUAUGCACUUUACUUAUGAAACUGACUUGAAGCUUUUGAGUUGUUGAUUAUCUUGUAGUGAUACAUCUCAUUUAGUGAUUAGAGUUUACAAGUUCCUCAUAUUUAAAAAAGUUCAUAGAGCUCUAUUAUUAAUGAUCUUCGUUACCAUUGUAAAUACUAUCUCUAGCUGAAAAUGAACAAGGGUUUUAUUGAUUCAAUCCUUUCAUACGCUUGAGAUGGUUCCUUGUAUGACUAUAAGUUGAAUUACUAUUUCCAUAAUCUCUUGUAAUAAAACAACAUCUUGAAUAAUAUAUCUUCAAAAUGAAAUAGACUUGGAGCAAAUCACACAACAUUUAAUCCUUGGAAUGGUUUUGCAUUCUGGUGGCUUAAAUAGGAAGAAGAAGACCUUAAUUAAGACUGGUAUGGACCCAGAUUUUUCAUGUGCAUCCCCACUCACUGGCGAGAAUUGUUUUUAUUGGUGAAAAAUUAGUUUUGAAAAAGUUGGAGUCACCACUUAUUUUAUUUUAUUUAUAAAGGGAAAAUAAAACAAAAAAGAAAACACUAAAGAAGUGACUCUAUAGUUUUGGAAAAGCAUGUCUUGAAAAACUCGAGUCUUGGUCCAGAGAUCAGAUUACCUAUUGGGAAGGUACCUCAAAGAGGUAGCACCCCUCUAAGCCCUAAGGAGGUUUCUACUAGCUAGGUUGAGAGAAGUAUGACAAUUAGUUAUACCUAGGUAGGCUAAGGUGAUUUCAAAACUCUAUCAUCACUAUCAUGCCAAAUAAGAAUUCAAAACAACAUCAUAAAGAAGUGGCAGUUUGUGUACCUGAAUUGCAACUUAAGCGCUAUCAUAAAACAUCAAAGUUAGUUUAAGCAACAAGAUAUAUAACAUACAAUAUGCUUUUUACUCUAUUCAAAGAAUUAGGCACAAAUCAAAUCAAUCUGAAACACAAUCAAGCAUGAAGGUACUUCACACACAAAGCAUAUCUAUUUAUAGAACUUUGAAAGAUAAGAAGAGGAGAGACACACCUGGAUAGCAUGCAUAAUUUAUAAGGUUCUUCCAAAAAUGCUAGAGUGGUUAGGACAACCAUAAAUUAUACAACAUCCUUAUUAUGUCUAAUAUAUAGUAUCAGAGCCAAAGUCGAGCCAAGAUAAGUUAAAUGGCUCCAAAAUAAAUAACAAAUUCAAGAUAAGUACAAGAUCAUUAACAUGUAGUUAGAAAAGGAAGCAUCACAAAACAAUUUCUUAAAAAAAUAUCUUGGAGUGGAAUUUAAUUAUAAAAAAAAAAUCAGAAAAUAACUCCUACACAUCUAGAACAACAUACAAAAAACCAAACACAUUCAAAUGACAGACUGCAUCAAAGACACAUAAAAGUUGUAGAAGGUCCAGAUUAGGUAAACAAUAGUGACAUACAUAAACCGAUUUUUUUUUUAAAUAAUAAUAAAUCACAUAAAAUUGUACAAAAAAUCAUGCACAUCGAUCAAAGUGUCUAAACCACAGAAAAAAUGAAUCCAUAGUCAGAUAGAACUCAAAAUAUUUUUAGAACACCCAAGCUAAUUAGAUGUCCAGAAUCCAUCAUGUAUAGUAGGUAUGACUUUGAAAAAUCAUAUCUCCCUCAAAAAGGCAUAGUUUUUAAUAUUUUAUGUGUCAAAAUUUAAUUUCAAGAAGUCAAAAAUCUAGGAAAAAUAUUCAUUUAAAUUAGAAAGAUUAGAAAACACUUUAAGUUUUCAAUGAUCUCUUAAGUGUGUAGAGGUACUCCUAAAUAGAGAAUGCUGAAAGAGAUGAUCAUAACUCAACUUUAAGAAAAGAUUUCUGACUCAAAUAAUAUUCUAGAAUCAAGUUCAAGAAGUAAGGAAAAUCAUAAAAGCUUUCAAAUUUUUUUAAAAUACUCUAAAGUUGCUCAAAUGAAUUUUAAAACUAAAGGGUCAGUAAUUGAAUGAAAACUGACAACAAAUAAGAGUUUUAAAAAAUUUCCUUAUGUAAGGGUUCCAUCAAGUCCCCAUUCAAUUUCUAUAAGUUUUAUCUAUAUAUCCCCAUUAAUUUGGGAGUACAAGUCCAAACCUAUGUGAAUAAAAUAAAAAUAAAAACAAAAUUUUUGAAAAACCAACAAAGGAGAAAUGCAACUUAGAUAAAAUGAAUUGCAUAAUUUUAAUAGAAAAUGUGUUCUUUACCUAAAGCUAGAAUGAAUGUUUUUCUAAAGCCUUUUAUUGGUGAUUUAAAUGCUUUUGAAAAAGAUUUUAAGGGAACCAGAAAGAGACCCAAUGAUAGACACAAAAUAACUAUUUUUGAUUUCUAACUUAAAAAGGCUUUGAAAAUAAGAGAAAAGCCAAACUUAUGAUGGAAAAAAAAAAUCAUUUUUGACAAGUGAAGAGAAAUUUUGAUUCAAUAACAAUUGGAUAGUCUUUAAAAGGAUCGCAAACCAAACAAAAAUUUUAUUCAUAUUAAUUAAUUUUCCUAAAUCAAAUAAAAAAAAGAUUCAAUCAAAAUAAAUAUUUUAUUUGAAAAGAUUAAUUUUCUAAAACAAGUAAAUAAGAUUCAAUUGAAAUUAUUAUUAAUAAACUUAAGACAUAAACCAACCAAAUUUCCAAAUAUAAAUAAACAAUAUCAAAACAAACUCAAGACAUAAACCAAUUAAAUUUCUAAAACAAAUAAAUAGUAUCAAAAGGAAUGCUAAUGAACGUGAGAUGUGAACUAACCAAAUUUCUAAAAUGAAGAAUAGGGUCCAACCAAAACAAUUAUUUUAUUCGAUCUAACUAACCAAAUUUUAUGGAACAAGUAAAUUACGAUAAAAUCAACCAAGGACUAAUAUUAGUGGUCUUAAAACAUAUUAUAGUUACGUUGGAUCAAUCAAAAUAUAACCAAAAAAAUUCUAGGACAAAUAACUAAAUAAAUGCAAUCAAGGGUUAAUAUUAAUGACUUUAAAAAUACAAUCAUAGUUACAUAGGAUCAAUCAAGACUAGUAUUUUAAUUUUUUUUUAAAAGGGGGUUAACCAUGAGAUCAAUUAAAUUAAUAACUCAUAAUUCUAAUAUAUAUAUAUAUAUAUAUAAACUAAAAAAAAUCAAUUAAAGACUAAAAUCUAUUAACUUGGACAUGGAUAUAUUCACAGGAUCAAUUAAAUUAAAAAACUAAAAUUCCGAAGACAUGUAAAUUCGAUAAAAUAAUCCAAGGACUAAAAUUUAUUAACUAAGUUAUGGAUUUAUCCACGGGCUCAAUAAAACAAUAAACUAAAAAAAUGCUAAAGCUAUCUAAACUAAAGUAGGACGGAUUUAAACUAAGUGAGAACGGAAUUAAAACAUGAACUAAAAGCUAGAUUAUGAACUAAAAUUAUCACGUGGAAUCAAUUAGUAAGAUGAACUAAAAUUCUAAAAUUAUAAACAAGAUGAGGUGAACUCAAAACUAAAAGCUAGAUUAAACAAAGAUCCGAGUUUUCUUUUUCGGUCAAAUAUAAUGAAUCGGAAACUAGAACUAAAUAAGAUUCAAACUUUUUAAAUCUAAAACAAAGAAUCAAAUUAAACCGAAACAAGGAUGUAAUUUUUCGAUCUAAAACAAUGGAUCAAAAUUAAACAAAGUUUAGAUUUUCAAAACCAAAACAGAUUCUGUACUCACCUUUCUCCGCAAUCCCUUGGACUAUGUUAUAGAUGGUGCGGCCUGUGGAUGUGUUCACUUGCAGGUACGGCUGUGAUUGGGGAUCGUUGGAGAACGUGUGCUACUGCCUUCUCCGUUGAUGACGAUGUUGUCUAGAACUCCUUCGUUAGUGGGAGUGUUUCUUGUGAUUUAUAGCCCACCUUCCAGAUUCUCACGUGAAGGAGCAGUCCGCCCUUGUGAAUGUGCGUGAUUCACUUUUGGAUGGGAUGCGGCUGCUACUGAAUUCGAAUCAUAUACAGUCAAUGAAUGGUGCGUCAAUGGGAUGGAUAUAUUGUUGAGUGGGGUGUCGGUGGAGAGAAAUUUCUGAUCAGCAUGCGCGCUCGUGCCCUUGGAGAUGCAGCCAUGAAGAUCCUCGAGUGGCCUGCGUGCAUGAAAAAAAUAUAUACUGUGCACCAAAAUUUGUUUUUUUCAACUCCGCAGCUGCUUGGUGGUCCUUCAAAAGUGCGAGUAGGCUGCUCUAUAUGGUUCCAAAACCGACUGCCCUUCCUGAAUCUGUGCUGAAAGUCCCUCUUUUCUAAAACCACUCCCGAAGUCUGCUCUCGGCUCUCUGUGUUUUCCUCGCACUUAUCCAAAACACCAGCCCCAUUUUCAUUAGCGUUUGGCAACCGUCCCAUGCGUGGAGGACUCCUCCUUUCUCCAAAUUCUAUGUUUCCUCCUCUUAAUAAAAUCAUUUUAAAAUAAUAAUAAUAAUAAUCAUAAUAAUCUGUGCAUAUCACCCAUGGAGUCCCACCUUUUUCAAAAACUUCUUCACCUCUAUUUUAACUCCCUGGUGAUCUUCAAUAAGGCCCUUCUUUUCCUUUUCAAAGUCUUACCAAAAAUUAACUCUUCCUUACCCGUAGGUAAAUUUUCCUAUAAAAACAUAAGAUUAUUAAAUCAAGUAAAUGAAUAAAAAAAAUUAGAGAAAGAUAAAAUAAUAAUAAUCAAUAAAUGAAUAAAUAGCAAAAUAAAAAUAAAUAUAAUAAAUGAUUAAAUAAAAGUGAUUGAUAAUAAUAAUAAUAAAAAUAAAAACAAAUAAAUAAGUAAAUAAGAAAAAUGAGCCAUGCAAGGCAUGCAACCAUGCAAGUUAUACAAGUCACGCUAAGAAUGUCUAAUGGGCCAAGUGACCUAGGUGGGCCUAAGAUGGGGCCUAAUGGGCCAAGUGUACCUAAAUGAGCCUAAGGCGAGUCUAAGUGGGCUUAACUAAGUCUAACCUAAAGUGCACCUGAGUGAAGCUUAAUCUAAACUCGAAUGGCAGCCAAGAUCACAAUGAGGAGUCAAAUAAACCUCUCAACCAAAGUCUCCGAGGUGGCUAAGAGAAGACAAGCUAAAUGAGUAGUAAUGGCCCAUUGGGGAAUUGCUAUAAAGUACCAAACGAACACUAAUAGGAAAUGUGCUAGGAAGGCAAAAUGGAAGGUCUACAACUCGACUAAUUAAUUAGCAACCUAGGCUAAUUGAAUGAUAUUUUUGAAGUACUGUUCUAAUUGAUUAAUUGGAGUCAUGUUAUGUUAAUUAAUCAAUUAGCAAUCUUUUUAGAUUGGAUUAAGAGACCCAAACUCAUGGUGGACAAUGGACCACAUUUUUCUCACAUGUUCCCACUUGAUGGUAAGACUCACUUUUUUAUUUGUGAAAAUUUAAUUUUUAGAAAAAGACUUGGAAUCGCCGCUUAUUUUUCUUUUAUUUUCUUAAAGGGAAAACAAAAUAAGAAAAAAAAACCCUAAGUGUAAAUCUUGAAAGGAAAGACGGGUAUGUGAAAAUUGAGUUGAGUCUGGGGGUCAGGUUACUUAUCGGGAAGAUACGGUAAUAAACUAUAACACUCCUCUAAGCCUUAAAGUUAGGUCUCUACUAAUUAAGGUAAGAUAAUUAUGGCGAUUGAUUAAUUAAUCUGAUGGAUACCGAGGAUGAUCAUGAUAAUAAUAAGGAAUAACUAAGCAAGAUAGAUUCGAAGUGUGCCUUAGUAGUGAGCAAUAAUAUGCUUAAAGAGAAAAUAGGGUUAGUGCACAACAAUAAUAAGCAUAAAAUAUCUCAUGUAUAUUCCAAAGCAAGGCUAAAUCAGUCAUUUAUUUAAUAAACACAGUAAUUAGAAUGAAUUAAUAAAGGAGUACGUCAUGUAUAUUGGGUUCCACUAUUUCCCAUUCUAUUUCUACAUGGACUAAUUAUAUAAAUUUCACUAAUCUAGGAAUUAUAAAAUUUAUUUAUGUUUAUUAAAAACAAGAAUAUCAGAAAAUUAUUAAAAACAAAUUCAGUGAAAAGUGCUUGUCGAAGGAAAAUGGUAGCAAAUAGGACCAGGGUGUAAGCAAAAUAAAUAAAUAAAAAAAAUCAAUCCAAACCAACCACAAUAGAUCAUAUCGGUUCGGUUUUCAAAAAUAAAAAAGGUGAGGUCGAUUUGCAAAUUUUGAAAACCGAUCUUAUCGGUUUGAUUUUUUAUUUUCUUGUUUCCUGAUUGAUAAAAACUGAACCAAAUAAAUAUUCUAAAACUUAUAUAUAAUUGCUUCCUGAUUUUUGAAUUUCGAGGAUCGAUCCGACGUCAUUUUGGCGCCGCUGAUGAUGCCGUUAUUGGCGAUCUUGGGGUCAUUUAAGGCCGCAGUAAAUAAUAAAAAAAAAGGUAUUAAUAUGGUUUGGAUUGGGCUACCAUUUUGGAUGGAUUGGGUUGCACCAACUUGGGUCAAGGAAUACUUUUGAGCCCUGUUUCAUCCAUCCCAUGGUAUCAUAUCUAAAAUAGAUAGAUAUAUCAUUGUUUUACCAUCUGUUUAAUUAUCAAAUCUAAAACCUUUCAUUAAAAAAAAAAAAAAAAAGCCACUGUGGGGCUCAAACCCAUGAGCCCAAGGUUGAGAACAUUGCGCUCAACCAACUGAGCUAUGAGACCCUUCUAUUUGUUUAUGAUUCUGUACUUUAAAAAUUGUGAUUCAGAUAAAUUUUUGUAUUAUCUUUUCUGUACCACAUUAAAUAUAGGAAUUUAUCAUUUCUUAUUACAUUAAUGUUUAAUAGUUUUAAAAUAAUUGAAUUAUAUAUAUUUGUUACCAAAAGUAACUUAUAUUAUAUAAUUUUAUUUAUUUUGAAAGAUGUAAACAUGUUAUUAUUGUAUCAAAUAAUCGGCUCAAAGGAAGAUUAUUUUAAUAUAAUAAUAAAUAAAGUAGUCAUAAAUAUGUGACAUAUAAAGUUUAUCUUGCAUGAUGUAUGUCAGUCCAAAGAUAGGCAUAUUGCUUCGGUUUUAUUAUCAAUAUUUAUGAAUUAAUUUUGCAAAGGAUACCAAUUACAAGUUAAUAUUUAUUGUCCAAAGACUGAAUAUUAAUGUUUGUGUUAGGUAUCUUGUAAUAGGCCCACAUGCAUAUACAUAUAUAUGUUAAAAUUUUAUUUAUUCAUGUAUGUAUGAUAUUUUUGUGACUGAUUCUAGGCUUUAUUGUUAUGAAUUCAGCAUCUUCUACAUCUGCAAAUGUUAAUAACAUUAUUGUGCUUAAUGGCACAAACUUCAAGAAAUGGAAGGAGCACAUUAUAAUUGUGCCCGGGUGCAUAGAUUUGGACUAUACAUUAAUAGAUGAUCACCCUCCAGACCUUACUAGUGCCAGCACUAUUGAGCAAAGGGUUGUUAUGGAAAAAUAGGAGCGAUCCAAUUGCAUGAGUCUAAUGAUAAUGAAGCACUCAAUUCUAGAAGCUAUAAGGGGUGCAAUACCUGAGGAAACCCAAUCCAAGACAUUCUUGGACCAAAUAGCAAACCGAUUCGCUGCAAAUGAAAAGGUUGAGACAAACACUAUUCUUAGUAAGCUUGUCUCCAUGCGGUACUAAGGGAAAGAGAAUAUAAGGGAGUACAUAAUGGAAAUGUCCAAUCUUGUGACUAGACUCAAGGCACUAAAGUUAGAGUUGUUAAAAGACAUAGUCGUGCACUUAGUCUUGAUCUCUCUGCCUACACAAUUUAGUGCAUUCAAGAUCAGUUACAACACACAAAAGGAAAAAUGGACUCUAAAUGAGAUUAUUGCUCAGUUUGUACAAGAGGAGGAGAGAUUGAAAUAAGAGAAGAUAGAAAGCGCUCAGUUGGCUUCUACAUCUUAGGGAUUUGAUACCAGCAAGAAAACAAAAAGGGACAAUAAAGGAAAACAAACUGAAUUUUCUGGGACAUCAAAGCAAAAGGUGCAGAAGAAACAAGAUAAGGAGAUCACUUGUUUCUUUUGCAAGAAGGUUGGUCAUAUGAAGAAGACAUGUACUAAAUACGCUGCUUGGCGUGAAAAGAAAGGUACACUUCUCAACUUUGUUUGUUUAGAAAUUAAUUUAGUUAUAGUGCCUACUAACACUUGGUGGAUAGAUACGGGUGCAACUACUCACAUAAGUGUCAAGAUGCAGGGGUUGCCUAAGGAGUCGAAUGCCAACUGAUAGUGAAAGAUACAUCUAUGUGGGAAAUGGCAACAAGGCUGCAGUCAAGGCUAUUGGUCUUUUUAGAUUACAAUUAGACUCUGGAUGUACUUUGGAUUUGGAAGAGACUUUUGUAGUACCAUUGUUUAGACGGAAUUUAAUUUCUGUUUCAUGUCUAGACAAAUGUGGAUAUUAUUGUUCAUUUAGAAAUACAAUGGUUAGUCUUUAUCUAAAUUCAAAUGUUAUAGGUACAAGUAGUCUAACAGACAAAUUAUAAAAAUUGAACAUAAAGGCCUCUAGUGGAAAUGAAACCUUGCAUUCAAGUAAUUAUGGCAUUAAGUGAAAAUUAACAAAUGAGAAUUCAUCAAUGUUAGGGCACAUACGUUUUGAUCAUAUUUCAAAUCAACGUAUUCAAAGGCUUGUGUCAGAAGGAAUUCACGAUCCACUUGAUUUCUCAUACUUUCAAGUCUAUAUAGAGUGUAUUAAGGGUAAACAAACAAAUAUGAAGAAAAAUGAUGUCAAUAGGUGCAGUGACAUCUUGGAAUUGAUACAUACAGACAUUUGUGGUCCAUUUCCUACCCCUUCUUGGAAUGAACAACAAUAUUUUAUCACUUUCAUUGACGAUUACUCAUGCUAUGGCUAUCUUUAUUUGAUUCAUGAGAAGUCUCAGUCAUUGGAUGUGUUCAAGAAUUUUAAAGCUGAAGUUGAGAAUCAACUAUGCAAGAAAAUAAAGGCCAUUAGAUCUAAUCGUGGAUGUGAAUAGUAUGGUAGAUAUGACGUAUCCGGUGAACAACGUCCAAGACCAUUUGCCAAAUAUUUGAUAGAGUGUGGUAUAGUUCCUCAGUACACCAUGUUGGGGACUCUAAGCCAAAAUGGUGUAGCAGAAAGGCGAAACCAUACUCUUAAGGAUAUGGUAAGAAGUAUGAUCAGUCAUUCCACCUUACCAGAAUCACUUUGGGGCGAAGCUAUCAAAACUGUAGUUUACAUUUUGAACAGAGUCCUAAGCAAAGCAGUAGCCAAAACCCCAUAUAAGUUAUGGACUAGCAAGAAACCUAGUAUUAGGCAUUUGCAUGUCUAGGGUUGUCCAACUGAGGCUAAACCUUACAAGCCAAAUGAAAAGAAAUUGGACUCCAUAACAAAGAGCUGCUACUUUGUAGGGUAUUCUGAAAGGUCGAGAGAUUUCAAGUUUUAUGACCCUUAAACUAGAUCUUUCUUUGAAAUGGGCAAUGCUAAGUUCAUUGAGGAUGUUGAGUUAAGUAGGAGAUAGUCAUUAAGAAAGGUGGUCUUUUAAGAGGAAUCUGUUAGUAUUCCUAUUAUUACAACUAGACAUGGUCAUAUUAUGUUUGAUGACACUAUCCAUAAUGUAUAACCAAUAACAAAGAUUGUAGACAUACCUGAGAUUCCUCCUACUCAAGUUAUAGAACUAGUUCAAGUUCAUGAAGAGGUAACUCAACAACCUCAAGAACCUCAAGUACAAGUGCCACUGAGGAGAUCCAUUAGAGAAAGGAGAAGUACAAUUUCAGAUGAUUAUGUUGUAUAUCUCUAGGAACAUGAGUUUGACAUUGGUCUAGAAGACGAUCCAAUUUCAGUUAGUCAAGUCAAACAAAGUUCUGACUUUGAAAAGUGGAUAGAAGCCAUGAAAGAUGAGAUGAAAUCAAUGAAAGACAAUGGUGUUUAGGACCUAGUAGAGUUGCCUGAAAGUGUAAAAUCGAUUGGUUGUAAAUGGAUUUUUAAGACUAAGCAAGAUUCAAAAGGCAACAUUGUUAGGUAUAAGGCACACCUUGUCAUAAAAGGUUUCACUCAAAAAGAAAACAUUGAUUAUAAGGAGACCUUUUCACCGGUUUCGUUAAAGGACUUCUUUAGAAUCAUCAUGGCACUUGUGGCUCAUUAUGAUUUAGAGCUGCAUCAAAUGGACAUUAAAACUGCGUUUCUUAAUGGUAACAUUGAUGAGACAAUAUACAUGGAGCAACCGGAGAACUUUGAAUCUAAUGAUUCAAAGCAACUUGUAUGCAAAUUAAAAAAGUCCAUAUUUUAAAGUAGACAUCCCGAAAAUGGUACCGAAAGUUUGAUCAGGUGAUUACUUCAUUUGGUUUUAAGGAGAACAUCAUUGAUCAAUGCAUAUAUCUCAAGUUCAGUGGGAGCAAAUUCAUUAUCUUGGUGCUAUAUGUAGAUGAUAUUCUACUUGCUAGUAGUGAUGUAGAACUUUUGCAUGAAACCAGGCUAUUUCUAUCUAGUAAAUUUGACAUGAAGGAUCUUGGUAAUGCUUCUUUUGUGUUGGAUAUACAAAUCUAUAAGGAUCGUUCAAGAGGUAUACUUGGGCUAUCACAAAAUUCCUACAUCGAUAAGGUGUUAAGUAUGUUUGGCAUGAGCAAUUGUGCACUAGGAGACACGCCUGUGGCAAAAGGCGAUAAAUUUAGUUUGCACCAAUGUCCGAAAAAUGAACUUGAGAAGAAGGAUAUGGAUAGGUUUCCCUAUGCCUCGGCAAUAGGAAGUCUCAUGUAUGCACAAGUUUGUACGCAUCCAGAUAUUGCGUACAUUAUUGGAAUGUUGGGCAGAUAUUUGAGUAACCCAGGUAUGGAUCACAGGAAAAAGGUAAAAUGGGUUAUACGGUAUUUACAAAGAACUAAAGAUUAUAUGCUCACAUAUCGAAGAUCCAGUCAUUUAGAGAUCGUGGGAUAUUUGGACUCCGAUUUUGUGGGAUGUCUUGACAGUAGGAGAUCCACUUCCGACUACGUCUUUAUGUUGGCUGGGGGAGCAGUUUCAUGGAAAAGUGUUAAACAAACACUUAUUGCUUCUUCCACCACGGAGGCAAAAUUCAUAGCCUACUAUGAGGCAUCAAACCAUGGGAUAUGGCUGCGGAAUUUUAUCACUCAGUUGCGAAUUGUUGAUGGAAUUGAGAAACCAUUGAGAAUCAAUUGUGAUAAUAAGGCCGCAGAAUUAUAUUCUAAGAACAACUGAAGUUCGUCAAAGUCCAAACACAUUGAUAUCAAGUUCUUGGUUGUAAAAGAAAGAUUUCAAAGUCUUCAAGUAUCAAUCGAACACAUAAACACAAACUCCAUGAUUGCGGAUUCACUCACUAAGGGUUUGCCACCCAAAGUAUAUCAUGAGCAUGUCACACAUAUGGGUGUUGUACAUAUUGAUGAUGUGCUAGUAUAGUGGGAGUUUGUAUUUAGAUUUUGUGUUUGUUUUCUUGAUGUGUUAUUAUGUUUGUGUUAUAUGUACAGACCUUGGUUUUAAAGACUAUUGUGUUUGAAUACUCUGAAUUGAAAUGAUGACUUUCAGAAGCAGUUUAGCAUCAAGUGUUGAAAGUGGAAUUUGACUAUUUUUAGUCAUAAAGUAGGACCAAUUAGAAAUAGACAUAUUAAAGAUCAUAUUCUAUGUAAUUUCCAUGCUACACAUCCAUACUCGAUCCAUGUUGCUAAUUUUGUUAAUGUUGUGAUCAUUGAUGGGUUUAGUUAUAAUUAUGAUUAACGAAAACCGCUUUAAUCCUAUGUUAGCAUAAUUAGUAAACCCGAUUGUUUAAGGAUAUUUAAAUAGAAUAGCAAAGAUGAGCUCAAUAAAGUACUAUCAUGAACAUUGUUCUGUAAUAUAUGUGGUCUAAGUAGGAGAUUGUUAAAAUAACUAUGGACUCACAUAUGGAGCAUAGUUCUUGAUUAAGCUAUCCGUAUCUAUUUAAAUUUGUGUUCAUUGAGUAUGGGCCACCUUAUAUGUAGAGCCCAGUGCCAUAACAGGUCUUAGAUGAUGGGCCUAAGACACGUGAGGCCCAACAGUCUAAAGGGUAUGGUCCCUAAGGCAUAGAGGGUAUAUAAGGCAGGUGUCUCUUCAAUUUUUGAAUAUCUUUUGAAUAGAACAAAAUGCGCUCUCUCCCGCUUCCCAACGUUAGAGAGAUUACAAAAAUGGUGGUUUCCCCUCUAUAGCCUUAGAAGAUUCAUACCUUGUUCAAAACCAAAAGGCAAAAUGGACUCAAGUUCGUUCGUUUUCUAUAAAGAUGUCUGGCAUAAGUUCUUCAUAUGAUUUAACAUGCGAUCUCAGUCUGUUAUUGGAUUUUUGAAUGGACUUCUUUCAAAAGAAAAAUCUAGUUGGCUAUGUAGAUCAACAUAAAUGAACUUUAAUGCGAUACAGUUCCAUAUUCUGAAACCUGACCCAAUGAUGAAAUCAGAAAACCAAAGAGUAAUGGGUAGAGGAUAAAACCAAGCCAUGGUUAGCAUCUUGCAUUGGAGACACGAGAAUUACACGAGCUGCGGAAGCGUCAUGAUUGUUGACGUAUUUAAAUUCUAGACUCUUCAAAGGAUCACAAGCAGACAUGGUUUCCUCCAAAGGAGCCGAACCAUCUAAUCAAUUGGAAAAAUACCCAUAGUUCUAAGGACGGAAAGAACGUUAAUCGUGCUGUUGGAACAUGACCUUGAUUGUCAUUGUUAGAAUGAAGAGACAUUUGCUAGAGUUAGUUUGGUGAAGUAGGUGUUAGGCAUUGAAGCUAAGUUACAGACAAAGGAGGCAAUAACAAAUGAUUUUGAGAUGUAAUUAGGCCCACCAUGGGUCUUCGCCUGUUCUAAAAUCUGUCUCAACCCAAGGAACAGACACUACCUUUCCAUCAUCAAUACAUGCAUGCGUCAGUGCCAAUGACAGAGAAACAAGUCCUCUAAUAACUUGACCCUGGCUAUUGUACUGAGAUCCAUGGCAUGGACAGAUGAACUUGUUCUCAAUUGCAUUCCAUGAUGCAACACACCCAAGAUGGGUGUAGACCGCAUUAAUUCCAUAGGUGGCAAGGGUGUGGUCAUUCCCCACAAUAAGGUAGGUGGGGUCUCCCUUCAAUGUGAUAAUGAAACAACACUGAAUUUUUUAAGGUAAGGUUUGUGGAUAGGUGAAAACACGUGCAUGGGGAGUUGCACCGAAGACUGACCCUACAUGAGGAAGUGACAUGCGUGUGGGGUAAGAAUGGAUUUAUUCUUUUAUCAGAAAUGCUGGGUCUUGCAAAUAUUUAUUGGUUGUCUCGAGGGAUAAAUCAAGUGAAUCAAUGGCGGGCCAACCUAUAAAAGAAAACUGUAGCUUCCAGUUUACCGCAUGCAGACAUCUUUCCUUGAAUUUGGUGCAAUCUAUGUUCUUUCAGCCAUCAUCACAAGCAAGUAAUCUCAUUUCUCAUAGGCAGUGUAAGACUUCUUUUGAUUCACAAAUUUUCUGGGAGAUUUCCUAUUUGGAAAACAUCAAUGCAACAGCCUGAAUUAUCUUUCCCAUGCCCAGGUGACAGUCAAGUGAAGAGGACUCAGUGAUGCUUCUGAAAAGCUUCUAAGAAGAGACCAUACAGGAGUGGGCCCCAAGGAUGAUGUGAUCCAGAGAAUUGGUUACCAAUAGUUUCAUUCAGUAUUAACGCCUUUGACUGUAGUUGGGCCAUCAACAAGGCUUUUUUCUAUCCUCAUCUCUCAUAGCUCAUGGACUUUAUAAAGGGGAUAUAGUAAGCAGUGGAGCAUCAUAGAUUUCUAGAGAGGGUUCUAUUUGACGGAAGCCUUUCUGUGAAUGCUCUCCCUUCCAUUGUCGGUGGCCUAAAUAAAGGAGCCCCCUUCUAUUGACCAUAAUAUCAAGUUGGAUUUUGAUAACCAACUUCCUAAUGUAUCUCCACACGUCAGCUACAAAUGGAUGACUUUUUGGACCAAAAUUCAAACAUUCUCAUGUGAAAAAAACACUAAGAGCAAGGCCCACUCAAGCACAUAUAAGGCAUCAGCUUUAUCUACUGGAGAGAUUGACAUGAAGCUAAAUCCAAAAUAAAUGAAGACCAACCGAUUGGCACCACUCUGUAUCAACAUGCUUGAUGUGGGGAAACCAUCAAGAAUAAGACCACAAUCACGCAAGCUUUCUGAUUGCACCACCAAACUGCUUUGCAAUAUCAUACAUCCAUUCUUCAGCAAAAUCAUGCAACCUAAAAUCAAGAAAUAUAUCUUUGACCACUAGAUCCUCCAUAGACUCAAACGUUAGUGCCUACAGCUCAGGGUCCACAGUGUUCAGUAUUGGAGUUGCUACUCCUAGAAGACCCCAAACACACCAGAAAUAGGGAGUACAAAAAAGAGCAAGAAUAGAAUAAAAAAGAGCAUAAAUAAAUGAAUCAAAGACCACUAAACUUAGCAUUCAUGGGUGCCGAUAUGCUACACACAGAUGAGAUCACCAGAAUAUGAUCCAUGGAAGUAAGGAUAGUAACAAGAUGCCCAAGUGACAUAGUAAAGAUGAAACAAAGUUAUGAUGCUCUCAAACCAAUCUCAAAAGAAAAUGAAUAAACCAACAAAUAAUAAGCUCACAAGUAUCCGAGAAUCAACAUAAUACAAAUCCAUAUCUUUUAACAUCCAUACCCAACCAAAUAAUACACAGAUAUAGCAAGAGAAGAGGGAAAAAAUAUGACAAUAAAGAAAAACAAGGGGUCUAUGACAGCCAUACCUGAAAGUGUUCCUCUCCAAAACGAGCUGCUAAUGGAGAUGACAUCCUCCUCCGGAUCUGAAAAUAUCCAGAAGUCCAAGAUCUCUGAUUGUGGAUGUCAGUAUGUCACGACCCAAAUUCCUGGCCACCUAGAAUUUGGCCUAUGACCCCAGGUCAAAAGUUUGACCCUAAGGGUUCUUCCUAAUCCAAGUUGGCGGUCAACCAAAAUGCCCUAAUUUUUUGUUUUUUGUUUUUUAAACAUAAAUCACACUAAAACUCCCUCAAACUAACAUUCCAAUUCAUCAAUAUGCAAACAACUCAAGAUCAAUAACAAUAAGAUUUCCAACCCAAGUUUAAAAUGGAGGUCCAUAAUAUGAGUAAGUUUAAUCCAAAAUAAGUCCAUAUAAGAUUACAUAAUUUAACAAUCUGUUAGAACAUGUUUUCAAAUGACUAAACACAACAAAAUAUGACAAGUCCUCUAAGCUACUCCAAAAUCCCCUAGGGUAUCCUGAAGCUCUCCUUGUCCCAUUUGUGGAUCCUUAGGAGUCACAUCUACAUCUAAAAAAAAUAUAAGAAAGAGGGGGUAAACAUUCCACAUUGCUCAGUAAGGUGCCUUACACCCAGGGAGGAGGAGGUUAAUUGGGAUUACUGAGUUUAAAGUGUACACAAAAUAUACAUUCCACCACAAAUUAAUCAACCCAAACAUUUUAAUUUCUAUAAUUAUAACAAUUCAAUCAUUUUCAACAAUUAAAUAUAAUGCAUGUGGAUAUGUGACACAUAGUCGUACAAUACACUGUCACUCUUGGGCUUUUACCGAAUCAUAUGCGUCCAUACCCAAAUACACUCCUCAUUCGAAGUCUUCUCGAGGUAGAUUUUUAGGUCUCUCACCCUAGGGAUCUUACUCCCUUCUUAAUUCGCCUCUCAUGGACCUUUACUUUUCAUCAUCAUUUUAUUAUUCUUUCAUUUAACUUUUCAACAAUUUUUAUUUUCUUUCACACAACCAUAAUGCAUAUGAAAUGCAAUGAAAUUACACAUCAUCAUUCACAAAUAUCAAAGAAAAUUCUCAUUAAUCCAAAUAUUAGUAAAACACAAUUUAUAUCAUAAUUUUUAUUUUAUUUAUUCUCAACAAUCUCAUUAAUUUUAAUAACCAAACACUAUCAUUUUCCACAAUUGAAUUACCAACAACAUCCCAAUAAAUUCUCAAUAAUCUCGAUAUCAAUCAAACAUAAUUUCUACCAUAAUUUUAACAACCAAACACAAUCUUUUUCCACAAUUAAAUUAUCUCAUUAUCCCAAAAAUUCCAAAGAAAAUUCCUAAAUCACCCGAUAAAAUUUCUCAUAUCACUAAUAUUACAUAUUAAACUUUCAACAAUGAGAUUUAUAAAUUUUUUUAAAGAAAAAUGCAUUAAAUAAAUGUUUUAAUGUUAAGACUCCCUACCACAAAUCUAAUAAUCCAACUGAAAACGAAAUCUGACAUUGUACAAAUGUUCUUUGUGUUCAAUAGAGUGUUCCCUUGAAAUUUCACACGAAAUGGAUGGCGUUUGGCUGUCAAAAUGGUCGGCCAAGGUGGACGUCACUUUCUUCUUUUCACAGUUGCCAUGCAGCUCCCCCUUUUUGUAAGUUUUUUUUAAUUAACUAGUUUCAAUUAUUUUAUUUUAUUAUAUUCUAUUAUUAUUAUUAUUGAUUACUACUCAAAAAGUGUUAUUUGAUAGCCUUUAAUUAAUCCUUUUUAACACUUUUGAGUAGUAGUUUAGGCCUUUUAACUCAAUUGGCAUGUUAAGGAUCCUUUAAAGCAAUUUUGAUCACUUUGUGCAAGUUUUGGUGUUUUUGUUAGUAUUUUGAUCACCAAAGCAAGUCAAGAAUGAGGAGAGCUAUGAGGAAUCAUGGGCAAAGCUUAGAAUUCAAUUGCCAAGAGUGAAUCCGGAUUGCAAGGAGAAAAAGCAAAGAGAAUCUGUCAUGGAGCAUAUUCUUGAUGACAGUCGUAGCAGCCACUUUUGGAGUACUUUCUGAAGUCCAAAUGAUGCAAGCUAUAUACCAUUUCAAAGCUCAGGAAUUCAACAAUCCAAUGCUUCAAACGGUGCACGAUUCGGAGUUGAAACGAAGAAGUUGCAGCCAUUACAAGUCAAUCACUCUAAAGUGUUGCGGAAUCAGCAUUUUGUUGCGAGAAUUUCGCAGCACUUUUGUACAGUAAGGUGUUUCUCCUUCUGACGAUGCACGAACCAUGCCGCGAGAAGGGAGCUGGAAACUUCAAGGUGGAAGCCAACUUCGCAGCCCUCUUGGGUGUCUGCGAAAUUUCGCAGGCACCACUUUUCUCCUGCGAAAUGGCUCCUGAAGCCUCCCGAAGCUUGCUACCGACAUUGGGAGAUAUUUUCCAUUAGAUUUUUGUUGUCUAAAUCCCAAAAUAAUCCUUGUAAACCACCAAUUACAUGAUUCCUUAGUUUUUAAGUUAGUAAAAAGACCAAAUAUCUAUGUAAUAAUUAGUUUUAUAUUGCUUUGAUAUAAAUACCUCUCGGGAGCAUGUUCUCGAAGAGGAGUUCUUUCUGUAACCAUUUGGUAAGCAAGUAAAGUCUUUUCUUUCUACUGCCUUACCUUCUCACUUUGUAUUUUCAUUUUAUUUCUAAGUUAUGAAUUCUCUGAGGAGUUUUCCCCAGAGAAUGAGUAACUAAACCUCCAAUUCCUUGGAGCUAAGGUUGCCGGGGAAGGUUCCAAGUGCAAGAAUGCAAAGCUCUGUGGUUUUAGCUAGUAAUGAAGAGGAAGUGAAAUCCUUUAGUGAUUUCAAUGUUUUUAGUUAACUUAAAACACCUUGGAGUCACCUGGGCCAAUACUUGGUAAGGCAAGUGAUUUCCAACCGUGGAGAUGCACUAGUUUACCCCUUGCGAGCCUCUGGUAGGUGACUUCAAGGUAGGAUUUUCUGGAAUUACCAACACUUGGUAAGCUUUUGGACUCUUAGGAGGCAUCCAUUAGUUAUCUCUUGCGAGUUUGUGAAGGGGAAUCCAAGGUUAAAGAUCACCUUGAAUGGUAAGUGCUCGUGAGAGGCAUGAACCAUUGCAAGUUGCAUCAGUGAGAGAAUUAAAGUGAAAUCUAAUUGAAGGAGUCUCUGUACAUCACCGGUUAGAGAAUUGACUCUAAGUUGAAUCUCUAAUGCGAGGAAAUGAACCAUCUGACCGGAGCUAUGUAUUUUGCAUGAGGAACCACCCCAGUGAACCUAAAUCUCCAAGGAAUGCUUUUCUUCCUAAAUUAUUCCAAACUUCUGUUAAGUUAGUUAGUUUAAGUCUAAACCUUUACCAAUCAAACUUUGUGUUUUACUUCUUAAGCUAACCGUGAAAUGAAACAAGACCAAUUCACUUGGAAUUGGUAUCCUUGAUUGCUUGUUCAUCAUUCCCAGUGAACGAUCCUAGAGCCACUAUACUAUAGUAGCUUUGUAUUUGCUACCCUAGUGUAUGGUGUUAUAGGUAUAAAUUUUGUUGAUCACUUCCUCAAUCAAGGAGCACCAGCUGAACACAAAUCAGCUGAGACACCAAUUGGGCAUGAGUCAAAUGGCGCCGUUGCCGGGGAAUGAGUGUCAAGUUCAUUAUGAAACCAUUUUUUGAGCACUUGUGAUUUUCAUCACAAGUUGGUAAAGUUUCUUUCACUUCACUAAUUUUCAUUCUCUCUUUGUUUAUUUACAAUCUAAGUUUAUCUUUUUAAAUUUUAGUCUAGUUUAAUUUUUCUGUUGUAGUCCUCUGUUCUUGUUGCCCUCUGUUUGCAUUUUAGUUGCAGCUGAAUACUAGUUGUGUAUGCCCAAGUGGAUACGAGACAUUGGAGGUAGGCUUGUUAAGUGUGAUACACCUCAGAGAUGAGAAUUUGAAGUAAUCUUGAAUAUCAUGGAGGCUGCAUCUGAAGAUCAGCAUAGUCACCAAGGUCGUCAAGACAAUCUCAAUGAAUUCAGAUCAAUGAGGGACCGUAUGCAUCCACCUCGUAUGAGUGCACCAUCAUGUAUAGUGCCCCCUACAGAGCAACUAGUGAUCAGACCAUAUCUUGUUCCACUUCUACCAACUUUCCAUGGGAUGGAAAGUGAGAAUCCAUAUGCACACAUCAAGGAAUUUGAAGAUGUUUGUAAUACAUUCCAAGAGGGAGGAGCUUCAAUUGACUUGAUGAGGCUUAAGUUAUUUCCUUUUACUUUAAAGGAUAAGGCCAAAAUUUGGCUUAAUUCUUUAAGGCCAAGGAGUAUCCGCUCUUGGACUGAUUUACAAGCUGAGUUCCUUAAGAAAUUUUUUCCUACUCAUAGAACAAAUGGCUUGAAAAGGCAAAUUUCAAACUUCUCAGCUAAAGAGAAUGAGAAAUUCUAUGAGUGUUGGGAAAGAUACAUGGAAGCUAUAAAUGCUUGUCCUCACCAUGGCUUUGAUACUUGGCUAUUGGUGAGCUAUUUUUAUGAUGGUAUGUCCUCCUCAAUGAAGCAACUCCUCGAGACAAUGUGUGGAGGAGAUUUCAUGAGCAAAAAUCCAGAGGAAGCUAUGGAUUUCUUGAGCUAUGUAGCUGAUGUUUCAAGGGAUGGGAUGAACCAACUAAAGGAGAAGUGGGAAAGAUGAAGUCUCAGUUGAAUGCUUACAAUGCAAAAGCUGGGAUGUAUAAUUUGAGGGAAGAUGAUGACAUGAAAGCAAAGUUGGCAGCUAUGACNNNNNNNNNNNNNNNNNNNNNNNNNNNNNNNNNNNNNNNNNNNNNNNNNNNNNNNNNNNNNNNNNNNNNNNNNNNNNNNNNNNNNNNNNNNNNNNNNNNNGGCUGAAAAGGCAAAUUUCAAACUCUCAGCUAAAGAGGAAUGGAGAAAUUCUAUGAGUGUUGGGAAAGAUACAUGGAAGCUAUAAAUGCUUGUCCUCACCAUGGCUUUGAUACUUGGCUAUUGGUGAGCUAUUUUUAUGAUGGUAUGUCCUCCUCAAUGAAGCAACUCCUCGAGACAAUGUGUGGAGGAGAUUUCAUGAGCAAAAAUCCAGAGGAAGCUAUGGAUUUCUUGAGCUAUGUAGCUGAUGUUUCAAGGGGAUGGGAUGAACCAACCAAAGGAGAAGUGGGAAAAAUGAAGUCUCAGUUGAAUGCUUACAAUGCAAAGGCUGGGAUGUACAAUUUGAAAGAAGAUGAUGACAUGAAAGCAAAGUUGGCAGCUAUGACAAGAAGAUUGGAGGAGCUGGAGUUGAAAAGAAUACAUGAAGUGCAAGUUGUUGCUGAAGCACCAGUGCAAGUGAAGUUGUGUCCCAAUUGUCAAUCGUUUGAACAUUUGGUGGAGGAGUGCCCUGCAAUUUCAGCUGAAAGGGAAAUGUAUAGAGAUCAAGCAAAUGUUGUUGGACAAUUUAGGCCCAAUAACAAUUCACCAUAUGGAAAUACCUACAAUUCAAGUUGGAGGAAUCAUCCAAAUUUCUCAUGGAAAGCCAGAGCAACUCAAUACCAACAGCCGGAUCCACCAUCUCAGAAAUCUUCAAGUAUUGAACAAGCAAUAGCUAAUCUCAGCAAGGUAAUGGGAGAUUUUAUUGAAAAGCAAGAAGCCACCAAUGCUCGAGUUGAUCAAAGAAUGGAUGGAAUGCAAAAUGAUAUGAACCAAAAAUUUGAUAACAUCCAAUAUUCAAUUUCAAGGCUUACAAAAUUGAAUACACUGCAAGAAAAAGGAAGAUUUCCUUCUCAACCUCACCAAAAUCCCAAAGGUAUCCAUGAAGUGGAAAGCCAUGAGGGAGAAUCAUCACAGGUGAAAGAUGUGAAAGCUUUGAUCACUCUAAGGAGUGGUAAGAAAAUUGAGCAGCCAACACCCAAGCCACAUGUUGAGAAAGAAGAAGAGAUGAAGAAAGGGAAGGAAAUGGAAGAUAAAGGCAGUGAAAUCAGUGAAGAAAAGAAGGACUCUGAUGCAAAAAUGAAAGCAAUUCCAGAGAAAGAGCUUCUGAAGGAAGAAAUGCUGAAGAAAUCAACUUUUCCACCUUUUCCUCAAGCAUUACAGGGGGAAAAGGGGGUUAGAAAUGCAGCUGAAAUCUUAGAAGUAUUGAGACAAGUGAAAGUUAAUAUUCCACUGCUGGAUAUGAUCAAACAAGUUCCAACGUAUGCAAAAUUCCUAAAGGAUUUGUGUACUAUCAAAAGAGGGUUGACUGUAAACAAGAAAGCCUUCUUGACUGAGCAAGUAAGUGUAAUUUUACAGUGUAAGUCUCCUUUGAAGUAUAAAGACCCUGGAAGUCCUACCAUUUCAGUCAUGAUUGGAGGAAAGGUAGUGGAGAAAGCCUUGCUAGACUUGGGAGCAAGUGUGAAUUUGCUUCCAUACUCUGUCUACAAGCAACUAGGACUUGGAGAGUUGAAGCCAACAACAAUCACUUUAUCUUUGGCAGAUAGAUCAGUGAAAAUUCCAAGAGGGGUAAUUGAGGAUGUAUUGGUUCAAGUAGAUAAUUUCUACUAUCCUGUAGAUUUUGUUGUUCUUGAUACAGAUCCUACUGUAAAGGAAGCUAAUUUAGUUCCUAUCAUCCUUGGAAGGCCAUUUCUUGCAACUUCAAAUGCAAUCAUCAACUGUAGGAAUAGGCUUAUGCAACUCACUUUUGGUAAUAUGACACUGGAUCUAAAUAUUUUCUAUAUGUCUAAAAAGCAAAUCACUCCGGAAGAAGAAGAAGGUCCAGAAGAGCUAUGUAUUAUUGAUACUUUGGUAGAGGAGCACUGCAAUCAACAUAUGCAAGACAAGUUGAAUGAAAGUCUUGAGGAUAUUGAGGAAGGUUUUUCUGAAUCUCCUAUUGGGCUUGCUACUCUACAAAGUUGGAGAAAGAUAGAAGGAAUUCUACCUUUGUUCAAUAAAGAAGAGGAGGCAGCUGUUGAAAAAGAAAUUCCAAAACUCAAUCUGAAUCCUUUACCUGUGGAGUUGAAAUAUACAUAUCUUGAAGCAAAUAAUCAAUGUCCUGUUGUGAUAUCCUCAUCUCUGACCAGUCAUCAAGAGGAUGGUUUAAUGGAAGUUCUCAGGAGGUGUAAGAAGGCAAUAGGAUGGCAAAUAUCUGAUUUGAAAGGCAUUAGUCCUUUAGUUUGUACUCAUCAUAUAUAUAUGGAGGAGGAAGCAAAGCCAAUUCAUCAAUUUCAAAGAAGGUUGAAUCCUCAUCUACAAGAGGUGGUGCGAGCUGAGGUGCUGAAGCUACUUCAAGCAGGAAUCAUUUACCCUAUAUCUGAUAGCCCUUGGGUGAGUCCUACUCAAGUGGUACCAAAGAAGUCAGGGAUCACAGUUAUUCAAAAUGAAAAAGGGGAAGAAAUUACUACACGCCUCACUUCAGGUUGGAGGGUGUGUAUUGAUUAUAGAAAGCUGAAUGCUGUCACUAGGAAAGAUCACUUUCCAUUGCCAUUUAUUGAUCAAGUGCUGGAGAGAGUCUCUGGACACCCAUUCUAUUGUUUCUUGGAUGGGUAUUCAGGGUAUUUUCAAAUCGAAAUUGAUUUGGCAGAUCAGGAAAAGACCACUUUUACAUGUCCAUUUGGAACAUUUGCUUAUAGAAGAAUGCCUUUUGGUUUAUGCAAUGCACCUGCUACAUUUCAAAGAUGCAUGUUGAGUAUUUUCAGUGAUAUGGUGGAGAGAAUUAUGGAGGUUUUCAUGGAUGACAUCACCGUAUAUGGAGGUACAUUUGAGGAAUGUUUGGUUAAUUUGGAAGCAGUUCUUCAUAGAUGCAUUGAAAAAGAUUUGGUGCUGAAUUGGGAAAAAUGCCAUUUUAUGGUACGUCAAGGAAUUGUCCUUGGCCAUAUCNNNNNNNNNNNNNNNNNNNNNNNNNNNNNNNNNNNNNNNNNNNNNNNNNNNNNNNNNNNNNNNNNNNNNNNNNNNNNNNNNNNNNNNNNNNNNNNNNNNNNNNNNNNNNNNNNNNNNNNNNNNNNNNNNNNNNNNNNNNNNNNNNNNNNNNNNNNNNNNNNNNNNNNNNNNNNNNNNNNNNNNNNNNNNNNNNNNNNNNNNNNNNNNNNNNNNNNNNNNNNNNNNNNNNNNNNNNNNNNNNNNNNNNNNNNNNNNNNNNNNNNNNNNNNNNNNNNNNNNNNNNNNNNNNNNNNNNNNNNNNNNNNNNNNNNNNNNNNNNNNNNNNNNNNNNNNNNNNNNNNNNNNNNNNNNNNNNNNNNNNNNNNNNNNNNNNNNNNNNNNNNNNNNNNNNNNNNNNNNNNNNNNNNNNNNNNNNNNNNNNNNNNNNNNNNNNNNNNNNNNNNNNNNNNNNNNNNNNNNNNNNNNNNNNNNNNNNNNNNNNNNNNNNNNNNNNNNNNNNNNNNNNNNNNNNNNNNNNNNNNNNNNNNNNNNNNNNNNNNNNNNNNNNNNNNNNNNNNNNNNNNNNNNNNNNNNNNNNNNNNNNNNNNNNNNNNNNNNNNNNNNNNNNNNNNNNNNNNNNNNNNNNNNNNNNNNNNNNNNNNNNNNNNNNNNNNNNNNNNNNNNNNNNNNNNNNNNNNNNNNNNNNNNNNNNNNNNNNNNNNNNNNNNNNNNNNNNNNNNNNNNNNNNNNNNNNNNNNNNNNNNNNNNNNNNNNNNNNNNNNNNNNNNNNNNNNNNNNNNNNNNNNNNNNNNNNNNNNNNNNNNNNNNNNNNNNNNNNNNNNNNNNNNNNNNNNNNNNNNNNNNNNNNNNNNNNNNNNNNNNNNNNNNNNNNNNNNNNNNNNNNNNNNNNNNNNNNNNNNNNNNNNNNNNNNNNNNNNNNNNNNNNNNNNNNNNNNNNNNNNNNNNNNNNNNNNNNNNNNNNNNNNNNNNNNNNNNNNNNNNNNNNNNNNNNNNNNNNNNNNNNNNNNNNNNNNNNNNNNNNNNNNNNNNNNNNNNNNNNNNNNNNNNNNNNNNNNNNNNNNNNNNNNNNNNNNNNNNNNNNNNNNNNNNNNNNNNNNNNNNNNNNNNNNNNNNNNNNNNNNNNNNNNNNNNNNNNNNNNNNNNNNNNNNNNNNNNNNNNNNNNNNNNNNNNNNNNNNNNNNNNNNNNNNNNNNNNNNNNNNNNNNNNNNNNNNNNNNNNNNNNNNNNNNNNNNNNNNNNNNNNNNNNNNNNNNNNNNNNNNNNNNNNNNNNNNNNNNNNNNNNNNNNNNNNNNNNNNNNNNNNNNNNNNNNNNNNNNNNNNNNNNNNNNNNNNNNNNNNNNNNNNNNNNNNNNNNNNNNNNNNNNNNNNNNNNNNNNNNNNNNNNNNNNNNNNNNNNNNNNNNNNNNNNNNNNNNNNNNNNNNNNNNNNNNNNNNNNNNNNNNNNNNNNNNNNNNNNNNNNNNNNNNNNNNNNNNNNNNNNNNNNNNNNNNNNNNNNNNNNNNNNNNNNNNNNNNNNNNNNNNNNNNNNNNNNNNNNNNNNNNNNNNNNNNNNNNNNNNNNNNNNNNNNNNNNNNNNNNNNNNNNNNNNNNNNNNNNNNNNNNNNNNNNNNNNNNNNNNNNNNNNNNNNNNNNNNNNNNNNNNNNNNNNNNNNNNNNNNNNNNNNNNNNNNNNNNNNNNNNNNNNNNNNNNNNNNNNNNNNNNNNNNNNNNNNNNNNNNNNNNNNNNNNNNNNNNNNNNNNNNNNNNNNNNNNNNNNNNNNNNNNNNNNNNNNNNNNNNNNNNNNNNNNNNNNNNNNNNNNNNNNNNNNNNNNNNNNNNNNNNNNNNNNNNNNNNNNNNNNNNNNNNNNNNNNNNNNNNNNNNNNNNNNNNNNNNNNNNNNNNNNNNNNNNNNNNNNNNNNNNNNNNNNNNNNNNNNNNNNNNNNNNNNNNNNNNNNNNNNNNNNNNNNNNNNNNNNNNNNNNNNNNNNNNNNNNNNNNNNNNNNNNNNNNNNNNNNNNNNNNNNNNNNNNNNNNNNNNNNNNNNNNNNNNNNNNNNNNNNNNNNNNNNNNNNNNNNNNNNNNNNNNNNNNNNNNNNNNNNNNNNNNNNNNNNNNNNNNNNNNNNNNNNNNNNNNNNNNNNNNNNNNNNNNNNNNNNNNNNNNNNNNNNNNNNNNNNNNNNNNNNNNNNNNNNNNNNNNNNNNNNNNNNNNNNNNNNNNNNNNNNNNNNNNNNNNNNNNNNNNNNNNNNNNNNNNNNNNNNNNNNNNNNNNNNNNNNNNNNNNNNNNNNNNNNNNNNNNNNNNNNNNNNNNNNNNNNNNNNNNNNNNNNNNNNNNNNNNNNNNNNNNNNNNNNNNNNNNNNNNNNNNNNNNNNNNNNNNNNNNNNNNNNNNNNNNNNNNNNNNNNNNNNNNNNNNNNNNNNNNNNNNNNNNNNNNNNNNNNNNNNNNNNNNNNNNNNNNNNNNNNNNNNNNNNNNNNNNNNNNNNNNNNNNNNNNNNNNNNNNNNNNNNNNNNNNNNNNNNNNNNNNNNNNNNNNNNNNNNNNNNNNNNNNNNNNNNNNNNNNNNNNNNNNNNNNNNNNNNNNNNNNNNNNNNNNNNNNNNNNNNNNNNNNNNNNNNNNNNNNNNNNNNNNNNNNNNNNNNNNNNNNNNNNNNNNNNNNNNNNNNNNNNNNNNNNNNNNNNNNNNNNNNNNNNNNNNNNNNNNNNNNNNNNNNNNNNNNNNNNNNNNNNNNNNNNNNNNNNNNNNNNNNNNNNNNNNNNNNNNNNNNNNNNNNNNNNNNNNNNNNNNNNNNNNNNNNNNNNNNNNNNNNNNNNNNNNNNNNNNNNNNNNNNNNNNNNNNNNNNNNNNNNNNNNNNNNNNNNNNNNNNNNNNNNNNNNNNNNNNNNNNNNNNNNNNNNNNNNNNNNNNNNNNNNNNNNNNNNNNNNNNNNNNNNNNNNNNNNNNNNNNNNNNNNNNNNNNNNNNNNNNNNNNNNNNNNNNNNNNNNNNNNNNNNNNNNNNNNNNNNNNNNNNNNNNNNNNNNNNNNNNNNNNNNNNNNNNNNNNNNNNNNNNNNNNNNNNNNNNNNNNNNNNNNNNNNNNNNNNNNNNNNNNNNNNNNNNNNNNNNNNNNNNNNNNNNNNNNNNNNNNNNNNNNNNNNNNNNNNNNNNNNNNNNNNNNNNNNNNNNNNNNNNNNNNNNNNNNNNNNNNNNNNNNNNNNNNNNNNNNNNNNNNNNNNNNNNNNNNNNNNNNNNNNNNNNNNNNNNNNNNNNNNNNNNNNNNNNNNNNNNNNNNNNNNNNNNNNNNNNNNNNNNNNNNNNNNNNNNNNNNNNNNNNNNNNNNNNNNNNNNNNNNNNNNNNNNNNNNNNNNNNNNNNNNNNNNNNNNNNNNNNNNNNNNNNNNNNNNNNNNNNNNNNNNNNNNNNNNNNNNNNNNNNNNNNNNNNNNNNNNNNNNNNNNNNNNNNNNNNNNNNNNNNNNNNNNNNNNNNNNNNNNNNNNNNNNNNNNNNNNNNNNNNNNNNNNNNNNNNNNNNNNNNNNNNNNNNNNNNNNNNNNNNNNNNNNNNNNNNNNNNNNNNNNNNNNNNNNNNNNNNNNNNNNNNNNNNNNNNNNNNNNNNNNNNNNNNNNNNNNNNNNNNNNNNNNNNNNNNNNNNNNNNNNNNNNNNNNNNNNNNNNNNNNNNNNNNNNNNNNNNNNNNNNNNNNNNNNNNNNNNNNNNNNNNNNNNNNNNNNNNNNNNNNNNNNNNNNNNNNNNNNNNNNNNNNNNNNNNNNNNNNNNNNNNNNNNNNNNNNNNNNNNNNNNNNNNNNNNNNNNNNNNNNNNNNNNNNNNNNNNNNNNNNNNNNNNNNNNNNNNNNNNNNNNNNNNNNNNNNNNNNNNNNNNNNNNNNNNNNNNNNNNNNNNNNNNNNNNNNNNNNNNNNNNNNNNNNNNNNNNNNNNNNNNNNNNNNNNNNNNNNNNNNNNNNNNNNNNNNNNNNNNNNNNNNNNNNNNNNNNNNNNNNNNNNNNNNNNNNNNNNNNNNNNNNNNNNNNNNNNNNNNNNNNNNNNNNNNNNNNNNNNNNNNNNNNNNNNNNNNNNNNNNNNNNNNNNNNNNNNNNNNNNNNNNNNNNNNNNNNNNNNNNNNNNNNNNNNNNNNNNNNNNNNNNNNNNNNNNNNNNNNNNNNNNNNNNNNNNNNNNNNNNNNNNNNNNNNNNNNNNNNNNNNNNNNNNNNNNNNNNNNNNNNNNNNNNNNNNNNNNNNNNNNNNNNNNNNNNNNNNNNNNNNNNNNNNNNNNNNNNNNNNNNNNNNNNNNNNNNNNNNNNNNNNNNNNNNNNNNNNNNNNNNNNNNNNNNNNNNNNNNNNNNNNNNNNNNNNNNNNNNNNNNNNNNNNNNNNNNNNNNNNNNNNNNNNNNNNNNNNNNNNNNNNNNNNNNNNNNNNNNNNNNNNNNNNNNNNNNNNNNNNNNNNNNNNNNNNNNNNNNNNNNNNNNNNNNNNNNNNNNNNNNNNNNNNNNNNNNNNNNNNNNNNNNNNNNNNNNNNNNNNNNNNNNNNNNNNNNNNNNNNNNNNNNNNNNNNNNNNNNNNNNNNNNNNNNNNNNNNNNNNNNNNNNNNNNNNNNNNNNNNNNNNNNNNNNNNNNNNNNNNNNNNNNNNNNNNNNNNNNNNNNNNNNNNNNNNNNNNNNNNNNNNNNNNNNNNNNNNNNNNNNNNNNNNNNNNNNNNNNNNNNNNNNNNNNNNNNNNNNNNNNNNNNNNNNNNNNNNNNNNNNNNNNNNNNNNNNNNNNNNNNNNNNNNNNNNNNNNNNNNNNNNNNNNNNNNNNNNNNNNNNNNNNNNNNNNNNNNNNNNNNNNNNNNNNNNNNNNNNNNNNNNNNNNNNNNNNNNNNNNNNNNNNNNNNNNNNNNNNNNNNNNNNNNNNNNNNNNNNNNNNNNNNNNNNNNNNNNNNNNNNNNNNNNNNNNNNNNNNNNNNNNNNNNNNNNNNNNNNNNNNNNNNNNNNNNNNNNNNNNNNNNNNNNNNNNNNNNNNNNNNNNNNNNNNNNNNNNNNNNNNNNNNNNNNNNNNNNNNNNNNNNNNNNNNNNNNNNNNNNNNNNNNNNNNNNNNNNNNNNNNNNNNNNNNNNNNNNNNNNNNNNNNNNNNNNNNNNNNNNNNNNNNNNNNNNNNNNNNNNNNNNNNNNNNNNNNNNNNNNNNNNNNNNNNNNNNNNNNNNNNNNNNNNNNNNNNNNNNNNNNNNNNNNNNNNNNNNNNNNNNNNNNNNNNNNNNNNNNNNNNNNNNNNNNNNNNNNNNNNNNNNNNNNNNNNNNNNNNNNNNNNNNNNNNNNNNNNNNNNNNNNNNNNNNNNNNNNNNNNNNNNNNNNNNNNNNNNNNNNNNNNNNNNNNNNNNNNNNNNNNNNNNNNNNNNNNNNNNNNNNNNNNNNNNNNNNNNNNNNNNNNNNNNNNNNNNNNNNNNNNNNNNNNNNNNNNNNNNNNNNNNNNNNNNNNNNNNNNNNNNNNNNNNNNNNNNNNNNNNNNNNNNNNNNNNNNNNNNNNNNNNNNNNNNNNNNNNNNNNNNNNNNNNNNNNNNNNNNNNNNNNNNNNNNNNNNNNNNNNNNNNNNNNNNNNNNNNNNNNNNNNNNNNNNNNNNNNNNNNNNNNNNNNNNNNNNNNNNNNNNNNNNNNNNNNNNNNNNNNNNNNNNNNNNNNNNNNNNNNNNNNNNNNNNNNNNNNNNNNNNNNNNNNNNNNNNNNNNNNNNNNNNNNNNNNNNNNNNNNNNNNNNNNNNNNNNNNNNNNNNNNNNNNNNNNNNNNNNNNNNNNNNNNNNNNNNAAUUGGAGCCGAAACAGAGCAAAAACAGGGGAAAAACAGAGCUCUGCGAAAUUUCGCAGGGUGAAGGAAACUUCUGCGAAAUGUGAUUUUUGUUGCCAAACCACUCCGCAGCACUGUAGAAGCCUCUGCGAGUGUAUUUCGCAGCUGCGAAAGUGGAUUUGGCACACGAGUGCCACUUCGCAGUACAGUAGCACCUAUUUCGCAGCUGCGAAACCCAUUGCGAAAUGGAAAAGCAUGAUUUCGCACCAAAAGUCCCAUUCCGCAGGGCAUUUCGCAAUUGCGAAAGUGGUUUUGGCACACGAGUGCCACUUCGCAGCACAGUGACAUCAAUUUCGCAGCUGCGAAACUCACUGCGAAGUUGUUGCGAAAAUGGCAAGUUGCUGCGAAAUUGGCGUUUUGUUGCGAAACGUAAUCUGACCCCUGGGCUUACGUUUUUCCUAUUUAUACCGGUCAAAAGUGCUGCGAAAAGGGUUUCAAAAAUUAGAACGCCAUUCUCGCAGCCCCUUCGUCUUCUUCACCAAGCCACGCCGUCCGUUUCUCCGGUCGUCUUCUCCGCUUAGCAACGUCGGCCAAAGAUCGAUAUCUCCAAAAUGGCACGAACGCGAGGAGCAAAAUCUUCAUCUCCUUCGAACCGCAAAAGGAGUCUGCGAAAGGAGCCAAGUCCAGGCUCUGUUCCAGAACCUGCUCCACAGCCUUCGCCGUCGAGACCAAACCCUCCUCCAGUGAAGCCGGCGCCACCAAAGCCGCCGGCAAGGCGAUAUUUAACCAGGUCAGGUGGUCAGCCAUUGAAGAAGAAAACCAGGGUUGAGAGCUCUAAACCAAUAGAUUUGACUGAGCAAUCCCCUGAGAAAUCCCCAAAGCUAACACCGGUUCAAUCUCCGGUAUCUUCACCAAAUCCUUCACCGGUACAAAUUCCAGAACCGUCACCGGUUCCCUCGCCAAUUCUCUCACCAAAGGCAACUCCAAUUCCAUCGCCGGUACCAUCUCCGGCACCCCAAGAAAAAGCUCAGGAGCCUCAAGCGCCAAUUCCAGAGCCCCAAAUUGCAGCUGAAGCACCUCUGGAAGAAGUGAUCCGAAGGCCAAUGCUGCCCCAGCCCCCAAUCGAAGGAAACUUGGAUUGUCGAACUCGGGCAUUUCAUUCUGAGCUCUGCUUCGACUUAGCAGCAUUUAGAGUGAGGCCAGAGCUUGCCCAAUCAUUCCAGCUGCUGAGGAGAUAUCAUAUGGAGCAUCUGCUAGCUCCAAGGGAUUUUUUCUAUCCCCGGGUAGUCACGGAUUUCUACCAGACCAUGACAACCAAAGAAGUAAGAAAUCCAACUCUGAUUCAUUUUAUAAUUGAUGGAAGACAUGGUAUUUUGGGAGCAAGACAUAUUGCUGAAGCUCUGCAAAUUCCUUUUGAGCCAACCCAAUUCGACAAUUUUAAGGCUUGGGUAAAUCCAACUGAGCUAGAGAUGGUUAGCACCCUGUCCAGAGGAGCUGCCAAUCGGUCACACCUGCUGAGGGGGGAGCUACCUCCAGUGAUGUUUUUGAUUGAUGCCUUUUUGAGGCAUAAUAUCUAUCCCCUGCAGCAUUGGACCCAAAGAAGGGGAGUUCUCUUGGAAGCUCUAUACAAGAUGUCUGAAGGAUUCUUCUUUGGGCCUCAUCAUCUUAUCAUGGCAGCCCUUCUAUACUUUGAGGAGAAGGUUCACAAGAAGAAGCUUCAAAGAGCAGAUUGCAUUCCACUCCUCUUCCCACGGCUGCUAUGCCAAGUUUUGGAACAUCUCGGAUACCCCUCUGAGCCUCAGCAGGAAAGAAAGAGAAUAUGCCGUGAGCCAUUUACCCUUGAUAAAUGGAAUAAUAUGACGGCCUAUAAAAUUGAUCAGCCUGGGCAGCCUCAGCCAGCAGCAAGGAGAGCCUCCCCAAGACAUGCACCUGAAGGUAUAACACUUGCUACUCCUGCCAUCCCUCGAGCUCCACCAGCUGCACCUGCUCCAUCACAGCCAUCCACAUCAGCUGAGCCGAGGAUGGCCAUCCCUAUAUCCGAAUAUCGAGAGUUGUGCCGUGCAUUGGAGACUCUUACAGCUUCCCAGAGCAAUCUUGCUCAGGAGUUGGCAGCCAUCAAAGCAUGCCAGGAGCAGAUGUUAGCCUCUCAGGCUCAAUAAGCUGCCAUCCUAAGGCAGCUUCAAGUCCAUUUCGAUCUGCCACAAGCUGUAGAGCCCUCCACUGAGACUCCACCAGAACCACACUCUCAGCCUUCAGAGUCUCAAGCUCCAGAGCCCGAAGCCCCAGCUGAUCCACCUACUGAGGAGGCAGAUCCUUCUGCUUAGCACCAUCACCCCACUCAUCAGACAUUAUAUAUAUUUGCUAUUUAUGUUUUUAUGCAUGUUUGUUUUGUUUUAGUUGAAAUGAAAUCCCAGUAUUUUGGUAUUAUAUAUGGGAUUCCUUGUGUUACUUGUCUUUAGCAUUGUAAUCAAAUGAAUACAAAGUAAUACAAGUUGACUAUUUCUUGUUAAAAGUUAGCAUAAAGUUUCCUUAUUUCCUUUUCUCACAUAUUCUAUUCUUUUUGAAACAUGUGGUUUUCCCCAAUCAAUAUUCGAAUUUGAUAUCAGCAUGGAGGUACCACUUCCUCCCUUUUAUUACAGUCACUCAAAUCACAUUGAGGACAAUGCUCAGUUCGGUUGGGGGGUAUGAGGAAGGAAGUAUUCUAAACCUUUUUGGUAUUGCAAUUAUAUUGGUUAAUUAGUUGUAGUUUUUACUUUUUACUAGUGUUACUCUAUUCUCCAUGAAUUUUGAGGAAAAAUUUUCAAAUUAAACCAAGAGAAAUUGAACUGUUGUUUUUCACUUGACUUAGAGUAUGGAUUAUGCUUACUAAAGUGGUUCAAUUGUUAAACUUCUACUGAAAUUGAAUUGAGUUCUUCUACUUUAAGCUAUCCACACACUGUGCACAUUAGUUUCCGAUUAUAAGAUGAAAAGCUAUUUCCCUCUUGACUUAGGAUAAUUUUGAGACUUGGUAUAUUUGACCUCAUUUGAUAAAAAUUGAAACACCCUGCAAAAGGCCAAUGAGCCUUUGAAAUAAAGAAAGUUGUUUGCUUGCCUUGAAACCCGAGCAAGGUCUGAGGGGUAUAUGGUGAAAAUCUUUUAAGCCUGGUGCCCUAAGCCUUAAUUGGUUGGGAGACACCGACCUCAAUGCUCGUUACAAGGGUGAAUAGGUAGAGCUAGCAUAUGGUAGAUGCUUGGGUAUUAGAAAUUCAUUCUUAAAAGUCCGGGGAAAAAUCCGAGGAGUUAGUGGUUGAAAGAUCCUUAAAACUUGGUGCCCUAAACCUUAAUUGGUUGGGAGUCAUCGAUGGACCCCCAUUACAUGGACAAGUCAGAAAGAGUACCCCAUAAAGCUACCUUGAAAAAAAAAAAAAAAAAAAAUGGAUGAUGAAAGAGUGUUCUUUUCUUAUUGAUUUUGGUCAGUUUGCUAAAGUGUUGAAAAGACAUAGGUUGGGGGGUGAGACUAGUUUGGCAUAUUAUUCUCGGAAUCUAAGGAACCAAUACACAUAGAUUUUUGUGGAAGAUUGAAGUUUAGUUCUUAGAAAGUGAAAUGAUUUUAAAACUUCAGUUUGCAUAAUGCACUCCCUUGAUUGACAGUGCUUAGCAUAGUUUGUUAUGACUCUUGUUGAGAUUUGGGUUUGUAUUUCUUCAAUGCUUCAUGUGAGAGUUAGAUCAUCAUGCCACUUGAGAAUUGAUUUUGUUUAGCAUGAUGUUGUAAAUUUUAGAUUAGUUGCUAUUUAUUUUCUUUUUUCUCUCCUUUAUUGCUAAGGGACUAGCAAUAUGUCGGUUGGGGGGAGUGAUUACUACUCAAAAAGUGCUAUUUGAUAGCCUUUAAUUAAUCCUUUUUAACACUUUUGAGUAGUAGUUUAGGUCUUUUAACUCAAUUGGCAUGUUAAGGAUCCUUUAAAGCAAUUUUGAUCACUUUGUGCAAGUUUUGGUGUUUUUGUUAGUAUUUUGAUCACCAAAGCAAGUCAAGAAUGAGGAGAGCUAUGAGGAAUCAUGGGCAAAGCUUAGAAUUCAAUUGCCAAGAGUGAAUCCGGAUUGCAAGGAGAAAAAGCAAAGAGAAUCUGUCAUGGAGCAUAUUCUUGAUGACAGUCGUAGAAGCCACUUUUGGAGUACUUUCUGAAGUCCAAAUGAUGCAAGCUAUAUACCAUUUCAAAGCUCAGGAAGUCAAAAAUCCAAUGCUUCAUACGGUGCGCGAUUCGGAGUUGAAACGAAGAAGUUGUAGCCAUUACAAGUCAAUCACUCUAAAGUGUUGCGGAAUCAGCAUUUUGUUGUGAGAAUUUCGCAGCACUUUUGUACAGUAAGGUGUUUCUCCUUCUGACGAUGCACGAACCAUGCCGCGAGAAGGGAGCUGGAAACUUCAAGGUGGAAGCCAACUUCGCAGCCCUCUUGGGUGUCUGCGAAAUUUCGCAGGUACCACUUUUCUCCUGCGAAAUGGCUCCUGAAGCCUCCCGAAGCUUGCUACCGACAUUGGGAGAUAUUUUCCAUUAGAUUUUUGUUGUCUAAAUCCCAAAAUACUCCUUGUAAACCACCAAUUACAUGAUUCCUUAGUUUUUAAGUUAGUAAAAAGACCAAAUAUCUAUGUAAUAAUUAGUUUUAUAUUGCUUUGAUAUAAAUACCUCUCGGGAGCAUGUUCUCGAAGAGGAGUUCUUUCUGUAACCAUUUGGUAAGCAAGUAAAGUCUUUUCUUUCUACUGCCUUACCUUCUCACUUUGUAUUUUCAUUUUAUUUCUAAGUUAUGAAUUCUCUGAGGAGUUUUCCCCAGAGAAUGAGUAACUAAACCUCCAAUUCCUUGGAGCUAAGGUUGCCGGGGAAGGUUCCAAGUGCAAGAAUGCAAAGCUCUGUGGUUUUAGCUAGUAAUGAAGAGGAAGUGAAAUCCUUUAGUGAUUUCAAUGUUUUUAGUUAACUUAAAACACCUUGGAGUCACCUGGGCCAAUACUUGGUAAGGCAAGUGAUUUCCAACCGUGGAGAUGCACUAGUUUACCCCUUGCGAGCCUCUGGUAGGUGACUUCAAGGUAGGAUUUUCUGGAAUUACCAACACUUGGUAAGCUUUUGGACUCUUAGGAGGCAUCCAUUAGUUAUCUCUUGCGAGUUUGUGAAGGGGAAUCCAAGGUUAAAGAUCACCUUGAAUGGUAAGUGCUCGUGAGAGGCAUGAACCAUUGCAAGUUGCAUCAGUGAGAGAAUUAAAGUGAAAUCUAAUUGAAGGAGUCUCUGUACAUCACCGGUUAGAGAAUUGACUCUAAGUUGAAUCUCUAAUGCGAGGAAAUGAACCAUCUGACCGGAGCUAUGUAUUUUGCAUGAGGAACCACCCCAGUGAACCUAAAUCUCCAAGGAAUGCUUUUCUUCCUAAAUUAUUCCAAACUUCUGUUAAGUUAGUUAGUUUAAGUCUAAACCUUUACCAAUCAAACUUUGUGUUUUACUUCUUAAGCUAACCGUGAAAUGAAACAAGACCAAUUCACUUGGAAUUGGUAUCCUUGAUUGCUUGUUCAUCAUUCCCAGUGAACGAUCCUAGAGCCACUAUACUAUAGUAGCUUUGUAUUUGCUACCCUAGUGUAUGGUGUUAUAGGUAUAAAUUUUGUUGAUCACUUCCUCAAUCAAGGAGCACCAGCUGAACACAAAUCAGCUGAGACACCAAUUGGGCAUGAGUCAAUUAUUAUUUAUUUAUUACCGCAAAUUUUCAAUUUUUACGAUCCUAAGAAAUUUCCUACUAAAGACUAAUGUGGCACAAAAUUCAACUCGUUUGAUUGACCAAUAAAAUCUUUCAAAUUUCGUCAACCUAAAAUUGACACGUGUUCUCCAAUUACCUUUUUUUACUUUUCAACUACCGUUGAAUAGAAGAAUUUUCAAACUUGAAAUUCCAUGGCCUAAAAUACCCGGUCAUUAUAGUAGAAAAAAAGAAUGUGCCAUCAAAAGAAUCCUCAUUCUCUUGCGGGAGUUGGAAGAUAAUCUAGCUAAAACCGGUGUAUGAUGGAAGUGAUCAGAUGGAUCGUGGAGAACUGAUCCUUCUCUCUGCUACUCAAUGGAGGUCCAUCCUCUCUUUGUUUCUCUUUCUUUUUCCUUCCUUUAUAGCUUUCUCUCUCUUUCAACUCAUUCUCGGUUUCUUACCUCCCUAAACUCCCUCUGUGAACUUUUCUUUCUGUUUCUCUCUCAAAAUUUUCUGAUCUCUCUAUCAUAUUCCCUCUCUCAACCCUAACUGAAGCCUCUCAAAUUCUUUAGACAUGCCAUCCUUAUGCUACUCUCUGCCAACUACCAACAUAAAGAUCUUUCUUCUAUUUCUAACAUACUUCGGUUUCCCGAAUCACUCAGAAACUCUCUCCCAAAAUGAUCAUAAUGUGAUGUCCCAGGAAAAAAUGGUGAUCCUCUCCGAAUGUCUCAUGGUCAUUUUGAAUGCAUGUCUCUCUCUUACUCGGAGCGCAUGUGUGAUAGCCAUCCAGAAUGCACAUGCCUCUAACCUCCUAGAGUCUUCUGGAUUCCAUGAAUGAAGGUUUUCCUCUUCUGUGGUACACACUCGAAAAUCCAUGUGAGCAAUCUCAUAUAACAAUAACACUAUCAUCUUGUGCAAAUUGCAACAAAUUUUCCAUCUUGAGUGAAAGAAAUGCCCUUAGAUGCAUGCUUUGGCCAUUACACUUGUGUUCAUCCUAUGUUCACAGUAGGGUCUCUAUCUAUUUUUAAUAUCCCUUCAAACUAAGUCCCUGACCACUUUUGGGCCAUUGGUCUUUUAUAGAGACGACAAAGUAUGUAUUCUGAAAUGAGAGCCCACUCAAUGUGGCUUAUCUCAUCCAAGCACCAAAAAAAUUGCACAAAGAUAUCUUUUCCAAAUCCACAUGUCCCUAUCUCAUGACCUCACAAAAAAUAAACAUGUAGCACUUAUCAAAUCCCAAAAAAGAAAUAAACAAAAUGAAGUAAAUCCACAUGCAAAAAUAUAAAAUCCAAAUUACACACAUCUCAUACAAUACUAAAACUUAGUCUCAUGCAACCUAAAAGAAAAACUAAAAUAAACAAAAUCAUAUAGUAAGAGAAAACAAUGAAAUAUAUCUAUCAAAAAAAUUAAAAUUCAAACUUAUGAAAUCACACUAAAAAAACUUAAAACUUAAACAAAAAUCCUAAACUAAAAGUUAGAGGUUACUAAGAAAUCACACUAAGGAUCCCUUAAAAUCCCUCCAUGAUUUCUCUAAAGAAAGUUCAAAGACAAUAAUCAAACGAGUCAUAGUGGACCACCCAUGGAGACUCAAAAAUAGUUCAGGAGUGGACCCUAAAUGUAUAAUGAGCUAAUAUAUGCCAAUAGGACAAAAUGAAGGGUCUACGAACUCAACUCUCUUAAGCAUAGUAGAAAGCCUAUAAAUACCCCUAGUAGAGGUUAUGUUUUCAAGUCUUGUCAUUUCUCCUUGCAGUCUAAAGAGAGAACCCUAACCUUCGACCCCUAAGAUCUCCACCAUCUCAAUUCUAAGACUUAAGGAGGAGUUAUUGGGCGGAUGAUUAUGAGUUUAUGAGAUCUUCUGCAAAUUUGGAGCUUUCUAUAUCAAUAGGAAUUGUCGGGAACAUCCAUAUCAAAAGUAUGACACUUUUCUCUAGAUCUUUGAUAUGUUUUUGGUUUUAAAUGCCAAGUUUUUCGCUUUGCUUAAAUCUAGAGAAGUCUAGGAUAGGAUUACAUACACCCUAGCGAUCCAAGACUUGGGAAUAUAGUAAUCCAAGAUUUCCCAAUAGUUCAAUCUACCAAGAUAUGAACAAUAGCCUAACAACCAAAGUCAUCAAUCGAAAUAGGAAAAAUCAACCACAAUAGCGUCUCAAUAACUCCAACAAUGUUGGGAAAAAUACUUUAUGGACUUAGUCUAAAACUAGAACAUUUCACUUCACCAAUAACUUGAACAAAUGAGAAAAACAAACAUCAAGAAAAUUUAAACACUUUGUUAAGUCAAAAUUUUGAUACCGUUUUAAGCUUUAAUAAUUUGAUACAUCACCAAAUGCUUAGUUUAAAAAGAAUAGAAGCUAACCUAAUUUCAAACCUAUGUAUCCAAUGGCGACCUGUUUUUGUCCUUUUAUUUUUGUCCUUAUUUAUUAACGUAUCAAUUAAAAAUCACAUUUAAAUUUAUUAAGGAAAUAUACUUAAGCUAUUAUCUCUUAAAUUUUUCUUAAAAGAAAAAAAAAAAUCUUGGCCCAAACUUUAACUUUGCACGAUGUCCACUUGUCCCUUUGAGAAUGAAUUUGCUAUUGCUUGUCCCACGCAAGAAACAAUGCUUUUAGUUAAUUAAAAAUAAAAUUAGUCCAUACAUAUAGAUGAUCAUAAUACAUUUGGUGUUAUUACAAAGUGUUAAUUAGUUAUGCUUAAAUAAAAGAAUUGCUUUAAAUAAUUAGUUGCCUCCAACCACCAAAUUAUGCAUUUAGACAUAAGAUAAUUUUGCUAACUAACAUUUAAUAGUUUUACAACUUCUUUACUUAAAUCGUAAUGAUCCAAUUUUUUACCUAUUUGUUUUCAAUGAUCUUGUAAUUAUAGUUUUAUGUUUAGUGUAAAACUUUGUUCAUGAGUGGGAGUUGAUCAUUAAUUUCAAAGACAAACAGGCAUUGUAUGAAAUUUUUUUACAUAAAUCAUGAGAUCAAACAACUAAAUUGAAAGUUUUGAAGACAACUUAAUACCAAGGAUUUAUAAUAUUUUGGAAUUACAAUAAACUUAUUUUUAUAACAGAGUCAAAAAGAAAUUGAUAAAUUUUCUUGAUAACAUAGUUAAAUAAGUGGUUAGAAUAUUGUUGUCCACACAUAUAUAGAUUACAAUAAAAAUAUUUGUUAAUUUUAUAUUUAGAUAAUAGAUAUCAAACCACUUUGCAUAUUGGACGAUGACUCUUAUAGAAUUAAAUAUAAGACUUGUUAUACACUAUUUUGAAACAUAUAUAUAUUCAUUCAAGUCUUUACUUUUCCUUUUUGACUUGUUAUAAGGUUGGUUUUGUUUCCCAAAGAAUAAAAUAUUUGACCAUAUUUUAACAAGUUGAAUAAAAAAGUUAACAAAUUCUUUACAAGUCAAAAAGCUACAAGUAUUUUAUUAGAGUAGGUGGCAAUGCAAUUUAAACUAAUUCAAUAAAUUCUUUGCAAGUCAAAAAGCUGCAAGUAUUUUAAUCAAGUAGAUUAGAAUAAAAUUUAAACUAAUCAUAUAAAAACCUGAAUAUGAUUAGAAUAAAUUUUGUUUUUAUCUACUUUUUUCUUGUUUUUCAAGAGAAUUUAGCUCUAAUUUUCGCAUGAGUUGAUAACUAAAAAAAACAAAAACAACAAUAUAAAAGUGAAAUCAAUAUAAAAUAAAUCCUCAAAUUUCAAAAUUAUAAAACUAAAAUUCUACUAUAUUUAAAUACUAUUUUGACAUUAAAUUUCACUUUUUUUCAAUAAAAUUUUGCCUAAACAGAAAAAGUGAAUCUUUUUAUUUUUACUUAUAAAAAGUCAUUUAUUCUCUUUUGUCUUAUCAAUCGUCUACUUUAUUAUAAUGCUCAAUUCUAAUUUCUCAUACAAAAUUAAACUAAAUUUAUUUUCAAAAAUUUUAGAUAACUCUUGCUUCAAAAUCUAGUUAAACUACUUUAAUAAUAUAUAACUGAAUAAAAAAAUAUGAAUUUAUCAUAAAUUAACAAAGAUGUCAUUAAAAAAAAUGAAUAUGACUUGAAGAAGUUUUAUUUUUAUCCAUUUUUUUCUUUUGUUUCUUGUUAAGGUUGAAUUAGUAAAUCCAAAUUGAGAACAUUGGUUGACAAAACCAUGACCUUUCAAAGAUUGGGCUCCCACUAAAUUGUCGGGCCUCCAAGACAAGCCUUGACUAUCACACCAACCUGUCUAUGCUAGACCAAGCCUACCUUAAGUGUCGAUAAGGAAAUAAUAAGGAAUGUCUACCUGCUCAACCAAUGGGGAGAGAUGGUGGUCGUUUAUAUUAGGUUUUCCAUUGCAUCCGAUUAUUGAUCUGUGAAACUUCUUUGAAGGUUUAUUUUGGUAAACUAGUAACUGGUCUUGGUUUUUUUCCAUUUAAGUUAGACAAAAUUUUUGGAAAAACUCAAUAAAUGAGAUAAUGUUGAAAUUUUGAUAAAAUUUAUCAUUUAUAUUUAUUUGAUAAAAAAGUUAACAAAUAUUUGACCAUUUUUCACUAAUAUCAUGAAAGCUAAAAAUUAAUAAAAAAAAAUUAUUUUCAAAAAUAUGAUUUGGAAAACAUGUGAGUGUUCAUUACAAAUUUUUGAGACACUUUUUCAUAAGCAUAGAGCAAAAUAUUUGUCUUUGAAUGAAAUAACGGUUGAUAUUCUUCUCAAUCUUAAAGUACGUAGUUCUUUACAAAUGUGAUUAAUUUCACUUCUAAAGCUUGCAAUCAUACAAUUGAGUGUACAUAAAAUUAUAGAUAAAACUAUAUACAAAGAAUUACAAACAGAACUAUCACUAACGCCAUCUUCUUCUCAACCACAAUGAUUUAUCCACAUAACUGAAAUAGGUCUCACACCAAGAUUUCUUGAUUGUUAAAAUAAAAAAUGGAACAAAAAUGCCCACUACAAAUCCUAGCCCAAUACUCAAGUAAAACCAUUUAUCAAUGAAUCCAUCAUCAUUUUCAUCCUCAACGUUGCUUUGCACUUGCCCUUGAUCUAAAUCAUCACCUUGGCAUUUAGCAACAAGUGGACGUCCACAAAGACGAGGUUUCUAGCAAAGGUAGAUUCCCUAAAAGUUAUCAUUUGUCCCAUAAAGGGGAUCUUACCAGAGAAGUUGUUCGAUAGAUUCAAAUAGCUCAAAAAUUUUAAUGAAGAAAUGCUCAAAGGAAUGACAUUGUAGAGAUUGUUACAUGAUAAAUCAAAAGAUAAUAGCUCAUGUAACCUCAAGAUGUUUUGAGGAAUUAAGCCAUUAAUGUGGUUCCUUGACCAGUUGAAAAUCAUUAAACCAGAUAAUUUUGUCAUUUAUGUUGGAAACUCCCAACUAAAGUUAUUGCUGAAUAGAUCUAUGCUAACUGUGAGAGAAAGAAACUCUAUAUAUUCUAGCUCUUGGCCUUUUGCUUUUACGGUCAAACUAUCGUCAAAUGAUUUAUCUAUCAUAGAAAACUGGUAUAGAUAAGGCCUUAAAUAUUUCUUUUCAGCCAUUGCUUUAAGAUCACACAAAGUGGCUGGAAUGCUACCACUUAAAUUGUUUUCAACAAGGUCUAAAAUAUGUAAUGAACUUAAAUUUGAACGAUAAAAAAUAAUUCCUCCAGAAAAUGCAUUAGACCUCAAGUCAAGAAUUCUAAUGGUUGUGAAAGCAGCUCCAAUCCAUGUUAAAAUAUUACCCCAUAAUUUGUUGUAAUUGAGAUCAAGGGUUAAACUUGACAAGCUUUGGAAAGAUAAAGGAAGUUUUCCUGAAAGCUAUUUUUGCCUAGGUGAAUUGAUCAAAGCCAUUCUAACUAGCCAAAAGAUUUUGGAAUAGUCUUGGAUAAAUUGUUCUUUUCAAGUGUUAGAAAGUACAGGUAAGAGUAAUUACUUAUGAAUGAAGGAAUGCUUCCUAUUAAACUAUUCCUUGAAAGAUCAAGGAUUUCAAGAUGGCUCAUAUAUCCUAUAGACUUUGGGAUAAUUCCUGUUAUUUGAUUGCUUAAAAGAGAGUAUAGAAAAUUUGGGAUGGAUUCACCUAUAUUAGGUGGAAUAGGACCAGAAAAUCUAUUGUUGGAUAGAUCAAUAAUUGUCAAAGAGGUCAUAUUCAAUUGAUUUGGCAACUGACCUUGCAAUUGAUUGAAAGAAAUAACUAAAAUACCUAGUUGAGAAAAAAUAUUCUAGAACCAAUUGGUUAUUGAACCUAAGAUGCUAGCAUUUGACAACUCCAUAAUGGAGACCUCCUUUUGAAACUUGAGCCAAGUCGGAAAUGAAGGACUUAAAUUGCAUAAAUCCAUAUCGAAAGUAGAGAUUUGGAAUGGGAGGACCCAGGUGGCACUAACAUUCAGAACAAGACCUGAAUUUCCACUCAUGCACAACAUCUUCAACUUACUUAACUUUGCAAAAUGUUCUUCAGAAAGAACUCCAAUCAAGUGAUUCCAAGAAACAUAUAGGACAAUUAAUUCAAAAAAUUGUCCAAAGCUAACAGAGACACUCUCAUUUAGUUCAUUCCAUCCAAUCUCCAUAUACUCCAUGAUUACUACUCAAAAAGUGUUCUUUUAUAGCUUGAAAUUAAUUGUUUUAAACACUUUUAAGUAGUAGUUAAUACUUUUUAACUCAAUUGGCACAUUAAGGAACCUAGCAAGGGUUACUAAUCAGUUUUUGGCUAGUUUUGGUGUUUUUAGUAGCUUUUUUAUCAUUGAAACAAGCAAAGAAUGAGGGAGAAUUUUGUGCAAUCCAUGGCAAUGCAAGUUGAAGCUCAAAUACAUGAAGAAUCAGAGUUUUGGAGCACUUCAUAGCCCUUUGCCAAGCUUGGCAAUAGGUUGCCAAACCAAUCAGAGAUGCAAGGAAGAAAUCCAGAGGAAGAAAUCUAACAUGUAGAAAUUUCGCAUGUCUUUGCGAAAAUUUUGCAUAGCAUGUGAAAUCAAGAAGAGGAGCAGCUGUAGGACUGAGUGAAGGACAAUUUUGCAUACCUUGCGAAACCACAAGAUGCAGAAAAAAAUGAAUUUCGCAUGGUCUGCAAAAUCUUCUUGUGCACCGACUCCGUUAGAUUUUUAUCUCUAGAUUUUUUGUGUAAAUUACUAUUUUCUCCUUGUAAUGAACCAAUGAUAGGAUUUCUUGGUUAGGAACUAUAAAGGGGGAUUGGAAAGACCUCUCUAUAGAAUAUCUUUUUGUAUAAUAUUUUGGAUACAAAGGACACGAGUAAUUCCUGUAGGAAGAAAUAUAUAGAGCCCUUGCUCUACCUUUCCUUCUCAUUUUGUUUUCAUUUUUCUUUCUAGCCAAACAACCUCUGAGGAUGAUUUCUCAAGGGAUGAGUGGCUAAGUUUUAUGUUUCUCGGAGUAAUGGAAACUAGGUGAAGGACCCGGAUGCAAAGGUGGGAGUUUUCCUUGCUUUAAAUGAAGGUAGUUGUUAACCAUUAAUGGUUUUUAUUUCAAGGUUUAGCUUUAGAUCCCUUAGAAUCACCUUGAAUGGCCAAUACUUGGUAAGCUUUCCGGAUUUUAUGGAUUCUUAUUGCUAGAUCCAUGGAUGUCCAUUAGUUAUCAAGUACGAGCCAUUGGAAGGUGGUUCAAGGUGAGAAUCACCUUGAAUGGGCAAUACUUGGUAAGCUUUCCAGAUUCUAUGGAUGCUUAUUGCUAGAUCCUUGGAUGUUCAUUAGUUAUCAAGUACUAGCCAUUGGAAGGUGGUUCAAGGUGAGGGUCUUUAGUGUUUAAAGCCAUUAAUGGGAAGCAACUACCAUUUUUUAUGAACCCUUUGGAUCAAAUCUUAAUUGCUAAAUACAAAAACCGGUUUGGGAGAUAAUCAUUCUUUAUGUUAUUGUCCCUAAUGCAAGGAGAAGAUCCGGAAUCUCCCCAUUUGCUUAAAGAACCCAAUCCUAGUGACCUAAAGCUCUAAGAGACAUUCUCUUUGUAGUUAACUUCAAUUGCUAUUUUUGUUUAACUUAAAAUCAACUUUUUCAACCACAAUUCCAUUUUCUUUAAAAGCUAAUUUUCAUAAGGAAAAGCACCAUUUCAUUACCUUCACUAAAGUCAAUUGUACGAAGAAAACUCAUCCCUAUGGAUGAUCCUAAAGCCACUAUACUAUAGUAGCCAUGCUACCCUAGUGUAAGGUGAUUUAGGUUUUAUAAAUUUUGUUGUUAACACCCGUCUGGCGCAAGAAUCAAAUGGUGUCGUUGUUGGGGAUGAAUCAAAUGGCGCCGCUACCGGGGAUGGUGCCAAAGUACAUUGACAUUACUUUUGGUGAACACUUGUGAUCUUCAUCACAAGUUUGGUGAUUUUUCUUUUACUAAUUCUUUUUCUUUGUCUCUAUUUUAGCUUAUCUUUUAUUUAAUUUUUAGUUAACCUUAACCACUUCCUAGAAUUGUAUUUCUUUUGUUUUCUUUGUUUUUGUUUUAGUGAUCUCUAGUUGUGCAUGCCCUAUUGGAUAAGAGAUAUUGAGGGAAGACUUGUGAAGAUUGAAACUCCUCAAGAAACUGAGUUGGAAGUGUGCUUGAACAUCAUGGAUGUUCCAUCUGAAGACCAGAAUACCACUCCCACUGAGCAGCUAGUAAUUCGACCCCACAUUGUGCCACUCCUACCUACUUUCCAUGGGAUGGAAAGUGAGAAUCCCCACUCGUAUAUUAAGGAAUUCGAGGAGGUUUGUAAUACAUUCCAAAAAGGAGGAGGUUCAAUUGACUUGAUGAGGCUCAAGCUAUUUCCUUUCACCUUGAAGGAUAAGGCCAAGAUUUGGCUCAAUUCUCUAAGGUCAAGGAGUAUCCGAACUUGGACUGAUUUGCAAGCUGAGUUUCUCAAGAAGUUCUUCCCUACUCAUUAGACCAAUGGUUUGAAAAGGCAAAUUUCGAACUUCUCAGCUAAAGAGAAUGAGAAAUUCUAUGAGAGUUGGGAGAGGUACAUGGAAGUUAUUAAUGUUUUUCCUCACCAUGGCUUUGACACAUGGUUCUUAGUGAGCUAUUUUUACGAUGGUAUGUCUUAUUCAAUGACGCAACUCCUAGAAACUAUGUGUGGAGGAGACUUCAUGAGUAAGAAUCUGGAGGAAGCCAUGGACUUUUUGAGUUGUGUGGCUGAAGUUUCAAGAGGAUGGGAUGAACCAAAUGCUAGAGAGGUGGGAAGAAUGAAGUCUCAACCUAAUGCUAAGGGUGGAAUGUAUGUCUUGGAUGAAGACAUUGACAUGAAGGCAAAAAUUGCAGCUAUGGCAAGGAGAUUGGAAGAGCUAGAAAUGAAGAAGGUACAAGAAGUGCAAGCCAUUUCUGAGACAUCAGUGUAAGCUAUGCCUUAUUCCAUUUGUCAAUCUUAUGAGCACUUGGUGGAGGAAUGUCCUACCAUUCCAGUAGUGAGAGAGAUGUUUGGUGAUCAAGCAAAUGUUAUUGGUCAAUUCAAGCCUAAUAACAAUGCUUCAUAUGGAAACACCUACAAUUCAAAUUGGAGGAACCAUCCAAAUUUCUCUUGGAAACCAAAGCCACCUUAGUACACACAACCUGCUCAAGCACUUCAGCAAGCCUUGAAUCUUGAACAAACUAUUGUGAACCUUAGCAAGGUUGUGAGAGACUUUGUGGGAGAUCAGAAGUCCAUCAAUGCUCAACUGAAUCAGAGAAUUGACAAUGUGGAGAGUACAUUGAACAAAAUGAUGGAUGGGAUGAAAAAUGAUCUGUCUCAAAAGAUAGACAAUGUCCAAUACGCAAUCUCAAGGCUUACCAACCUCAACACAGUGCAAGAGAAAGGAAAGUUUCCUUCUCAACCUCAUCAAAAUCCCAAGGGUAUCCAUGAAGUGAAGGCUCAAGAGGGAGAAUCUUCAAAGGUGAGGGAAGUCAAAGCAGUUAUCACCUUGAGGAGUGGUAAAGAGGUUCAUCAACCCACAUCCAAGCCAAAGUAUGAUGAAGAGAGUGUAGCAGAAAAAGAAAAGAGUGAGAAAAUUAAAGGAAAGAGAAAAGGGAAAAGUACAAAGAAAGAUGACCAUGAUUCUAGUGUGGAUGAAGAACCCCGAGAGGAUAGUCAUCAAGGAAGAUAUGAUGAAGAAACACAUGCCUCCACCUUUCUCUCAAGCUUUGCAUGGCAAAAAGGGAACCAAUAAUGCAUCAUAAAAUUUUGAAGUGUUGAGGCAAGUGAAGGCUAAUAUCCCUUUGCUAGACAUGAUCAAACAAGUGCCGACAUAUGGAAAAUUCUUGAAGGACUUAUGCACUAUAAAGAGAGGGUUUAAUGUGAACAAGAAAGCCUUCUUGACUGAGUAAGUGAGUGCCAUCAUAUAGUGCAAAUCUUUAAUGAAGUACAAAGAUCCGGGCUGCCCUACCAUCUCAGUGAGUAUUGGAAGGACUUGUGUGGAGAAAGAUUUAUUGGACUUAGGAGCAAGUGUGAAUUUGUUACCCUACUCUGUCUACAAGCAGUUGGGACUUGGAGAGUUAAAGCCAACAUCCAUCACUCUAUCUCUGGCAGAUAGAUCAGUGAAGAUUCCAAGAGGGAUGAUCGAAAAUGUCUUGGUUCAAGUUGACAAAUUCUACUAUCCAAUGGAUUUUGUUGUUCUUGAUACGGAUCCGGUUUUCAAAUGAACUAAUUAUGUUCCUAUCAUACUUGGAAGACCAUUCCUAGUUACAUCAAAUGCAAUCAUCAAUUGUAGGAAUGGAGUCAUGCAACUCAUGUUUAGCAACAUGACAUUAGAGCUCAACAUCUUCCAUUUGUGCAAAAAGUAUAUCCAUCCGGAAAAAGAAGAAGGUCCAGAGGAAGUGUGCAUGAUUGACACUUUAGUGGAGGAGCAUUAUGAUCAGAGAAUGCAGGAGGAUUUGAUUGAGAGUCUUAGGGAUCUUGAUUAAGGGUUACCUGAACCCUCAGAUUUGCUUGCUACCCUGUCUCCUUGGAGAAAGAGAGAAGAAAUUCUACCCUUAUUCAAUGAGGAGGAGACACAAAGAGCUGCUAAGGAGGAGCCCCAAAAGCUUAUUCUUAAGCCACUACCCACAGAGUUGAAGUAUGCAUACUUGGAAGAAGACAAGCAGUGCCCUAUUGUUAUAUCUUCAGCUCUUACCAUUCAUCAAGAGGAUUGUCUACUUGAAGUCCUUAGAAGAUGUAAGAAGGCAAUAGAGUGGCAAAUUUCUGAUUUUGAAAGGGAUCAACCCUUUAGUUUGCACCCAUCAUAUUUACAUGGAGGAUGAAGUUAAGCCAGUUUGUCAACCUUAGAGAAGGUUGAACCCUCACAUGCAAGAGGUGGUGUGAGCUGAAGUUCUUAAGCAGCUUUAGGCCAGUAUUAUCUACCCCAUAUCAGAUAGCCCAUGGGUGAGUCCUACUCAAGUUGUGCCAAAGAAGUUUGGGAUCACGGUGGUGCAAAAUGAUAAGGGAGAAGAUGUCUCUACACGCCUCACCAUAGGUUGGAGGGUGUGUAUCGAUUAUAGGAGAUUGAAUGCAGUGACAAGGAAGGACCAUUUCCCGUUGCCCUUUAUUAAUCAGGUGCUUGAGAGGGUCUCUGGGCAUUCUUUUUAUUAUUUCUUGGAUGGCUACUCCAGGUACUUUCAGACAAAAUUCAUGUUGAAGACAAGGAGAAAACCACUUUCACGUGCCUAUUUGGCACCUAUGCAUAUAAGAGAAUGUCUUUCAGCUUAUGCAAUGCACCUGUAACUUUCCAAAGAUUCAUGUUAAGCAUUUUCAGUGAUAUGGAGUGUAUUAUGGAAGUCUUUAUGGAUGAUAUCACCAUAUAUGGAAGUGCAUUUGAUGAAUGCUUGGUCAACCUAGAAGUUGUUCUGAAUCGAUGCAUUGAGGAAGACUUAGUGCUUAACUGGGAGAAGUGUCAUUUCAUGGUACAACAAGGGAUUGUCCUUAGGCACAUCAUCUCUAAGCAAGGCAUUGAAGUUGACAAAGCAAAGAUUGAACUCAUUGUCAAGUUAUCAUCCCUAACAAAUGUCAAAGGAAUAAGGCAAUUCCUUGGCCAUGUCGGGUUCUAUAGGAGGUUUAUCAAGGAUUUCUCUAAGCUUGCAAGGCUUCUUUUUGAACUAUUGGUGAAAGAUGCCAAAUUCAUAUGGGAUGAUAGAUGUCAAAGGAGUGUGGACCCGCAUUUUUCACGUGCGUCCCCACUCGAUCGGCGAGACUUGCUUUUUAUUUGUGAAAAAUUAAUUUUAAAAAAAAGUUGGAGUCACCACCUAUUUUAUUUUUAUUUUAAAGGGAAAAUAAAACAAGAAAGAAAAACCCUAAAAAGUGACUCCAUAGUUUUGGAAAAAGCAUGUCUUUGAGAAACCUAAGUCUAGGUUUGGGGAUCAGGUUACUUAUUGGGAAGGUACCUCUAGGAGGUAGCACCCCUCUAAGCCCUAAAAGGUCUCUACUGACUAAGUUAAGGGAAGCAUGACAAUUAAAUGGUUGAUCAUGGAUACCUAAGUAGGCUAGGUGAUUUCAAAAAAAGUUGCAUGCUAAACAAGAUCAAAUCACAAUAAAGGAGAGUUAGGGUGCGUACCUGAACCGCUUCUCAAGCGCUAUCAUGAAACAUAAGAGAUUAGUUUGGAAAUACGACACAUUAUAUGUAUUUUAUCAAAGAUGAUUAAACAAACAUCAAAGCAAUCAAUCAUGCCAUCAAACAGGAUCAUAGCUCAUGAUAACGUACACAUUCAUAGAAUUUUAGAGUUUGUAGGGUGGGAAGAGCAUACCUGAUUAGUGAGCAUCCACACGUCUUAUGGGAACAAGGGCAUCUCAACAAUAAAUAUUAAUGAAUUCAAGUAUUUCGUCAAGCAGAAUCAAAAAUCAACAUAUCUAGCAAACAAUAGUGAUGAAAAUAUCAUGAAUGUCGGGCCCCCACCAAAGCCCUAAUUAAUUUCGCAUGAGUUGAUUCCAUAAAUUCCAUGACUUGGAAUUAUGAAGUUUUAUUCAUGCUUACUGAAAAUCAAGAAAAUCACGAAAAUAGUUAAAAAUCAAAGAAAACAGUGAAAGUGCAUACCCGAAGUAAAGUGGUAGCAAAUUGUGUGUUAAAAUUCGGAUUUUGUACCUAGAAGCUUCUAAAGAAGUUUAAAGAAAACUGGAGUUAUUUUGACAUAGAAUGGUUUUGAAAUCUGGAUUUAAGAUGUAUAAAAUCACAAAAAGAAGAAAAAAAACAAUAGAAGGAGUAUGAUGUGUGGUGAGGUGGCCAAACUGGAUUAGUGUCUAAGCUACUUUUGAGACUGAAUUACUUGGGUUGCCUGAGGAUGUUUCUGUAGAUUGCUGAAAUGGAAUUCUGCGUUCUUACAUCAGUGGUCGCUGUAUGCAAACUCAAUUCACUCAAAACAACUGUGGAGAAAUAAAUUUCACCGCCAUCUCUUCCUAAAGUUCCUGCCCACUGGCAUCACAACCCAAAUCAGAUUAGUGCACUCCAGUUGAUGUCUUCCAAUAUUUCUUCUAAUUCAGGUUCAGAGAAUGACAAGAAGUCAUUUGGAUUCACCACAUUGGAGAAAGUAGAACCAUUAUCAUCAUCCUAAAGAUGGCAGAAAAGAGGAAAUGCUGGCGGAAAAGCAAUUUCAGCUUAUCAUCUGAUCUGGAAACAUGCAUGAGCAAUUUCUCUUAUAUUAAUAUCUGAGUUCUAUUUCCGUUGUCAACUUGCUCACAAACAGUUUUCUUCAAUUGAGUACUUGCGUCCUGAUUGAUAUUCUGAUGUUCGGUUUCCCGAAUAAAUUUUCAUUCUUCUAGCAUAUCAAAUUGCCUAUGGUCAGAAAUUAACCUUCAGUCAAUAAGAUUCAGCAACUUCUUUGCAUGUGUGAAGGUAAAUGAGUAGUAGGCUAAGGACUUUCUGAUGGAUUCUGCAUUUCUGGAUUUUCGAGAGUGGCCGCCAAGAAGACACCAGGCUCCAUCAUUGAUGUUAUGGUUUCUGAGCCUUCUUCAGUCUACUCUCUAUGAGCAACAGAUACUUUCUGACUGCAAGUAUUAAUACUCAAGUGCCUGCUGCGAUUUUCUCCUGGAUCAUCAAAAAACAAUAUUGAGCCUAGUACAAUUUUCAGGACCUCAGCUUACAAUCCCUUAAAGAACCCUGACACCCUUUUUCUAUUCUAAAUAGCGUAAAGAACACUGUGUCCUGCUUUAUGGGAUUUCUAUGGAGUUUUGUUGGCUUCAUCAUCAUUUGAGUCUGCUGCUUGAAUCAUGACCUUACACCAGAUUGCUGACGAUACUCUUUGACAUCACACCUAACAUGAAAACCGAGAGGGCAGAAAGGGUUUCCGGGGAUGAGCCCUUCUCUGUUAUGUUUUGAUUCCUCUUCAGGCAUCUUUGCUUCGGCUGAUCAAAUACUGUAUACUUAAUUGCAGGGGUUCAUGGUCAGAAGAAGAGAAAUUCCAAGAUCAUCAAAGGCUUCACUCCAAGUUUAAGCUGUCAGGUUUUGUCAGAUUGUUUUGUUGUGGCAUGUUUGAGAUACUUUCAGCAAGCUUCCUGAAUGCAAUAGCAGCAGAGAACACCUCCAAGGCUUGUCAGAUGAUGGAUUAUCAGUACAACUAUACACCAUGUUCGGGAUACCUGUAAGCUAUGAUACCUAUCCAUAGGCAAUUGGGUAAUUCAAGAUUUUCAUCAAUGAGUAUAGCUGGAAGUGGGGCAGCUUCUGGUCUCGAGAAACUCCUCCAAAGGGGUUCAGAUUCUUAUAAUUGCUUGUUCUUUUCACUAGCUGUUAGGUAAGCGCCUCCGGCUUCCUGUAAACUCAACCUUCACACUUGGCAGCUCAGGAAUUAGCAUUUCCAGCCGAAACGCCAACUUUAUCGAUAUGUAAUCGAACCAAGAGAAAUCACUUCUCUCACAGCAAAAGGCUUAACUACAAAUUCAGAAAACAGGAUCGUUUCCGGUGUCAAAUAAGACUUCUCGGGAGUCAUAAUAGAGGAGAGAAAUAUGGUGAUUCGAGUUUCAACUUAUUCAACUCCUAUUGGACGGAUUUGGGGACAGGUCUUUCUGAUAAUUUGUGGAUCUCAGUAGCAAGAAAACUAGAGUGCUAGCAUGAAGAGUAUGACCAUCACCUGCGUUGGGGAUUUCUAAACCAGAAUUCACCAUCUCACAAUUAUUGGACUCAUCAUCCAUUCCUGAAGAUAUAUCAGAAUUCCUAGGCUCAAAUGGUGAACUGUACAGAUUUGCAAGUAUUUCAAGACUGCCUAGGCAUUGCCAAUCACUAUGCAAGUCUGUAGACAAAGUGACCAAUUCUGGCAUUCUUUCCACCUGUCCACUGGAAGUGCCAAUUCUAUCACUGAUUUUUGUACCAUCAUGCACAUUUGAUAUCUCAUUUGGCACAAGUGACUGAAUUGACAUAGGUUCACGUGCCUCUAAACACUCACCUACUUCUUAAAAAAAUUCUGGGGGUUCCUCUAGAAAAUGGACUAUGCACGUACGUGUGUUCUGUGAAAAUCAAAACUGUGCGUGGACUUCUUCAUGCGGCUGUGAAGACUUCCCGAAGUGGCGUGUUUCUGUUAGUGCGUGGUCCCCAUGGGAGUGCAGGCUGCCCCUCAAUCCGUGCUCUUGGAUUUCAAGUGUCCAUCCAAAGUGGCAACAUGAGAUGUUUGUUUCUCUUCCCAUUGUUUUCUGAGCAGGUUCUCAAACCUUUGGUGUCAUAUCCCAAGCUUCAUCCCAUCCAAGUCCUUCAUCAUUCAUCAGUAAUCGCGUCAAUUCUGGGAUUGCAAGGGUAGGAUGCGUAUCAUUCGAAUGUACUGCUAUCUUGUUGGGAAAUUCAGACCAUUGCCAUGAGUCCUCGUCUUUCCUCUCCAUGAAUCUGAAAAUAAUGUCUUGAAGUGGAGCAUUGCAUAGGAAAAAAUGUUGCUUUAGUCGCGAGAGCUUUCCAAUUUCGGUGUAGAGAAGUCAGCUGCAUCUUCCCAAUCAUCUGGCUUGGCCUUAGGCUGAUCAUCUUUAUCGCUUCCUAUAACAUCUUCUUGACCAGCAUCGGCACUGACCCGUUUUUCAUUACCAAUAGAAGUAUUUUCUGAAGAGAUGAUUAGUUUCCUUCCUCUCCUCUGGACCCUUAUAUGCCAUGUAAAGAUUAGAGGUUGUCUCAGCAGCGUCAGCUUUCUGAAGAAUUUCCUUCCUCGAGAUGCGAUCAAGACUAUUCUUGAUGUCAGCCAGCAGUUUUCCCUUAAGAAUUCUACACAUUUCAACUUGUUGUCUGGUCUUAAAAUUGUGUUCCCUCGAGCCUGCUAUAACAUUGAUCCGCAUGGCCAAUGGUGAAGCAAACCGUUUUCUGCAUUCAGUCCCAUCACUGUUUCUAAUAAAAUUCCCAUGUGACAAAGAUCUAGCAUAGACACAGCACCAUCCUUUACAACUAGCUCAGACCAGAUAUCCUCAAGCCAUGACUGAAUCAACCUUGUACAUCGUAAAAGCUAGGACUUCAUGCAAUGGAAAUCAUGGGCUAUAACCAUGAAAACUUCAUUGAAGGCGGUAUGAUCCUCUGCAACAAUAUGCUCUAUUUCCAGAACCAUGCUUCUUGUUUCUGUCAAAUCUGAAGCAACCUGCCUUUCAAGGUUUUCAUAUUGCUAAUUCUUCAAAUCGUUGGAGGGUUGCAAGCUUUGUACCCCACUAAUUAAACUACCCCUCUCUUUCUUCAACCUUUCUAUCUCAAGCUUCAUUAUUUCAUUUGUUAUCAUUAGUCCAUUGAUCAUAAUAUCUGCUUCUUUCGUUGUGUCUUUUGCCUCUUCAAAUGUAGAAAGAAAAACAGGGAGCCUCUGCAAUUUUCUGAGCUGCAACUAUCUUUGCAUCACCAUCUUGAGUCUAGAUUGUUCUUAGCCUUUCUCCGUUUGUGAUCAAAUAUUGUGUCUUCAGUCAUGAUUUGGGAUGUGCUCUCUAUUCGUUCAGGAAGAUCAGCUCUGUCGUCCAUGAAGUUCGUGAUGGCUACUAGUUGCAGAUUGGUAUCUUGUAGUUGGAUUUUUGCUGAUACCAGGUCCUUUCAGUUCAGCCUCUCUAGAAUAUAAAAAAUGGACUGACCAGGGUCCGUCUUGGAAUUUUUCUACUCUCUGCCUCUUCCAGAACCUCUGUGACAUGGAAUUCAAGCUGCUGUUCAUGAGUGCACCUUCUUGUGAGAGUCAACGCCUAUUCAUUAUCUUCAGUUUCAAUAGCAGGUGAACCUUCUUCUUCCGUCUCUUCAGCGUGCUAAAAGUCUUCUAAAAAAAAAUCCCUUUUUUUGCUAUCUUUUUUCUUCUCCCUUCCCUCCAAAACCUUCCAAGGAGAGUCCCACUUUCCUUAAACUCCCAUGGUAAGUUUCCUUGCAAAAACAUGAAAUUUUAGAAGUUAAAUAAUUGCAUGAAUAGAUAAAUAAGUAAAUAAAUUAGAAAAUGGUAAAAAUAAUAAAUAAAUAAAUAAGUUAAGGAAAAUAAUAUAAAGAGGAAGAUAACCAAUAAGAAGUGAAUGAUGAUCAUAAAACUAAAACUAAAAAUAAAAAAAUAAUAAUAAAAAUAAACAAAUUAACAAAAAAAAUGGGCCCUACGAGCCAUGCAAACACGUAGGUCAUAUAAGUCACGCUAAAAAAAAAGUCUUAAUAGGCCUAGUGUGCCUAAAUGGGCCUAGGGUGUCUAAGUGGACCUAAGUAGAUUACCCUAAAAGCUAUCCUAAAAAUGAAUGAAAAGUCUAAGUCUAAAUUAAGGCUGCCAAGGGUCACAAUAAGGGGUCAGAUAAUCCCUCGACCAAAAUCUCCGAGGUGGCUCAAAAAAAGGUAAGUAGUAUGAGUAGCAAUGGGCUACCAAGGAACUACAGUGGAGCACUGAAAACAAAUUUAAAAAAACAUGUGCUAAAGGGACAAAAUUGAGGGUCUAUAAGGAGUUUUGAAGAAUUGAAGCUAUUUUUGAAAACAACACCAAUAGUGAGGGCUCCCAACUAGCAACUGUCUUUUGAGGUAAUGUGUGAUGCCAGUGACUUUACCAUAGGAGCUGUGCUUGGGAAAAGAGAAGAUAGAAAACCCUAUGUGAUCUACUACACGAGCAAGACAUUGAAUGAGGAGCAAACAAACUACAUAACCACCGAGAAAGAAUUGUUAGUUGUAGUUUUUGCCUUGGAUAAGUUUUGUGCUUACUUGGUGGGGUCCUUCAUUGUGGUUUUCACUGAUCACUCUACUUUGAAGUAUAUGUUGACUAAGCAAGAUGUUAAAGCAAGGCCGAUUAGAUGGAUCCUCUUGCAUCAAGAGUUCAAUCUCCAAAUCAAAGACAAGAAAAUAAUGGAAAAUGUGGUAGCAGACCACCAUUCAAGGCUAGCUAUCGCACAUAAUUCCCAUGGUUUGCCCAUCAAUGACGAUUUUCCAGAGGAGUCUCUCAUGUUGGUGGAAGUUGCUCCUUGGUAUACUCACAUUACUAACUACCUAGUCACAGGAGAAGUUCCAAGUGAGUGGAAAGCACAAGAUGAGAAACACUUCUUUGCUAAAAUUCAUGCCUACUAUUGGGAAGAGUCAUUUCUAUUCAAGUAUUGUGCGGAUCAAAUAAUAAGGAAGUGUGUUCCUGAAGAAGAGCAACAGGGGAUCCUCAGUCAUUGCCAUGAAAAUGCAUGUAGAGGCCACUUUGCUUCUCAAAAGACAGCCAUGAGGGUGUUGCAAUCGGGUUUCUAUUGGCCAUCACUUUUCAAAGAUGCCCACACCAUGUGCAAGAGUUGUGAUCGAUGCCAGAGGGUUGGGAAGUUGACACACAAGAACAUGAUGCCUUUGAACCCCAUUUUGAUAGUUGAUCUUUUUUAUGUUUGGGGCAUUGACUUCAUGGGAUCAUUCCCUAUGUCUUUUGGCUACUCUUACAUCUUGGUGGGAGUAGAUUAUAUUUCUAAGUGGGUUGAGGCAGUCCCAUGCAAGCACAAUGACCAUAGAGUGGUUCUCAAGGAGAACAUCUUCUCAAGAUUUGGGGUGCCCAAAGCCAUAAUUAGUGAUGGGGGUACUCAUUUUUGCAACAAGCCUUUUGAAACUCUCCUAGCCAAGUAUGGGGUGAAGCAUAAGGUAGCUACACCUUACCACCCUCAAACUAGUGGGCAAGUUGAGUUAGCAAACCAAGAGAUUAAAAACAUAUUGAUGAAGGUGGUGAACACGAAUAGAAAAGAUUGGUCUAUCAAGCUCCUUGAUUCACUAUGGGCAUAUAGAACAACUUACAAGACCAUUCUUGGGAUGUCUCCUUAUCGCCUAGUCUAUGGCAAAGCAUGUCAUCUCCCUGUGGAAUUGGAAUACAAGGCUUGGUGGGCAAUCAAGAAACUCAACAUGGAUUUGAGCAGAGCUGGGAUGAAGAGGUUCUUAGACCUCAAUGAGUUGGAGGAACUGAGAAAUGAUGCCUACAUCAAUUCAAAAAUUGCAAAAGAGAGAUUGAAGAGGUGGCAUGAUCAGUUGGUUUCUCGUAAAGAUUUUCAAAAGAGACAAAGAGUCUUGCUCUAUGACUCUAAGCUCCACAUCUUUCCGAGCAAGCUGAAAUCAAGGUGGAUAGGUUUUUUUACCAUUCACCAAGUGCAUUCAAAUGGAGUAGUGGAACUACUCAACUCCAACAAGACCAGUAGUUUCAAAGUGAAUGGCCACCAUCUCAAGCCCUUUGUGGAGCCUUUUUCUCGUGACAAGGAGGAAUUCAUCCUCCUUGAUCCACAUCAAGCUCGACAAGACCAGUUUUUGAAUGGACUUAGUCUUUCUAAACACUAUCAAGUCCAUAUCUUUUUGUUUUAUUUUUUAUUUGAGAGUUUUCUUGUAUUGUAACUUGUUUUGAUUCUGAUUUCUCAUUUAAUUUCAUUUUGGUUUGAUUUAACUUAGGUUUUUGAUGAUCAAUUUCAGGGGGGGACUUCAAAGCAGUUGGGCAUGUCCUUAAAGAUUCUUGGCAGAGGAAAAACCCUGAAGAAAAAAAUUCACCAAGGCAUUUCACACACCCUUGCGAAAAUUUCGCAGGGUAUGUGAAACCCUUCUCAAAUAGUAAGACUCCAUUUCACUCAAGAUGUACCACUUCCUCCCUUUAUUUUCAAUUGCUCUUGACACAUUGAUGGCAAUGUUGAUCUUGGUUGGGGGAAGAGUUGACGAAGGAAGUAUUGUUAAUAAUGCUAGGUUAAUUUGUUAAUUUAGUUACUUUUUACUUAAUUUUAAAAGUUUUUACUCUACUCUCCAUGGUUAUUAAGGAAAAAUUCUCAAAAUGAAAUGGGAGAAAUUGAGUUCUUCCCUUUUUACUUGAAUCUUAGAGUUUGUAUCAUGUUUAUUGAGGUUGAUGAAUUAUUGAAACUCCUAUUGAAUUCAACCUUAUUUCUUCCACUUUAAUCUUACCACACACUGUGCAUACUAGGUUCCAAUUAUAAGAAGAAAAAAAACUAUCUCACCCCCUGAACUUAGAAAAAUUUCAACUUGGUACCUUUGACCUCGUUUUAAUAGUGUUGGGACACCUUAUAAAAGGCCAAUGACCCUUAAAAAAAAAAUAAAACAACAAAGUGUUUCACUUGCCUUGAAACCCGAGCAAGGUCUGAGGGGUAUAUGGCUGAAGUCUUUAAAACCCGGUGCCCUAAGCCUUUAUUGGUUGGGAGUCACCGACCUCAAUGCUCGUUACAAGGGUGAAUAGGUGGAGUUUAACUUAUUGUAGGUGCUUGGGUAUUGAAUUUCAAUCUCAAAAAUCCAGGGUGAAAUAUGAGGAGGUAGUGGUCGAAAGAUCCUUAAAGCUUGAUGCCCUAAACCUUGAUUGGUUGGGAGUCAUCGAUGGAUCCCCGUUACAUGGACACUUUAGAAAACAAUACCUUUAGCAUUGCACUCCUACAAUGAAAAAAAAAUAUAUGAAAUAAAAUAGGUGCAUUCUUAGCCUAUUGGAGAUUGGUUAGUUUGCUAAGGUUUGAGAAAGAACUAGGUUGGUGGGAGAGAAUAGUUCGACAUACUAUAUCGGAAACUAAUAAGCUUAACACUUAGAUUUUUGUGGAAGAGUAAGGAUUGGACCUUUGGGAGUGGAAAUUCUUUUGAUGCUUGAAUUUUCAUAAUGUCUACUCUUUAUAAAUUGUGAUUAAGCAAGAUAUUUGAUGACUCUUGUUGAAGGUUGGGUUUUGCCUCUUUGAUGUUCCAUGAGAGAGUAUGAUCUGCAUCAUGCCACUUAAAUUUUUUUUGAAGUGAUUAGCAUGAUUUUGUAAAUUAUUUUACUAUCUAUUUUUCUUUAUCUCUCCUUCAUUGCUAAGGGACUAGCAAUGUGUCGGUUGGGGGGAGUGAUUACUACUCAAAAAGUGCUCUUUUAUAGCUUGAAAUUAACUGUUUUAAACACUUUUGAGUUGUAGUUAAUACUUUUUAACUCAAUUGGUACAUUAAGAAACCUAGCAAGGGUUACUAAUCAGUUUUUAACUAAUUUUGGUGCUUUUGGUAGCUUUUUUAUCAUUGAAACAAGCAAAGAAUGAGGGAGAAUUUUGUGCAAUCCAUGGAAUUGCAAGUUGAAGCUCAAAUACAUGAAGAAUUCGAGUUUUGGAGCACUUCAUAGCCCUUUGCCAAGCUUGGCAAUAGGUUUCCAAACCAAUCAGAAAUGCAAGGAAGAAAUCCAGAGGAAGAAAUCCAGCAUGUAGCAAUUUCUCAUGUCUAUGCGAAAUCAAGAGGAGGAGGAGCUGCAAGACUGAGUGAAGGAUAAUUUCGCACACUAUGCGAAAUUUCGCAUGGUCUGCGAAAUCUUCCUGUGCACCGACUCCGUUAGAUUUUUAUCUCCAAAUUUUUGUGUAAAUUACUAUUUUCUCCUUGUAAUAAACCAAUGAUAGGAUUUAUUGGUUAGGAACUAUAAAGGGGGGUUGGAAAGACCUCUCUAUAGAAUAUUUUUUUGUAUAAUCUUUUGGAUACAAACGACACGGGUAAUUCCCAUAGGAAGAAAUAUAAAGAGCCCUUGUUCUGCCUUUCCUUCUCAUUUUGUUUUCAUUUUUCUUUCUAGCCAAACAACCUCUGAGGAUGAUUUCUCAGGGGAUGAGUGGCUAAGAUUUACGUUUCUCGGAGUAAUGAAAACUAGGUAAAGGACCCGGAUGCAAAGGUAGGAGUUUUCCUUGCUUUAAAUGAAGGUAGUUGUUAACCAUUAAUGGUUUUUAUUUCAAGGUUUAGCUUUAAAUCCCUUAGAAUCACCUUAUAUGGCCAAUACUUGGUAAGCUUUUCGGAUUCUAUGGAUGCUUAUUGCUAGAUCCAUGGAUGUCCAUUAGUUAUCAAGUACGAGCCAUUGGAAGGUGGUUCAAAUAAAAUUUAAACUAAUUCAUAAGACCUUUGACCAUAGUGUAAUUGUCUUCUUAAAAUAAUAGUAGUAUUAUAAUUUUAAUAAAAUAAAUGGUUAACAACCCACAGCCAUGUUAGGUUGGCUGAAGAAGGUGUUUCUCUUUUUAGUCACUUGUUUAUGCUAUGGUGUUCAUGCCUCUUGCUCGUCAUAAUUUUAAUUUGAUGUAUUAAGUGUUAGGAAAGAAUCCGCAAUGGAUCAUACUAUCACAUCAAAGGAUAUCAAAUCCCUUAAUUCAAGCUUCUCCAAAUAUAUCUACAUAAAUUAUGAUUAUCAUGUAUAUAAGGAUAUAUACAUAAAUUGGAAUCUAUAUCUUAUGAUGCAUAUUUUUAUUCCAUCAAUUUCAUUGAAUCUUGUUAAACUCGGAAAUAUAACUGUUUGGAAGGAGGUAUGAAGUUUUCUAGGAAUUUACAUCAUCUUUUUAUGAAGUUGACUAAUUUAAAAGAACUUUAAACAAGGAAAAGUUUUUCGUGUGUCCAACGAUACAAUUUUACCCAAGUGGAGUUUUUAUGGAUGUCAAUUUUCUAGGGAAAUUGAUUAAUCAUGAAAAUUGACCUGCCAUGGUGAAAAUUAAUCCUUAGAUUUAAUGGAAAGUUACUAGUAUGUAUCCCGCAACUAGGAAUCUAGUCUAGUCCAAUCAAUAGAGUACUUAUGUUUGGUUAAGAAAAAAAUAAGGAAAAAAAUACUAAAGAAAGAAAAAGAAAAAAAUAUUAAAAUAUUUUUCUUUCUAUUUUCUUUUAAAAGGGUAGAGAAAGUACAUUCAUUGGAAAUUUAGUUUUUUUUUCCUUUGAAUUACAAUCAAAUAACAAAAUAAUUUUAUAUUCUUUUUUUUUCUAGUACCAAAAUAUAAGAAAAUCACCCUUUUAGAUUUUUUUUUUCCUAUAAAGUUCCAAGGAAUAAUAAAAAAAAUUUCAAUGUUCUCAUUGUAAAUCUAUGUUUAGUGUAAAAUUUUGUUUAUAAAUGAGGAUUCGUCAUCAAUUUAAUUGGAAGAUGAAAACAAAAUUAUAUGAGAAAUUGUUACACAAAUCAUGAGAUUGAACAAUUAAAUUGGGAAGUUCAUGUACAAUUACCUCAAUCCUUAGGUCUUGCAAGUCAAUAAGAAGGCUUCAUAAUAUUUGGAAUUUAAAUAAAUUUAUUCUCAUAAGAUAGUUAAAAAAUCAACAAAUUUUCUUGAUGAACACAUUCAAGUUAUUAGAAUAUUGUUGUACGUCCAUGCGUAGGUUACAAUAAAAACAUUUAAUAAUUUCAAAUUAAUGUCAAAUCACUUUGCAUAUUUCAUUAGUUUUAUAAAAUUAAAUAUAUGGCUUGUUAUACACCAUUUCAGACAACAUAGUCAUGAAAUCUCUGCUUUUCCUUUUUGAUUUGUUAUAAAGCUAGUUUGUUUCCUCAAGAAAAAUAUAUUUGAUCAAAUUUCAAAAAGAAAUAAAAAAUAAAAAAUAAAAGAUUGUGGAUCCGCAUUUUUUUGCAUGUGUUCUCAUUUGAUGGUAAUACUUACUUUUUAUUUGAAAAUUUGAUUUUUUUUUUUUUAAAUGGUUUUAGAAUUGCCAUUUAUUUUUAUUUAUUUUUAAAGGAAAAAUAAAAUAAAAAAGAAAAAUCUUAAGUAUGACUCAUGAUAAAAAAAAAAAUGUGGGUCUGUGAAAAUCGAAUUUGGGUCUGAGGUUAGAUUAUCUAUCAGGAAGUUACGGUAAUAAGUUGUAGCACCCCUUCUAAGCCCUAACAAUAAGUCUCUACUAAUCAAGUUGGGCAAGCAUGACAAUUGACUAAUCAAUUGAUGGAUAUCGAGGAAUGAAAGUCAUAGAAUGCAAGCAAAUCAAGCACAAGAAUGAAUAAAUAAGCAAGAUGGAGAUGGGAGCAUACUUGAGCGACGAACGAGCGUUCAUAUGGAAACAGGGUUAGUGUACAAGUAUAGAGUAAUCAUGUGUAUAUCACAAAGCAUAUCAAAGUCAAUCAAUAUUCAAUCACAGAUGUUGGGCCGCCCCGCUAAAACCCAAUUUAUCUGCAUGAAUUAAUUCUCUAAAAUUCCAUUAUUUUUGGAAUUAUAUAUAGAAUCUAUUCAUGCUUAUUAAAAAUCAAGAAAAUUGAAAAAUUAUUAAACAUCAAGGAAAUUUGUGAAAGAUGUUUGGCAGGGAGAAAAAUUGCAGCAAAUUUAUUAAAAUUGGGAUUUUAUUGCUUAAAAGAGUCUAAAGAUGAAUUUUUUAAACCUAGGUUUAUUUUAGUUGAAAACAGUUUUUAAAUUUCAAUUUAAAAACCUGUAAAUUCUCACCAAGAUAGGAGAAGCAUACCUAGAGGAAGGAAGGUGGUCAUGCAGUAGGAAAAAGAAGCACAAGUGGGAAUGGGAGUAGAAUGGUGCUGGUAAUGUUGAGGUUAAGAAGUGGACCCAGUGCAGCUUCAGAGAGAACAGGGACUCUUCCUUUUCCGUAUCUUCUUUGUCUUCCGCUGCGUUUUUGACUUCCACACCUUCAUACCCAAGCAACCCAUUGACAGAUUCUGUUCAAGGCAUUGCCGAACACCUUCCAAAAUUUGAGGUGCCCGCAAGUUCUGGUACCUCUGAGUCGCAUUCUCACUAGUAGCCACCAUGAGUCACUGGCACAGAAGUUUGAACUCUUUGGGUGGUGAUGUUGGGCACCAGAUUACUAACAGUGAGUUCCGUACUUCUAAAAUUAGUUUCCUUCUUCUGGUGCGUGCCAGUCACUGAGGUCACCUGCAACUGAUCCAGAUUUUAUUGAAAGUCCCACAUUGACUGCUUCUGCUUCGUCAACUUCAUGUUGAUGAUCUGCCGGAUUGCUUUCCUUUUGGUCUUAUAUUGCCAGAUUAAAUCCUGCACAAAGCUUAACCACGAGUCUUCCCACUCUCAAAUGUAAGCUCCAGAUCAUUCAGUAAGAAAGCGAGAUGUUCUUGAGAAUUAUGCUGAGCAAGUUUUCCCUUAAACACACGUGGUGCAUCUGGUGUCCAGUCAGAGGACCAUAAUUUCUUCAACAACUCAACAAAAGCAAGUGCAAGCUCACCAUUCACUCCCAAUGGAUUUUGUUUGUUGAUCUCUUCAGCAUAGUCUUGCAAGAAAUGCCCAACUACAGGAUCCCAUAUCUCAUCACUUGAAGCAAUAUUCUGACAGCAUGUAUCAAGGAUCACAUCUUCAUACCAACUGAAUUCAACAGAUUUCACAUUGGAAGCCCACAUUGUCUUCACCUCGUCAUAGAACUUGCUGAACGAGAGGUAGGAAGAACAAUAUUGCUCCAAUACACAGCUUGCGUGCUCCUUAAAUUCCCUAGGCUUGCAGAAGACGCUUGGGGAAUGCUGUUGAUAGCUUCACCUACCCAAUUUGCAUCCACAUCGUGUACAAGGACCACGACUGCUUAAGAUGAUAACACUGGUCUUAAAAGAUGAACCACGGACUUCCUGAACCUGGCUGCCCCACAGGCAACUUCAAUCCUUUAGCUUUCCUGCCCCGAUCCCGAACACCAAUCCUCCUAUACUGUUUGCACAAGCCUUAAGAGAUUCCGCCAUUUUUCCAUUUCAGAAACUUCUUGCUUUGCCACUUCAUUGGAAUUGUGACUUCUUUAAGCCCAUUCAGGACAUACAUUUAGCUGUUAGCAUUGGCCCGAUACCGGUAGUGGAAUUCUCAUACUCUUCCUCUUGUAACCGCUGCCACUCUCCUGUACUCGCUUAAUCUUGAGGAUGCAUAAACACAUCUAGGAACCCUUUGGAAAGAUGACUUCCUCAAGAGCAACUAAGCCUCCCUGAACAAUGAAGUGAAACUCAUGGUGACGAGUUCCAAGAUAACUGGCAAUCAAAAUGAGAACAAAUUGACUCACUGGCUCUUUGCUAUUUAAGUCAAUCAGAUCUUUCUAAGUUCUCAUUUUUAUUCAUUUCCUUGCUCUUCUUUUUGCGAUCAAACUCUCUAGCCUUCUGUUCAUUUCUAGCUCGGAAGUCCCAAGAUCCAUGAGAUUCUUCUGAUCAUCCUCUGUCCACUCAACAACCUUAUACCCAUAUUCAUCCCCUUCAUCUUCAUCUUCAUCUUCUGCUUCUUCUGCACUUUCCGCUUCCAACUUACUGCCACGACCAUCGAUAAACUUGUGACAGCGAUCAUCAAAAACCAUCACCCAAUUCAGAAACUAGUCUCUCAUCAAACCUCUGGACUUCUUCUGCAUCAUGCCCACUGAGAGAGAAACUGUCUUCUCCUUCCAGAUUAGAGCACUUUUCUACUUCUCAACACUCUUGAUGUCACUAACAACAACAAUUUAACGCAUGUUCGGAACAGCAAAACACCCAAAUAGAGGAUAUUUGGAGAAAGUCUUCACUGCCGUGGGUUUGAUGAGAAUCAUCUUAACAAAAUCAGAAUCACCAUCUUCCAAAAACUCGGGCUCCUUCUCAAGUUCCUGGCCAGAACACCUGUCAACCGGAACAUCCAAGUAUGGGACUUCUUUUCCCAAAGCCGAACUGAUUGUACUUCUGACAGAAAGUAUGACCAACUGUAUCAAGAAACAAACUACCAACUCCUCCAUGAAAAGAAACCAAGUCCACAGUCCACGGGAACAACAAUCCUCCUCGGGCUUAGAGAAAAUCUGUGGCUCUUCCUCAACUCAAAAUUCUAGGAAUCAAUUGCAGAAGAACAAGUGACUCCACAAUCAAGACCCCAGACCAGACCGUAUCGGCCAUGCAUGGCCAUGCAGAAGUGUACACGUGGAGGUAAUAAGGUGCUUAUAGGCAUUGAUGUUGAAGCUGUCCCAACCUCCAAUGACUUCCAUGGUUUAAUUUUUCAAUUCUUCCCAUCGUGAAUAGCAAGGAUUUUAGUGUCACUAAAAUGAACCACUUGUCGGAUUUUGGGUAUGGAAACAAAUGACUAGCCCAAAAGACCCAAACAAAAAAUAGAAGUAAUACAAAGAAAAACUUAUCGACUGAGGCAUGAUAAACACUGUUCUUGAAACAGAUCCACCAUCUUCGAAGACAAACUCAAUGCACUAGGGUACCAGUGGUCUACCUCUAGGAUUCAAUAGUCAAAUUCUGCAAGCGAGAUGUAUAUAGUUCGAGUUUUGAAAAAAUUCCUCCAGAUAGAUGUAUAAAAAGGCUCCUUGAAAAACUCUAAAAAUAUUGAUAUUCGUAUAUAGAGAGUGAGGGGUGGCCUGCUUUUAUAGGGCACUAACACAGUCCCAAUGGGACUCUACUUGUAAUGAGAACAUGACUCAAAAUGGAAGGAGAAUCUACUUAUAAGUGGAAUGGGACUCCACUAGCACAAUCCCAAUAGGACUCUUCCCAAAAAUGUAAGACUAAUAGAAUAAAAUAAAAUAAAAAUAAAAAUUAUGUACACUUUUCCUACAAUCCCCCAUAGAGUGUAAACGUAUUUAUUUAUUUAUUUAUUUAUUUAUUAUUAUUAUUAUUAUUUGAAGAAAAAAUAAUCCAAUGCAUCAGUACCGGUGCCCAAAGGCUAUGAACCAGUCUUAGGACAAAUAAGUAUUGAAUCACAAUACAUGGUGAAAAUAAACUUCUAUGAACUAGUGUUUCUUGAUGUAACUCAAGGGGCUUUUAUCCACAUUGGUUUUCUAAACUACACUACGAGUUAUACAAAACGGGUUGGCACAAAUAGACCAUGCGCCCUGCCUAGAUAUUCAUGAGAGCUCUAGAGAAUCUGCCUAGGUUCUCAUAGGAAGCAACCCCACCUCCACUCUCAUAUAGGUGAAUCCAUCAAGUAUGUUCCACAUUUAAACAUACCAUCCAUAAGAAAUAUGCUAUUCAUUAAGAGUAAACACUCAACCUUAAUCAAUACAGAAUACGCUCUAUCUACACCAUAGGGAUAGACUCUCAUACAAUUAGAGUUGAUAGAGCACCUCAAGUCAACAAGUGAUUUGUUAUUACCCAUAUGAACCUACUUCAUGGAAUUUCCAUUCUAAUAGGUUGGGUUACAACCACACUUGACUUCUGUAAUAAGCAUAAGCCCCAUCCCCCUUGAUGUUUCUUCUACUAGUUUUUUUUUUUUUUUUUUAAUUUAGUGGUUUGGUCAAAGGAUCAACUAAAUUCAACUCUGACCUCACAAAUUCUAGGAACAUAACCCCUGUUUCAAGCAAUUACUGCACAAUAUUGUGCCUUAGGAGUAUAUGCCUGUUCUUCCCAUUAAAUAUUUUACUCUUAGCCUUAGCAAUUGCAGCUUGGCUAUCACAAUGCAUAGACACAUACGGAGUUGGUCUCAUCCAUAAAGGGAUAUCUGCUAAGAGGUUUCUAAGUCACUCGGCCUUAAAACUUGCCUUUUCUAAGGCAAUAAACUCAGCCUCCAUAGUAGACCGAGUAAUGCAAUUUUGCUUGGCAGACUUCCAAGAAACUGCACUUCCACCAAGGAUGAAAACAUAUCCACUAGUAGAUUUCAUCUCAUCUGAAUCCAAAAUCCAAUGUGCAUCACUAAAUCCUUCAAGGACACUUGGAAAUCCACUAUAGCACAAACCAUAGUUAAUGGUGCCUCUUAAAUACUUAAGGACUCUAUGACCAGCAGUCCAAUAGUCCUGAUUAGGACUUUGGGUGUAUCGACUCAAUCUACCUACUGCAUAAGCAAUGUUAGGUUUGGUAUAGUUCAUUAAGUACAUUAGGCUCCCUAUGAUAUGAGCAAACUCUAUUUGGGUAACACUAUGUUCUCUUAUUUUCUUUAGUUGUGAGUUGGGAUCACAAGGAGUUGACACUGGUUUACAAUCAAAAUGUUCAAACUUCCUUAUAUUCUUUUCAACAUAGUGCUCUUGAGAAAGUUUAAGCUCAUUAGGUGUUCUAGUUAUUUUAAUUCCUAAAAUCACCUCUGCCUCUCUUAGGUCAUUCAUAUCAAACUUAGAAACUAAGAAUUUCUUGGUCUCACACACAACCUCUAGGCUAGUUCCAAAUAUCAACAUGUCAUCAACAUAAAGGCAGAUGACUACACAUGUGUUAUCCUCAUACUUGUUGUAGAUACACUUAUCAACAUUAUUAAUGGAAUAUCCAUUAGUUACUAACACAUGAUCAAACUUGUUGUGCCACUGUUUCAGAGCUUGUUUUAACCCAUAUAGUGAUUUAACCAACUUACACACCUUUUUCUUCUUCCUUGGAACUUUAAAACCCUUAGGUUGUUCCAUAUCAAUUUCCUCUUCCAAAUCCCCAUUCAAGAAUGCAGUCUUGACAUCCAUUUGGUAUAUCACCAAAUUAUGAAUGGAAGUUAGAGCAAUCACUAGUCUAAUUGAUGCUAUUCUAGUUAUAGGGGCAAAGGUGUCAUAGUAAUCUACACCAUUCCUUUGUUUAAAGCCUUUGGCAACUAAACGAGCUUUACACUUAUCUAUGGACCCAUCUUGUUUUAACUUUCUUUUAAAGAUCCACUUACACCCAAUAGUUUUUGCACCAGGAGGUAAAUCUACUAACUCCCAUGUAUAGUUAUACAUGAUUGAUUCGAUUUCACUAUUAAUGGCCUCCUUCCAGAAUGGUGUAUCAGGAGAAGUUAUAUCAUCUUUGUAGGAUCUAGGGUCCUCGUGUAUUAGGAAGGUGUAGAAACCAUCUCCAAGGUUUGUUUGUUUCCUAUCUCUUUUACUCCUUCUAGGUUCAAAUUCAGAAGGUUCAAUAGACUUGUCUCUACUUGUUUUCUGAACUUGUUGUUCACCAUUUAGUUUCAUAGGAAAGAUGUUUUCAAGGAAAUCUUCAUUCUUUGUUUCUAUUAUAGUAUUGACAUCUACAAGACUUUUUUCUGACUUAGUAAUAAAAAACCUAUAUGCCACACUAUUCAAAACAUAGCCAAUGAACAUUGCAUCAAAGGUUUUAGGAUAUAGUUUUCGUUUUUUAGGUUGAGGGAGAAGAACUUUAGCUAAACACCCUCACACUUUCAGGUAUGCUAUAUUAGGUGCAUAACGCUUCCACAACUCAUAAGGAGUUUUACCAGUUUUCUUAUAAGGUAUUCUAUUUUAAAUAUGACAUACGGAUAGGAUAGAUUUCCCCCCACAAGUUCAAGGGUGCUCUUGAACUUACCAACAUUGCAUUCAUCGUUUCUUUUAAGGUCUUAUUUUUCCUUUCUAUUACUCCAUUAGACUUAGGGGAAUAAAGAAGAGUAGUUUCGUGAAUGAUCCUAUGAUCUUCAAAAAAAGAAUUAAAGGGGUUGGACUCAUACUCUCCUCCCCUAUCAGUUCUAAGUCUUUUAAUUUUCUUACUUAGUUGAUUUUCCACUUCAUUUUUGUACUUGGUGAAAACAUCUCUUGCUUCCUCUUUGUUUCUCAAAAGAUAUACCCUUUUAUACCUUGAGUAGUUAUCUAUGAAAGUUAUGUAGAAUCAUUUACCACCUUUAGUGAUUGUAUUUUUUAGGUCUUCUAAGUCACUGUGUAUUAAACUUAGUAUAUCUGAUUCUUUUUCAACUGAUUUGCAAGAUUUCUUUGUGGUUUUAGAUUCUACACAAGAUUCACAUUUUCUAUGGUUUUCUAAGGACAAUUUAGGGAUUAAACUCAAUUCAACCAUUUUCUUCAUAUAUGAAAAGUUCAAAUGUCCUAGUCUACCAUGCCAAAUAUCACAAGAAUCAACUAUGUAAGUAGAAGAAGAAGAAGAUGCAUUAUUAUUGAUAAUAUAAAAAACAUUCAACAUAAAUAAACCCUGAUUACAAUAGCCCUUCCCCAUAAAUGCAUCAUUCUUAGUUAAAACUAUUUUAUCAGAGUCAAACAAGAUCCUUACUCCUUUUUUUUUUUUUUUUAAUAAUUGGGCUCUAGACCUUGUUUGAUGCAUUGGGCUUGGUCCUAAAGUUUUGGUUUCUGGACCUAUUGUUUUUAGGUUUGGGUUUUUCUUCUACUACAUUAGCCUUAGAAGACAAUUCCUUAGCUUUCUCAACAUUGUCCCUGUUUUGGUUUUGUUCCUCAAUCCUAAUAUGGAUUAUGACAUCCUCUAGGGACAUUUGUUACCUUUUAUGUUUCAAGUUAUUUUUAUAGUCUUUCCAAAACUCUUGAAGAGUCUCUACUAAAUAACCAGCCACAAAAGGUUCGGGUAAUUUAAUUUCUUCAAUAGCUAAGUCAUUAAUCAACAAGUGGUAGUCAUGGAUUUGAGAUGAUACAUCUUUAUCCUCGGUCAUUUGGAAAUUUCUAAAAUUCCCUAUGGCAUAUUUCUAAGUUCUUGCAUCUUCCAAAAUAUAUUUUUUAUUCAUUCCAUCCCAAAUUUCUUUUGCAACUUUAAAUUGACAAUAAAUAUAAAAAAGUUCAUUAGAAAGGGUACUUAGAAUAGCAUGCCUAACUUGUUUAUUUCUAGUUUCCCAGGUUGGCAACAAAUGAGAACCAUCUUCUGGUUUUGGGUCAAUCAAAAUGUGUCCCAAGUUCACUACAUCAAUUGCAGAGAAAACCCUUUCCUGCCAUCUAUUAAAGAAUGUCCUGUUAAAGGGAUCAAUUUUAGAGGUGUCAAGACGGGUGUGAACUAGGGAAGCUUCCAUUUGGAUAUAUUUCAAGAUUGUUGGAAUUUUGGGUAUGGAAACAAAUGACUAGCCCAAAAGACACAAACAAAUAACAUAAUUAAUAAGAAAAAAAACUUAUCGGCUGAGGCGUGACAAACACUAUCCUUGAAAUAGAUCUACCCUCCUCGAAAACAAACCCGGUGCACUAGGGUACAAGUGGUCUACCUCCAAGAUUCAACAACUAGAUCUUGCCUUGGGUGUACUCUAUAAGCAAGAUGUGUACAACUCAUGUUUUGAAAAAAUUUCUCCAGAUAGAUGUAUGAAAAGACUCUCUGAAAAACUCUCUGAAAAAUUCUUUGAAAAUAUUGGUAUUCGCAUAUAGAGAGUGAUGAUGGGUGACCUGCUUUUAUAGGCCACUAACACAGUCCCAAUGGAACUCUACUUGUAAUCAAAAUAUGGCUCAAUAUGGAAGGAGAAUCUACUUAUAAGUGGAAUGGGACUCCACUAGCACAAUCCCAAUAGGACUCUUCCCAAAAAUAUAUGACUAAUAGAAUAAAAUAAAAUAAAGUAAAAAUAAAAAUUAUUUACACUCUUCCUACAUCAUCCACAUCAGUCUUAAUGGAAGCUGAACAAAAUUCCAUAUUUGAUUUUGAUAAUGAGAAUUUAGAUUCUUCAAGGUUUUCAGAGUUGUAACUCUCUUCACCAGAAGCUUAUCGGUCAUAAAUAUCAAGCUUUUUCGGAAUUGAAGAAGACUUUUGGCUAAUGGGGCCAUAUCCCAAUUCUCUGUACUAGGCAUGGUCGCAACUGAUGCAUGAGAAAUCAGCACCAACAAAAUGGUGUAUAUUGCCUGAAUCCAUGCAAUUUAGAUGCUAACCACAUAAAUUUGUGGGACCUUAGGAUGCAUCCAGUCAUCACCUGAAAUCUUCAUUUUGCCCUACAUGAACAACUACCCUACACUAGCAGUACACGAGGAGUUAACAGAGCCAGUUGAGAUCACUGCAUGAUGUUCUAUCUCUGAAAUACCUCCACACGACAAGGAAGCCACUUUUCGUUCUACUUCUACUUGCCUGAAUUUUCCUUUAGAACUUCUGAUCUUUCUCAAGAGCGUUGUGGUAUAAAUCAGAAUUAGCAUUUUCCUUUCCUAAGGAACGUUGAUUUUCUACGAGCCGUGCCAGUAAGUCUUGUUAUAUUUAUAUAAAUAUAUAUAUAUAUAUAUAUAUAUAUAUAUAUAUAUAUAUAUAUAUAUAUUGUUGGUUAAAAAUAAAGUAUAAGAAGAGUUACACUUUUGAAAAAUAACUUUUGAAAAUAAAGUGUAAGAAGGGUUACACUUUUAAUGUGUGAAUAAACACAUGAUUAAGUUUUGAAAUGUUACAAAACUUGAAAGGUUAAGGAAGACAAUGAGUCUUCUCAUCUUUGUAACUUUAUAAAACUUAAGAGGUUAAGUGUAAGAGAGUUACACAUUUGAGAUUAAAUCAUGUUUAAUGUGUGAAUUAAACAUAUGAUUUAAUUUUUGAAUGUUACAAAGAUGAAGAGAUUAAGGAAGACAAUGGGUUUUUCUCAUCCUUGUAACCAUUUUUCAACCCUAAGAGUGCUAUAUAUGACUUUUCUUCUUUUUGAAAUCAUAUGCAAAAAAGUGAAAAGGCUUGAUCAAUCCCAAGACUAUUUCCAUUAGUUCCCUAAAGAUUUCUAGAGGUGGAAGGAAAUAGAGUUUUUGGACAAAGUUCCAAGAACUUGUUUGAGUCUUUCUUGUGUUCUUCUUCUUCUUGUUCUUAUUUUGUAACUUUGAGAGUUUUAUUGUAUCAAGGUGAGUGUUUGAGAGUGUUUAUUUUCUCCAUUGUAUCCAAAUUUUUUCUUAUCAAUCAAAGACUCUAAUUUUCAAUGGAAUGAGAGACUAUCAAGAUUAUGAACCAAGACCUUGUGAGGUUGGAUCGUUUUGAUGGUUCCAACUUCACUAGGUGGCAAGACAAGGUGAGAUUCCUUCUCACAGCACUCAAGAUUUUCUACAUCCUUGAUCCUACCUUGGCACCGUUACCGAAACCAAAGGAAAAUGACACACCUCAAGUGGUGGCAGCAAAGAAGAAGAGAGAGGAGGAUGAGCUCAUAUGUAGGGGUCACAUUUUGAACGCCUUAUCCGAUAGGCUAUAUGAUCUCUACACCAACACCUAUUCCGCGAGGGAGAUUUGGGAGGCUCUUGAAAACAAGUACAAAGCCGAGGAAGAAGGUACCAAAAAGUUUCUUAUUUCUCAAUACAUAGAUUUCAAAUUUUUUGAUGAAAAGCCUCUCUUACCACAAAUUCAUGAGUUGUAAGUAAUUGUGAAUAAGUUGAAAGUUCUCAAAAUUGAACUUCCGAAGGCCUUCCAAGUUGGUGCUAUUGUGGCUAAAUUACCAUCAAGUUGGAAAGGUUACCGGAAGAGGAUUCUCCACAAGAGUGAAGAUUACUCCUUGGAAGAGAUUCAAAAACAUCUUCGCAUUAAGGAAGAAUCGAGAUCAAGAGACAAAAUGGUGGAAGAGUCCAAUGGUGGGACUAACAAAGCCAAUGCGGUUUCAAAGGCCAAUCAUCUUAGAGGUAAAAAUAACAACGACAAAAGGAAUUCCGGAAAUUAUAUGAGCCCCAAGAAAAAUCAAGAGCAAUUUAAGGGCAAGAAAGGUCUUUGUUUUGUGUGUGGAAAACCCGGGCAUUAUGCUAGGGAGUGUAGGUACCGAAAUGACCUAAAAGGGGCUGUGGUGAAUGCAAUUGAUGAGGAGAUAAUUGCAACACUAAGCGAUGUGUGCGUUGUCCAAGGAAAGGUGCAAGGAUGGUGGUAUGAUACUUGUGCCACAGUUCAUGUUACCUAUGACAAAUCUCUUUUCAAGACCUUUGAAGAUGCAAAGGGAGAUCAAGAGGUUCAAAUGGGCAAUUAAGGAAGAUCCAAGGUGCUUGGCAAGGGCACUAUUGAAGUUGUUUUUACCUCCGACAAAAAGGUUACCCUUAUAAAUGUAUUGUAUGUCCCCGAUAUGAAUAAAAAUUUGCUUAGUGGGGAUUUGCUUGGCAAACCGGGUAUCAAAGCGGUGUUUGAAUCCGAUAAGCUAAUUUUAUCCAAAUCGGGGAACUUUGUGGGAAAGGGGUAUUCUUGUGAUGGGAUGAUCAAACUUUGUACCAAUGACAAUAUCAAUAAAAUGGCGUCUACUUCCGCUUAUAUGUGUGAUUCAAAUUCUUUAUUUUUGUGGCAUAAUAGGCUUGCACAUGUUGGUUUAAGCACUAUUAAAAGGAUUGUGAAAUGUGGUUUGAUUGCUUGUGAUACCAAGAAAUUUGAAAAGUGUGAAAUAUGUGUUAAAUCAAAGAUGAUUAAAAAGCCUUUUCAUAGUGUUGAGAGAUCAUCUAAUUUGCUUGAUUUAAUACAUAGUGAUCUUUGUGAACUUAAUGGCAUGUUAACAAGAGGUGGAAAUAGGUAUUUUCUUACAUUCAUAGAUGAUUGUUCUAGAUUUACCUAUAAGUUUUUGUUGAAAAACAAAAGUGAAACUUUCAAUGCCUUUAAAGUUUACAAAGCCGAAGUUGAAAAUCAACUAGAAAAAAAUAUUAAGGUGCUUAGAAGUGAUAGAGGUGGUGAAUAUUUCUCUAGUGAAUUCAAUUCUUUUUGUGAAGAAUAUGGCAGAAUACAUGAGUGCACCACACCCUAUACACCUCAACACAAUGGCAUAGCGGAGAGAAAGAAUAAAACAUUCUUGGAAAUGGUGAAAGCUAUGUUAUUGCAUGCUAAAUUGAAUUUCAAUUUGUGGGGUGAAGCUUUGUUGACUGCUUGCCAUAUUUUGAAUAGAAUUCCUAUGAAGAAAAAUGAGAUAUCUCCAUAUGAGUUAUGGAAAGGAAGGAAGCCUAAUAUAGGUUACUUCAAAGUGUGGGGGUGUCUUGCUUAUUGCAAGAAAAUGGAUCCAAAUAAAACAAAAUUGGGUCUAAGAGCCAUUAAGUGUGCAUUUGUAGGCUAUGCCUCAAAUAGCAAAGCUUAUAGACUAUUAGACUUGGAGUCUAAUGUGAUAAUUGAAUCAAGAGAGGUAGAGUUCUUUGAGAAUUUGUUGAGUGAUAGCAAUUCUCAAGUACCUACUAGUGUUGGAGAGUCUCUAGAGGAAACACCUUCAAAGGUUGUUGAGCAACCCAUUGUGCCUCGGAAAAGCCAAAGAGCUAGAAAAGAGAAAGUGUUGGGAUCGGAUGAGAUUGACUCUCAAAGAAUUUCCUUUUACUUAGUAGAGGAAAUAAAGAAGAUAUUAUAAGAAAAAUUCCUAUAGUACUUCAAAUAGAGGAGGAUCCCAAAACAUACAAAGAAGCUAUGGCUUCUAGAGAUGUUGCUUUUUGGAAAGAGGCUAUCAAUGAUGAAAUGGAUUCAAUUAUGUCCAACCAAACAUGGGAAUUGGUAGACCUUCCACUAGGAUCUAAACCAAUAGGGUGCAAGUGGGUAUUUCGAAGGAAAUAUCACACCGAUGGCAUGAUUCAAACCUUUAAGGCUAGAUUAGUAGCUAAGGGGCUUAAACAAAGAGAAUGUAUUGAUUAUUUUGAUACCUAUGCGCUGGUGGUUAGAACAACAUCGAUUAGGAUAUUGUUUGCUUUGGCAUCAAUUCAUAAUCUAUUUGUUCAUCAAAUGGAUGUCAAAACGGCAUUCUUGAAUGGGGAUCUCAAUGAGGAGGUCUACAUGGAACAACCGGAAGGUUUUGUUCUACUGGGGAAUGAAAACAAAGUGUGUAAGCUUGUCAAAUCAUUAUAUGGUUUAAAACAAGCUCCCAAAUAAUGGCACGAAAAAUUUGAUCAUGCUAUUCUUUCGGAUGGAUUUAGACACAACAAUGUGGACAAGUGCUUAUAUUCUAAGACUUGUGAUGACUAUAUGGUCAUAGUGUGUCUAUAUGUGGAUGACAUGUUAAUCUUGAGUGAUGACAUGAAAGGAAUAAUAGAAACGAAAAGGUUUCUAUCCUCAACCUUCAAGAUGAAAGAUCUUGGAGAAGUUGAUACUAUAUUGGGUAUCAAAGUGAAAAGAAAUAGUGGGGGUUAUGCUUUGAACCAAACCCACUAUAUUGAGAAAGUAGUUAGCAAAUUUAGUCAUCUCAAGAUUAAAGAUGCUAAUACUCCAUUUGAUUCAAGUAUAAAACUUGAACUACAUGAUGGUAGAUCGGUGGCUCAACUUGAGUAUGCAAGUGCAAUUGGAAGUCUUAUGUAUGCUGCUCAGUGUACCAGGGCUGACAUUUCAUUUGCAGUUAGCAAAAUAAGUAGGUUUAUUAGCAAUCCAAGCGUGGAACAUUGGAAAGCUAUUGGUAGAGUUCUUAGUUACCUAAAGAAUACCAAAGAACUAAGCCUCCAAUAUUCAAAGUUUCCUGCUAUACUUGAAGGGUAUUCAGAUGCAAGCUGGAUAUCGAGUGUGAGAGAUAAUUUAUCUACCACAGGUUGGGUGUUUACACUUGGUGGUGGGGCUGUCUCUUAGGGAUCCAAGAAACAGACUUGUAUAUCACACUCAACCAUGGAGGCAGAGUUUAUAGCUCUAGCUGCAACUGGAAAAGAAGCUGAGUGGCUUAGGGAUCUCAUGAUGGACAUCCCUUUUACUGCAAAUAAUGUGUCAACAGUGUCGAUACAAUAUUGUGACAGUCAAGCCACUCUAGCUCGUGCAUACAGUGGGGUGUACAAUGGGAAGUCUAGACAUAUAAGCAUUAGACAUGAGUAUGUGAGACAAUUGAUUCAAUAUGGAAUCAUCUCAAUCUUAUUUGUGAGGUCAAGUGGAAACUUGGCGGAUCCUUUUACUAAACCUCUUACAAUAGAUUUAGUAAGGAUAACAUCUAGAGGGAUGGGACUAAAACUCCUUAAAUAAAAUUCACCAAUGAUGGUAACCCAACUUAAUACUACGAAAUGACUAGUCUUAAGUUCAAUAGGUAAAAACAAGUCAUUGAUAAGUGGGUUGUGGCAGCAUUAGAACAUGUGAGUUCCAUCUGUGAUGAUUAAUGCUGGUUGUUACCGUUGGAGGGUUAAGCUUAAAGCUUUUAAUGAAAUUCAGUCUAUGUGUGACAAACAUCUUAAAGGUAACAAGGAUGCUGGAAGAAUUUCACCUAUGUGAACUUAGGGGUGGUGCCGCCUCUCAUGAGAGUUGGAGUUUUCUUUCAAGAAAGUUCAUGAAUGGAUUGAGCACAUGGCCAUAAAAGUGCUAAGCAAGAAAAUAAUGGGCACUCGUAUGGUUAGUGGAAGUGUGUGUUGUUACCGGUUUCGUUACAAGGAAUAAUUGGUUCAAUGCUACAAGCAACCUGGGAUUUUAACGGAGCUUUGUGACAAUUACACUAAGGUAAAAUUCAAAUCGAAAGAUAUUUUAUUUUAUGCAUUUUCACUGUUGAGGUUAUAAGGGUUGAUGUUUAAUUUUAACCAAGUGGGGGAUUGUUAUAUUUAUAUAAAUAUAUAUAUAUAUAUAUAUAUAUUGUUGGUUAAAAAUAAAGUGUAAGAAGAGUUACACUUUUGAAAAUAAAGUGUAAGAAGGGUUACACUUUUAAUGUGUGAAUAAACACAUGAUUAAGUUUUGAAAUGUUACAAAACUUGAAAGGUUAAGGAAGACAAUGAGUCUUCUCAUCCUUGUAACUUUAUAAAACUUAAGAGGUUAAGUGUAAGAGAGUUACACAUUUGAGAUUAAAUCAUGAUUAAUGUGUGAAUUAAACAUAUGAUUUAAUUUUUGAAUGUUACAAAGAUGAAGAGAUUGAGGAAGACAAUGGAUUUUUCUCAUCCUUGUAACCAUUUUUCAACCCUAAGAGUGCUAUAUAUGACUUUUCUUCUUUUUGAAAUCUUAUGCAGAAAAGUAAAAAGGUUUGAUCAAUCCCAAGACUAUUUCCAUUAGUUUCCUAAAGAUUUCUAGAGGUGGGAGGAAAUAGAGUCUUUGGACAAAGUUCCAAGAACUUGUUUGAGUCUUUCUAGUGUUCUUCUUCUUCUUGUUCUUAUUUUGUAACUUUGAGAGUUUUAUUGUAUCAAGGUGAGUGUUUGAGAGUGUUUCUUUUCUCCAUUGUAUCCAAAUUUUUUCUUAUCAAGUCUUGGCAAGUCAAGUUUGUUCUUCAUAUCAUGCUGAACCAAGAAAGCCUCAAGCUCCAAAUCUGAUUUAUCAUAACCAGAAAUCCCAUUAUAGUCCUUGGCGAUCUUACACUUCAAUUGUUCAUAAACGUCAGGCUUGAAGUAGGAACUGAAGAACCAGGCACCCCGGAUGCUAUCGAGCCACUUGGAGCAUCAAAAAUUCGGAAAGCCACCCCUGUCUCAUUAAGCUGCCUAUGAAGAUUAAGGGAAAUUUCUCCUCUUGAUCCGCAUAUCUAAAGAAUAAACCUGGAGGAGCAUUCAGAGCUUUCUUUUUAUCAAUCUUUUCACUAUUCCAGAGGUUUAAGACACCAUUUUCUAUAGAGCUUCCAAAGAUAGAAGCCUUGUCCACUUUCUUGAAUUUGAUUCCAAUCGAAAUGAGCAUUUUGGUCAAGUUCCCUUUCAGUAGUAGUCAUUUCAAUCUUCGAACUUCACAGCAAGAGGGCAAUCUGCCUCCUUGUAACACAACAUGUCGGUUGUCACAUCAAAUAAAAUGGUAGGACCAAUAAAGUUGCCUUAUUCACAUCUAGGAACCUCAAUAUUUCUUCCAUCAAGCACGUGUCUGGCACCACUCUCCAACUCAGCUUUCUGCGUUGCCUACUCCUGUAAGAAUUCCCACUCCAGACUCUGCAAGCAAAGCUUGAUGUUGUCAAACCACCAAGAAUAAGACCACCAUCAUGCAAUUUCCCCUUUCACUGACGAACCUUCCUCAUGUUCAAACAUCAGAGUCUGCAGCUAAGGAUCCACAUAAUAUAGUACUGGAGUUGCAACUCUCAGUAACACCCCAACCAAGAUGGCCAACCUAGCUGGGGUACUCAACACCCCAAACUUACCAGAAACAGAGGAAUAGAAAGCAGAGAUAGGGGCAGAGUAAAGACUGAGGAAAUGACAAAAAGGAAAUCAAGCAUAUGAUGAAUGUACUAAGCCUCAUUUCAUAUGACAUCCAUGGGCUAAGGACAGGUGGAAUUAUCAGAAAACAAUGGCAUGAUUUUCAGGUAAGCCCAUAUACAAGAUAUCCUCAAUCAUGACUAAGGAAACCCAUAUAGAGCUAAACCAAAGCAAACAUGCAGGCAAUCUCAAAUUUCUACAAAAAUAAUCAUAUGGCCCUUAAUGUCCAUACACAAACAACAAAUAAGGCCCAGAAAUCAUUAGAGAAUAGAGCAAAGAAACAAUGAGAAAAUGAAGAAAAUGGGACUCGAACUGAUCUUUACCAGAUAACCUCCCCCUCAAGCAAAAAUUUGCUUGGCUUCAAGCUGGCUCUCCUCUCCAAAAGGCUCCCUAAACAGCUUCCUCUCUUCUGCAGCUCUCUCACUCAGUUUUUUUUUUUUUUUUAUAUCUCCCGCUCAGCCAAAACCAUCCUUUGUUCUACUCCUAUUUCUUCUCUAGCACAAACCCACCAAAAAUCGAUUUCUCACUUCUCUCCCAUCUCAACAACCAAAACCCACCAGGAAAAUCAGAAUGCCCCUCCCCUCAGGUCACCAGCAGCUGCCAUCUUCUGCUGCAGCCUCUCUAAAAUGUCUAUCCUCUCCAAAAACUCCUGAGAAUCCCCUCUGCUUCCUCUCUUUCUUUUCUUUGUUCUCUUCUUGCUCUCCGGUUCCUCUCUUACUCUUAACUUUCUCCCUAAAUUCUUCUCUAACGAACCCAAGAAUCUCCCCCCCUCUGUCUUUCUCUGUGUUCUAAAACGUCCUCCACCUAGAAGGAUCCCCCAUACUCUCUACCUUACUACACUAUCAAUCAACCUCUUAGCAACUUUUCCCUGCUUCCACACUUUCUGUUUCCCCUCUAUAACUUACAUUGCCCUGCAACAAAGAAUGCCUUCCUAUCCUGCAGAAAAACAAAUCUCCACGUGGUCAGAAAGUGCUCCCCAAAAGUCGGGGAAAAAGACCCCCACAAAAGGCCAAAAAAACUGCCCUAGCUGCUAACAACUCUAAAGUCAUAAAAAUGUAAUUAAAAAAAUAAAUAAUGAUGCUCAUACCCGAAAUAAUGCUCUAAUGGUUUCUAAAAUAUAGUUCAAAGCCAAGCAAAUAUGGAGCACUAAAGAACAAUAAAAAAAAAAAAAAAAACCUCAGUAAAGAAAGUCCUAAAUACACAUAAGAAAAGAGUGGGGUGACAGAAAAAAUAUGUAUGUGUGCUAGGGACAAAAUAAACGAUUUACAAAAUAACCUGUGUCGAAUACAAACCCGAUUUAAUAUUUUUAUAAUAUUUAUAAUGUAUUUAUGUUAUAUUCAUUUUCUUUUUAUAUUUUUAAAAAAAUAUUAAAUUAUAUUAUUUCGUAUACUUUUCAUUUUUUUUGGAAAUAUAUGCAAUUUUUUUUUAUUACUAAAACUUUUUUUUAAAUUUACUAAUUAAAUUUUUAUAUAAAUAUAUAAUAAAAAUUCUUUAAAAACAUUAUAGAUGGAUUUUGAAUUAUGCAAUUGCAUCAACUUGUUUAUAUAUAUGAAUAUAAGGUAACAAACCAAUCAAAUAAAUCCUCUAAACAAUCACAAACCCCAAAGAAAAUCCAACAAAAAUAAAGAAGAAGAAAGAAAGAAACCUAGCUAAGUGUUGGAGACAAAGAAAAAAAAAUCAUAAGUAUAUUUCAAAUUAAAAGAAUUAUUAUUAUUAUUAUUAUUAUUAUUAUUUUGAAGAGAAUCGUAUUAUUUUUUAAUGGGAAGAGUUUUUCAUUUUUUUUAUUAUGAUUUUGAUAUAAAAAGGGAGAGUAAGGUUGAGUUUUUCAUUUUCUAAAAACAAAUUUUCUUUUAUUUUAUUUUAUUUAUUUUUUAAAAAAAUAAGCAUGAUUAAGAAAAAGAAAAUUAUUAAUCAUGGUUCUCAAUAUAAAAAGAAAAGCCAAAAGAAAAAAAAAGUUAAAAUCACAAUAAAAUGAAUAAUUUCUCAAAAAAAUAUUAAAUAUUAUCAAUUAUAUUAAUUAACUCUAUUUUAUAAGCUAGUUAAACUACCUUCAUGUAGUACAAUUUAAAUAAAAAAUGAAUUUACUAUAAAUUAAUAAAAUUAUCAUUCUCAAAAAUUUAAUAUGACUAAAAUAAAUUUUGUUUUUAUCUAUUUUUCUCUUUUUUUCAAGAAAAUUUAGAUCUAAAACUUUCCCAUGAAAUGAUAACUCAAAACCACACCAACAAUAUAAAAGUGAAAUCAAUAUAUAUAAAAUAAAUCCACAAAUUUCAAAAUCAUAAAACCAAAAUUCUAUCAUAUUUAACUCCUAUUUUGAACUUUAAUUUCAAGUUUUUUAAUAAAAUUUUACCUUAACAAAAUCAUGAAAUUUUAUUUAUUUAUUUUGACCUUAAUAAAAAAUUUAUUUUUUGCUCCUUUAUCUUUUCAAUCUUCAACUUUAUUAUAAUACUCAAAUCUAAUUUUAUACAAAAUUAAACUAAAUUUAUUUUUGAGAAUUUUAGAUCACUCUUGUAUCAAAAACUAGUUAAACUACAUUAAUAUCAUACAACUUGAAUAAAAAAACGAGUUUAUCAUAAAUUAACAAAGAUAUAAUAAAAAAAUGAAUAUAACUUAAAUAAAUUUUAUUUUUAUCAAUAUUUUUUUGGCAAAACCAUAACCUUUCGAUAGCCUACUUGUGCUGGACUAAGCCUAACUUUAUGUAGGGGUAAGGAGAUAAUAAGAAAAGCUUGUUGCUCAACCAAAAGGGAGAGAUUGUGCCGACUUAUAUUGUGUACUUCCAUUGUACUGGAUUAUUGGUCUUUGAAACUUCUUAGAAAGUUUAUUUUGGGUGUUUUUUUAGUCCUUUUUUUAGUGUAGGAUUAGUAAAAAAAAAAAUUGCUUUAAUUGAAUCUUUGUUGUGCUCUUAAUUCAUACAAGAGAAUGACAUCUUGUGGGAUGAGAAUUCUUUGAUCCCUAAAUUUUUUAUAUCACAAGCUGCCAACAAACAAAUUGCAUACACCAAUGUUUUAAAAAUGUGACCAGCCAAUCAAAUUAGUUGGCUCUACUCAGUCUGGAUUCGACUUGGUGAUUGGUAAAUUGGUAGAACCAACUGGGUUUGGAACUGGUCUAGAUAUUUUUCCAUUUAGGUUAGACAAAAAUUUUGGAAAAAAUCAAUAAAUAGAAAUGUUGAAAUUUUAAUAAAAGUUAUAAUUUAUAUUUAUGUUCAACUAUGUUUCAUUAUAAUAUAACUGGAAAAUGUAGUUGCAAACUAGAAGAAUAUAGUUGGAGGAAUGGUAUAUGCUCUAGUGGAUGGUGUCUCAAACUCAAUUCCCAUGGAUGGAGGAGUAAGAGUCAGAGACACAACAGAUGGAACUAGCACUAAAAUGGGUUAUGAAUCUUAUUGAGAAAUAACCAACCUCAUGAUAGACGAAGGAACAAAUGUGCUAGGAAGAAUUGGGGUUUUGUCCUUGAUAUUGUUCUCUAUAGGUUGAUGAGUUCUUCAGUCUAAUACAUGUAAUUUUCUCACUUCUGAAACUUCAUUUUUAGUUUUGAUCCAUUUUAGAGAAAAUAUGUGACACAAUCCAAAAUGGGGCUACAUUGUUUCUUAUUUUUGUCUGUUGUUAUCAUUUGUUGCCUUCAUAUGCUAGGAUGAUGUUUUUUAAUGAAAACUUCUAUGACCAAGUUGAAUUUGAUACUUGGUUGGAGCUUAUUUGUUUAAAUAUUCAUGUUUUGGUGGAUACAGGUCAUUGUAAUUGAGAAAAAAAUGCAUAUAAUGUAGAAGAUGGAUAAAAUUAAGUUAAAUACUUACAAAAAGUUAAGAUUAUAGGACUCUUCAAUUUAAUAAAAGUUUUGUUGUACUAAGGAUUACAGGCUAUGCAUUCAAUUUUGGGUAGAAGGAAAAUACCAUCCAAACAAGGCCUACAUAUAAUCCAAAGCAUUCCCAACCCCUAAAAGCUUAGAGAACGGAUUAGAUUAAAUAAGUUAGCUUAAAAGUGAUGCAAAAUAUGGGUAUGUUUUAUAAAAACACAUAUUUUCUUCUUGUUUUUAACCCUUCAAAAAGCUAUGAUUUGCUUAAUUUGAUUGGAAAAAAAAAUAUAGUAAUUUUUUUUCCCCAAUUAUAAAUUUUAGCUGUUUUUUGUCAAAAUUAACUUGAAUUCUAUAGACACCAAAAGAGGGAAAAAGGUCCCAGAUUUAGGUUAAUAAAGAAAUAUAGUUGGGACAAAUAAUUAAAAUAUCUUACAUUGGACAAUCAUCAUAUCCUAAUCAAAUUUUAUAAAAUAGUAGAAACAUAACUAAUAAUUAUAUUUUCAAAGAGAAUCUGAAAAUUUGAAAUUGGAAAUUUCUUCUAUUCAUUUUUAAUAUUUUUUAAGGGCUACUAUAAAUUUUAUCCACAAAGGGAUAAUGUACUCUUGUUUUAGUAGUAGUUAAACAAACUAUAACCUUUGAGAAUCACUAUUUAUCUUAAUAAAGGUCCUCUUUAUUUAAAAAAAAUUCUCUUUAAAUAAAUUAAAAGAGAAAUCUUGCCUUUUAUUGCAACUAUAAUGAAAUUCACUUCCAAAGAUUGUAAUUAUACAUAAAGCAUAUAAAGAUCUACAAACAAAAUUUAUCACCUUCGUAGGUGAUCUUUGGCAUAGGUUGCUCUUCCUCUCAACAACCAUUUGACAAUUUCAUCCACAAAAUCAAAGUAGGCCUCACACCAAGAUUUCCUUGUUACCAAAACAAAAUAUGGAACUAAAAUGCCCAUCACAAAUCCCAAGCCAACAUUCAAGUAAAACCAUUUAUCUAUAUAACCACUAUCAUUUUUGUCCUCAAUAGCACUUUGCUUUUUAUCUGGAUCUUAUUCCUGACAUUUUAUAACCAGUGGAGCUCCACAAAGAUCAGGGUUUCCAACAAAAGUCAACUCAGUGAAAGUUGUCAUUUGCCCUAUAAAGGGGAUCUUACUAGAAAAAUUAUUAUUUUAUAGAUUCAAAUAAUUCAAGAAUGUUAAUGAGGGCAUGCUUAAAGGAAUGUUACCAGAAAGCUUAUUAUUUGAUAAAUCAAGAAAGGAUAGUUGAUGCAACAUUGAAAUACUUUCCGAAAUUCGGCCAAUGAUGUGAUAUAUUCUCCGAGAAGUUUAGAGCCACCAAACCAAUUAAUUUUGUUAUUUCUUAGGGAAACUCUCCACUUAAAUUAUUGUGGGAUAGGUCUAUGCCUACAACAAGAGAAAGAGUCCUAGUGUAUUCAAGACUUUGGCCUUUCAUAAUCACAACCAAUCGUUCUUUGUACCAAGAGCUGCUCCCAUUGUCAUUGAAAGGAUAUAUAUUCAUGUUAUACUCCUAAGCCAUAGCUUUAAGCUCAACCAAAGUGACUGGAAUUUCACCCAUUAGAUUGUUUUGUGCAAGGUCUAAGACAUGUAGGGAGCUUAAAUUUGAAAACUGGGAGGGAAGUCUUCCAAAAAAUACAUUUGACCUCAAGUUGAGUAUUACAAGAUUUAUGAAAGCAGUUCCAAUCCAUGAAGGAACCUUACCCAAUAAUUGGUUAUAACUGAGAUCAAGGAGUUCCAAUCUUGAUAGAUUUUGGAAAAAUGAGGGGAACUUUCCUAAAAGCUUGUUGUCGUUCAAGUACAGUGAUUCGAGCCAUCGUAAUUGGCCCAACGACUUUGGUAUCAUCCCAGAUAAAUUGUUAUUUCCAAGGUCUAGUACAAUUAGGCUAGAGAAAUUAUGUAUGGUAUAAGGAAUGCUUCCAGUCAAAUUAUUCCUUGAAAAAUCAAUUACUUGAAGAGAGGUGAUGUGUUCUAUGGAAUCUGGGAUUGUCUCUGUUAUUUGAUUUUUUGAAAACAAAAGGUAAUGCCUGUCCAACAUAGAUUCACUCUUCUCGGUGGGACAGGGCCAGAAAAUUUAUUGUAGGAGAGAUCUAGUAAAUAGACCCCUUUGAUUGAAAAAGGAAUAGGUCCCUCAAAGAGAUUGUAACUGAAAUCAAUACAUGCACAAUCACCAGAAGGAAAUUUUAAUGAAUUUGGUAGCUAACCUUGUAAUAGAUUGUGAGAAAGAAUUAAGUACUGCAGAUUGAAAGAAAUAUUAAUUCCAAAACCACUUGGGUAUGGAACCUGAGAUGCUCGCAUUUGACAAAUCCAGAAAGGAAAUCUCCAUUUGAGACCUAAGCCAAGUCGAAAAUGAAGGUCCUAAAUUGCAUGAAGCCAUACUAAGAUCAGUGAUUUGGAAUGGGGGGAUCCAGGUGGAACUAACAUUCAAAACAAGACCUGAAUUUCCAUGUAUCAACAAUAUCUUCAGCUUACUUAACUUUGAAAAAUGUUCUUCAGAAAGAAUUCCAAUGAAGCCAUUCCAAGAAACAUCCAAGGCAACCAAUUCAGAAAGUUGUCCAAAACUAACUGGGAGACUCCCAUUCAAUUCAUUUGAUCCAAGCCAAAUCUCAUUCAGAUUUUUGAAUGUCCCAAAAGAAGCAGGGAUAGGGCCUUGAAGCUUGUUGUCGGAUAGAUGGAGAUGUGUAAGUUUUUCCAACUAACUAAACCGUUCUGGCAAUCUGCCCACUAACGGAUUCUUGGACAGGUCCAAAUACCUCAGUUUUGGUAAAGGACCUUCAGAACUAUAGUUUUUGAUCUAUUUGAGAAAUUUAGGGAAACUUCCUGAAUUUCCGAUGUUCUAAGUUGGAACCCAAAUCAAAUGUUCUAAGUUGCAAAAAUCUCCGAUGAAGGUUGGAAUUAUACCUGCAAUCAUCAUCAAGAGUAUUAAAAUAAUUUGAUUUAUUUAUUUUUAUUUAUUUUAUGAAAAAUAAGAAAGUUCAUGAGAAAGGUAAGAAACUUUGCCUUCUUAAUGCAUUAUCAAGUGUCUAUAGAAUAUUGUUUUUAGAAAUUAGAGUUUCCAAACAAAAUUUUGUUCCAAAAUAUAAUAUAAUAUAAUAUUUAUAAAAAUUAUUAUAAAAAACUCAAAAUUUGAUUUUGAAAAAAUAUUUUUAAAAUGUUUAUAAGAAACAAAAUUCAUUAUACUAUUUGUAAAUGAUUUUACAAAACUAUUUUAAAAAUUGUUUACAACCAAAACCUAGAUUUUGUAGUGUAAUAUUUCAAAUACAUCAAAAGCCCUAAAAAGUCCCCUUUGUUGGUCAAUUGUGCAAUGAAUUUAUGACAAAUCAUGCAUCAUCAAGAGUUAAAAUAAUUUAAUUUAAAAUAAUUUUCAUAAAAAAUUAUUGGAGAAGAUAAUUGAAGUUGCUUUGAUGGUCUAAUGAUAAAAGUAAGAGAUUAUUGGAAAGUCAGAAUAACUUAAUGCAAAAUAUUUUUUAAAAACAAGUGUUAAACUGUAUAACCACUACAUUAUUUUGAUGUAUCAAAAUCAAUAAGCGAUAACAAUUUUUCUAAGCAAAAAACGUAUCAAGAAAUUUAUUGCCCGCCAACUCCAGAAAUUCUAUCUUCUUCCAGCUUUCACUUAACAAUUGAGAGCAACUACCUGUGAGAUUUUUGUUCCAAGAUAAAUCCAAGUGCUACAAGUUAGGUAGUUCCCCAAGACCAGGUGAAAUCUGCCCAUAUAACUGAUUAGAUACAUCAAUGUAUACAAGGCUGCUAAGGUUUAGAAGCCAUAUUGGGAACUUUGACCGGAAAGAGUUGCCACUGAUGCUUAUGACAGACAAUGAAGUAAAAUUGAUAGAGUUUAGAGAUGAAAUUGAACCAAAGAGCCCACAAUCUUCUAGGUGCAACUCUAUUAAAAAUGAAAGGUUGUUGAAUACCUCCAUCCAGUGAGAUCCUACCAUUGACAGGUUGACAUAGUUCAACUUGAGAUGCCUUAAGGAAACAAGAUUAGUCAUCCAUUCAAGGUCCUUAACAAAUAACUGAGAUUCAUUGGAAGAAAGAUCAAGAAAUUGCAAAUUAGAAAUGUUUCCCAAGGUUAGAGGAAUUGCACCUCUGAAUCCACAAUUUGAUAAGUUUAGAUAUUGUAAAUUUUUCAAAGAUCCGAAGAAUUUAGGAAUUGGAAUAUGCUCAAAUGAGUUGCCACUCAAAUCUAAAGAUCUCAAAGAUUUGAGUUCUAUCAAAGAAGGUCGGAUUUCCCCGUUUAAGUUCAUUGAGCUCUAAUUUUCAUAUGCUUCUUCAAGAGAAUAUGGGUUAUGAAGAUUGAUAGAAAUAACAACUCUUGUGUUCUUUUUCACAACCAAUUCCCUCCCAUUGACAACAAUUGCCUCCUAUCCAUGAUGAAAGCCAAUUGCUAGAAGAAUCUUUGAGACCAUUUUUUAAGUCAAGAAGAGCUUCUCGAUCAGCUUUUAAGCAAUUUCCCUUCAGGAUUUCACCUUUACAAGCAAGAUCUCUUGUUAUGAAACAUAGAAUGACCAAAAGGAAACCAAAUUUUGAAAUUUUCUCCAUUUAAGAACACUUAUAAAAACAAGUAAUUAAUGUUAAGUUCCGACAAAAGAAUCAAAAUAACGAUGAAAUUCUAUUAGUAAUAAGAACAUCAAGAUAUUGGAUAAUAAAUAAUACAUUUAUUGUAAUCAAUCGUAAGUUUAAUAAGAUUAAAGAUAUGUCAAGUAAGCAACAUCCUUGAACACAUAUCAAGAAAAAAUAAUUGUGACCUUCUCACCAAUAUCAAAUAUGCUCGGAUAAUUGUUAUCGAUCAAAACUAUAGAAAUCACCGGCCCACAAGAGAAACUUAGAAGCAUUAGAUAAAGGAAAACACUAGGGGAAACUUGGCAUUAUUGGUGGAGUAAGAUCUUACCUAUUAUCUCUUUUUUGUAGUUGUACUCAUUCCUUUGGUUACAAGGGAAUAUUUAUAUAUGAAAGAUUAUUCAAGAACUAUGGGCUUUUAAUUAAAGAAAAGUAAUCCACACGUCAUGAAUUAGUGCAUGACCUAUGAUGAUGAAGCAAGUAUACAAGUCAUGUUUGAAAAAUUAUAAAUAAUAAUAAUAAUGAAUAACACAUCAACAAGUUUUUUCGCAUACCAUUUAAUAAUAUAUGAAAUUUCUUAGACAUUGUAUUUUAGUAAGAAUGUUUCUAACAUUUUUUCUUUCUUUAUUUUAACAUCAGCAAAGCAAUGCACGAGUAAAUAAUUCCAUAUUUAGUAUAAAAUUUAUUUCAUGAAUAGGGCUUUAUCAUCAAUUUAGAAGACAAAAAGGAUAUUACAUGAGAAAAUAUUUCUUCACAAAUUAUGAGAUUUAACUACUAAAUUGAAAGUUUUAUAUACAUCUAUCUUAAUCAUUAAAUACAACUUAAUACCAAGGAAUUAUAAUAUUUUGGAAUUACAAUAAACUUAUUUUUAUAAUAGAGUAAAAAAGAAAUUGACAAAUUCUCUUGAUAAACUUAGUUAAAUAAGUAGUGAGAAUAUUGUUGUCCACACACAUAUAUAUAGAUUACGAUAAAAAUAUUUAUUAAUUUCAAAUUUAGAUAAUAGAUUUCAAACCACUUUGCAUGUUGGAUUAUUAGUCUUAUAGAAUUAAAUAUAAGACUUUUUAUGCACAAUUUUGAAGCAUAUAUUCAUUCAAGUCAAAAGAUAUAAGUAUUUUAUUAGAGUAGGUGGUGAUCUAAUUUAAACUAUAUCAACAAAUUCUUUGCAAGUCAAAAAGCAGCAAGUAUUUGAAUAAAGUAGAUUAGAAUAAAAUUUAAACUAAUUCAUAAGACUUUGACCAUAGUGUAAUUGUCUUCUUAAAAUAGUUUUAAUAAAGUAGAUGGUCACAGUCAUGUUAGAUUGGCUAAAGAAGGUGCUUCUUUUUUUAGUCUAUUGUUCAUGCUAUGAUGUUCAUACCUCUUGCUCUUUAUAAUUUUAAUUUGAUGUAUUAAGUGUUCGGAAAGAAUUCUCAAUGUAUCAUACUAUCACAUCAGAUGAUAUCAAAUCCCUUAAUUCAAGCUUCUCCAAAUAUAUUUACAUAAAUCAUGGUUACCAUGUAUAUAAAGAUAUAUCCUAUGAUGCAUAUUUUUAUUUCUAUUUCUUGAUUUUUCCCAUUUACAUUCAUCAAUUUCAUUGAAUCUUUAAUAAAGUUGGAAACAUAACUUUUUGGAAGGAGGUAUUAAGUUUUCUAGGAAAUUUACAUCAUCCUUUUGUGGAGUCCGACCAAUUUAAAGGUACUUCAAACAAGUAAAAGCUUCCCAUGUGCCCAAUGAUACAAUUUCCCCCAAGUGGGGUUUCCAUGAAUGUAAAUUUUCUAGGAAAUUGACUAGUCAUAAAAAUUGACAAACAUGCAAAAGUUUCCCAUAUGCUCAAUGAUACAAUUUUCCCCAAGUGGGGUUUCCAUAGAUGUAAAUUUUCUAGGAAAUUGACUAGUCAUGAAAAUUGACAAACAUGCAAAAGUUUCCCAUAUGCUCAAUGAUACAAUUUUCCCCAAGCAGGGUUUCCAUGGAUGUAAAUUUUCUAAGAAAUUAACUAGUCGUGAAAAUUGACAAAUAAGCAAAAGUUUUCCAUGUGCUCAAUGAUACAAUUUUCCCCAAGUGGGGUUUCCAUGGACGUAUAUUUUCUAGGAAAUUGACUAGUCAUACAAAUUGACAAACAAGUAAAAGUUUCCCAUGUGCUCAAUGAUACAAUUUUCCCCAAGUGGGGUUUCCAUGGAUGUAAAUUUUCUAGGAAAUUGACUUAGUCAGAAAAAUUGAUAAGCCAUGGUGAAAAUUCCUUAGAUAUGAUGGGAUAAUGGUAUGUAUCCCUCAAUCAUGUCAGGUUCUUGGAAUAAUGUGGAACCUAGCGCAAUCCAACCAAUGCAAUACUUAUGUUCGGCUAGAAAAAAGUAAGAAAAAAUUACUAAGGAAAAUAAAUAGAAAAAAUAAUUAAAUUUUUUUUCUAUUUUCCAAAGGGUGGAGAAAAUGCAUUUAUUAUGAUUUUUUUUUCUUCAAAUUUCUCAUUGACAAUCAAAUAGGAACAAAAUUUUAUAUUUUUAUAUAUUUUUUUUAUGGUAUCCAAAUAUAAGAAAAUAUACUUUUUUAGAGUAUAUUUAGUUCCUAAAACAUUCCAAGAAAUGGAAAAAUAAGAAAAAUUAUGUUUUUCAUGUUUGAAUACCUUAGAGAAGAUUGAAGGAAAAAAUAUGGUAAAAUGCUAAAAGAAUUUCCUCCCUAUUUUAGAUGAAAAAGUAAAGACACUUUGAGGAUAGUGUGUUUUUAUUAAUGUGUUUGAAGGGUGUUUUUGUGUCCAUUUCCAUCUUUUCCUACUUUUUUCCAUUUCCAUGCAUUUCACCAAAUCCUUGGUAAACUCAGAAACUUAAACUUUAUGGGAGUUAGAAAUGAGAUUUCCAGGAAAUUUACGUAGUCCAUUUGUUAGAAAUUUUGUCUUCUCCUUUUUCCAAAGUUGACUAAUUCAAAGGUCCUUCCCAUGUGUUUGCAUACAAAUUUUUCCAAGUGGGAAGGGAUUUCAUGGAUUUCAAUUUUCCAAGAAAAUUGACCUGCUAUGGAAAAUUCCUCAAAUUUGAUGGAAAGUCUUUUGCAUGGCCCAAUAAGCACUUUCCUCUCAAUUUGUAGGACUUUUUUUGCCUUCUCUCAUCUCUCAUGUUUAUAUAUAUAUAUAUAUAUAUAUAUAUAUAUGAAUGAAUAUAAGGUAACUAACCCAUCUGACAAAUCCUCUAAAUAAUCACAAAACCCCAAAGAAAAAUCCAAUAGAAAAGGAGAAAAAGAAAAGAAAAAAACCUAAGUGUUGGAGACAGAGGAAAAAAAUUCAUAAGUAUAUUUUUAAAUUAAAAUAACUAUAUUAUUAUUAUUAUUAUCAUUAUUAUUAUUUUAAAAACAUCAUAAAUAUAUUUUAUUCAUAUUAAUAUUUAUAAUAUUCAUCUUCCUUUUAUUUUUUCUUUUGUAGAUGAAGUAAGAUCUCCAAAAAAAGAAAAAAAAAGAAAGUGCUAGUAGUUUAUAUGAAAAUCAAAAUGAAAGUGUUAGUAUAACUUUUGAAAAUUGGAAAAUUGUAAAUAUAGAGGUAGAGUCAGAUAAUGAGAUAGAAUUUGCAAACAUUAUCACAAGAUAUUUUGUUGAACAUCAAAAUAAUAGAAAAACUAUAUAGAAAUUCCGAGCUAGUUAAUAUAAUUUUAUAAGAAUUUAGUAAUCCAACGUUACUAGAAGAAUAGAUAGAUCAAGAAAACUUUGUUGAUAUAAUGUGUAAAAUCUAUAUAUACGAACAAAUAAUUGAAUAACUUUACAAAACCAAUUUGAUUAAAAAAACUCGUAAAUAUAGAAACAAUAAACCCAUUUACUAUUCAACCAAAAAUUAAAGGAAAACAGAGAUAAUUACAAAUGAGUUAGUAAAUGCAAUAGAAGAAGAAAAUAAAAUAGAAUUUGUAAAUGUAAAAAUUGAAAUAGUAAGGUAUAUGAAAUCGUAAAGCAAGCCAAAAAAAAUUAAAUUAAAAAUAGUAAUACAUUUGGCUUAUGAAACUUUGUAUAGAGAAAAAAAACAAAGUUAAAUAAUAAUUUUAAAAAACUAAAAUUCUUUGUGGCUUGAGAAAGUUUUAUUAAUCAUUUGUUUUCAAAGGCAAAAUGAAAAACCAAAAAACAAUUAAAAUCAUAGUAAAAUGAAUAGAAAUAAUAGAAUGUAUGAAAGGAAAUAUUAAAAUAUUAACAAUUAGAUUAUAGUUUUUAUAUAUAUUCUAAAAUAUAUAAUUAGUUUUUAUUUUUUAUAUUUUAGUUUGAAUUGAGAUGAUAUUUGAAAAUUGUUUAUUAUUAUUAUUAUUAUUUUAUGCUAAUAUUACUUUUUCUUUUCUUUUUAGAUAUUUUCAACAAAUGAUUCGAUUCAAUUUUAUUUGUGUUUUAGUUUUAUUCUUGAGAAAGUUAUUUUUACUCAUAUGAUUAAAAGAAUUUAUUGAAUUGUAAUUUUAAAAAAUCAAUUUGAUUUUAUUUACAAGAAAAUUGUUUUUUUAUUUAUUUUUUUCUAGAAAAAUAAUGAUUUUUAUAACUUUUUUAUGAAGGUAUUUCAAUUUAAUUUUUAUUUUUACAAGUUAUUUAGAAAAAUAAUUUUUAUAAAUUGAUCAACAACUAUAUUUAAAUUAAAUUUUAUUUGCAAGAAAAUUGAUUUUUAUUAUUUUUAUAUAAAACAAGACUUGUACAUUUUAUUUACAAAAAUAUCAAAAUUGGAUCCAAAUUUAUCAGUAAAAAUAAUUUUUAAUACUAAAAAUGGCUUUUUUUACAAUUUUAUUUACAAGAUAUACUUCAAUCCCUUUUUUAUUUACCAAAAAUGAUUUGUUUUAUAUAAAACAAGACUUUUACAUUUUAUUUACAAAAAUAUCAAAAUUGGAUCCAAAUUUAUCAGUAAAAAUAAUUUUUAAUACUAAAAAUGACUUUUUUUUUUACAAUUUUAUUUACAAAAUGCACUUCAAUCCCUUUUUUAUUUACCAAAAAUGAUUUGUUUUAUAUAAAACAAGACUUUUAUGUUUUAUUUACAAAAAUAUCAAAAUUGGAUCCAAAUUUAUCAGUAAAAAUAAUUUUCAAUACUAAAAAUGCCUUUUUUCUUUUUUUUUUUUACAAUUUUAUUUACAAAAUGUACUUCAAUCCCUUUUUUAUUUACCAAAAAUGAUUUUUUUUAUUAUUUGAUUUUUAAAAAAUAUCUUUAUUUGGUUUGAGCUAAGUUUUUUCCAUUUUAUUAUAAGAAGUUUGAAAAUUACUUCAAUUUUAUGAAAAUAAUUUCAACUUUAUUAUUUAAAAAAAGUUUCAAAUUUAUUAAAAAAAAAUUGAAAAUAUUUUUAUCCUUUUAAAGAAGAGAUUUCCAUAACUUUAUCCACAAAAGUAUUCUAAUAUAUUUUUACUUAAAAAAGAAUUUUAUUCCAAUAGGAUUUUAAAAAUAGUUUUUUAUACUUUUAUUAAAAAACGGUUUUUCCAAUUUUAUUUAGAAGAAAAAAAAUUCAGAAAAUAGUUUUUAUUAAUAUAAAAUUAAAAUUUUUCUUUUAACAAAAAUGGUUUCGAACAAUAGUUUUUAUUAAUAUAAAAAUAUAAAUCUUAUCUUUUAUCAAAAGCUGUCUUCCUCGUGGGGCUGUCUUUUCGGUCAAUCUAGCCAUCUCCCAAUCAACCCAUGCAAACAAAGGUCCAGACCAAUAAAAAUCAAUAUGCCAAGUAACAUUCAGCAAAGCCCAAUCAUAUAAAGCCCAAAUGAAUAUAAACUAAUCAAGCCUAAACUCAAUGAAUGAAGCUUAAAGCCCACAUGAACAAAUUUAGGCCCAAAAAUAGUCACAACUUAAUGUCUUGAGAGCCCACCAAUAAAACCCAAUGGUCAAAAUAUCAAUUGUGAAGAUCAAAGGACGGCUUUACUUCACUUUUAAAUUUUGUUUAAAAAAUAUUUAUAUUUUUAUUGUAUAUAUUAAAUAGAUCUCAAAUACAUAUCAUAGAGAGUAGUUUUCAUAAAAAUAUUUAGAGUGAGGGGUUCUUUGUUUGUUUGUUUUAUUUUUACUUAAGUCUUAAAACAAGUUACUUUAUUUAGAACUACUUUUUUAAUUUAUCACAUUUUUUAAGACAAUUUUAUUUAUUUAUUUAUUAUUCUCUUAUAUUACUUUUGAUCGAUAAGAUAGGAUAAGAUAUAUAUAUAUAUAUAUAUUUCAUGUCCCAGAAUAUGAAAUAAUAAAAUAAGAAUAACCUACAAAUAAUAAAAUAAGAAUUAACUAAAUUUUUUUCUUGGGUCAAGUUUUUUACUUUAAGCUUUUCAUUUCAGGCAGUUUUUGUUUUAAACUUUACUUUUAGACUAAAUUUGAUAUUUUUAUAAUAUUUAUAAUGUAUUUAUGUUAUAUUCAUUUUCUUUUCAUGUAUAUAUUUUCUUAAAUAUUGAAUUAUAUUAUUUCAUAUACUUUUUCAUUUUUUUAGAAAUAUGUACAAAUUUAUUUUUACUUUUUUAUUGCUAUAUUGAAACUUUUUUUUAAUUUACUAAUUAAUUUUUCAUAUAAAUAUAUUAAAAAAAAAUUAAACAUUAUAGAUGGAUUUUGAAUUAUGCAAUUCCAUCAACUUGUUUAUAUAUAUGAAUAUAAGGUAGCAAACCAGUCAAAUAAAUCCUCUACACAAUCACAAACCCCAGAGAAAAUCCAACAAAAAUAAAGAAGAAAUAAACCUAGCUAAGUGUCGGAGACAAAGGAAAAAAAAAUAAAUCAUAAGUAUAUUUCAAAUUAAAAGAACUAUUAAUAUUAUUAAUAUUUCUAUUUUGAAGAGAAUCGUAUUAUUUUUUAAUGGGAAGAGUUUUUAUUAUUAUUAUUAUUAUGAUUUUGAUACAAAAAGGGAGAGUAAGGUUGCAAUUUUCAUUUUCUAAAAACAAUUUUUAUUUUUAUUUUUAUUUUUUCUUGAAAAUAAGCAUGAUUAAGAUAAAGGAAAAUUAUUAAUCAUGGUUCUCAGUAUAAAAAGAAAAUCCAAAAGAAAAUAAAGUUAAAAUUGUAAUAAAAUGAAUAAUUUCUCAAAGAAAAUAUUAAAUAUUACCAAUUAUAUAAUAUUUUAUAUAUUCUGAAAUAUAAAAUAAUUUUUUAUUUUGGUUUGAAUCAAGAUGACAUUUGAAAAUUUUUUAUUAUUUCAAAUUUUUUGUUGUUAACUAUUAUAUUUCUAGUUUUACCCUUGGGUGAAGAGAAAAAGGGCGGGGUUCCUUGGCCUAGAAAACCCUUGCAAGAUUUUGACCUAGGUUGGGUUUCAAAAUUGGGCCUUCAUGCAUGAUUCAGCACAGAAGGUUUUGGGCUCACAGAUGAUGCGGGUGUAAGAUAAAUCAUAAUUAAUGGAUGUGUAGACCCCAUUCUGGGCUUGCUUUUAUGCAGCCAUUUUUGACAGGUGUAGCCAUCUAGGGUGGCCACGUGUCAAUCUCUGGUUGGCUGUUAGGGGCACCGGAGUAGUGUUUUUUAUGGCCAACCAGAGGUCGACACGUGUCCAAAGAAUCUGCAAAAAAUGCUGCAGACAGUCAGAGGAGCAGGGUUGCCAGCUGCUUGGUCUCGCUUUUCCUGGCCGUUGGGGGAUAUUCUGGAGGGGGUGCUUUUUCCAUUGUGGAGGGGAGGUCUCCAGAGGGGUUUUUCUUUCAGGUGGAGGAGAUAUUUUGAUUCAGAGAUGCCGUUAGGAUUUUUUGGAGAGAUGGAGGUUUUUCUUGGGAGCCAGAGGAGAUAUGUUGGGGGUGUUUCUUUCUGGCAGUGGGAGAGGAAGAAAAAGCUAGAGAAAGAGCUUGAGCUGAGAAGAAGGGAGAGAGAAAGUUAGUGCGGAGGGAGAGAAUUCCAUUGACGACUGUGGGAAAUUGUGGAGAGCUUUUGGAAGUUGCUUGGACAGGAGGGGAAGUUCACUGAGAAAGCUAAAAUUUGAUUCUCGUUGAUUAAGGAACCAGGUAUAUACACAGUUUUUCCCUCGUCUCUCGUUAUUCAUUGAUUUUCCUUAACAUAAUGCUGUUUGGGGUGGAUGUUGAAGGCCACUGAUUUGUUUGUUGAUAUAUAUGCCUGCAUUUGUGUGGUUACGAAAUGCUUGAGAAUCAUAAGGGUGGUUACAUUUGAUAUGGUUUACCCACCUACACAGAAUGAUUCAUGAAGUGGAUUUUCUGAGAUUUUUCUUUAUUUAUUCAUCUUCUUUUACACUCUGUUUCUCUACUUCCCCUGUUUCCUGGUAAGUUUUCCUAUCUCUGCUUGAAGAAGUAAGAUACUGCAAGAGAUAUGUUCUCAAGCCAUGGAUAUGGGAAGUUGUAAUGCGUUUAUUGUAGCCGGGUGAUUUUAUGCGCAUAUUUAGUGGUUUAUGAGAAAAAUCGGAUGAAGAAGCCGCAAAGGGUCAGAGCUCAUGAGGAUAGAGCAUGAAAACGGGAUGUAAAGGAGGUUUAACAAUCGAUUGUCAACUCACGACCCCUGACAAUGCUACUGCUAUUUCUCAUAUUGGUUUGGUUAUUGCAAGUAGUAGCAUGUAUAGGAGGAACAGACAAUUGUGGGGGAAGGAUUUCUCGGGAUAGAAGGUUUUUCUAUACGUCAAGAUCAUGAAGUUUUGGGUCCUGAUGCGUAAAUUGGUGUGUUUGGGUCUAAGCUACAAGCGAAACAUUGGAGAACGAUAUAGCGUCAUUGGUGGAUAGGAUAUUUGAGCUCGACAAGGAUUCUGGAGUGAUAAUGGUUGCUUGUAUAAAUUCGUAGGUUGAAACACUCCCUAAGGACCCUGUGAUCUGCAAUUGCUGAGAUCUCCGCGAUGCAGGAAAUCAGAUAUUUGCGCCAUGUGUCUCAGAUGGAAAUACACAUAAGCAUCAGCGCGAGGGACUUAUAAUGGUCACGAUGCAUGAAACUGAUUUAGAUGCUUUCAAAUGGGCAUAAUUUUUGGGUAUAGUCAGAAUGAUUCUAUGGACGAGGCUCCAUGCUUGUUCCAGGCAAUGUCUCUUGAUGUUGGGUUGUUGAAAGCCAUGCUUGUGACUAAUGAAUGCUAUCCAAAACCGCCAUACCCAUCAAGCUCACAUAACUCUUCUUCACGCCCAUGUUCAUGCUUUUCUGCAGUGGCCCAAACCACCUUGUUCAUCCCACCACCUUUUCUCUCUCUAGUUUUUCAUACCCAUUUCUUGAUACCCACUUCAUUCAUCCAUCUCUCCUUUCCACCAUACCCUUCACAACCGGUUUCUAGACCCAUUAAUACCCUCACAUGCCUACCACUGCCCUUAUCUCUCUAUACCACAUGCCGUUCAUUGCUCACGGUUCCCCCAUUGGCCUCCAUCAUCUCAUGCUAUCAAUCCCACGCCUAUGUCCUCCUACAUCAUCCACAACCGUGUUCCAAUGCUACUAUAAAACCCAUUCUUCUCUCAACCUUUCACUUACUUCGUACCCACCAAGCCCCCAAGACCCACUUCGCACUUCACUCAUGGCUGCGCCUCAUGCUGAUCCCGUGCGUACAACCGACUUCAUGACUACUCCUCCCAAUUCAACGUUUCCAGGUGCAAUGUUACAGGGUUUCAACAUUUACCAGGGAAAACACCUAUGUGUGCAGCCUGCAUGUGUGCUCACUAAUGAAUAUGCUGGCCGGCACAAGACAUGCAAAAGCCGAGCCUAUGAUAGAAAAUGGGGUUUAAAAGAUCUGUAAGGAUUCAUGGUUCAAAUGAGGGUUCUAAAUCAGAUUGAGUCCCAUUGGGUGACGCGUCAAUAUCUUCUUGGUACUAGAGAAGAUGAAAGAGAAGGUGCAUAUGUAGUGUUCACAAUUCUCUAUCAGCCAUGGACACUAGCAGAGAAUAAUGAUGAUAUUCUCAUUAUUGAGAUUGCUAAAACGAACAAGAAUGUUGUUCAUGACGUCAUUCACGUUGGCGGGUCCGCUAUCGUUCCCAUUAUGCAAUAGCUAGCUAUUGUAAGAUCCCGACUGUCCAUCCCACCACUAGGGUGAAAGCACGGCGACGACCCUACUUAGAGAUUCCGUUGAUGCUAAAGGGUUAAAGCAGUUUAAGGAUGAGAUGAUCCGAAUGAAGAUGAUGAUGAACGGGCUGGUGAAUUGCAGGAGCAUGCAGAAAUGGUUAAUGUAGAGAGGUCAAGUUUUCACCUGCAUGAAUUCCCGUUCCUGUCUUGAGAUGAAUGCCUACAAAAUGGGUUGUAGACAUCAAUGACGUAAAUUGUGGUGAAGUCCAUACCCUGGACAUUCUUGGUGAGCUCUCUGCUUUUAAGAUACCUGCCAAGUGAGAUAAAUUAUGGUGCCUACAAGGAAGUUCCGGAUGCUGAAUCCCCCCAGAAUGAAUUCCCGAUAGUUCCACUGCUGUUUGCAUAUAGCGCGCUGCUCUCUUCACAAUCCUUACAUGCGGAAGACAUCAUUAUCGGUUUUUUUUUAUAAGGGAAUAUUCUGUAGAGCAUGCACUUGAGAAUGCUUGCAGCCGCACCUUACAUUAUUGCAACCCAGAUCCUCUUUACUGAAUAAUAUACACCGAGGACGAGUUCUACGAUGUGGAGAGGUCAAACCCAGUUUAUAAAUAUGCUUUUGUUAUGAAUGAAGAAGAGAUGUAUUAUACUUACGAGCUUGUUAAUAGCUCUGUUACUUUGAGGCUGGUUUUAAAUCCACAUGGAUGUGUGCGGUGUUUCAUAUGGAUUGAUCGAACACGUGGGUGGAUCAUUUAUUCAUUUGCACAGAAGGACGACUAUGACAGUCAUGUUCUGUGUGGUGCAUAUGGCAGCUGCAACAUUAACCAUCCCCGAAAAUGUACAUGUAUGGAAGGAUUUGUGCCAAAGUUCCUCAAAGAAUGGAACAUGGUGGGUUGGUCAAAUGGAUGUGUUCGGAGCACUCCACUGGAUUGUCACAAGGAUGAGAGGUCGUCGCUUGGUUCUUCUCUGUGGAGCCGCGACGCUCAACACUAUAUUACUAGUGCAGUUGCAGCGGAGGUAGAUGCUUCCGUGACCUCAACUGCAUCUAAACCUGAGCAUGAGCUUCCAAUAUUUGAAGUCCUUCAAGUGGACUUAGACGAGUAAAUGGACAAGGAUUCCCGAGUAUGCAUGCUGGGUGAAGACGUGGGUCACUAUGGAGGUUCCUACAAGGAGACAAAAGGGCAUGGCUACAAAAUAUGGGAUCCCAAGGGCUAGUAGGGUCCACAACAUCAUGGUCUGAUUUGGUGACCUAUACAGCUUCAAACCGCACCUCUAGGGCAGGUAUUGCAUGGCCACCUUUUGGACAUGCUACUUUGGCCACGAGCUUUUCCUAUGUGUCUUCACUUCAUCUAUUCUAAACAUAAUUUCUAGCACUCUCAUUCCUCCAAACAAUUUAUUUAUUUUUUUUAAAUCCCAUUUUAUAAAUAAUUUUUCACAUUUCAAUUUUCAAAUAAAUUUCAACUCUUUUCCUCUUCAUCUUUAGGGACUCUUUAGAUUUCAAAGUCUCAUUUUCAAAUAAAUUUUUGCUGCCACCUCUCUUCGGCAUGCAACUUUCAAGACUUCCCUGAUUUUAAAAUGUUUUAAAAUAAGCAAGAAUAAAAUUCCGUAAUUCUAAGCAAAGGAAUUUAUGGAAUUAAUUCAUGCAAAAAUGAAUCGGACUAUGGUGGAGGCCCCACAUAUGAGUUUUCAUGACUAAUUGACUGUUUGAUUGAUUUAUCUGUCAUGUGUGAUUGAUUUAUUCUGUUCCUUGAUAUACAUAUAAUCAUUCUGUGUUCAUUCACUAACCCCGCUUUUGAUAAUGCAUUACAGCUCGUGGCCCAAGUAUGCACUCUCUAUACCUAUUCUGAUUUUCAUAUGUGCAAGUUUGAUUUGAGUAUCCACUAAUUUUCUCAUUGAUUGCCACGUUAACUUCAAUCUAUUAGUAGAGACCCGACUCUAGGGACUUAGAGGGGUGCUACGGUUUAUACCGUACCUUCCCGAUAAGUAACUUGACCCCCGAACCCAAUCUGGUUUUUCACAGACCACCUUUUCCAAAAAUCAGGAGUUGUACUUAAGGUUUUCUUUCUUAUUUUGUUUACCCUUUAAAAUAAAACAAAAAUAAGUGGCGAAUCUAAGUCAGUUUUUUUUUUAAUUAAUAAAAAAUCAUUUUUUUUUCAAAAUAAAAAAUCAAGCUGGCCAUUCGAGUGGGAAACGCAUUGAGCAUGAAAUGCGGGGUCCACAGUAUGAUUAUUGAUUUUUUUUUUUUUUAAGCAAGUUCAAAAUCAUUGAAUUGGAUAGAAAUUUGCUAGCCCCGUUUGGAUUAAAAGAAAAUGCUAGGAAAAAUAAAAGUUGAGAAAUAAAUUUAAAAUUUUAAAUUGAUUUUUUCAUGAAAAAUGUGAAGAAAAAUAAUAAAAUAUAAUGGAAAAUACCAUAAAAUAUUUCAAAAUUUUCAAAGUCUUCUUUCCAUUUUAUAAAAGAGAUAAAUAAAUUUGGAGAUUUAUUUUAUAGCUCUAAAUGUAAAAAGGGAAUAGAGGUGUUGAAAUGGUAAUCAAUAAAAACUUACAAAAGUUUUCAAUAAAGUAAUUUUUUCCUUAUCACUAACUUUAAAAAAAUAAUAAGAAGAAAUAUUGAAUAAAUAUUUGGAAUAUAUAUAUAUAUCCAAUUUUAAAGGUUUAUUUUCAAGUUUGAUAAAUAUAUUUUCAAAGUUUUGCUGCUUUUAAUAUUUAAUUUCUUUAGUAAUAAGCAAUUUUUCUGAGAAGAAUUGUACAAAGCAAGAAUAAAAAUAUAAAAAAUUUACAAAAUAUUGGUAGUUAGAUUUUAUGAAGAUAUCCAAAAAUAUUAUAUAAAAAUUCCUAAAAAAUUAUGCUGUGAUCAAAAUUGGCCACAACCCAUAACAAGAAAGGAAAAUCCUCAAUUUUAUUUUCAAUCCUAAACUUCAAAUACUCAAAUCCAAUUUUUCAUAGAAAAUUGAACUAAAUAUAUUUUUGGAAAUUUUAAUUAACUCUUGUUUUAGAAACUAGUUAAACUACCUUCAUGUAGUACAAUUUAAAUAAAAAAAAUGAAUUUACCAUAAAUUAAUGAAAUUAUCAUUCUCAAAAAUUUAAUAUGACUAAAAUAAAUUUUGUUUUUAUCUAUUUUCUCUCUUUUUUUCAAAAAAAUUUAGAUCUAAAACUUUCCCAUGAAAUGAUAACUCAAAACCCACACCAACAAUAUAAAAGUGGAAUCAAUACAUAUAAAAUAAAUCCACAAAUUUCAAAAUCAUAAAACUUAAAUUUCAAGUUUUUUAAUAAGUCCAAUUUAACAAAAUAUAAGUUUAAUAUAAAAUUUCAUCACAAAAUCCAUAAAAACAAACUUCUUAGAUUUUUACAUUUAAGUUUUAGUUCCAAAUUCUACCAAGGCAUAAGUACUUAUAUGUGUUGUUGAUAUAAAUGUCUCUUUGUGGCAUCUCCAAAGUUCCAACUUUUCAUGUUCGUCAUUAUCUCUUCCUCGCCUAAAAAAACCCUAAUAAAUUAAUUAAAAUUUUUUUAUUCACUAAUUACCAUCAUUUUCAUUGUCAAUAUCAAAACCAUCGAAAUGGAAAUUCUCCGAUAUUCAUUAUAAGAAUAAAUUUAUUUAACUUCCACUUUGGCCUUUGACAACAUGAAUAUAGCUUUCAUGUAGGAUUAUCUUUACUCUUUCUCCUAAUAUGAUCAAUUUCUAACCGUUUUGUAUAUAUUUCCUUUAACAAAAUACUUUUGCUAAAAAUUAUGAAAAAUAGCUAAAAGUGUAAAUAUCAUUUUAUCAAGCAUUGGAUGAUGUAUCGUAUAUGUUUCAUAAGAUACACUUAAAAUAAGAUAGGGGUUGCUAAACGCCUCGUAUCAUGUAUCCUAAGUUUUUAACAACUAUGAUCUAGAUAAAGUUUGAUCCAUAUGCUGAAUGGUGAAGUCAAUGUAAAUAUAACAAAGACAAGAACAUUGAUGCCAAAGGUGACCUCUGAAAUGAAAUACUCACGGGUGGAUAGCAUCAGGAGCACGCCUUGAGCUACUCAGACCAUAUGCAAGAAGAGCCUACAUUGUGAAUAUGUAUUAGUUUCUCUGCGUUCAAUAACUACAAAAUCAACACAAAUGUAAAACAAGAGUAAAAGAUAAGAAUGUCAGGAAGAUGAACAAUCAGACUAACAGGAGUACCUGAUUUGCAAAAUCUGCGGCUGAGUGCACAACUUCAGCCAACAUAACAUGGCUAGAGGUUGUUAACCAGACCCCAAACUUGAGAGAAAAGACGAGGAAGUUACACCAUAAUGCAGUUCUGACUGCUCGUUGGCUAGAAUAAACAUGUUAGGCAGAAACAAAAGAAAACAAAAAAGGUCAGAUGGUGAAAAGUGGGAGCUAAAUUUCUGGUCCCUAAUUGCAAAAAAGGCUCAAAAUUCUUGAUAGGUUUGGAUUCAGUGCAGUUCAUUAAUAUGCAGCUAGGAUUGACGUCAUCCACAAUCACUCCACAUCCUAAGAAAGUGAUCACCCAUAAAAUCACACUAGAGGAGAGAAUCAAGAAACAAAGGAAUCAAAAGAAUGAAAAGCUUUCUCUUUCAUGACUGCUUGCAUCAACUAGUUAAUUUACUCUUUUCUUGUAUUAAAUCAAAGAUAAUGUUACAGAAGAUUAAGAAUUUCCAAAACCAUAAAUAUACACACUCCUAAAGGUUUUGUAGCCUAUUUCUGUGAACUGGGACAUUCCAACUAACCCCAUUUUCAUUUUCGGGUUGCUAUAAAAUAGUGCCCCAAAAUAAAACAUUCCCAUAAAUCUUGCCUUACUUUCCCAAAACCAAAAUACAUGUACUCCGACUCUUAUUUGCAAGUCAACCACACAAAUGCUCACAUGAUCAAUCAACAAACCAACUUACAGCCCCAAAAAUGGCCAGAAAACAACUCAAUUUACCUGUCCUAUAGUAAGCCCUUAACAUGAACUGAAUAGUCCCAAAAAUGCAAUUCAAUUCAAUUCAAUUUGUUUAUCUUAUGGUAAACUAUUAACAUGAAUCAAACAGGCCCCAGAAACUUAAUAUACUAUAGUAAGCCAUUAAUAUUUUUUUUUUUUUGAUAGAUAAACACACAGAAAUAUAUUAUAAAGGGGCAAAAAGGCGACCCAGAGUAUACAGGGAGUAUACAAGCAUCACCUACAAAAAAAAACCAGAAACUAAAAGGACAAACCCUUACCAGCCCUCAACAAGAACCCACCCAGUCCACAAAAUUAAACAAGGAAAAGGGGCCUUGAACUAUGGAAGAAUUAGCCCAAGAUAAGAGAUUACACAUGAAGGAAUUUUUCAAUCUUUGAAUUGAUAGGACUUCAUUUUCAAAAACUAUCCUAUUUCUUUCCUUCCAAACCGUCCAAAAUAAGCAAAGAGGAGCUGCCCUCCAAACCUUGCUACGCUUCUUAUCCUUUAAGGGAGCAAGCCAACCUAAAAGAGUGUCUCUAACUGAAAAAGGGAUAACCCAAUUAACACCAAAUAAGGAGAACAAGAGAUCCCACAAGACCUUUGCCUUAGGACAGUGAAUAAGGAUGUAAUUUAUCGUCUCUUCUUCAUCACAACACAAGGGGCACCUGUUAGCUAAUUUCCAGCCCCUCCUCUUUAGUUGGUCUUGAGUGAGCACCUUCCCCCAAGAGGCUUCCCAAGCAAAAAAGCCCACCUUGGAAGGAACAAACGAACUCCAAAUAAUUCUCCAAGGAAACGGGACUGCACUGCUGUGGUCAAGAGAGUUGAAACAGGAUUUUACAGAGAAUAUCCCAUCCUUCGUCUCCUUCCACACCAUCCUAUCCUCCAAAUCAGCAUUCAGCCUUUUUCCUUGAAUGAUCAGAAGGAAACUCUCCACCUCCUCCACCUCCCAAUCAUUGAAAGGUCUAAGGAAGCGGGGAUUCCACCCACCCACUUCCCCUAUUGAGUCCCAACAGUCCGCAACCUUCGCGUCUUUAGAAACCGCUAAAUCAAACAAGGAGGGGUAAGCCAUUAAUAUAGCUCAACUAGGACCCGAAAAUUCAAUUCAAUAUAAUUCCACAGUAAGCUAUAAAAUCCAAUCAUGAUUAGAACAAUAGCAAUAAGGAAACAAUGUAGGUCAAUAAAAGAAACCAAUGAAAACUAAUAAUAUCAAUAUCACCUGUGCUGAUCAUUGAUUUCAAUGUUCUUAACUUCCUUGGCUCUAGUAAAAAAAUCUGUAAAGAUCAAAGAAAGCCAACAUCAACCCACAAAAUGGAAAAAGAAUAAAAAUAAAACCACACCAUUCAUCCACCUUCAAAGAAAAAAAAAUACUCACUACGAUUGAUAUAGUGGCGAUUAGAAUCUAAAGAGGUCCCACAACUGCACAGAAAAUUCCGCAAUAUGGGCCUUGGAGCGAAAAAAAGGGCUCCAUUUUCUGGGAAUUUACAGUAAGAGCUGGGUUGUUGAAGGUUGUGGUUGAAGGAUGGAGAGGAAUGUAGGAACUGGGAGAAAGUGAGGAGGCGAGAGAGGGGGAAAUGGGAGUAGUGGUGGCGCGUGAGGAGAGCUGGAGAUGGGCUAGGCGUGAAUCGAAGAAGGCAAGAGCCUAUCUUCUUGUUGAUGCUUCUCUGCAUGCUCCUUGCUACUCCACCUCCAUGGAAGCCCUCGUUUCAGAGAUUUCAGGGUUUUGAGCUUUUUGGUUUUGUGAGUUGGAAGGGUUUUUGGAGAAAUGGGAGGAGAGGGGUUUCUGGAAUUGGAACAUGCUUUCUGAUGUGUUUUUCCACUUUUGGGUAAAAAUAAAAAUAAUAAAAUAAAUAAAUUUAUUAUUAUUAUUAUUAUAUUAUGACUCUAUAUGUUCAAGUCAAAAUUUAUUUUAUGAUACAAUUUAUUUUAUAAAAUUGAAAAUAUUUAUAUUAUAGAUAAAAUAAAUAUUAUAUAAAAAAUUAUUUGAGAAAAAAGGUAAAAAAGAUGGUAUUUAUGUUGAGGAAAAACUUUCCCAAUUUUAAAUUUUAGGUUUUUUCAUAUAAUAAUUAUAGAAAAAUACUUCAUUAUCUAAAAUACUUCAAAGGUUGGCUUCUCUUGCUACUUAUGUUUUUAUUAUUUAAACAAUGAUUUUUCUUCAAAAAAAAAAAAAAACCUACUCUUAAACAUUAUUUUAAACAAUAAAUAUUGUAUAUAAAUAAAAUAAAUAUUGCACAAACAAUAUAGUAUAUAAGAAUAUUAUAGUUAAAAAUAACUAUAGUACUUUUGUUUUUUUGGAUAAAUAUGUAUACAACAUAUUCAUUAUACUAAUUGUAUUUUUAUCAUAAUAUUAUAAAUCGAUACCAAUUUUAACUUAGUUUUAUGUUUUUUGGUUGUGAAUGAGAAAUUUGCCGGAAAGGAAAUUAAAUUUAUUAGGCAUGACCUAAAAGCAAAGAAUAAAAUCCAUUUUAUCCCCUCAACCUUUUGUGUCUCUUACACUUUGUCCCACAUUCAAAAUCCAACGCACUUCAAACUUCUUAAUGGGUAGCACUCAACUUUUUUUUUGGAUAAUUUUUAUUUUCAUUAAAUGGAUGUGCUCCACACGUGAUGUGAUAAGAGGGUAAAAAUGUCAUUUAAAAGAUAUCCAUGGCCCUAAAAUCUAUUCCUUCAUUUUUCUUUUUCUGAAACCUUGAAAUCCUCAAGUCUAAAAAAACACACCUCCUCUAAUCAAUCUUCCUAUUAUGCUGAGACAAUGAGUCUAGUACAUUAUAUGUUGGCAAUUUUGUUUCAAUAUAUUCUAACUCAUGAAAGUUUUUAAAUAGUGAAUUACUCUUCAUUGAAGAUUCAAGGUUGUUGUUGGUUAAACCAUAAAGUUACAGGUAAGUUUAAAAAUGUUUAUUUAGUGGCAAGUUAAAUGAUUAAAGGGUUAAAGUGGAUUAGUAUUUUUUUCAUAAGCUAAAAAUACUUGAAUUAAUGUUUUGGAAAAAACAAGAGACACUUGAGCGGUGGAACCAACACUCAAGUGCUUAUCUAACACUCAAGCUCACAAGGCAUUCGAGCGAUGGUUAAGUGCAUUCAAGUGGUUGUCCCAAAACUGCUAGAAUAUGGUAGAUUUCUUUUUGAAAUUUUAUAAGUAUUAUUUUUUGGAAAUUCUAUAUAUCGAUCCCUUAGGCCUAUAGGCCUAUAUAAACCCUCUAUUAACCCUUUUUAGGGUUAGACACCUUGAAAGAGUUGACCAACUUAACCUAUCAUUCCUAAUCUCUCAAGAAAAAAUUCAUAAUAUUGAAUUUCGGGUUGUUGUAAGAACUUGCAUCCCCUAAGAGGUUGAGAAGAAUCUACUAGAGCAUUAGAGGUGUUAUGUCGCGGAUGUGGAUCAAGGUAUAGGUGCUAGAGAAUAAGUUUUUAAGGUAAAAUGGUCAAGUAAAUCUGUGUACUUUGAUAUGAAAUAGUGGAUUGUAUAUUAAAGGUCUUAGACCUCAUGGUUUUUAUUUCCACAGUUAGUGUUAGGUUUUUCCACAUAAAAAAUUAUUAUGUCUCUUGUUUGAUAUUUGAUUACUUUGAUUAUCCCUAAUAUCUUCAAGUUUUAUUUUGGGAUAAUUUUUCAUCACUUAUAUUGUAUUAUUUAAAAACACCUAUUCCCUCAUCUCCCCUCUCAGGUGUUAUCCUAAUAGACAAAAGGUUUUUUCAAUUGGUAUAAGAGCAAGCUUUUCUAAAUAAAAAUCAUAUUUUUAUUGAUCUUGCAAGUCUAAUAUGGAACAACCAAGGUCUGAAGCUCCCCUAAAUAGUCCACUCUAUUUCGAUGGGAGUAAUUAUCCCAACUAAAAGGCCCGAAUGAUUUUUUGAAAAUGCAAGGAGAAAAGGUCUAGAAUGCAACGAAAUAUGGAUGAAGACUUCAUUGAAACUAUAUGUGAAUGGGAAAUCUACUUAUGAAUUAAAACCCAAAAAAGAAUGGCAUAAAUUAGAUAAUGAAGAAAGUGAUGCCAAUGCUCGGGUUCUCUUUAGCAUAUUCAAUAGGGUAAGUCCUAAUGAGUUUUGCAAGAUAGCCACAAGAUGCUAAAAAAGCCUAGGACAUUCUCCAGGUUACUCAUGAAGGCACUUUAGUUGUGAGGUUGGCUAAAUUGCAAAUGUUAACCUUCAGGUUUGAAAGCAUUAAAAUGCAAGAGGAUAAAACUUUCUUUGCAUUCUAUGCUGAAUUAAGCGACAUUUUGAACUUCUUUUUUUAACUUAAGAGAACAAAUCCCUGACUUUAAAGUAAGUAGAAAAAUCUUGAGAUUUCUUCCUGAAAGGUUUAAACCUAAGGUCACCACAAUAGAGGAAAACAAGGAUAUUUACUCCAUGAGGGUUGAUGAACUUGUUGGUUUUUUUCAAAUCUAUGAAAUGACCUUUCUAAACUCUCACAAGCCAAAAGAGUCUACUUUUAAGGAUAAUGAAAUUGAAGAAAAAGAGUCUGAAAAUCAUAAUGAGAUAACUAGGGAUGAACUAGCGUUCAUGGCUAAACGUAUUAAAUGGGUUUGAAACUUAACAAUAGACCUAAUAAGAACAAGCACUUGGGAAAGGAAAAAAGAUUUGGUAGGUCUUCUAAAGAAAAAGAUAAGGAAAUUACGAAAGAGAAAAAAGGUAAAGUGUUUUAAUUAUGGAGGUUUGGAACAUUUUUCUAUUGACUAUGUCCUAGUCUCAAUGACAUUAAAAAAAAUUGUGCAAGCUACAUGGAGCGACACUUACUCUGGUGAGAGUGACUCUAUGACUUCUGAAGAUGCAAGGUAUGAGCAAAAUGAUUAUUUAAAUUUUAUUGCAUCUGUUGAUUCUAAGCAUGAUACUAAUAGUCAUGAGAGUGAGUAUACUAAUGAAUAGAAUGCUAGUUUUCUUAGAAAUAUUUCCAUUGAAUAUCAAAAACUGAUUGAACAAUAUUUGAAGACUCAUAAUAUUCUUAACUCAUAAAAAGCUAAAAUUGAAUAUUUUUAGUGAAAAAAGACUAAUUAUCUUGCGAAAAUUUGAUUCAUUGAGUUUGAAUAUCAUUCUCUUCUUGAGAAAAACAAUAUUCUAACUUAAAAAAUUGAGACUAAAAAACCAUCAAUAAGGCUUUUCACCUUGGGACUAGUGUUGGAUGAAAUUCUUGAGAAAUGCAAGUCCCAAGGAGAUAAGAAAGGCCUCGACUAUAUUAGCAAAACCAAGACUUCCACAGGUGGAGGCAUAGUAUUAGUUAAAAGUAAGGAGGAAACUCCUAACCAAGAAACAUCUUCUAGCACUCUCUCACUAUUCACACACUGUAAGAAGUCUGAAUAUACUCAAAGUAGGUGUCACACUAGAUUUCUUGAGAGCAAUGAGUCUCAAUUGAAUAGGCUUGUGAAUGAGUUUAAAUCUCUAAAGAAUAAUAUUUUGAACACCAUGAGAGGGAAGAAAACCAAUACAGAGCUUAAGACUCAACAAAGCUCCUCCGAGUCACCACCUAAAACAAGUGUGGAUGAGAAAAGAUAGGCUUAAGUGUUAGAUUGUUUUCACAGCCCUUAGAGCUAAAGCCCUUAGUGAAGCUCUAGGCAUAUGACAGAUGAUAAGUCUUUGGUCACCUCUCUUGAGGAUUUUAAUGGAGGAAAAAUCACCUUUAGGGAUGGUAGUGUAGCCCAUGUGAAAGGUAAAAGUAGUAUCUCUAUCCCCAUAUGCCUAGAUUUAGAUGGAGUCCUUUAUGCUAAUGAACUUAAGGGUAAUCUUCUUAGCAUUAGCCAAAUUUAUGACAGUGACUAUAGGGUAAACUUCUUUUAAAGUUUGUGCGAAGUGAUAAACAAGGAAGGAGAAGUCAUUUUCAUUAUGCUUAGAACAGUGGAUAAUUGUUAUGCAAUAAAUUCUAGUUCUAAAACCUCUUUGGUUUGUAGUAGGGCUAAGCUUGAUAUCAUUGAGUCAUGGCAUAGGAGGCUAGAUCACAUAAACUAUAGACACUUGGUCCACAUAACUAACAAAGACCCAGUUAGACGUAUCCCUAAGUUGAGUAGUCAACCUAAAUCUAUUUGUGGAGAGUGCCUAAAAGGUAAAUAAGUAAGAAACUCACUAAAAAAUAUUCAAGGGAAUAACACUUCUAGGCCUUUAAGCCUUCUUCACAUGGAUCUCAUGGACCUUAUAUGAAAAUGGAGAGUAAAGGAUGUCGUUGAUUUUUCCAGGUAUUCCUUUGUAAGUUUUCUAAAGGACAAAUCUGAAACAUUGAGCACUUGAAGUCCUUGUGCACUAGAAUUCAGGUGGAAAUAGGUAAUCCUAUUGUUAGGAUUAGGAGUGAUAGUGGGAGAGAGUUUGACAAUGUAGAAGUUGAUCUCUUUAUGAAUUAAAGGAGAUUAAACAUAAUAUUUUGCCUUUAGAACUCCUCAACAAAAUGGAGUGGUAGAAAGGAAGAACCGUGUUCUUUAAGAAAUGACCUGAGUAAUGAUUAACAUGCAUGAUACUUCUAUGUAGUUUUGGACUGAAAUAAUUAACAUGACUUGUUAUACUGCCAAUAGGGUUUUCCUUAGGCAUGGAAAAAAGAAAACAUCCUAUAAAUUGUGGAUUGGAACAAAGAAAACAUCAUAUGAAUUAUGGAUUGGCAGUGAGUGCUAUAUUCUCAAGGAUAGAGAAAACCAAGAUAAAUUUAAUUCUAAGUCUAAUUUGGGUAUUUUCCUAUGUUAUUCCAAUAAAAGUAAAACUUAUAAAGUUUAUAAUCAGAAUACUAAAGUUAUCCAAGAAUCUUCAAAUGUAGUCAUCAAUGAUUUUGGAUAGGACUAGGAAGUCAUUGACUUUGAAAGUUUAACCUAAAAAUCAAUUGGGAAUAACCUUGAAAAAGUUAACUUAGAUGAUAGUCUUAAAAGUAUCCUAAAGAGGUAAUUGACCCCAACAGGGAUGAAAAACCACUUGAAAUUGCUAAGUUGGGCAAAGAGGAAAGUAAACAUAAAUCUAGAGUGCCCAAAAAUUACCCUAUCUCAAAUGUAAUAGGAAACAUGGAUGAUUCCAUGGUUACAAGGAGACAAUCUAGACAAAAUGAGAUAGAUUUUUUUUUUUUUUUUUUGUUAUACCUCCUAAUUAGACCUAAAGAAUGUAGAGGAAGCCUUAGGAGAUAAAUCAUGGACUACUACACUAUAUGAAGAAUUAAAUCAAUUUGUUAGGAAGAAUGUGUGGUACUUAGUCCCUAGGCUUAAAGACAAACCUGUAAUAGGCACAAAAUGGAUAUUUAAGAAUAAACAAGAUGAAAAUGGGUUCAUUGUGAAGAACAAAGCUAGGCUAGUAGUCCAAGGAUAUUCCCAAAUUGAGGGGAUUGAUUUUGAGGAAACUUUUGCACCUUUAACUAGGUUAGAAUCUAUUAAAAUCCUCCUAGAUAUUGCAUGCUCAUUGAGAAUGAAGCUUUUUCAAAUGGAUGUUAAAAGUGUCUUCCUAAAUGGGAUUCUUAGUGAAGAAAUCUAUGUUGAACAACCUAAGGGAUUUGUAGGUCCUAAACUUCCCAAUCAUGUUUAUAGGUUAAAUAAAACCCUUUUUGGAUUAAAACAAGCUCCUAGAGCUUGGCAUGAGAGGCUUACAACUUACCUUUUGGAAAAAGGGUUUGAGAGAAUGAAAGUUGAUAGAACUUUUUUUCAUUUAUAGGUCUAAGUCUAAAUUAUUAGUGGCUCAAAUUUAUGUUGAUGGUAUAGUUUUUAGAGUCACCCUUACCCUUAACUUUGUUGUGGAUAUGAAAAAAGAGUUCAAAAUGAAUUUGGUAGGUGAACUCAAUUUCUUUCAAAGACUACAAAUUAGACAACUCAAAUAUGAUAUCUUUCUAUCUUAGUCUAAAUAUGAUAGGAAGUUAGUAAAGAAAUUUGGACUUGAGUCCACUAAACACUUUAGGAUACCCAUGAGCACCACUACUAAGCUUUGUAAGAACACAUUUGGGAAGGAUGUUGAGAAAAAGCUUUAUAGGAGUAUGAUAGGAAGUUUGUUAUAUCUUACUGCAAGUUGUCAGGACAUCUCCUUUAGUGUGGGAGUUUGUGCUAGGUACUAAGAAAAUUCCAAAAAGUCACACUUAACUUUUGUCAAAAGAAUCAUUCAUUACAUUAGUGGGACCUUAGAUUAUGGGUUAUGAUGUCCUUAUGCUUCCUCUUGUGUUAUUAUUGGAUAUUUCGAUAUUGAUUGGGUUGAAAAUGUAGAGGAUAGAAAAAACACUUUUGCGGCUUACUUCUUUAUUGGGGAUUGUUUAGUCACUUGGCUAAGUAGAAACAAAAUUUAAUUUCUUUGUCCACCGUACAAACGAAAUAUAUGGUCAUAGGAAAUUGUUGUACCUAACUUCUUUGGAUGAAACAGAUGCUCAGUGAGUAUGACAUUGAGUAGGGCACUAUGAGUCUCCAUUGUGACAAUCUAGUGCUAUUAACAUUUCAAAAAUUUUUGUUCUUCAUUCUUGAACUAAAAAUAUAGACAUCUGUCAUCAUUCUAUUAAGGAUUUAGUUGAAGAUAAAGUCAUUUCUCUAGAGUUUGUCUCAAUGAAACAUCAAUUGGUAGAUAUUUUCACUAAACGCUUGGAUUCUCUUAGGUUUGAAUUCCUUAAGAAGUCCUUGGGUAUAUGACUAAUUGACUAAAAGUCAAAAGGGUAUAAACCUAAGGAUUUGUGUUUUUUUAUCUAUCUUAUUUCUUUUAGUCAAUCCCAUCUUCCUCUUAGAGCACUGGUCUUAUACCCUUUUUCAUUUGCCUUAUUAGUAAGAAUUUCAAUCUCUCAAGUUUUAAGUCUAAGUGAAAUAUACUAAACCUACAAGGGUUGAUUUUAUUUUCCCUAGAAUUUUUAUAAUUACUUUUGAGGUAAAGAAUCAAGGUAUAUAAAAAUCUUUGUAUAGUGGGAUAUCUAAAGAGAAAUAAUUGGCAAGUGAUCCAUGAGGAAUCUUCUUAAGUUUAACUAAUAAAAUAGAAUUUGUUUUUUUCUUUGGAAAUAAUAUCAUGCCUAAUUCUUUUUCAUUCACUUGCCUUGUUUGUCUAAGUUCUAUAUUAUUUUUUCCCAAAACGUCUUAAGGCAUUCUUGGAUUCUUAGUUAAAAUAAACUAAAAUAUUAUUUCCAAGAUUCUUUCCAAGUUUAUAUACUUUCACUUGCAACAUUUGGAAACACCCUCCUAAGUGGAAUAAGAAAACCAUAGUGAAAGUAUGAUUUCCAUAAAUGGUGUACAAUGCCUCCAUUUCUCGGAAAAAAAUAAAAUAAAAAAAUCAUGUUAUGAUUAAGGGGGAGUCAAAGUUAUGUUAUAUGUAGAUCAACGAAUGCCGUGUCAAAUAGUCUGAUGAACUUAACACAAAUUGACUGAAUGUGAAUUUAUUGGAUCACGACAUGACUUAGUGACUUUUAGAAAUUCAAAUUUGAAAUAUGAAAUUAGAUAGUAAGUUGUUUUCCCCUGAAAAUCAAUGCCAUUGAAUUCUCUUAGAUUCUUAUAUAUUUUGAUUGUUAUUCAUCUGAUUUCCAAACUAAGAUUAUGAUUAACCUUGUUCUUUAGAUUUGAAAAUAUCAAUCUUGUUUGGUUGAACUAUGUUUUUUGGGCAUUCUAUUUGUUUUAUUACUUUUCUUUCUAAUUUUGCAAGUUAUUUUAUUUGAAUCUUGCCUUAAGUUGAAUGUUUGACCUAUUUCUAAGGUUUUUACAUGUCUCUAUGUUGUUAGUUGGUUUCUUAAUUUGUUUUGUUUUGUUAGUUCACUUUUAGCGUUCAUAAUCCUUCUAGAGUUUUUCACAUAGUCUCGAGCGUUUAUCCUAAUGCUCAAGCAUUGGCUUCAUCGCUUAAGCGCUCAAGUGCCCUAAGUUUUUUCUAGUGUCACUUCAUGUGGUUGUAUCACUCAAGUACUCCUUAAGUUACAUCCAACGCUUGACAUAGAUAUGAUCGAGAAGAAAAACAUCGGUAGGCAGAGAUAUAUCGGUAGAUUCAAUACUUGGAUUUUAAGAAUAAUAAAUAUGAAUUUUGGAAGCGCAUAAAGUUAGAAUUGAGUUAAGAAAUAUUUGAUUUUAUUAAAUAAAAACAUAUUAUGCAUAAAUAUAAUACAUAUGACAUUGCAAUAGUCCUUAGUACCAAAAUAAAGAUCAAUGUGGUUCCAUCAUAUUGUUAGAUGAAAGGAGCCUAUCUUGUUGAAGACAAUAUUUAUUUAAAAAAAAUUAAAUAUUUUUAUUAAAACAUGUUUUAUUACAUUUUAAAUGAAAAAUUAAAUUAAUUUAUAUAAAAUAUUUUAUUUGAGAUUUAAUUUCUAAAAUUUUAUUAAAAAUAUGUGAUAACAACUUUUUCUAUUAACAUUAAUUUAUUUAAAUAAUUAAAAUUAUUAAUAAUUUAUCUUAUCAAAUUAAUUUUAAUUUAUAAAAUAUUAGAACUUUCUUAAUUUUUUAUAUUAUAGCAAUUUUUUGGGUAAAAUUAUAUUUUUAAUAUUUUAAAAUAAAAACAUUUAAAAUUUAAAUAAAAUUGAAAGGAUAAAUGUAAAAAAAUAAUAAUAAUAGUGAAGUGAUAAUAAUUUUUAAAAAUAAGAUUAAUGAGAUAAAUAUGAAAAAUGUUAAAAAUAAAAGGAUAAUAUAAAAUAAAAUGAUAAUAUAAAAACAUGGUUGAAAUUUGGACCAUCUCAAAAAUUCAAAUCUAAUAAUUUUAAAAAAAAAACCCCAAAAAAAUCCCCGAUUUUUCGAAGAAUUUUUUCCGUUCUCCCUCAUAUCGCUCCACUUGCGAUUUUAUCGCCGAUUUAUCAGUUCCAGACCGAUAUAUCGCCGAUAUUUUGACAAUUUGCACAAUAUUUUUUUUUAUAUUCCUCUUGUUCAAUAAUUAGUGCUCAAAAUCGUUUCGGGGCCAUCCGAUAUUCGAUAUAUCGGCGAAAUAUCGCCGAUAAAAACCAACAUUUUAAUUCAUGCUCUUAGCACACCUUUUUGAAUCUAUUUCACUUCUUUAGUUCAUUUGAGCACUUUGGGUUGCUGCUUUUUGGCUUCUAGUGAUCUGUUCAGGGCUUGUUUCAUCUUUUCAUCUUCAUAGUAUUGUUUAAGACUGCUUUCUAAGCAUUUCUAAUGGUUUAGUUUCCUCAUAUAUUUUUCUCGAUUUUCGAGCUUUUUUACUUUUAGUUUUUGUAUGAUAUGACGUUGUUGUCUUAGGGAGGUGUCUUCUCCGAAGCCUUACUCUCACGAAGUUGUUCAGGGCAUCCCUAUCUAGGGUCUUUUCGACUUGAAUAAUCUUCCAUUGGAGCAUUUUCACUCUAAGGAGGCUCAAGAUAGAUACUACUCUGUUCUUCGGAGUCAUCGAGUCAAGGUAGAGCUAUCCAUUGAUCUUAGAGCCUUUAAGGACACCUCUUUCUUGGUUUCUUCCAUGUUAGGGGCUUGGAAACUCUUAUGACUAUUUGAGAGACCUCGUAUCCUCAUUACAUUCAGAUAUUCAAUUCAAACAUCCAUUCAAUAGUUUGUGGUCUCAUAUUUAGUGUCACCAUGUAUGGCUAGACCUUCAUGGUCUCUACUUGAUCUAUCAGGUGUGUUAUGGGCAUGUUUUUUCUUAGUAAUCAGCUAGCUUUUAGUCUUCUUUCCGGAGGUUUAAGCACUCACUAGAGGUGAGCUUGCCUCUAUUCCUAUUACUUUGUAUGACGAGUCCUAUCCGUUGUCGACUUACGUUUCCAUUGCUAACUUCACCAAGUUAGCUUGGGUCCUCGCUAUGUUUAUGUCUUAUUCCUUCUACUCCUCCUUCCAUCGUACUCAGAUUCGUCACCUUGUGGCUUGUUUUAUUCAUACCAUUCUCUUUGGGUAGUAGUUCGACAUUGCCUAGGUGAUCCUUGACAUGAUGACAUCAUACCGCGAUCCCACCAUCCGCAGUGGAGCUCCCCUAUUCACCCUUCUUAUUACUAUGAUUCUAGAGCACAUCAGUUUCAAUUUCGACCUUGCUUUGGUAGCUUGGGUGUCUCGUACUCUCAUUAAUGCGAGUUCUUGGGUCAAGCACUAUAGCCAUGUGUACGGUUGAUAAUCCCUCUGGCCUCAGCUCAAUCAAUCUCCAUUCCUCUAACUUCAAUGUCAUAAGAGGUGGCUCAAGAGACCGCAAUAGAGAAGGAGGAGAUUAGGCCAACGGAGUAAGAUUCUCCCAUUUUAAAGGUGGUUUCAAGAUGGGGAAUAGGGCCCUUGUUUUCACCCGUCUCUAAUUUUGGAUCUUUAACAUUUGUUGACCUCAACCCUAAUUAUUUCUUCCAAUCUAUGCCCCAUUACAAGCAUUUUUUGUUAUCUCCUUAUCCCCACUUUAUGGUGGGCUUAGUCCAGCACAAAUAGGUUGGUGAGUUAGUUAAGGUUUGUCUUAGAGGCCUAAAUGGACCAGACAUGAGCCUAGUUUUUUAUAACACCUACUAGUGGUGGGCCUUUGCUCUUCUAUUGUAAGCUCCAAGGCUUCAUUGACAUAACAAAUGAUUAGGCAAAACCAUUUUAUAUUUUUUAUUGUUAGCUCUUAUAUUUUUACUUUUAACCAUAAGUAAGGAGAAAGGGGCUAGUUUCCUUGGCCUAAAAAACCCUUGUAUUCAAGCUUAUGAUCUAGGCUAGGGUUUCAAAAUUGGGCCUUCUAGCCAAGAAGAAUUUGGGCUCAGGGCGUUAGAUAAAUCAUAAUUAAUGUAUGAUUUUUGAUUUAUUUCUUUUAAGCAAGUUCAAAAUCAUUGAAUGUGAUAGAAAUUUAUUAGACCUGUGUGGAUUAAUAGAAAAUGUUAGGAAAAAUAAAAGUGAGGAAAUGAAUUUAAAUUUUUAAAUUGGAUUUUUCAUGAAAAAUGUGAAGAAAAAUAAUAAAAUAUAAUAAAAAAUACCAUAAAAUUUUUCAAUUUUCAAAGUUUUCGUUCCUUUUAUAAAAGAAAUAAAUAAAUUUGGAGAUUUGUUUUAUAACUCUAAAUGUGAAAAGGGAAUAGAGGUGUUGAAAUGGUAAUCAAUAAAAACCUACAAAAUUUUCAAUAAAGUAAUUUACAAAAUAAGAAUAAAAAUAUAAAAAAAAUUACAAAAUAUUGGUAGUUGGAUUUUAUGAAAAUAUUGAAAAAUAUUAUAUAAAAAUUCCUAAAAAAAUUUGAUGCAAUCAAAAUUGGCCAAAACCCAUAACAAGAAAGGAAAACCUACCUUUUUCUUUUCAAUCCUAAACUUCAAAUACUCAAAUUCAAUUUUCAUACAAAAUUAAACUAAAUAUAUUUUUAGAAAUUUUAAAUAACUCUUGUUUUAGAAACUAGUUAAACUACCUUCAUGUAGUAUAAUUUAAAUUAAAAAAAAUGAAUUUACCAUAAAUUAAUGAAAUUAUCAUUCUCAAAAAUUUAAUAUGACUAAAAUAAAUUUUGUUUUUUUCUAUUUUUUCUCUUCUUUUUCAAGAAAAUUUAGAUCUAAAACUUUCCCAUGAAAUGAUAACUCAUAAACCACACCAACAAUAUAAAAGUGAAAUCAGUAUAUAUAAAAUAAAUCCGCAAAUUUCAAAAUCAUAAAACCAAAAUUCUAUCAUAUUUAAUUCUAGUAGAAAAAAUGCAAUUUAUGGCGCUUGAUUCCUUGGCGCCUCUAAAAAGUGUCAAGGAAUUGGGUCAACCUUGGCGCUUGUAGAAUAUUUAUAAACCGAGGCGCUUCUAAAUAUAUAUGAUUCAAUGACGCUUUUUAAGUUGAUGCUUUUGGAAGUGUCAUGGUUGGAAAUGGAAAGUAACCUUGGCACUUUUAUAAGUGUCAUUGAAAUGGAGUUCAGACAUUGGCACUUACAUUAAGCGUUAUUGAAUUUACUAGUAUAUAUUUCUUUCUUUUUCCUCAUCCUAACACAUUACACUCUCAUCCCAACCCUUGGAGCCCUAAGCCAGGACAAUCACCCACAUCUUCAACCACCACCAGCACUAAUCGAUGAGAAAAUGUUACGAACAUGUUGAAGGUACUCUCAUUUCAUUUCUUUUUGGUUUGUUUGCUUACCUAGAAAAUGCGAGAAAAAACCAUAAAUUAGGUUUAAAUUUUUUGAAUCUAAAAUCUUGAAAUUUUUUGGAUCCAAAAUCUUGCAUUGGUUGAUUAGAUUGUUUCAGUUAUAUAUAACCUUCCGAUUUUUAUGUUUGAUUGAGAAAAACGUGAGAGGGAUUUGAAAAAUGCAGAGACCCUAUUUUCCUAAACCCUAACUCUUUAAACAAUCCAUUAUUGAGGUUUUCUCCAUUGCAAGGAACCUCGGGGUGCACUUGUUUUAUCCAUUAUCAGCUUAUAGAAUUGACUGCAUUUUUUCUUGGUUUCUCGAUCCACUUUACUUAACACCUCUAGUGUUGCUCCUGGAAGGGGCAAUCAGUGUAUAGAAUGAUGCCAGUUGUUUAAAUAUGUUUCACUUGUCCAAUAAAUGGUUGAAUUUUUGUUUAAGGUUUGGAGUAACACCAUUGAGUCCAUUAUGCAGACAAUUUUUAUUUCAGAAUUUCUUAAUUUUCUGAAAUGUUUUAUGUGCAGUGUCUGGGUUGCACGCAGACCACCAGGCUAUGCUUUUAUCGACUUUGAUGACCGUAUGUUUUAAAGAUUUUCUUAUAAUGGUGUUUAUUGUUCUUGAAUUUUCUCUAUGCUUGAACCCCAUGCCAACAACCAUUUCAUCUCCUUUCUCUAAUUUCUGGACAAGUUUGUCUUCCUCUUCACCUCAAUAAUUAUUAUUAAUUUUCAUUGCUAUUCAGGGUUGGAGACCUAAUAAUAAGAAAGAAUAUUCUGUUCUGUGUUGGGUUUUGGGGAUUUUUGGGUUUCAUGUUGUUGUGUUUCGAUCGUGUUGAUGUUUUUGUUUGUAUGAUGAGAGGGAUGCUAGAUAAUGACCAGGUACACCAGGUCCAAAGUAAUGGGUUAUAUCCCAUUGGUCACUGCCCUGUGUGAAGGGAUAUCUGAGUAAAAGAAAUUUAUCUCUUAAUGACUUCAUCAACUGAGUUCAAACAUAAUUUAGUUUUUCUAUUGGCGUAAUUAUGUCGUUAAUUGAACUCACUUUAUGGGACAUCUCACCAUCUCACACAAAAGCCCCCCAAAAUACAGAAGAAAAGAGAUCAGUGCAAGGGGCACGUGAUUCCUUAAAACUACAAGAUGCAUAUCUAGAUUGGUAGUUAUUAUUAUUAUUAAUUUUUGAUAAGCAAAAGAGCAAUAGAAUGGGUAUGAAUUGGAAUUUGCGCUAGCUUUGAUUGCUUUUUUUUUUUUUAUAGUGAAAAAGACUUGUAAUUUUUUUUCCCUUUAAGAUUAUUGGCUACCAAAUUAAAAAUUAUUGAAUUUGCAUUUACCAAACUUGGUAUUAGAUAAGAAUUGCAUAACAAAGUUUUCUCUUAUGUUAAAAUAAUUGUUUUUCAAACUAUGGAAUUGCAUAUAUAUGAGUAAACUGAUUGUACACUUAGAGUGAUCAGAUGGAAAGAUGACGGUUAUAAGUUCCUCAUUACCUAUUUCUUCCAACUUAGCUUAAAUAUAUUAUUUUACUCUUUCUAGUGUGAUUCUGUAUUCUGAUUGUCUUCUAAGCCUCUAUACAACAACUUAAUUAGAAUAUUUUCCAUAUUUUGAAGUAUCUUUUAUUUGAUAAUUCAACUUAUGUUUAUCCUUUAAGUUUCUUUCCCUUUGUCAUCCUCUAAUUUUUCCUUGUUGUCUUCGGCCACUUGAAUUCUUGAUAUAAAUCUUUGGGAGUUUUUUUUUUGCAUAAUGAUAGUUAAAAAAAAUAUUAAUUGAAUUUAUUUUAUUUUAUUUUAAAGAACUAGAUGAUUUUAAUAUUUAAAAAAUCAAAUUUAAAAAAUAAUAAUUUUAUUGUUUAAAAAAAUUAGUGAUUUUAAUAUUUAAAAGUUAUUUAUGAAUAUCUUAUCAACUUGAAAAGGUAAUUUGUAAACUGUUUGAAAAUUAAGACAAUAUUUUUCUAUUAUGGAGAUUAAUUUGAUUUAAUUGUAAAACGAUCAAAUUUUAAAUUUAUAAUUUUAGCAAUUAUUGAUUUUAAUAUUUAAAGGUCAUUUAUGACUAUCUUAUCAAACUUGGAAAUGUAAUUAGGAGAGCGUUUGAAAACUAAGAUAAUAUUUUUCCAUUUAUGAAGAUUAAUUUGAUUUGAUAUUUAAAAUUUUAAAAUAAAAUUUUAAAAAUAUAAUUUUAUCGUUUAAUUAGUUUGUUUUUAUAUUUAAAAAUGUAAUUUUAGCUUUUAAAAAAAUUAGUGAUUUCAAUAUUUAAAAGUCAUUUACAACUACCUUAUCAACUCGAAAAGGUAAUUUGGGAAGUGUUUAAAAAGUAAGACAAUAUUUUUUUAUUUAUGGAGAUUUCUUUGAUUUUAUAUUAAAUAAAUCAAAAUUUUAAAAUUUAAUUUUAUUGUUUGAAACUUUUAGUGAUUUAAUUUUAAAUUUAAAAGUCAUUCAUGACUACCUUAUCAACUUGAAAAGGUAAUUUGGAGAUUGGUUGGAAAGUUAGAUAAUAUUUUUCUAUUUAUGGAGAUUAAUUAAUUUGAUUUGACAUUAAUUUUAAACUUUCCUUUUAAUAUAAAAUUUUAAUAGCUUCUAAGUAAAAGGUCAUAUAAGUCUUUAUACUUUAUUUUUUAAAGAAGUUUCCCCUUUAGGAAUUAUAUUAACUACAAUAUAGUAAAUUAAAACUUGUCUAAUACACUAACAGGCAUAUGAAAAUCAAACCAAAUUUUGAUACUAAUCUUGACUUGGUUGUUUUCAUUUGUGCUCUUGUAGAUCUUAGAUUAGUUUAAUUUCUUAAAUUUGGCAUAUUGGAUUAAGAUAUAUACCAUAAGUUUGGCAUAUAUUUUUUUACUCAUUUUAUAUCUUUUUUUUCAAUGAAAUAAUUUAGAUAAAAUGUGUAAUUCCACCUAUUUACCUAAAAACUAGAUGUUGAUGCAUGUAUACACUAUCAUUUAUUUUUUAAUAAAUAUAAUUAACUUUAUUUAUUUUUCAUUGUCAGGAUUGCAAGGUUUUGUCAUAUGUUGACAAGGUUUGUGGGUUUGUAAAAUAUAGUCUAGAUUAUGUGUUAAGAACAAGAAACCAAUUAUACCAAUUUUAUUAUUUAUUUCUCAAGUUAGUCUACCAAUGUAGGUUUAGAGUACGUCACUUAACAAAAGCUAUCCAAAUUCGUGAGCAUACCAUAUUUAUGUGGAGUUUGUCGUAGAUUUAUAAUAAGUUAAAAGAAACUUUAUUGUCUUUUCAAUGCCUUCUUCAACCUUGCGCACUCCACCUUAUACAAAGAAAAGAAAGAGGAUAGGUCAUUUCUAAUUUUUGUUUUUUAAGUGGACCUUCAUUUAAAGUAUUUGAGGUCUCUUUCAAUAUUAAAUGUAUAUAUUAUUUUAUUACUAAAAGUUACUCUAGAUGGUUGAGUGACUACACAACUAAUCCUAAUUUGAAAAUAUAAAAGUUUUGAGUAUUCUUUAUGUGGGUUCAUAAAUGUGUUCUCCUUCCCUCCUUAUUACGUUUCUAUUUUUUUUCUUUUUUCUUUUAUAAAAAAAACAAGAGAUCCAACUUUCAAUGUUUUUUAAUAAUAUAUCUUCAUUAUUAUUGAAUGGAAUGAGAUGUAGUGAUUAGACAAAGUGGUCUUCUAUUGUUGAUACAGGAAAACAAGUUAUCAUUUUAUAUGACAAUUAGGAGUAGAAGGUAAUGAUUGUGACAACUAGGAGUAGAGGGCAAGAUGCACAUAAGACAUUGUUUUUAAAGGCAAGUAUCUCCUCUAUUUAUAAAGGUAAUCCACCACUACACUAGAAACUUCUCUCUUAAAGAUAGAAUAGCUUGAAAGGAUGACUAAAUAGAAGAUAAAAUUUUAUUUCUAUUACUUUACAAAUUAAUUAUUUACUUUUAUAAUUGCAUAGGAGUUAUAUGUUAUCCUAAACAAGACAAUGAUACAUUUCAUGGUUUUAUUGAAAUAAAAUAUAAAAAGAUGUUUAUUUUCAUAUCCUUGGAUUCUUAUCAUACACUUACCUAAUGAUUUAUAUUUUCAAAAACUUUGAACAAGCACCUCUUAUCAACUCAAUAAAAUUAAAAGUCAAAGGAACUAAAAUAAAAGUAAAAACUAAUCAAGUAAAUAAAAAAUAAAAAUAUAAGAAAUUAAAAAAGAAAUUAAUAUUAACAUAGUGAUAGUAAGAUGGUUUCCAUCUUAUUUGGACCUUGGUAUUAUUUUUAACUGUGCAUAGUAGGUCUUAUGUUAUUCUUUUAUUUGAUAAUGUUUAAAGAGUUCUUUAUUAAAAGUCCAUAAGGAGCUGCCCCAACUCCUAUGCUUUAUUAAUUAGCUUUGAGGUUUGCAUUUGUUAAUAUUGAAAGAAACUAUGUGUUUCUUUCUUAUGAAGUAGGCAACUAUUAUCAUUGUAAUUCUUAAAAUUGAUGCUUUUGAUGUUACUUGUUGGGAACAUGCAAGUAAGUCUGCUAGUUGAAUAUUCAUGUUGAUCCACUAAGGGCAUAUUUGAGUGCAUUUUUUUCUUCUAUUAUUUUUCUUUCAUGAACUUUAUAUCAAUAAAAUCAACAUCGGAAUAAACAAGAGUUCAAGUUCAUUGCAUUGCUUUUCAAAUAUAUAACUUAAUUCAUUCAUCUUUCAUUUGCUUCAAUUUUUGAUUGACUGCCAUUUUUAUUUUUAUUAAUAAGUUUGAACUCGAUAAUGAAUCAAUUUUCAAAUCUCAUGUAUGAUUGUUUGAACAUUCAUCAGCCAGUAUAUGAUUAUGUAAAUUUUGUUGAAUUUUAAAUUUCAUCAUCCGGUUAGAUUUGGUUAAAACUCUUCAUAAUAUACAUUAGUUUUUCUUGUAAAUUAUUUUGAAUUCAUUUUCUUAUAAUUUUCUCAUUUUCUUGUAGUGGCUAUUUUGUGAAAAAUUAAAUUUGUCAAUGUUUAUUUUUAUUUUAUUUAAUUAACCUCUUUUGAUUUAUGUUACUCUAAUGUUAUUGAUAACCUCUUUGAAGCAAAAGCCUAAUGAAGAAGACUUUGACAGGGAUGAUGCCAAUGACAAGGUAAAUGAAGAUUUUUUUUUUUCACUAUCAACAUAGUAUAAAUCAUUUUAAAAUGGAUCUUUUCAAUAAUUAAGGAAACUAAGACAUAUUCAUGUGGUUGUUUACUUAAUGAUUGAGAUAAUUAUCUUACUUAGUAGCAGUAUUUUUUAACACUAAUAAUUUAUUUACUCUAGUAAAACUUUUUACCUUUGACCCAAUAAGAAGAAUAUUAGCAUGUUUGUUUUAUUGCUUUACUUGAACAAAAGCUAAUUAACGUGUUGGAUUAUUUUCUAUUCUCAUAUCCUCUUUGUUUCAAUUAUAUUGGUUGUUAUAUGUAUAAAUUUAAAGUUUUAUAUUUUUUUUUAUUUACAGCUUGCAAAGGAAAUUGGCUUACAAGAAGAAGAGAAAUCAUUACAAUAAAGCGAUGUUGGAAAUCAUGAAGAUGAUAUCAUUUAAAUCUUUAAGAGGUUGAACUAGACUUUUGUUGAUGAUGGUUUCUUUUUGUAGUUAUUGCACCAGUAUUUGUUCUUAUAUUGGAUUUAAAAAUUCUCAUUGAAAUAUUUUGAUCUAAUGAACAAAUUUAUAAUUUGUAUACAAGUAAUUAUACUAAUUAUUGAAACUAAGCCAUUAUAUAUUAAUAUUUGGAGAUAUUUUAAUUUGUACAAUUCAAUUUAAUUUUAUGAUUUUGCUUUUAUUUAAUUAUAUAGGAAAUUCAUUAUUUUAAAAACAUAAUACCAAUAUUAUUAUUAAAAUAAAAUGCUUAAAGAUGACGCUUCUAUUAAGUGUCAUUAUUAACAUAAACCAAAGAUGACGCUUUUAAAAUUGUCAUUGAAAAAUAAUCCAAAGAUGACGCCUUGUAUAAGCGUCAUUAUUGACUAAAACAUAUAAUGACAGGGGAGAAAAGGACGCUUUAGAGAAGUGUCAUCUUAUGCUUUUCUUGACGCUUAAAAAACGUCAUUAAUUCCCUUUUUUCUUGUAGCUACUAUUUUAAACUUAAAUUUCAAGGUUUUUAAUAAAAUUUUACCUCAAUGAAAUAGUGAUUUAAUUUUUUUUUUUACUUUAAUAAAAAAGUUGUUUUUUCCUCGGUUAUCUUUUCCAUCUUCAACUUUAUUAUAAUACUCAAAUCUAAUUUUUUUUAUACAAAAUUAAACUAAACUUAUUUUUGAAAAUUUUAGAUCACUCUUGUAUAAAAAAACUACUUAAACUACUUUAAUAUUAUAUAACUUGAAUAAAAAAAUGAAUUUAUCAUAAAUUAACAAAGAUAUAAUAAAAAUAAAUAAAUAUGACUUAAAUAAAUUUUAUUUUUAUUGAUAUUUUUUGACAAAACCAUAACCUUUCAAUAGCCUGAUUGUGUUGGACCAAGCCCACCUUAAAGUGGGCGUGUAACAGUAAGGAGAUAAUAAGAAAUAUCUGCUACUCAACCAAUAGGGAGAGAUGGUGCCAACUUAUAUUGUGUUUUCCAUUGUACUGGAUUAUUGGUCUUUGACACUACUUUGAAAGUUUAUUUUGGGUGUUUUUUAGUCCUUUUUAGAGUGUAGGAUCAAUAAAAAAAAAAAAUUGCAUGAAUUGAAUCUUUGUUGUGCUCUUAAUUCAUGCAAGAGAAUGACAUCUUGUGGGAUGAGAAUUCUUUGAUCCCUAAAUUUUUUAUAUCACAAGCAACCAACAAACAAAUUCCAUACACCAAUGUUUUAAAAACGUGACCAGCCAAUCAAAUUAGUUGGCUCUACUCGGUUUGGAUACGAUCUUGACGAUUGGUAAACUAGUGGAACCAACUAGGUUUGGAACCGGUCUUGAUUUUUUUCCAUUUAGGUUAGACAAAAAUUUUGGAAAAAAUCAAUAAGUGGAGAUGAUGUUGAAAUUUUAAUAAAAUUUAUCAUUUAUAUUUAUGUUCAACUAUUUUUCGUUAUAAUAUAGUUAUAGAAUGUAGUUGCAAACUAGAAGAAUAUACUUGGAGGAAUGGUGUAUGCUUUAGUGGAUGGUGUCUCAAACUCAAUUCCCAUGGAUAGACGAGUAAGAGUCAGAGACACAACAAAUGGAAUUGGCAUUAAAACGGGUUGUGAAUUAUUGAGAAAUAACUAGUCUCAUGAUGGACAAAGGAAAGAUUGUGCUAAGAAGAAAUGGGGUUUUGUUGCAGUUCUGUGUAGGUUGAUGAGUUCUUCGGUCUAACAUGUGUGAUUUUCUCACUUUUGAAACUUCAUUUUUGGUUUUGAUCCAUUUUAGAGAAGAUAUGUGACACAAUCCAAAAUGGGGUUACAUUGUCUCUUGCUUUUGGCUGUUGUUAUCAUUUGUUGCCUUCAUAUGGUAGAAUAAUGUUUGUUAACUAAAACUUCUAUGACCAAGUUUGAAUUUGAUACAUGGAUGGAGCUGAUUUGUUUAAAUAUUCAUGUUUUGGUGAAUACAAGUCAUUUUAAUUGAGCAAAAAAUACAUAUAAUGUAGAAGAUGGAUAAAAUUAAGUUAAAUACUUACAUAAAAUUAAGAUUUUAAGACUCUUCAAUUUAAUAAAAGUUUUGUUGUACUAAGGAUUAUGGGUUAUGCAUUCAAUUUUGGGUAGAAGGAAAAUACUAUCCAAACAAGGCCUACAUAUAAUCUAAAGCAUUCUCAUCCUUAGGAAGCCUAGGGAAUGGAUUAGAUUAAAUAAGUUAGCUCAAAAGUGAUGUAAAAUGUGGGUAUGUUGUAUAAAAACACACAUAUUUUCUUCUUGUUUUUCACCAUUCAAAAAGUUAUGAUCUGCUUAAUUUGAUUGAAAAAAAAAACCAUACUACUUUUCUUUUCCCAAUUAUAAAUUUUAGCCACUUUUUGUCAAAAUUAACCAGAAUUCUGUAUACACCAAAAAGGGAGAAAAAGGUCAUAGAUUUAGGUUAAUAAAGAAAUAUAGUUGGGACAAAUAAUUAAAAUAUCUUACAUUGGUCGAUCAUCAUAUCGUACUCAAAUUUAAUAAGUUAGUGGAGACAUAACUAAUAAAUAUAUUUUCAAAGAGAAUUUGAAAAUUUGAAAUUGGGAAUUUCUUCUAUUCAUUUUUAAUAAUUUUUAGGGGCUACUAUAAAUUUUAUCCACAAAAGGAUAACGUACUCUUUUUUUAGUAGUUAAACAAGCUAUAACCUUUGAGAAUCACUAUUGAUCUUAAUAAAGGUCCUUUUUAUAUUAAGAAAUUUCUCUUUGAAUAAAUUAAAAGAGAAAUUUUGUCUUUUAUUGCAACUGUAAUGACAUUCACUUUCAAAGCUUGUAAUUAUACAUAGAGCAUAUAAAGAUCUACAAACAAAAUUUAUUACCUUCGCAGGUGAUCUUUGGCAUAGGUUGCUAUUCCUCUCAACAACCAUUUGACAAUUUUAUCCACAAAAUCAAAGUAGGUCUCACUCCAAGAUUUCCUUGUUGCCAAAACAAAAUAUGGAACUAAAAUACCCAUCGCAAAUCCCAAGCCAACACUCAAGUAAAACCAUUGAUCAAUAUAGCCACCAUCAUUUUUGUCCUCAAUAACACUACACUUUUUAUCUAGAUCUUCAUCUUGGCAUUUUGUGACCAAUGGAGCUCCACAAAGAUUAGGGUUUCCAACAAAGGCCGACUCAUUGAAGGUUGUCAUUUGCCCUAUAAAGGGGAUCUUACCAGAGAAAUUAUUAUUCGAUAGAUUCAAAUAACUCAAGAAUGUUAAUGAAACCAUGCUUGAAGGAAUGCUGCCGGAAAGCUUAUUCCUUGACAAAUCAAGAGAUAAUAACUGGUGCAACAUUGAAAUGCUUUCAGGAAUUUGGCCACUGAUGUGAUUCCCAGACAAGUUCAAAACCACCAAACCAAACAAUUUUGUUAUUUCUUGGGGAAGCUCUCCACUUAAAUUAUUGUCGGAUAGGUCUAUGCCUACAACCAAAGAAAGAGUCCUGGUGUAUGCAAGACUUUGACCUUUCAUAAUCACCACCAAUCGUUCUUCAUACUGAGAGUUUCUCACAUUGUCAUACAAAGGAUAUAUAUUCUUGUUAUACUCCGGAACCAUGGCUUUAAGCUCAAACAAAGUGACUGGAAUUUCACCCAUCAGAUUGUUUUGUGCAAGGUCUAAGACAUGUAGGGAGCUUAAAUUUGAAAGCUGGGAGGGAAGUCUUCCAAAAAAUACAUUUGACCUCAAGUUGAGUAUUACAAGAUUUAUGAAAGCAGUUCCAAUCCAUGAAGGAACCUUACCCGAUAACUGGUUAUAACUGAGAUCAAGGAGUUCCAAUCUUGAUAAAUUUUGGAAAGAUGAGUGGAGCUCUCCUGAAAGCUUGUUGUCGUUCAGAUGCAAUGAUUCGAGCCAUUGUAACUGGCCCAACGACUUUGGUAGCAUCCCAGAUAAAUUGUUAUUUCCAAGGUCAAGAACAAUUAGGCUAGAGCAAUUACCUAUGGUAUAAGGAAUGCUUCCAGUCAAAUUAUUCCUUGAAAAAUCAAUGAUUUGAAGAGAGGUGAUUUGUCCUAUGGAAUCUGGGAUGGUCCCUGUUAUUUGAUUUUCCGAAAGGAAAAGGUAAUUCAAGUCUAACAUAGAUUCACCUCUGCUCAGUGGGAUAGGGCCAAAAAAUUUAUUGUGUGAGAGAUCUAGUAAAUAGACCCCUUUGAUUGAAAAAGGAAUAAGUCCCUCAAAGAGGUUGGAACUGAAAUCAAUCUCUGAUUCACCAUAAAAAUUUAAUGAAUUUGGUAGCUGACCUUGUAACUGAUUGUUGGAAAGAUUCAACAGUUGUAGAUUAAAAGAAAUAUUCCAAAACCACUUGGGUAUGGAACCUGAGAUGCUAGCAUUUGACAAAUCCAGAAAGGAGACCUUCUUUUGAGAUCUAAGCCAAGUUGGGAAUGAAGGGCCUAAAUUGCAUGAAGCCAUACUCAGAAAAGUGAUUUGGAAUGGGGGGACCCAGGUGGAACUAACAUUCAAAACGAGACCUGAAUUUCCACCUAUCCACAGAAACUUCAGCUUACUCAACUUUGAAAAAUGUUCUUCAGAAAGAAUUCCUGUCAAGGUAUUAAGAGUAUUAAAAUAAUUUCAUUUAUUUAUUUAUUUUAUGAAAAAUAAGAAAUUUCAAGAGAAAUGAAUUUUCAGAAAAUGUAUAAUAAAUCAAAUGAGUGGAAAAAAGAUAAUUUAAAAUAUUUUUUAAAAACAAGUGUUUACAUGGAAUCAAUAUAUACACGAUUACCAGAAGAAAAUUUUAAUGAAUUUGGUAGCUGACCUUGUAACUGAUUGUCAGAAAGACUUAAUUCCCGCAGAUUGAAAGAAAUAUUCCAAAACCACUUGGGUAUGGAACCUGAGAUGCUAGCAUUAAAUAAAUACAGAUAGGAGACCUCCUUUUGAGACCUAAGCCAAGUCGGGAAUGAAGGGCCUAAAUUGAAUGAAGCCAUCGCCAGAUCAGUGAGUUGGAAUGGGGGGACCCAGGUGGAACUAACAUUCAAAACGAGACCUGAAUUUCCACCCAUCCACAGAGUCUUCAACUUACUUAACUUUGAAAAAUGUUCUUCAGAAAGAAUUCCAGUCAAGCGAUUCCCAUAAACUUCCAAUACAACCACUUCAGAAAGUUGUCCAAAACUAACUGGGAGACUCCCAUUCAGUUCAUUCCAUACAAGCCGCAUCUCAUUCAGAUUUUUGAAUGUCCCAAAAGAAGCAGGGAUAGGGCCUUGAAGCUUGUUCCUGGAUAGAUCCAAAUAUGUAAGUUUUUCCAGCUGACUCAACCGUUCUGGCAAUCAGCCCACUAAUUGAUUCGAGGACAAGUCCAAAUACCCCAGUUCUGGUAAAGGACCUUCAGAACUGCAGUUUUUGAUCUCUUCGAGAAACUCAGAGAAACUUCCUGCAAUCAUCAUCAAGAGUAUUAAAAUAAUUUGUUUUUAAUAAAUUGUUUUAUGAAAAAUAAGAAAGUUCACGAGAAAGGUAAGAAACUUUGCCGUCUUAAUGCAUUAUCAAAUGAACGGAGAAAAGAUAAUUUAAAAUAUUUUUAGAAACAAGUGUCUACAUGGAAUAAAUUGAGAAUAUUGUUUUUAGAAAUUAAAAUUUCCAAAUAAAAUUUUGUUUCAAAAUAUAAUAUAAUAUUUGUAAAAAUUAUUAUAAAAAAACUCAAAAUUUGAUUUUGAAAAAAUAUUUUAAAAAGGUUUACAAGAAACAAAAUACAUUAUAAUAUUUGUAAAAUUAUUAUAAAAAACUCAAAAAAUGAUUUUAGAAAACUAUUUUAAAAUUUGUUUACAACCAAAACCUAGAUUUUGUAGUGUAAUCUUUCAAAUACAUCAAAAGCCCUAAAAAGUCCCCUUUAUUGGUCAAUUGUGAAUUGAAUUUAUGACAAAUCAUGCAUCAUCAAGAGUAAAAAAUAAUUUAAUUUAAAAUAAUUUUCAAAAAAAAAAGAGAGAGUUUAUGAGAAAACAAUUUGAUGAGUGGUGAGAAGAUAAUUGAAGUUGCUUUGAUGGUUUAAUGAUAAAAGUAAGAGAUUAUUAGAAAGUCAGAAUAAUUUAAUGCAAAAUAUUUUUUAAAAACAAGUGUUAAACUGUAGAACCACUACAUUAUUUUGAUGUAUCAAAAUCAAUAAGCAAUAAUAAUUUUUCUAAGCCAAAAACGUACCAAGAAAUUUAUUUUUUGCCAAAUUCAGAAAUUCUAUCUUCUUCCAGCUNNNNNNNNNNNNNNNNNNNNNNNNNNNNNNNNNNNNNNNNNNNNNNNNNNNNNNNNNNNNNNNNNNNNNNNNNNNNNNNNNNNNNNNNNNNNNNNNNNNNUGUUUUUAAUAAAUUGUUUUAUGAAAAAUAAGAAAGUUCACGAGAAAGGUAAGAAACUUUGCCUUCUUAAUGCAUUAUCAAAUGAACGGAGAAAAGAUAAUUUAAAAUAUUUUUAGAAACAAGCGUCUGCAUGGAAUAAAUUGAGAAUAUUGUUUUUAGAAAUUAAAGUUUCCAAACAAAAUUUUGUUUCAAAAUAUAAUAUAAUAUUUGUAAAAAUUAUUAUAAAAAAACUCAAAAUUUGAUUUUGAAAAAAUAUUUUAAAAAGGUUUACAAGAAACAAAAUACAUUAUAAUAUUUGUAAAAUUAUUAUAAAAAACUCAAAAAAUGAUUUUAGAAAACUAUUUUAAAAUUUGUUUACAACCAAAACCUAGAUUUUGUAGUGUAAUCUUUCAAAUACAUCAAAAGCCCUAAAAAGUCCCCUUUAUUGGUCAAUUGUGAAUUGAAUUUAUGACAAAUCAUGCAUCAUCAAGAGUAAAAAAUAAUUUAAUUUAAAAUAAUUUUCAAAAAAAAAAGAGAGAGUUUAUGAGAAAACAAUUUGAUGAGUGGUGAGAAGAUAAUUGAAGUUGCUUUGAUGGUUUAAUGAUAAAAGUAAGAGAUUAUUAGAAAGUCAGAAUAAUUUAAUGCAAAAUAUUUUUUAAAAACAAGUGUUAAACUGUAGAACCACUACAUUAUUUUGAUGUAUCAAAAUCAAUAAGCAAUAAUAAUUUUUCUAAGCCAAAAACGUACCAAGAAAUUUAUUUUUUGCCAAAUUCAGAAAUUCUAUCUUCUUCCAGCUUCCGCUUAACAGUUGAGAGCAACUACCUGUGAGAUUUCUGUUCCAAGAUAGAUCCAAGUGCUGCAAGUUAGGUAGUUCCCCAAGGCCAAGUGAAAUUUGCCCAUAUAACUCACUAGAGCUUACAUCAAUGUAUACAAGGCUGCUAAUGUUUAGAAGCCAUAUUGGGAACUUUGACCGAAAAGAGUUGCCACUGAUGCUUAUGACAGACAAUGAAGUAAAAUUGAUAGAGUUUAGAGAUGAAAUUGAACCAGAGAGCCCACACUGUUGUAGGUGCAACUCUGUUAAAAAUGAAAGCUUGUUGAAUACCUCCAUCCAGUGAGAUCCUACCAUUGAUAGGUUGACAUAGUUCAACUUGAGAUGCCUUAAGGAAACAAGAUUAGUCAUCCAUUCAAGGUUCUUAACAAAUAACUGAGAUUCAAUGGAAGAAAGAUCAAGAAAUUGCAAAUUAGAAAGGUUUCCCAAGGUUGGAGGAAUUGCACCUCUGAAUCCACAAUUUGAUAAGUUCAGAUAUUGUAAACUUUUCAAAGAUCCGAAGAAUUUAGGAAUUGGGAUAUGCUCAAAUGAGUUGCCACUCAAAUCUAAAGACCUCAAAUAUUUGAGUUCUAUCAAAGAAGGUCGGAUCUCCCCGCUUAAGUUCAUUGAACUCCAAUUUUCAUAUGCUUCUUCAAGAUAAUAUGGGUUAUGAAGAUCGAUUGAAAUAACAACUCCUGUGUUAUUUUCACAACCAAUUCCCUCCCAUUGACAACAAUUGCCUCCUAUCCAUGAUGAAAGCCGGUUGUCAGAAGAAUCUUUGAGACCAUUUUUGAAGUCAAGAAGAGCUUCUCGAUCAGCUCUUAAGCAAUUUCCCUCAAGGGUUUCACCCUUGCAAGCAAGAUCUCUUGUUAUUAAACAUAGAAUGACCAAAAGGAAACCAAGAAUUGAAAUUUUCACCAUCUAAGAACACCUAUAAAAACAAGUAAUUAAUAUUAAGUUCCGAAAGAAGAAUCAAAAUAGUGAUGAAAUUUGAUAAGUAAUCAAAACUUCAAGUUAUUGGAUAUUAAAUAACACAUAGAUUUUAAUCAAUCAUAAGUUAAUAAGAUUAAAACAUGUCAAAUGGAUGGCAUACUUGAACACAGAUCCAUAUCAAACAUGGUCUGAUGAUUGUUGCUUAUCAAAACUAUAGAAAUCACCCACAAGAGAAGCUUAGAAGCAUUAGGCAGAGGAAAACACUAGAGACAACUUGGCAUUAUUGGUAAAGUAAAACAAGACUAGUCAUCCAUUCAAGAUCAUUAACAUAUAAAUCAUAGGAUUCAAAAUUAACAAAUAAAUCAAAAGAUUCAUGGCUAGAAAGAUCAAGAAAUUUCAAAUUAGAGAGGUUUCCCAAGCUAAGAGGAAUUGCACCACUAAACCCACAAUUUGAUAGGUUUAGAUAUUCUAAAUUCUUUAACUAUCCAAAGAAUUCAGGAAUUGAAAUAUGCUCAAAUAAGUUUCCACUCAAAUCUAAAUAUCUCAAGGAUUUGAGUUCUAUUAAUGAAGGCCUAAUCUCUCCACUCAAGUUCAUAGAAGUUUCAUUCUCAUAUGCUUCAUCGGGAGAAUGUGGGUUAUGAAGAUCAACUGAAAUAACAACUCCUAUUUUAUUUUCACAAUCAAUUCCCUCCCAUUGACAACAAUCGAGCUCUCUCCAUGAUGAAAUCUGGUUGUUAGAACCUCUGAGACCAUUUUUGAAGUGCGUAAGAUCAUCUUUAUCAUUUUUUAAGCAAUUUCCCAAAAUGGUCUCACCUUAACAAGUAAGUUCUAUUUUUAUUAAAUAUAGAAUGAUCGAGAAUUGAAAUUUUCUCCAUCUAGGAACACCUGUAGAAACAAGUAAAAUUAAGUUCCAACACAACAAGAAAAAUAGUGACAAAAUUCAAUUAGUAAUGGAAACAAGACAUUAGACAAUUAAUAACAUAUUUAAUUUAACUAGUCAUUUGUUUAAUAAGAUUAAAAAUUCCCAAGUAAACAACAUAUUUGAAUACAUGUCAAAUAAAAUAUAAUUGAAAUCAUCCCAACAAAUAUCAAAUAUGCUUUGAUGAUUGCUAUUGAUCAAAACAUUCCAACUAUAGAAAUCACCUACAAAAAAAAAAAAAAAAACUUGAAGCAUUAGAUAGCGAGAAACACUAUAAAUAACUUGGCAUUAUUAGUGGAGUAGGAUCUUACCAAUUUUUUAUUUUUUCUUUCUGGUGUAGUCAUUCCUUUGGAUGCAGAGACAUAUAUAGAAGAUAAUUCAACUAGAAACCAUGUGGAUGAUAGUGAUAGACUCCUUUCAUUUCUUUUUAGCAAUAUUUUUAAAAAUAGACUAGACCAACCAAUUGAACCGAUUCAAUUGUUGACCAAUUCACUUUCCAAUUCAAGUGACCUUUUCCAACCAUUUUGGGCUUUUUACUUAAUUUAAAAAGUUAACUGAUUCAAACUUUUAACCCCUCCGACCUAACUCACACUGUGAAAAAAUAAUUAAAUUAAUACUUAAUACUUUUAAGUUGUAUUUAAAAUUAAGCUCUAUUUAUAUGUAACUUAAAAAUCUCCAUCUUAAUCUAUUAGCUCUUAAUUUUUUAAAAAAAAUAAAAAAUACUUAAUCUAUCAUGUUGAACCAAACUUUAACUUUGCAUGAUGUCAAUAAUAAUAAUAAUAAUAAUAAUAAUAUGCACAUAUAAACGAUAAAGUCAUUACCUCUAUGAAUUGGGUCAGGGAAAAAUCUUCCUCAAAAUAUCACAAUCUUCAUGUUGUCUUAUCAAUAUGUAUACAAGUAAAACCAAUAAGUUUAUAAGUAAUGUUUCACAAUCUUAUAAAAAAUUAAGGGAAAAAAAAUAAAAUAAUCAAUAACACAUCAAAAAACAAUUUUAGCAUACCACCCCAAAAUAAAUAAAAUCUCUUAAAAUUUUGAAAAUUUCUAUUAUAAGGUUAUUAUUUCGGAUAGAAUGACCAUGCCCAUCAAAGUUGGGUUUGCACUAAUCCAAUCCAAUCAAUCAAAUUAACUAUUUAAAGUAAUCCAAAAAUUGUGGCCACUUUUUAAAGGCACUUUCGUCAUGUCAUGUCAAGGGAAAUUUAAGGACAUUAUUUUCCUCAUUCAUUUAUUCAAGGUUUAUGCCGUGUCCACCAAGGUGGCCAUUUUUUCUUCAAUCAUUUUUAAUAUAUUUUCUUUCAUAUCUUGCUACCUUAUCAAGAAAAUUUUGCAUUAGCUUGACUUUGACUCCAUGUUUGGGUCGUCUAGAUUAGGGCCCUAUAAUUGUCUAUGACUUGUCAAUUGCAUUUUAAAUUUUACAAGACUUCAAUGAAUAUUUGCAAAUAAUAGAUAUUUUAUAUAUUUUAAUUUUUGUUGAAAAUAAUUUUUUUUUGGUAAAAAGAAUUUUACACUACCAAUUCAUUUCCUCACAUGGAAGUGCUAGGAAAAAUUUUAAAAUUACCUAAUCCAUUUGGCGCUUUUACAAAGUAUAUGAACUAGUGGUGCUUCGAUGAAUCAAUUGCUUUAGAUUAAUUAAUUUUCAACCAACUGAAUUAUACAUUUAGAUAUAAGGUAAUUUGGGUAAGUAACAUUUAAUAACUUCAUAAUUUCUUUAUUUAAAUCUUAUAAAAUAUUUGAGAAGAAAAUAAAAAAGUUACAAAUUAAAACCACAAUGAAAAAUAGUAAGAAAAAAAAUAAACAAUAAGAAAACAAACACAUAAAACAUGAUUAAUGUAGUUUGCCCUAAAGCCUACAUUCACAACUGAAGAUAAAAAAAAAAAACUUCCAAUAUUGUUUAAGAAGAUUAUAAUCCUAUAACUCUUAAAUCCUAAAGUCUAAACUAAUUAUACCAAGAAAAAUGAUUAUUUCUUAUUUGUUAAAAUGUCUUCUCAUAUUUUCUUGAUUGGAAUAUUUAAUAUAAGGAACUAAUUAUCUAAUUAUUAGAGAUACAUAAUAUUUGUAGAGAUAUUACUACUAAUUUUCCUUAUUCUAUAAAAGGAAUCUAAUUAUAAUCACAUGAUAUGAAUUUAUGAAAUAUUUUAUAUAAAGUGGUGAGGAAUAUAUGUGGUAGACAGAGAUAUGAGAAAGAGUGAGAGAUACUUGGUGGAGUUAUAGAGGGCUCAUUAGGGUGUAGAUGUGAGAAAGAGUAAAGAAUAUUUGGUGGAGUAAAAUGAGAUGUUUUGACACCCAAUAGUUGUAUCUAUUUCUAUUCUCUGUACUCUUUUACAUGACAUAGUAGAAUGUUAUUUCUCAUCUAUUAAGGUAGGCAUGGUUAGUCGAACCUUUGUGUGUGGUUUGCUUUAUUUUUAUAUUUUUCUUUAACACAUCUAUAUUGAAGUUGUUGUUGGCCCAAUAAGUGAUAUCAAAGCUUCCGAUGACAUAACAAAUAUUUGUUGGGAAAAUUGAAACACCUAAAUACAAAAAGAAAAAAAAAAGUGAAAUAAAAAAAAAGACAAAAUAUUUACCUAGUUCAAGAUAAUCGCCUACAUCCAUGGGAAAGAAAGAUCAAAUUAAUUAAUAAACUUUACACACUUCAAACUUUCUUGACCUUUCUUUAUCCAAAACUCAUACAACUUUUGACUAUCUCUAUUCACUCCUUGCUCACUUUUUCCUUCUAUCUUAAAAUAAUAUAUAAAACCACAUAUAUAUAAAGUCCUAAUCUUGAUCAAGCUUAAAAGGGUAUUUUACCCAAAUACAAACUCUACAAAUAUUAAAUUUUCUCAAAAUAAAUAUAACUAAAUAAAUUGAGUCUAUAUAUAUUAAAAGACUUUUUUUUCUUCUAAACCCAAGAGACCAAGUCCCCUGAAAGGAGUAGAUAUCAUUUUAUUGAAUUUUCAUGGACCAAACAUAACUUGCUUGUACAAGAAGGUAGAAAAUUUAUGACAAUGAAGAAUUUUCCACAUUUCCUUUCAUUGAAUUCCACAUCCAUAACAAAUGAAGACAUUUUUGUCAUGUCAUGUCAAGGUAAAUUUAAGGAUAUUAUUUUCUCCAUUCAUUUAUUCAAGGUUUAUGUCGUGUCUACCAAGGUGACCAUUUUUUCUUCAAUAUUCUGUCAUGUCCUGCUACCUUAUCAAGAAAAUUUUGCAUUAGCAUGACUUUGACUCUAUGUUUGGGUCAUCUGGAUUGGGGCCUUGUAAAUCGCCUGUGACUCAAAAAAUACAAAAAUAAAGACUUAGAAACUCAUGUCAACAAAUUUUAACAAACCACUCCAUAAUAUAUGAAAUUUCUUAAAAAUUGUAUUUUUGUAAUAAUAGUUCUAAGCUUUUUUCCCCUUUAUUUUAAGAAACAUUUGAAAGUGUCAAUUGCAUUUUAAAUUUUACAGGACUUUGAUGAGUAUUUGUAAAUAAUAGAUAUUUUAUAUAUUUUAAUUUUUAUUGAAAAUAAAUUUAUUUUGGUAAAAGGAAUUUUACACUAGUAAUUCAUUUCCUCACAUGGAAGUGCUAGAAAAAAUUUAAAAAUUACCUAAUCCAUAUGGUGCUUUUACAAAGUAUAUAUAAUUUAGUUGUACUUCAAUGAAUCAAUUGCUUUGGAUUAAUUAAUUUCCAACCAACUGAAUUAUACAUUUAGAUAUAAUGUAAUUUGGGUAACUAACAUUUAAUAGCUUCAUAAUUUCUUUAUUUAAAUCUUAUAAAUUAAAUAUAUAUAUAUAUAUAUAUAUAUAUAACUUAUUAUAAACAAGUUGGAAGCAUAUGCUCAUUCAAGCCUUCAUUUUUCCUUUUCGAUUUGCUAUAAAGUUGAUUUUCUUUCCUAAAGAAUUAAAUAUUUUAGAAAAUUUUGAAAAGAAAUUAAAGAAGUUAUAAAUUAAAACCACAAUAAAAAAUAAUAAGAAAAAUAAAAUAAUAAAAAAACAAAAACAAAAAACACGUAAAACAUGUAAAACACGAGUUAUGUAGUUUGCCCUAAAGCCUACAUUCACAAACUUAACAAAGAUAAAAAUGAACUUUUACUAUUAUUUAAAAAGAUUAUAAUCCUAUAACUCUUAAAUCCUAAAGUCUAAAUUAAUUAUACCUAGAAAAAUAUUUUUUUCUUAUUAUCUAAAAUGUUUUCUCAUAUUUUCUUGAUUAUAUUGGAAUAUUUAAUAUAAGGAAUUAAUUGUCUAAUUAUGAGAGAUACCUAAGAUAUUUUCAUUAUAAUUUGCAUGAAAAAGCCCUAUAAUAUUAUACUAUAAAUGUAAAAAUCCACAAUAAUAAAUCAUAUUAAAAGCCUCACUACAUCCAUAACAGCAAUUUUUGAAAUUAUUUUAAAAUAUAUACAAAAUUGAACUUCCAAUAGCAUCAAACAAACUCGUAAAUAUUUCUCUCUCCUACCUUCUUAAAAUUUUUGGUCUACGCUUGUCACCAUGUCAAGUCAAAAUCAUGUUUAAUUUUUAGCCAAACAGAAAAAGACUUGAGCCACUAUCUUCACUUAAACGUUAAGUUUUAAUGGAGACAGAUGAAUUAUGGACCACAUAACAUAUUUUGUCAUCUUGAUGAGUUGUAGGUCAUGAACCAAGUUGCUUGAAAAGGACGGUAGAGGACUAAAAUAUUUCCUCACAAGAGCCCUAUAAUAUUAUAUCUUGAUGACUUCCAGCAAGUCAAUACCACUUUCCCCACAAGAAGUCUUCAAUGGGUCGAAAUUCAAAAUAAAUGAUUCAUCUAAUGUGAUGGAAAUAGGAAUAAUUUGCAUGCAUUUCUUUUACUUUAUUUAUUUGCCAUAUCAUAACUCAAACUGUUUUUUAUUUUUUUUUAUCAACUUACUGUUGCACUAUUCAUUUAGUUUAUCUUAUAGAAAUAUAUACACUAAAUAAUAAUAAUUUCAUAAAUAAAAAAGUCACCACCCAAAAUAUAUAAAAAAUUAAUGUUUAUUUCUAAUUUAUUUUUAAUUCUGUCUAUACCAGCCCUAGCUGCUCUCCAAGAAUGGGCUUCAGAACACCAAAGAACCAGCCCAAUAUGUAGGCUUAAGAGAGCCUUUUCAUGGGCUGGAACCCAUGUAGGGGCUAGUCCAACACCGAUAAUAAUAUAGGAUUAAAAAAAUUAUUUAAUUGUAAUCAGGUCAAUAAGAUCAUGGUGCACUAUAAAAACAAAAGUAAUUAUUAUCCUUUCCUUUCUAUGAUUUACAUGAUGUCUUGCUUCAUGCGACUACCUUCUUGAAAUAAAAUUUUAAAAAUGUUGAAAUAAGAUGUAAUAAAAAGAAAAUAUUUUAAUGAACUAAUUUAUCUAAAGCUAAUAUUACAAUUCCAUAUUUUUCAUAUCGUGACUCCAAAAAACUAGGUUUGUUUUUUCUAAUAAAAAAAAUGUAUAUAUUUUUUAAAUAAAAGGCAUUGACUUUGGUUAUAACAUUUCGAUGUCUAAAGACAGUAUAACAUAAAAAAAACAAAAGUAAUUAAUGAUUAACAAAGAAACUAAUUAUUAUUAUUUUUUACCUUUUAGGCAAAGUCAUACUCAAUAACCAACAAUGACUUGUUCAUUUUUUAGCACCCUUUCUUCUUCCAUUCUUUCAACAUUUUCAGCCUCCUUGCCUUGCUUCAUUUAACAUCCCCUCCUCUUCAUAUUGAUAUAUUGCUCCUUCUAUCUCUUUCAUCACAUCCUUGUACUGAUUUAACUUACACCCCUCCUUCAAUUAUCACUUCUUCUAGCACUACAUUAGUUUCAUUAUCUAUCAAUCUUUCAAUAAUUUCAAGUGUUGGUUCCUUAUAAACGCAUUGGUAUUUGACUCUAAUUAUUUAUUUUUUAUUUUUAGGAGAGUCAAUAUUUAUAGAGUUUGUGUUUGGGUAAAUUUUUUGAAUUUGACCAGGAUUAGGAAACUAUUAGUUUAGGGUUCAACCCAUAGAACUUUAUAAAUAUGUGGUUCUACAUGAGAUUUCCACAAAAGAGCAAAAAAAGUGAGCAAAGAGUGGAGAGCGUAUUAGGUUUUGUGUAAAGAGAGGUUAAGAGAGUUUGAGUUUCUAUUUUUUAAAUUUAUUAAUAAAUUUGAUCUCUCUUUCUAGUGGACCUAGACAAUUAGGUCGGACCGUAUAAAUUUUUUAUCUUCUCUCAUUUACUUUAUUUUUUCUUGUUGCAUUUGAGUGUUACAUGUGAUUUUCCUAACAAGUGUAUCAAAGCUUUCAUUUUCUUAAAAAGUGCUAUCAAAGCUCCUAUUUUCCCAAUAAGCCAUAUCAAAACUUUUGUUUUCCCAACAAGUAGUAUAUGAUAAACAUCAAGAGUCUCCACCAGAAUAGCAACUAAUUUGUUAGAUAGUUAAUCUUAGAUAGGUUGCAACUGAUCUAUUAGAUAGUUACCCUUAGAUAGGUUGUUGAACCAAUAGUUUGUUAAAUCAUUUUUGAAAUAGCUUGUAUAAAUAGCUUGAUAGUAAAAGUUCUUGGCAUGUUGUUCUUGGUUGAUAAUAUUUUAUGGUAUUAGAGUUGAGUUUUUCCCUCUAAUCAUUUCCAGAUUUGCUUUCUUCCUUCUUGUUGGCUUGAUUACAGUCGUUCUCUUCUCUCAUCAAAGAACACCCACCGUCACAAGGCUACUUCAACCUAAUUUUCCAAUCCAUAAAACACUCUGGACAUAACUUCCUCACAAUCUCUUGGCUUGGUUCAACCAUUGCAUAUGUUGAAUCAUCCUCUUCCCAUCAACCACCACUAGUGAAACCAAUCUAGACUUCCUUACUUGGCGACAUUUUUAUUGCUUGAUCCUGAGUUGGAUCUACACUUCCCUUACUCCCGAAAUUAUGGGACAAAUAAUUGGAUAUCAUACUUCUCAUGCAACAUGGACUGCUCUAGAGAAGAUCUUCUCCACCUCAUCAAAAGCAUAAGCAAUGUAGCUUCAGUUAGAAUUUCAAACAGCUUGGAAAGGCUCCCUCCAUGAUGGAAUACAUACUCAAGUUGAAGAUUCUCAUUGAUUAACCUUGCUACCAUUGGAGAGUCGGUAUAAAAAAGAAACCAAAUCUUGAAACUUCUUGGCAGUCUUGGAGCAGAUUACAACUCCAUAGUUGCAUCCCUUAUAGCUCGUGAAGAUGAUAUACCCCUACAUUAGUUCACAACAUUUUACUCACCUAUGAACAAAGACUCAACUUUUAGAGUUCAGUAAUAGAAAACGAAGUUAUCUCUACUCAUGUAGCCACACAAGGACAAUUUGCUCACCCAAGAAGAUACCAGAACGGGGAAACUAACUCCUACUUCAACAACCAAAUUAGCUCCCACCAUCAUCAAGGAAGAGGACGUUCAGGUGGCCAUGGGCAAGAUCAUUGAACAAAUCUUAGUGGCAAUGGUAGUAGACCUCAAUGCCAACUUUGUGGUAAAAUCAUAGGUUUGGUAUAAAUUUUCAAGGACCUAAUCCCUUGCCUACAAAUCCUCUCAAACCUUCAUCAAGCACUCCUAAUAGCAAUGAUAUACAAACGAUGAUGGUCUCUUCUUCUUUAAUCUACAAUGAAUCUUGGUUUCUUGACAAUAUUAGCUAGGGCAACGCACCAUCUCUCCCUACGUGAUAAUACUCUCACAAACACUCAUCCAUACCACGGCAAAUACAAAGUCACAGUUGGAAAUGGUAAGAAAUCAUCCAUCUCACAUGUUGGCUCCAAGUCAUUUCAAACUCCUCACAAGUCCUUUCAGUUACGAAGCAUUCCUCAUCUUGCUACAAAUCUUAUCAGUGUUCCUAAAUUUUGCACUAACAACAAUUUAUUUUUUGAAUUUCAUCCUACUUUCUUUCUUAUUAAGGACUGGAAUACAAAGAAGAUUCUUCUUGAAGGAAACAUUGAGCAUAGCUUGUACAAAUUCCCCAAUAACCACAUUGGUACCUCUUCAACAUUCUUUCCUUCUAGGCACUUAGCUCUCAUUAGAUAAUAAAAUAAGAAUGAGCUAAUCAACUGAUGAAUUUAACAACCAUCUUAUUAAAGAAUAUAUAUAAUUACCCAGAUAGUGUGAUGGCCAAAUAGGAUAGUCUGAUGGAAGAUGGUGACAACCUCUCUUUUUUUUUAACAUAAAGCAUAAUAAUUCCAAGUCCAGGAUACUUUUCUUCUAAUAAAGUGCUUGCUUUAAACUUUCCUUUUGAUAAAGUUUUUGCUUUAAAGUUUAGUUACUUUUAGAGUCAUGUGGUCUUGUCCUCUUAUACAAAAUCUUUUUCUUACCCAAUUGCAAGAAAUGAUAUGAGAUAAUGAAUUAAGAAUGAACUAAUCCAAUUAUGGAUCAGCAACCAUUUUAUUAUAUAUAUAUAACCUAUUCUAAUCACCCCAUUACCUAGAUAAUGUGAGAGUUAUAGCAAUUAAGUAAUUCGUUUAAUGUUAAACUUGAUUGAUAAUUAAUAAUCCUUCUAUAAAUUACCUUUAAAUUAGUUUUAUAUUAAUUAACAUAUUUUUCUAUCUUAAUUUAUAAAAAGCUACUCAAUCAAUCUCAUUAACUCCACCCAAAAAAUACUACAUUAAGUUACAAAAGAGUUUGAAUUACUGAUUAUCAAUUCUUUUAUAUUUCAUCCAAGUUGUUGAGUAUGACACCUAGCCCCCUACAAGAUUGAAUGAUCUUAGAAUUACUAUUUGAUUAUGAAUUAAAUGUUUUUAAAUUUGAUUCUUAAAAAUUUUCUCUAUUAAGCUAAUAAUUUGAUCAAAACUAUAAGGGAGUUGGGUUAAGACUAUAAUAUUUCACUUAAGUUGUUCCUCCUCUAGACUGAAGUGGAAUAACUUUCUAUGUGUUAGGAGACCAAAGAAUUUGAUUAAGAUUUAAGAAUCCAAACUUCCAGUUGACGGAGAUUCUAUAGGAGUCCUAUGUUUAGGUAAAUAAGAAAGGGAGAGUUUCAUGAAAGUCUGAUAGUUGGUUGCACUAAAUUUUGGUAUUUGUCACGUUCAAGCUUAAGAAAAUGUUGGAUUAAUUCGAGGAAAUCCACAGCCUCCAAUACUCACUGAUUGCAACUGUUUUGAUACCUUUCUCAUUAACAUGAAAGACGUUGUUUCCUAAGUGGGUUGCGGGAAGAUAUUUGGUUUAUGGUACGUAUGCUUAAUCCUUCAAAUUUACAUAUUGCUUUUGGUUUAGCAAAAAUGCAAGAAGAGAAUGUGGCUGCUCUUAGAAGAACUGCAAAGCUAGGAUCAGUUCCUACACGUUUGGCUAUUGGGCCUCCGAGCCCACCUGAAAAAAGGGCCAUUGUUCCGGUCCAAAGAUUAUCACCUAGCCAAAUGAAGGAGCGACGGGAUAAGGGACUUUGUUAUAAUUGUGAUGACAAAUGGGCCCCGGGGCAUAAGUGCAAAUCAGCCCGACUGUUUAUCAUGGAGUGUGAUGAAUCAAGUGAUGAUGAGGUGCCCAAAUCUGAAGUUGCAGAAGGGCGUGCGAGCAAGUCUAAGGAGGAAACGCCUAUAGUGGAGAUAGAACCCGGAAUAUCUAUCCAUGCAUUAGUUGGGUCACCAAACCCAAAAACAAUGAGAUUCUUGGGGCACAUUUGUGGAAGGGCAGUAGUAAUCUUGGUUGAUACGGGAAGUACACACAAUUUCAUGGACCCAUCUGUUAUUCAAAGGGCUCACCUACCAUUUAAUCCAACAGAAGGGCUCUCUGUCAAAGUGGCUAAUGGGCAAGCAGUUCGUAGUGAGGGGAGUUGUGCAGCAGUAUCUCUACAUAUGCAGGGUAAUCUCUAUACCAUUGAUUUUUACAUUUUGACCCUAGGAGGAUGUGAUAUUGUUUUGGGUGUUCAAUGGCUUCAAACCUUGGGACCUAUCCUUUGGGAUUUCUCAAGACUUCAAAUGGAGUUCUCAGUUUGAGACAAACCUCGAAAACUACAAGGUAUGUCACCAACUGGUAUCUCAUUAGUAGAAGGAGAAAAAUUUGGUAAAGUUUCUAGGCAAAAUAAAAGAGGAUUAGUUAUUCAGCUUAUUGAUUUUGAAAAUUCCAGUUUGCUGUCCAUUGAAAAUUCUUGUGAAAACCUGAGUGUCCUCCUUGUGGGCUACUAUGCAGCAAAUAAAGAAUUUGUUCUCUCAACUCCUUUGAAGCUGGAAUAUACAAUCUUCCUUUGUAAAAUAAUAAUCCAUCCCUUUGUUUAUAAUUUUGGGAUGCAAGACUUCCUUGUUCCAAAUUUUUAAUAAUCUGCUGCAAUUUAGGAUCUAUAGCAUAACUUGUUCUGAGUUGUUCUAGCCAAGUGUUAGCUGGUGCAGUAAUAGCAUAUAGCUUCCCUUCCUUCUGAUCUUCCAUUUUUCUGGACAGGGCAUCAGCAACCUUGUUUUCCUUUCCUUGUUUGUAUUCUACCACAAACUCAUAUCCCAAAAGUUUGGUAAUCCAUUUUUGCUGAAGAGGAGUACCCAUCUUUUGUUCCAGCAAGUACUUGAGACUCUGCUGGUCCGUUUGUAUCUUAAAGUUGUGUCCUAAAAGAUAAGACCUCCAUUUCUUCAUUUUGAAAGUAAGGGUAUCUAUAAGGCCCUACACAAACUGGUUUUGCACCUGAAUGUAAUACAAUAUGGUGGUCAUGAUUUCGAGUAGGGGGCAAUCCUUUUUCAAAAGGGCUGUUAAGGGGGCUGCUAUAAGUCCAUAUCCUUUGAUAAAUUUUCUGUAAUAUCCAGUUAAACCUAGGAAGCCUCUAAGGGAUUUAAGGCUGGUAGGAAAGGGCCAGUUAAGCAUUGCUUCAAUUUUGGUAGGAUCAGCUUGUACCCCAUCUUUUGAGAUUAGAUGACCAAGAUACUCAAUUUCAGAACAUCCAAAACAACAAUUUCAGAACAUCCAAAACAACACUUAGAUUUUUUUGCAAAAAGCUGGUGCUGUUUUAAAAUGUCUAAAACAGUUUGUAAAUGAUGGACAUGGUCAGCAAGGUUUUUACUAUAGACAAGAAUGUCAUAAAAAAAAACCAAUAUAAACUUUCGUAAAUAAGGUUUAAAGAUGUCAUUCAUAAGACUUUGGAAGGUUGCCGGGGCAUUGGUAAGCCCGAAAGGCAUUACCAAGAAUCCAUUGAAACUUCUGCUGAGCCACUAAUAUAUGACCUUCUUAACCUAUAUCCAGAAGUGUUUUCAGAACCCAAAGGAUUGCCCCCUACUCGAAAUCAUGACCACUGAGUUUGUAAGACUCAGCCAGUCCUCUAAGUUGGUUUGAAAGAGCCUCAAAUUGGCUCUUAUAAUCUUCCACUGUUGAAGUUUGCUUUAACCGAAUAAGAGCUUCCAUGGGGUCUUCAUAAGGUGAUGAUCCAAACCUUGUCUGAAGUGCACGUACAAAUCCCUCCCAACUACGUCUGAAGUGCACAUACAAAUCCCUCCCAACUACUAAUUCCCCCUGCAGCUUCAAUGUCCUGGAACCAAACCAAGGCCUUCCCUUCCAUAUGGAAGGAUGCCAAUAGGACUCUGUGAUGUGGAUUGGUUUGAUGGUAAUUGAAAAAUUGAUCAGCUCGAUAGACCCACCCACUGGGGUCUUCUCCAUUAAAUUUAGGAAAAUCCAACCAUACUGCACGAGUCUGAAUUCCCCCAUUAUCUUCAAGAAGAGGGUUAGUCAUUUGUCGUUUAGACCCUUCUGAAUCACCUGAAUUAUGCUUAGUCUUCAUUUGCACUAAUGUCUGCACAUUGGAGGCAACCACUUCUAAUUAAUGGGCCAGCCCUUCAACCACUUGUUGCAAAGAAUUAUGAUUUUGCUGAUACUGCUCUUGAUUUUGUUUGACAGCUGCCAAAGAUUCAGCAAGCUGGGAAUAUCUGGUACCUGUACCCUCAGCCAUUGGAACGACCUGGCUCUGAUACCAAUGUCACGUUCAAGCUUAAGAAAAUGUUGGAUUAAUUCGAGGAAAUCCAAAGCCUCCAAUACUCACUGAUUGCAACUGUUUUGAUACCUUUCUCAUUAACAUGAAAGACUUAAAUACAACUGAAAAUAACAACUGACUCAAUCCACGACGCUGAUAUUCAGCUAACAACCCAACCUAAAGACCUAUUCUUAAGCCAAAAUACUUGGCUGUGAAUUAACGGAUGAUGCCCACGUACAAUUAUUGGACCCAAAUAAUUAAAUUAAUCAACUCAACAUGACUCUGACUCAACCAAAUUAAAUAAUAAGCAACCAACAAAUUAAAUAAUAAGCAUUACACAACUGGGCCCCAAGUGCACAUGACAGUAUUGUUUUAUAUUUAUAAGGUUGUUCUAUUGGAUUCAUCAAACCAUUGUGUGGAUCUACUAACAAAAGGGAGAGCCAAUUGAUCUCUUUAAUUUGUUGGAUAUUUCUACCUUUUUAAUUUUGAGUUCAUAGUUGGCAAAUCAUAGUUGUGCAUUUCCACCAAUAUUUAGAUUUUUUUUAUUUUUCUUUUUUAACUUUUGAUCAAAGUUAUGUAGUGGUUGUAUUUUUUUUGGCAAGAUUUCUUAUGCAAUGAGUAAUCCAACUUCGGUGAUAUUUUAAGUUACCAACCAUGCUAAAAUCUUCAAAGGACUCAAUGUUGAGGUGUAUCGGCUAUAAGGGAUUGAGAAUAAAGGUAAAAUACCAUGUGGAAGAGAUCGAUGAAUCAAAUCCUAACAAAAGUGGGAUUUGAUUUAUAUAAGAAUAAAUUUUGUAUUUCUAUUUUCAUUCCAAAAAAUAAUAUAUUCAAAUAUAAAAUGAAUGGAAAAUGAAAUAAAUUUUUCAAAAGAUUGGUAUCUUGUUGGAUUAGAGUUCUUUGUUUCAUAAAUUUUCUCUAUCACAAGUUGCCAACAACAAAUGGAAGCCGUCCGCUAGCCUUAUAUAGUCUAAGCAAGGUUUUGGCUCGUUCGAGGGUUGACUCGAUCAAGAAUAAUCAACCUAGUAGUUAGAUCAAUUAACCAAUUGAAUCAAUUGGGUUUGGAAUGAGUGUUGAUUGUUUUUUCUAUAACUUCAAAAUAACAUAUCAUUUUGCUCCCAUCCUAGACCCAAAAGUUGAAAUUUAGAUAAAAUUUUGGGAAAAGUCCAAAUAAAUAGAGAUGAUGUUGGAAUAUUGAUCAAUUUUAAUUUUUAUAUUUAUAUCUAGUUAUUUAAUUAUUUUAUAUUAUUUAAAAAAAUUCUUAUUCAAUAACCAAUUCAACUUUAAGAACAUUGAUAUGUACACCUCCAUGAUUUUAAUAUUCAAUGGAGUUUAUUUUGUUCUUGUUGUCACUUUUGCCAUCAAGUAGAAUUCCUAUGAGAACAUUUUUGGAUUGACUUUUGAAAAUCAGCUAUGGUUUUAAGUCUAAUAAGAAAGCAUGUUCAAUUAAUUUUAGAAGAAAUAUUUAGGAUCUUUCUAUAAAAAAAAAGUACUACUCAAUACCAUAUCGAAAAGCACCAUCCUAUUAUAGACAAGAAAGUCUUAUUCCUUUAUACCAUAAAUGAACCAAAAAAAAAAAGUCUUAUUGCUUUGUGUCUUAAAAAUAAUCUCUUUUUUCUUUUCUAAAUCAAAGUCUCAUUUUUUUUUAAUUUUUUUAUUUUACCUUCAUCAUCAAAAAUUCCCAUACCAUUCAAUACUUUAGCAUUUUGAAAGCAAAGACAAAUGCUUUCCAUAGGAGGCCUCUUCUAAAAAUUUACCUAAAUAUUUUUUCCUCAUACUUUCUAUAACCUAAACCAAGUCUUUAGGUUUUGAAUUCUAUAAACCCUAACAAAGGAAUAAAAUUUUCCCUCAUGGUUCCUAUGAUUCACAUUGAGUCUUAGGUUUUCAAUUUCUAGAAAUCCUAAUGAGGGGAAAAAAAGUAUUGAAUAAGAAGGGGUUUAAAUUUCCUAAAAACCCUAAUGAGGGAACAAAGUGUCAAGCUAGAAAGGAAGAAACUUGUUCCCUCGCUCUUUCUAUGACCUAAAACCACAAUACCAAGCAAAAUGUGAAGUUGAAAAGGGAAGAAACUUUAUUACUUCGAACUCUCUAUGACCAGAACCAAACAUUCGGUUUUCAUUUCCUAAAAACCCUUAUGAGUGAUACAAAGAUUUGAAUCCUCAAAUUUUUUGGAACAAAGGUUUCCCUCAUAGUUCCUAAUUUCUAUGAUCCAAACCAACUCUCAAGAUUUUGAUUCCCGAAACCACAAUGACCGAACAAAAUGUGAAAAGGGAAGAAACUUUAUUACUUCGAACUCUCUAUGACCGGAACCAAACAUUCGGUUUUCAUUUCCUAAAAACCCUUAUGAGUGAUACAAAGCUUUAAAUCCUUAAAUUUUUUGGAAACAAACAUAACCUUAAGGUUUCAAAUUUUAAAAACCUAUAUGAGGGAACAAAGGUUUCCCUCAUAGUUCCUAAUUUCCAUGAUCCAAACCAACUCUCAAGACAAUGACAAGUUGAAAAGGGAAGAAACUUCAUUAUUUCAUACUACCCAUGACCGGAACCAAACCUUUGGUUUCCAUUUACUAAAACCCUAAUGAGAGCGAGCCUUAGGAUUUCAAUUUCCAAACAUCCUAAUGAGGGAACAAAGUGUAAAGUUGGAAGGGCUCUCUCAUCUAACAAUUCUAAAUGCUAAGGUAGGCAAAGAAAACUAUCAUUUAAUUGCAAAGAAACAAGGAGUACAAGAGAGCAUACACGGUUCAAGCCAAGCCUUCUUCAAUUACAAUAUCUAACCCAUCUACAAAUAUUCUUAUAUAACAAUUGUGAAGAUUGAGUCUCAUUUUGAGGUAAUGACAGCCCAAAUCAUUGUUAUUUGGUCAGGAUAACAAGUAAUGAGAGAUAUUUUCUAAGAUUUCAGGAAUCAAAGUUCAAAAGUAAAUGCUAAAAAUGCAAAUAAGUCAGUCUGAAGUAGGGAUUAGUGAGUUUGAAGAGUGUACUUACAGGUGGCUCAAAGACAAGAAAUGGAUGAGAAGACCAUCGCUUCAGUCCAACGUAUCCUGACUCUAUGCGGGAGUUCUUUUCAAAUGCUUGAAAUGUCAAAUGACAGCUUUGCUGUCCACACUUCUUUCCUUAUUUUAACCCACACUUCUUUCCUUAUUUUAGCCUACAAUUGUUUCCUUAUUUCUCCAUUUAUUAUUCUGUACAGUUAGCAUAUAUUAUUUGACAGAUUAUAGUUUACAUGUAUAGGACUAGAAUCAUGAGGGAAUUUAUUUGUUUUUAUUUGCUUUCCAUGUAUAGCAUCCUUGUAAAGUCUAUAUAUAAUAUACAAAACUCAAGGCCAAGGUAUUCGACCAUUCAUACAAUAUUUUGACAUGGUAUCAGAGCUUGUGUUCUGAACCUAGAGUUUACACGCUUUCUAGUUUUUCUUUGGGUUUUCUCGGAUUUAGCCCUAGGGGCUCUCGGAUUUAGCCCUAGGGGCUCUCGGAUUUAGCCCUAAGGGCUCUCGGAUUUAGCCCUAGGGGCUCUCAAACUCUAGCCCAACUUUUUGGUUCUUUUUUUUUUUUUUUUUUUCUGGUGGUUGUGACAACACAUCUGUGAUGUGAUCUUGGAGUUUUCUUUGGGUUUCUUCGAUUCUAGGCUCUUGGAGAUCUUCGAUUAUUUGGAGGUUUGUUAUCAGAUUUAGGCACUUUGACGAUGUUUUUUUUUUUUUUUUUUUUUUUGUUUCCUAGGCUAUUUCUGUCUUCAUAAUGUCUGGAGAAUAUUCUAUUGUUCGUUUCAAUGGCAAAAACUAUCUUAGUUGGGACUUUUAGUUUAAGAUGUUUGUGAAAAGUAAGAAGCAAGACAGAGUCUCUAAGUCAUCUACGGAAUCUGAGUACCGGGCGAUGUCUCUUGCUUGUUCUGAAAUCAUUUGGCUUCGAGGUUUGCUUGCGGAGUUAGAUUUUUCUGAGACCGAUCCUACACCUCUACAUGCCGAUAAUACAAGUGCUAUUCAGAUCACGACCAAUCCUGUCUAUCAUGAGCGCACAAAGCAUAUUGAAGUGGACUGUCACUCUAUCCGUGAAGUCUUUAAAGCUCGUGUUAUCACUCUUCCACAUAUUUUCACUGACUUACAAAUUGCUGAUAUCUUCACCAAGGCUCUCCCUCGUCAUCGACAUUGCUUGCUAAGUAGCAAAUUGAUGCUUGUUGAUCAACUUGCAUCAAUUUGAGGGGGGCUGUCAAAUGACAGCUUUGCUGUCCACACUUCUUUCCUUAUUUUAACCCACACUUCUUUCCUUAUUUUAGCCUACAAUUGUUUCCUUAUUUCUCCAUUUAUUAUUCUGUAUAGUUAGCAUAUAUUAUUUGACAGAUUAUAGUUUACAUGUAUAGGACUAGAAUCAUGAGGGAAUUUAUUUGUUUUUAUUUGCUUUCCAUGUAUAGCAUCCUUGUAAAGUCUAUAUAUAAUAUACAAAACUCAAGGCCAAGGUAUUCGACCAUUCAUACCAUAUUUUGACAUGAAAUAUGUUCCAACCCCACUCUUGGUAUGUCUUGUUGCCAGUUAAACGCCAGAGGUAAAACAGUGAUUCAACUGUCUCGGGCCUCAAUAUGUUCCAUGAUGUACCCACACUCAUAUCCUGUAAAUGUUUUAGAUGGAAGUGAGAUUGGGCAGUAAAAGAAAUAACUAGUAUAUAAAAAGAAAAGAGAAAAACUAACCUGCCCAGAGUGGAAGAAAUAGUUCUCUCGAGCCAAUUUUGUUGGUGUUGACUGGUAGAAAUUAUAGCAUGUCCAGGCAAGCUGCAAAAAAUAUGCCAAGCAAUUCACUCAUAGGAACCACAUGAAAAGCAUCCAAAUGUUGGAAAAGUAAGAGAAAACUCAGGGAGGGCAGAAGGAAUCAUUACAAUUCCUUCCCUUAGAACUGCAUGUGAAAUUUUCAUCUCAUAUGGCUCUUUCAUUAUAUGCAAAAUGAUGAUAUUACAUGGAAUAAAUAAAAAAUUGAAAUACUAUCAUUAUAAACCGGGUAGGGCUUGUGAUUUUACAAGAAGCCUCUAGCUUAUUAAGUUCUUAAUGUCAUGGGAACAUCAAAAAAAUCAGUGGCUAGUGCUAAUGGAGACCAAAACAAUGCUGUUCUAAAGCUUGAUAUUUCCCUUAGGGCUUCUCCUUGGUCUGCAAUUGUCAUUUUGGAUGUUGAUACAAUAAAGUCUAGGGAGUUGACAUUUUUAGGUUCAAUUAAUCCUACCAUUAGUAUAUGCUUAUCCAACACCUGAUUUUAUUGGAUGGACACACUUGAAGACAGUAAGCCUAGAUGACUUACCCUAUAUUUCUAUUAAUCAUGGUAAUUUAUGAAAAAAAAUUAAGCUAAUGAAUAUUCUUCUCUAUUGUUCACCUUGAGAACAAUCAAUUGUUUGCUCAGUUGUCAUAUCAAUUCUAUAAGUUUUUAAAACUUGGAUAUCAAUUCUAAAAGUGCUUAGUAGUUUUAAGGGUCUCUAACAUACUACAGGGACUAGGGGUUGCACUAAUCUUAUUUUGCCAUUUAGCUCCAUCGAAAAAAAAAAUAUCAUAAACAAAUCAUUGAUGAUGUUCUGAAAAUGAUUCUAUGCAUGUAACCAAAGAGGUCUUCUUUGUCUUUGAGUGGCAUUUAAUUUUUGUGAAGCAAAUCACACAUAUACUUCUGUUGAGACAAGAAUACAUCAUCAAAAAAAGGCUUCACUUCUACUCCAAGAAAAUUGUUCAGUGAUCCAAGUUCCUUAAUUCAAACUCUUAGCCAAGACGUUCAAUUAAAAUUUGAACAAAAUCAUCAUUACUCACUAUGAGAAGAACAUCAUCCAUGCAUAUGAGAAUAAUAGUUGUAAUAUCAUUGGUGCGAUAGACAAAGAGUUAAUUAAGCAUUAAAUUUGUUAUAAUAGAAGCAAGUUGUAGUAGAUAUUAAGACAGUUGAUCGAACCAAGAAUGAGGUGCCUACUUCAAUCUGUAGAAAGACUUUUUAAGUAAGAACAUGGCCUUGCUUGGUGGAAUCAAUGAACCUCAACGGUUGCUCCAUGCAAACAUCCCUCUCAAGAUUUUUUUGAUGUUCCCAUGACAUUAAGAACUUCAUAAGCUAGAGGCUUCUUGUAAAAUCACAAGCCCUACCCGGUUUAUGUGUGGAACACUCUCUAGUGUUCAUGUUCAUGCAAUCAUGCUACAUAUUUAAGUCAAAUAAGGAUUUCAGCAGAAGCCAAAUCACAUCAUGAUGUAUGCAAAAAUCCAACCAGUAGAAGGUCAAUUUUAAGUCAGCGUCAAACCAAGUCAAGUAAAAACUCCAGGUCAUUGUUGAGUAAGCAAGCAGCAGCAAUUACAUAGUGAAAAUGGUAAAUGCAUUCUAUUUUCCCUCAUGCCACACAACUAAGAAACAUAAUUUCCACACCUAAGCCCAAGACACAUUUUAUAACUUCACACAACUCAAAAUAGAAUAAUAAAUCAACAGAAGGCAAUAAUAAACAAAUAAAUAAAUAGAUAAAUAAAACAACUUUCCAAUAAAUAGUGACAAAAGAACAACCAGAAACCAGACACUUACUCCAGUCCAUCCAGGGUUAUGGGCAUUUCCAUGUGCCAAGUUAAUAAUGUUGUAGGGUAUCCCAGAAGGUGUAUUCCAGGCAGGCAGCAACCUAUCUGCAGUAUCUCUGGCUUUUUCAAGGAAAAGUUUGUCCUCUGAGAGAUCAUAUGCACUAAGUAGUCCACCGACAACUCAGGAUUUCAAUUAAAAAAAAAAGAAAAAACCAAAAAUGAUAAGUCAAAAAUGCAAGAUUUCAAUCCCGAGUUCAUCUUAGAGAUUGCAGGGUCAUCAUAGCCCAUAACUGGUCUUCCAAACAAGAGAAAGGACAAAUUAAACAAUCUACAUAUUAAACCUUAUAAUGCAACCUUUGGUCGUCUCAAAAACGCUAGCCUCAUAAUUCUUGUUGAAAUCCAAUGAGUUUGCAACCCACCUGCCAUGAAUAGCACAUUAGUAUUAAGCAGGAAAUUGAAUUACCAAAACUACAAAACAUGAAUACCAUAGGCAUGUAUUUAACAUGUGCUAAGGAAAAAAAUUGUAAUUUAAGAUCUUCAGAGAGAGAGAGAGAGAGAGAGGAGUAAACAAUUGAAAUAGGUAAACAAGGACUAGAAAAUCAUUCUUUUGGAGGAAAGCAAAUAGAAUUAAUUAGAGAGAAGGCUAGUAAUUAAUAAAAAUCAAGAAAAGAAAUAAUCUAAAAUAAAGACAACAGGAUUCCAACAAAUGAAAAGAGAGAGAAGAGAGAGGAGCCCUUCCAAACAGUGACCUUAGUAAACUAUGGAAGCCUCCUAAUGCUUUUUCUGGUACUAUGAGAGAAAAAGUAAAACAAUGUAACUGCUGCAUUAAAAAGAGAUAAAAUCCUAGUAAUUGAGACAGACGACAAUAGAAAGCUAAAACUCACUCUAAAUCUUUGGAAUUGCUCAUCUAGUCCCAUUAUAUAUAAUGUAUCAAGAGAAUCAAUUAAUGUUGCUCCAAGACCUCCAAAACUAUUAACACCAUUCUUGGAUUGUGGCUCUUAAGGAAAAAAAAUUGCAUGUUAGUUGUAGAACUUGAAUAAAAUGAAACAACAUCAUAAACACUAUGGAAAUACAAAUGCCACAAAUCUAGGAAUGUCCAUAAAAUCAUAGACAUCUAGUUGCAAAAUUGAAAUUUAAUUACUCUUAAUGUAAUUUGAUUAUUUGAGAGUUCCCCGGAAAGAAAUGAAUUUGGGAUCUUGUAACAGGUGGGUUUUUAAAGUAGUUAUAAAAUUUAAAUUUCCUUUUUCUUCUUUUGAUUCCUCAACAAUCCAAUAGAAAGAGCAUGAAGACAUCCUACAGAGUAAGCACAGGAACGGGGUCUUAAUACUGAUAAUACUCUUAACAUAUUACAUAUCUUUUGAAGCUCCAGAUGCAUAUCUAUAUAUAUAAGGUGAACCUUACAUGUAUGGUUUCCUCCCCAUCAUUGUCCUUCAGUGAUUUAAGAUUGAAGUCUUUUAAAAGCUUUUGAUGAAGCAUUUGUCAGAGUUGUCUAUAAAAAAUAUAGUAUUACUUCUAUUCUAAUAUGCAACCAUCUUUGAUUCAUAGAGAGAUUGAAAAUUUUUGUACUAAAACUACAAAAUAUAGGAAACAAUGUAGCAAAGAGUUUUCUCAUAUUCAAAAUUAUGAUUAUACCGUCUUUUGCAUUGCUAGUGGGGCAUUGGACAUAAGUACAAGAGCUAUAUAUGUAGACAUAAAAUAUAUGUGAUGAAAUAAUUUAGAAAGAUUCACCAUUUGAUCCUAUUCAAACAACCAAAACAGAAAGAAAAGUAGAAGACGAAGAAGAAGAAAGCAAAACAAAACAAAUCAAAAAACUAAAAAUAAAAAAACAGAUCAAUGAAACCUGAAGUUCAUUUUGUCCCCACGCAUACUUCUCAUAUGAACUCUAUGCAUGAAGCAUAGCAUCUUUUACUUUCUCCCUUCGCUGAAUGUCAAUGGGGUCAUCUGAAACAGUACUUUUCUUGGAGGAUUUACUAUUUCUGCCACUGAGGCCACCGACAUUCCCUCCAAUACUCUUCAAUUCAUCCAGUUGCCAAUAUAACCACACAUUCAGUCUACACAUACAUGUAAUGUAAUACCAACGGUUUCAAAAUGAGAGUAAAGUAAUGACAAGUCAGUAGACAGAGAACCUAAAUCAAUGGGAACAAGCUACAUGGAGGCAAAAAACUCUCAACUGUUUUCUAGGAAACUGGAGAAAAUAUAAUUUGGGGAACUUGGAGAAAAUAAAAUUUGUCUGAGUAUUUUGAAUUGGCCAAAAAUUUGAUUGAAUUCACACUGGGAAACAUAUAGCCUAGAAAUUUUCUAAUUUGUAAACAAUAGGUAUAGUAUUCCGGAAAUUAAAAAAACCAAAAAAGAAAAUAACCAUGGCAUGAACUGCUAAGCAUAUUCUAAUGGUUGAAGCUGGAUGACAACCAAAGAAUAAGCAUUUUAAAUUUCUUACCAAAUCUUGCAAAUGGACCAAUUCUGCAUUUAGCCUGGCAACCUCAAUCUGCAAAAUCCACACAAAUUUCUUUAAAUAAAGGCAACUGGAGAAGCAAUUGUCCCUCAAAUUGAAACAACAAGCUUCAGUUUUUAGCAUAAAUUUUUACCUAGGUGAAGAUACUCAUUACUUAAAAGUUCAUAUGGAAACAGCUAAUUACGGAACACUAAUUUGCUAUUUUAGGAGGAAAAAGGCCUGGUGUACUGGGGUUGCACCCCUUAUUUUUGCUAGGAUCCCUAAUACAACCUUUUAUGAUACGAGAACUUCAUUACAAACUGAUGAACAUAAGCACAAAGUAUUUUUGCAGUAAACUGAGGCAUUGUCAAUGGUACUAUUGUGUAACUUUUAGAUAUAAAAAUAUAACUUGGGAAAGGAUUUACACCCUUUCCAUCUCUCUUCUAUUGUCUUUUAUUCUUUCUUCUCCUCUCUUCUCUGCAUCCAAAUCCUCAUAGCAUCUCCAACUCAGUAUCAAGUUGAUCCGGGUGUAAUCAUAUUAGAAACUUUAAAAUAGAAUUUAGCAAUAGCAGAUAACGGGAGAUGACAAUAAACUUCAUUUGUUACAUCAUAAAAAUUAAAUUACUUAUUAAGACAUUUAUUUUUACAACAGUUUAUGGAAUAAUAAAUUAGAAAAUUCUAAAAAUAUGUUACAAAGAUUCUUUUCUAGGCCAAAAACGAUUAAUUAGUAAGUACCUAACAAACGGAGGCGCAACCUAGGUGUAGUGGAAUACAAGGAUCACUCAAACAUCAAAAUACAUGGAAACACUGCCUGCUCACUAGCCUGGGAUUAAGGCCAAUAGGUCCUGGAAUUCCAAGCACAAGAGCACCUCCUAUCCAAAAUCUUCCUGAGCAUAUAAAUAAAUAGCUAACAAAAUUUCAGCUCUAACUCCAAUUGCCCAAGACCAUACAAAUGAGGUUUCUAAGAUUUGUUUCCUUCUUAUGCCAGUAUAUAAGGAUUGCCUCCAUUUAGGGAAUUUCUUGCAAUUCAAUUUAUAAAUAUAGUCUUGCACAAGUAUAUUAGGAAUGCCUUCAUAUGAGAAUUUCUUGCAAUCCAAUUUACACAUAUACCAAAUUAGGCUAGACAGCCACCAGCCACCACCUCCCUCUAUAAAAUUCACAUAUUCUAAAGAUGAAAAUUCCCAAGUUGAGAAAAAUUGUCUCAUGAUUAUCUUUUAUUCGUUAGAACAUAGUUUUCUUCUUUUUGCUCAUGAAGACAUAUUUGCGCCUCUUGGAAUAUUCCAAGGGCCCAACCAACUAAUUUCUUGCUACAUCUUUCCCAUACACCUAAUCUCUUCUUCCCUAAAUUUCUGUAUUUCUUGCCAUUAUCUUUUCUUACUUCAAUUUUCUGUUCCCAUGGCCUUUCGGUAGCAUUAUUUUCUUGAAAUUUGCAUUCAUUCCAUCCAUGUCUCUGUUUCACUUAGUAAGGUGAACCCAACCUUCCUAUAGUUUUUCUCUUCAAUCUUCUUGGUUUCAUCACUUCCCAACUGUUCUCCAUUUCAAACUGUUUUUGCUUUUCCCACGACAGGAGCUUAUAUUGGACCUUGAACAUACCUGUACCUCUACCUGAAACCAAAAUAGAUAGGAGGGGAAAGAAUAUGCAAGCGUAUGACCUCAUUCUAAGGAAUUCAACAAAACAAACACAAAACUUUGUAAGAAGAGGUGCCUUCUCAUAAAGGGGAUUGCAGUGACCAGUUACCAGAAAAGGAAAGCUCUAUUUUCCAGGCUCUCCCAUAGUUGAUACUUUGGAACCACAAGAAUUCUUACUAAGAAUGAGGAUUGAUUAUCUGAGAUCCUUUCUUUCUCAUCCUUUCUUUCAUCAAACAGGACAAAUAUAUAUAGAAUCAAACUGAACCCAAUAAAUGCCUAUUCAUGGAAGAAUAAGCUUCAACAGAUUGAAGACCUUCAAUUUCCCAUACAUCCACCUUUUUCAAGAACUAUCCCACUAGAACCAUCCUUCUACUAGUGCUCUUUGCCCAUCUAAUAUCGAUUCUCUUCCUAUUCCCCAGAGUCAAACUGAUGUCUUAACUAAUCUCCCAAGUUUGGUGAAAAGCUCUGGUAAAUAUACACAGGAACUGCGAAAAAGAGUGCUAAUAAAUCAAAAAAUAACUUUUCAAACAUUUAUAAUUAAUCAAAAACCAAACUAAAAAAAAUCAACUUACCUUCCCAUGGCUGCGUGUGUGAAUCUCUUCUCCAUUAUGAUGCGUCAAAAGUGACAGCGGCUUUUCUUAAGUCCAAUGUGCAGCUACUACCACUAUCGUAUGGUGUGUCCUAUGGAAAUCUUUUCAACUAUGUAUGGAAGUCUUUAUGUGGCUGUGUGUGGAGAAUUCUCUCCAGUGGAGUCCCGUGCAGCUGCUUGUUGUGGAAGAUGCCGCCCAAACUGUGGUGCGUGGUUGCCUCUUCUGUGUGUGCCUCUUGCAGCCGCGAUUGGUGGACUCCAACUUCUCCAAUGGUGUGCUGUGAUGCUUCUCGAAUUGAUGGUCCCUUUCCUUGGUGUGUGAUGCUAAGAGGGAUCUCUAAUGAUGCAGACUGUGUGGUUGUGAGGGUGGCUGUGAAGAAACUCGUAUUCGCGUGUAAGAGAAGGCCCCUCUUAUAAUGCGUGAUUGACUCCCUUAGCGGACUGUGCAUUCUUCCAAGAUGGACUGUCUCCCUUUUCAGGCUGCUGUGUGUUGGUGCUUCUCCAUGAAGAAUGCGGACUACAAUGAAACUUUAGUUUUGUAGUUCGACCAACUUCUAUAUGGUUAAUAAUUGCCUUUCCUCAUCAUUCAAACAGAAGAUAAGGUAACUUAACAUUAAAAAUGCAUUCUUGCAAAGAAACCUUGAGAGGGAUGUUUGCAUGGAGCAACCGUUGAGGUUCAUUGAUUCCACCAAGCAAGGCCAUGUUCUUACUUAAAAAGUCUUUCUAUAGAUUGAAGUAGGCACCUCAUUCUUGGUUCGAUCAACUUUCUUAAUAUCUACUACAACUUGCUUCUAUUAUAACAAAUUUAAUGCUUAAUUAACUCUUUGUCUAUCGCACCAAUGAUAUUACAACUAUUAUUCUCAUAUGCAUGGAUGAUGUUCUUCUCAUAGUGAGUAAUGAUGAUUUUGUUCAAAUUUUAAUUGAACGUCUUGGCUAAGAGUUUGAAUUAAGGAACUUGGAUCACUGAACAAUUUUCUUGGAGUAGAAGUGAAACCUUUUUUCGAUGCUCAACAGAAGUAUAUGCGUGAUUUGCUUCACAAAAAGUAAAUGCCACUCAAAGACAAAGAAGACCUCUUUGGUUACAUGCAUAGAAUCAUUUUCAGAACUUCAUCAAUGAUUUGUUUAUGAUAUUUUUUUUUUUCGAUGGAGCUAAAUGGCAAAAUAAGAUUAGUGCAGCCCCUAGUCCCUGUAGUAUGUUAGAGACCCUUAAAACUACUAAGCACUUUUAGAAUUGAUAUCCAAGUUUUAAAAACUUAUAGAAUUGAUCAAUAUGACAACUGAGCAAACGAUUGAUUGUUCUCAAGGUGAACAGUAGAGAAGAAUAUUCAUUAGCUUAAUUUUUUUUCAUAAAAAUUACCAUGAUUAAUAGAAAUAUAGGAUAAGUCAUCCAGGCUUACUGUCUUCAAGUGUGUCCAUCCAAUAAAAUCAGGUGUUGGAUAAGCACAUACUAAUGGUAGGAUUAAUUGAACCUAAAAAUGUCAACUCCCUAGACUUUAUUGUAUCAACAUCCAAAAUGACAAUUGCAGACCAAGGAGAAGCCCUAAGGGAAAUAUCAAGCUUUGGAGAAAGGUUGUCGUUGUCAAAAUUGCCAUAUAAGAAAGUCACUCUUACAAGGUAUGUUUACCAUAUAAUAAACAUGAUUAUUUAAUACGGUUUGGAAUCUGAAAUGUGAUUGCUUGAAACCAUCACUCCUUAAGAGGUUUUAAUUACUUUACCGAAAACCAAAGAUUCACAUUCAACAGUCCUAAAUCUGUAGAAACCUAAAAAUAAUCUUGACUAAAUUUGCAUAAUCUAGGGUUUUGAAUUCACCUUAUGAGAAUUUUAGAUUCCGUUGAGAACAACACGUAGGGAAACUAUAGAGGAUUUGUAUCAAAGGCAAGCAUCAUCAAGAGCUCCACCAUCGACAAUCUCCAUGUGGUUCUAGUAAUCAAGUGAAGUGUCCUCAUUCAGGGAUGUAGAGGAGUGGAAAUUGACGACAACUAUGGCAGUGACUGGAGACGAAGGAGUGGACGCUAGGGCUCAAAGUAUCGGCCAAGUCCAGUACGACUUGGUCGAGUUGUAUCUGCCUCGGACCUUUCCCAGUCGAGUCCGAUAUCUGAUACCAUUUUCAACUCAAACUCUGCCAAAAAUUGGUUAAUCUCAGUCAUCAGCAUGUAUGGGAGGAUUUGUGGGAGCGACCAUGUACUUCUUAUUUCUAAAAUAAAUAUAAGAUAGGAGUACAAACAAAUCACCAUGUCCACAAUGCUACCAUACACACAAUUCUCAAAUUAGUUGCCACUACAUAUCUCAAUGCCAAUUUUUCCACUAAAUUUUACCUCCAUCCAAUUCUUUGCACACAGAUGAAUUUAAGAUGCAACAAUACCAACAUGUUUGGACACGACUUAUGCUAACCUCUAUUAAAAUUAUGUGAUUGUAUCUAACUUUUCUUCUAGUGAUAUUCAUUGAUUGAUGCAAUUAGCAAUGUGAUUUCCUUUCAAGUAAAGUGAUUUUCUUUCCAUUAAAGCUUAUAUUUACUCGUAUAUAUUUUACCUAAAUUGGCGAAUGGAAAUAAGUGAGAUCUUAAUUCCACCUAUCUUCUUAUGGGACUUCUCACUAUUGAGUUAACAGAGUAAUAAAAUUCUCUAUAACCACCUUAAAACUAAGAGCAAUGACACAAUAUCAGAAAAUUAGAUAAAGCUGUAGAACUCAUCUGGAAAACCCCUUGGAACAAAUAAAACCAAGCCAAAUAGCCUAUACCCUAAGUUACAUAUGGAUAGCUUUCAUAAUAAGGGGCACAGGAACUCACUAGAAUAACAUUCCUCACAAGCAUAGACUGAGUGGAACUUGGGCCAACAUUAUUACCUUAUGGAAAGAGCUGUCCACCUGACCCUCCAAAGUUCUUUCCAUUAUCAUACUGGGUAGGGUGGGCUUCUGUGUUGAAGACCCACUCAUCUAAUGAUAUGACCGAAAAGGGUGAGAAAAGAAGAUAGAGAUAUUUUAGUGUCUCAGGGAGGAAGAAGCUUUGCAUCAUAUUGUCUUUGACGCCAGUGUUAACUUGCAAAUACCCUCAACCAGCAGAGUAAGUAAUGAGCAGCACCCUCUGAUCAGCAGCCACAUGAUAGGUGGGCAUGCAGUAGAAUCGAGAAUCCAUUAUUUCAAAUUCGUGAUAUCAAAACAAACACCAUAGUCUUCACUGACAACAAAAGGAAGUAAUUGAUGAGAUAAUUGGGCAGACUACAUUGCUGGGUUGGUGUCAGGUUUAUCAGAUUUAUAUUUUCUCAGCCUUCAUGGAUGGUAAUCUGAAGUAAAUACAACAAAAGUAUGGAAUCAGACAAUCUGAAGUGUAGACUAGAGAGUUUGAGGAGUGUGCUAACAUCCUUCAGUCCGACAUAUCCUGACUCUAAGCGGGAGUUCUUUUUAAACAUUGUCUCUUUCUCAAACAUUGUCCCAAAUUACAAAAGUUGUAAUUUAAUGGGUUGAAAGUAUUCACCAUGUAUAACCAUUCCAAAUACGUACUUUCACCAUUGCUUUACUGGCCAAGUUCACAUUCUACAACAAAAAACUUUUGACAGAUGACACUAGUAGCCUUCUCAUCCUUCUCUUCAGACAUUUCAUCUAUCAUAUACUUGAUAUGCAGCAUCAAGUGAAAACAAAUAACAAAACAAAAAUAAACAAGAAAGCAAUCACACAAAAACAUAAAAUAUUAACACAAUUUGAUAAUAUGCCCACAUCCAUUGAAAAAGAAGAAAUCAAUUUAAAUUUACUAUACUACAAGGAGUAAUUAUAUUUCCUAGCCUCUCAUAUUUCAAAAUCUCAAAUCACAUAAAAAAGGACUCACCAUUUUAAUCAAAAUACCUUUUUAUAUUCUAUGCCCUCUAAGGUUGAUUCAAGUGAUAAAGAGAGGGUUUGUGGGUAGUUCUAGGUUGAAGUCUCAAUAGAAACAAAAACUUGAACAUAUAACUUCUUAUAACUUAUUUUUACAAUAAAAAAAAUGGUUUCAUAAGACAUUCCCUUUAUAAUAAUAGACAAAAUAUUAUCAAAAUAGAAAAAUAUCGAAUAUCCAAAAGGAAAUUUGAGACACUUUUAAAUAAACAUAAAGCAAAAUAUUUAUCUCAAAAUAGAGGAAAGAUCAAGGUUCUUCCCAAUCUUAAAGUAUUCUUCACAAUUAAUGUGAUUAUUUUCACAUUUAAAGCUUGUAAUUAUACAAUUAAGUAUACCCAAAAUUACAAAUAAUAUUAUUUCUAUCUAAUGAUUUCUACCAUGUAAUGCUCUUCCUCUUUUCAAGCAUAAUGAUCUAUAGACAAUUUUUUCCACAAUACUGAAGUAGGCUUCACACCAAGAUUUCUUGAUUGCUAAAACAAAAUAUGGACCUAAAAUACCCAAAGCAAAUCCAAGCCCGAUACUAAAGUAAAACCACUGAUCAAUGAAGUCAUCAUCAUUUUCAUCUUCAACAGUACCUUGCCCCUUAUCUAAAUCAUCACCUUGGCAUUUAGCAACAAGUGGAGGUCCACAAAGAUGAGGGUUUCCAACAUAGGCAGACUCACCAAAAGUUGUCAUUUGUCCUGUAAAGGGGAUCUUGCCAGAGAAAUUAUUAUUUGAUAGAUUCAAAUAACUCAAAAAUGUUAAUAAAGACAUGCUCCAAGGAAUAAGGCCAUAAAGAGUGUUACUUGAUAGAUCAAGAGAUGACAAUUCAUGUAACCCUGAGAUGUUUUCCGGAAUCGAGCCAUUAAUAUGGUUUCUUGACAAGUUGAGAAUCAUUAAACCAUAUAACUUUGUUACGUCUUUUGGAAACUCUCCACCAAAGUUGUUGCUGGAUAGAUCUAUGCUAAUUAUGAGAGAAAGAGUCUUGAUAUAUUCCAGAUCUUGGCCUUUCGCAGUCACGAUCAAACUAUCAUCAUAAACUCGCCUUGUAUAAGAGACUCCGAGUGUAUAGCGACUUAUAUUUUGCUUUUGAGCCAUUGCUUUAAGAUCACCCAAACAGGCUGGAAUGCUACCACUCAAAUUGUUUUCAGCAAGGUCUAAGAUAUGCAAUGAACUUAAAUUUGACAGCUCAAAAAGAAGCCCUCCUGAAAAUUUGUUGGACCUCAACUUAAGAAUUCCAAGGGAUGUGAAAGCAGCUCCAAAUGCUGGAAUAUUACCCGAUAAUGAGUUGUAACUGAGAUCAAGGAUUUCCAAACUCAACAGGUAUCGGAAAGACGAAGGAAGUUCUCCUGACAGAUUGUUCUUGUCUAGGUGAAGUGAUUGAAGCCAUUCUAACUGACCAAAAGAUUUUGGAAUAGUCCCAGAUAAAUUGUUCUUUCCAAGGUGUAGCAUGCUUAGGUGAGGGCAAUUACUUAUGGUUGAAGGAAUGCUUCCUGUCAAACUAUUCCUUGAAAGAUCAAUGAUCCGAAGACUCUGCAUAUAUCUUAUAGACUCAGGGAUGAUUCCUUUUAUUUGAUUGCCUGAAAGAAAAAGGAAGCGCAAGUGUGGCAUGGAUUCACCUAUCCUGGCUGGGAUAGGACCAGAAAAUUUAUUGUUGGAUAGAUCAAGUGAGAGGCACCCAGGUUUUGGUAGAGGAAUUGGACCCUCAAAAAGGUUGGAGUUGAAAUCAAUAGAUACCCCAGGGGUCAUAUUUAACUGAUUUGGUAACUGACCCUGUAACUGGCUGAAAGAAAGACUUAAAAACCGUAGUUGAUGAGAAAUAUUCCAAAACCAAUUUGGGAUGGAACUUGAGAGUAGUAAGUAUUUCCAGCUGACUCAACCAUUCUGGCAAUCUGCCCUUUAGUUGAUUGUAGGACAAGUCCAAAUACAACAGUUCUGGUAAAAGACCGUCAGAACUGCAGUUUUUGGUUUCUUUGAGAAAUUCAAGUAAGCUUCCUAUCAAGGCAUUGUAACUCAUAUUCAAGUAUUUUAAGUUGCAAAAACUCCCAAUAGAGCUUGGGAUUGUACCUGCAAUCACAUCAACAGUAAAAAAAAAUAAUUAAAACAAUUUAAUUUAAAAUAUUUUUAAUAAAUAAUUUGAUGAGUGAUAAAAUAAUGAAAAAAGUAUGAGAUUCUAAGAACAUUGAGAAUAACAAUUUUUCUAAGUAGGAAACUUACCAAGAAAGUUAUUUCCUGCCAAAUUCAGAGCUUCUAUCUUCUUCCAACUUCCCCUUAACAUUUGAGAGUAACUACCUGUGAGAUUCAUGUUCCAAGAUAGAUCUAAGUACCGCAAGUUAGGUAAUUCACCAAAGCUUGGUGAAAUCUGCUCGUAUAACUGAUUAUGGCUUACAUCAAUGGAUACAAGGCUACUAAGGUUUAGAAGCCAUAUUGGAAAUUUUGAAUUCAAGAAGUUGUCACUGAUUCUUAUAACAGAGAGUGAAGUAAGAUUAAUAGAGCUCGGAGAUGAAACUGAACCAGACAGCCCACAGUCAUGUAGAUGCAACUCUAUUAAAAAUGGAAGCUUGUUUAAUGCCUCUGCCCAAUGAGAUCCUACCAUUGAAAGGUUGAUGUAGUUCAUCCUAAGAUGCUUCAAGGAAACAUGACUAGUCAUCCAUUCAAGGUUAUUAACAAAUAAAUCAUAAGACAGAUCAGAAGAAAGAUCGAGAAAUUGCAAACUAAUGAGGUUUCCCAAGUUUGGAGGAAUGGCACCACUAAACCCACAAUUUGAUAGAUUUAGGUAUUGUAGAUUCUUCAAAGAUCCAAAGAAUUUUGGAAUUAGGCUAUGCUUAAAUGAGUUGCCACUCAAAUCUAAAUAUCUCAAGGAUUUGAGUUCUAUCAAUGAAGGUCUAAUCUCCCCACUCAAGUUCAUAGGGCUCCAUUUUUUAUAUGCAUCCUCAUGAGCAUACGAGCUAUGAAGAUCUAUUGAAAUAACAGCUCCUGUAUUAUUUUUGCAACCAAUUCCCUCCCAUUGACAACAAUUGCCUCAUCUCCAUGAUGAAAGCCGAUCACUAGAACCUUUGAGACCAUUUUUGAAGUCAAUAAGAGCAUCUCUAUUUUCCCUUAAGCAAUUUCCCAAAAGAAUUUCACCUUUACAAAUGAAUUCUCUUGUUGUUAACAUAGAAUGAUUGAAAGGAAACUAAGAAUUGAAAAUUUCUCCAUCCGGGAACACCCGUAGAAACAAGUAACAAUAAGUUCCAACACAACAAUAAAAAUAGUGACAAAAUUCGAUAAGUAGCGGCAUCAUGAUAUUAGACAAUAAAUAACAUAUUUAAUUUAACUACUCAUUAGUUUAAUAAGAUAAAAAAUGUUAAGUGAACAACAUACUUGAAGACAUAUCAAGAAAACAUUAUUGUGACCAUCUCACCAAAUGGCAAAUAUGCUCAGAUGAUUGUUAUGGAUCAAAACAUUCAAACUACAUAAAUAAACCACAGGGGGGAAAAAAGGCAUUAGGAAUAAACACUAGGAAUAGUGGCAUUAUUACUCAUGAAGUAGGAUUUUACCUAUUAUCUCUAUUUAGGUUGUCCUCAAUCCUUUCGUUGCAGAGAAAUAUAUAGAAGAUAAUUCAAAAAGAAGCCAAGUGGAUGAUAGUGAUAGUUAAUCCCUUCUUUAAUUUUAGCUAUAUUUUUAAAAUUAGAUUGGACAAAUGGUUCAAUUGUCAACCAAUCCCUUUUGGUUUGGGUGGCCUUUUCUUGACCAUUUUGGGCUUAAAUAGGUGGAAAACUGGCGAUUACUACUUGAUUAUGAAUUAAUAUUACUUUUAAACUCGAUCCUUGAAAAUUCCAAUACUUCAACAUUUCACUUCAUUAAUAGCCUAAAUAAAUUUAAAAAAAAAACAAAAAUAAAACAUCAAUAAAAUUUAAUCACUUGACAAGAUUUGUAAGUCCAAAAUUUUGAUACCAUGUUAUAAGCUAAUAAUUUAGCAUGAUAAUAUAUAUUACCAAACAUUUGGUUUAAUAAGAAUAAACCUAAUCUAAAUUCUCAUAACUAUUUAUUGGGUUGCUACUAUAUAUCAAGAAAAAUCUCAUCGUUAACUAUGCUUUUUAAAAUUAUCUUCUAAGGAAAAAGACUUAAGUUAUUAUCUCUUUAAUUUUUUUGGAAAGAAAAAGGACUCAAUCUAUCAUUUUGGUCCAUAACUUUGACUUUGUGCCCUAUCCACUUGUCCCUUUGAGCAUGACUUUGUUACUACUUGUGCAACAUGAGAAAAAAAUGGGCUUUUAAUUAUGAAAAAAAUCUUUAUAAUAUCCCACAAAGGGUUAUACAAGUCAUGUACGUUUCACAAUCUUAUAAAAAAAAUUAAGAAAAAAAUAAUAAUAUAUCAUGAACAAAUUUUAGCAUACCACUUCAAAAUAAAUAAAAAUUUUAAAAUAUUUGAAAAUUUUAUAAUGAGGCUAUCAUUUAUGAUAGAAAGACCAUAGUUAUAAUCAACCUAUCCACUAAAGUCAGCUUUGGAUGGUUGCAAUUGUUUCAAGGAUUGUAUUUAUCAUAUUUAAGGUCAUACAUUGCCUCUUUUGAAAUGCAUAUUGCCAAAAGGCGAUUAGCCUUUCCAUAUCUCAAACCUCUCAAAAUUGUUCUAAUUUGCAAUGGGUGGUGCUGUGUUGUGCACGCGAGAUUUGAUAUAUAUUUUGGGGUAUAAGUCUUCAAAAUAACAUUUAGUAGGUAAAUAUAUGAUUUUCAUAUUUGUAAAGUCUUUGGAAGACUUUGUGAGUGGUGAAGGUUUUUCAUGUAAAUUAUACAUCCUUGUGCAUGAUUGGAGUUCUCAAUUGAUUUUAAUUGUUUACUUUCUUAAUAAAAAAAAACCGAUACAUGUUAGGCUAUAAUGAAAAGGACUACCUAUUCACCCCCCUUCCUUUUUUUUUACAUACUUUUGUAACCAAGAUCGCAAAUUUUUAAUAUACACACCAUUUUGAGGAAAUUUUUUUAGUUCCAAGUGAUGAUUUGAUAAAACCAAACUAUAGAGGAUUGAGUAUAUGUAACAAUCAUUUUUGGGUAGUUCUUAUAAUUGAUUCGUGCCCAGUAGGGUAUUUUAAUAAAAAAUAUUUAUAAAUCCUAUGACCUCAUACUAGCGUAGCAAAGCUACUAUAGUAUAGCAGCUCUAGGGUCGAACUCUAGGAUAGGUUUUCACUCUACCAGUGAUAGACUCAAGAUUAGAAUUUUAAUCUGAUGAUUUCCUCUGUCAAAAACUUAAAGUUUAAAAGAAAAUAAAAUUUGUUUUGAAAGUGGUGUUUGAAACUAAACUAACAUGGAACUAGGUAAAAAUGGAAGAAAGAAAGUCUCCUGGAGCUAAAGGUUGCUAGGAUCAAGUUCAGAAUGCAAAGUGGGAAAUUCCAGAUUUUUCUCCUCGCAUUGGGGACAACAACAUAAAGGAUGGUUGUUUCCCGAACCGGUAUAGGUUUAACAAUGAAGAUUUAAUCCAUAAAAAGUCAAUAGAAAUGGUAGUCAAGUUCCAUUAAUGGCUUUAGACACUAUGGGUCUUCACCUUGAGCCACUUUCCAAUGGCUCGUACAUGAUAACUAAUGGUCUGAUGUGGAUCUAGCAAUAAGUAUCCACAGAGAUCUAAAAGCUUAUCAUGUAUUGGUCAUUCAAAGUGAUUCUAAGGGAUUUAAAGCAAAACUUUAGAUUUUAAAAGCCAUUUAUGAACUCCAACUACCUGCAUUUAAAGCGUGAGAGUUUUCCACUUUUGCAUCUGGACUUUUCACCUAGCUUCCUUCACUCCAAGAAACCAAAGGUUUAGCCUCUCAUCCUCUGGGAAAACAUCCUCAGAGGCUGUUUGGCUAGUAAGAAAAUACAAUUAAAAUGAGAAGGUAAAGCAAAGCAAAGGCUCUGUAUUUUACUUCCUUACAAAACUGUACAAUGGUUUUCGUCUCCCUUUUCACACCUUUUCACACCCCCGAGAACAGGCUCCCGAGAUAUAUAUAUAUAUAUAUAUAUAUAUAUAUAUAUAUAUAUAUAUAUAAAAUUACAAAAUAUCUAUUUUAGGUUAUUCACCCUUUUUCCAAACUUAAUAACUAAGGAAUCCUAUGAUUGGUGGGUUACAAGGAGAUUUUGGGGAUUUAGACAACAAAUAUCUAAGGCAAAAUAUCUCAAAAUAUCCCAAAAUGUCGGUGGCAAAUAUUAAGAAGCUUCAGGAGAACACAACAGCACUGUGCAGAAUGGCUGCUCUCCCAUCCGACGUCAGAAUUCCGGACGUGGAAAGUGCGCGACAGCCGGGUGUAAAUGGCGGCGCGCAUCCGAGUGUAAAUGGCGGCAGCCGGGUAUAAAAUGGCGGUAGCCGGGUGCAACUUGGCGGCAGCCGGGUACAAUUGGCGGCAGCCGGGUGCAAAAUGGCGGCAGCUAGGUGCAAUUCCUAUCCGGAUAUGUGGUCCGGACGCCCUCCGAUGGUGUAUCCGGACGCCCUAUCCGGGUAUACUCCUUGCAUGGAUUCCAAAGAACUCUCCUCAAUCUCAUAUUGCUUUGGUGAUCAAAAAGCUAUCAAAACACCGAAACUUAACACAUUUUUUAUUAGAAUUGAUUGCAAGGGUCUUUAACAUGCCAAUUGAGUUAAAAGGUGAUAACUACUACUCAAAAGUGUUUAAAAGAGUUAAUUAAAAGCUAUGAAAUAUCACUUUUUGAGUAGUAAUCAAUAAUCUAGUUCAAUAUACUUUAUGUUCCAUGAAUUCUUUAGAAGAAUUUAAAAAUGAAUUUUGGUAUCAUAAAAUAGAAAUAUCUUAGUUACUAUUAUAAUUCCAUAUUUUUCUUGUGAUAACUCCAAAAAAAUAGGUUUGUUUUUUCUAUUCAAAUAAAAAGAACAUAUGUUGUUUAAAACGUGGCAUUUAAAUAAAAUUCAAAUGCUCUUCGACCGUUUUGCUUUCAUCACUGCAUUACCUUCUUCUAUCACUGCAUUAGCUUUACAAAGCUCUCAUUUUCCUAACAAGUAGUAGUAGUGCUAUUGCGUGAGAUCAUGUUCGGCAUAAUUUUGAAGAUGAUGUUUGACAUAAAAUACACUAUUGAUUCCUUUGUAUAAAAAAUAAUUGGGGAAUUUAUGUAACCAUACACCAAGGGGCAAAAUUUUGCCUUUUGGAAACUUUACUUUUUACUUUUCAAAUUCAAUGGAUUUUGUGGAAAAUAAACCACCUUUCAUACACUGUAAUAGUGAUAUUGAGGCCCUUCCAAAAUAUCCUCAUUCACUUUGACAUAAUCAAUUGCUCAGAAAAGCCAUGUUCCACUUAAGCCAAUGACAUGGCUCAUAUGACAUGUAGACACUCCACGUGGCAAUAUUUAAAAAAAAAAUAUUUACUAAAAUAUAAUAGUGAGAUUUACCCGAAAUUCUUUCUUCUGUGUUGAAUCAAAACCCUAAAUCCCUUCUUCUCUCUUGAGCCAAACCAAACCCCUAAAUCCCUUAUUCUCUCUUGAACCAAACCCCAAAUCCCUUCUUCUCUCUUUGAACCAAACCCCCCAAAUCCCUUUUUCUCUCUUGAACCAAACCUUAACUCCAAAAACCCAUAUUUUUUCACCUUCUUUCACAACCACAAUUCGCAAGGGGAGCUUGCAGUGAAAACAGAGAGAGGUGGUCCGAGCUGAGAGGAGCUUUCCCAGAUACGAAUGUAAUGGAUUUAUGAGUUAAUUUGGGUUGUUAUCGUUGCUUGUUGAGAUAUUUGACAGAAAAUUUGGUACUUUUUUAAAAAUAUCACCGAGAUUUCGGUAUUAAUGGGUAUUUUUACCCAUUUUUCAAAAAAAAAAAAUGCGGGAAAUCUCACUGAAGUUAGUGAGGCUGGAAGUUUGUAACUAUCAAAAAAUAAAAAUAAAAUUCUAAGCUUUAAGUUGUAGGUCUUAAAAAGAGGCCUUGAUGGAAAUAAAAGGAAAAGUUGAUCAAUUAAAGAAAGAGUGUAGAGGUCCACUGCCAUUUCCAGUAAUUGUAGCACAACCCAGCUCUGUAAUGUCAUGCGCUUUGAAGUUUAGGUGUGGUUCAGUGGUUGGCAAAGGUAUCUUCAUUACCCGCACUCCACUUACCAAUCCAGCCCGCACACAGAUCCAGAAUUUGCGGGCAAAGGUUGUGUUUUUCAGGUUGGCUCAAAAAUCGUAGAUUUAGGGUUUGUAAAAUUUAAAUCCAAUGGCACAAAAGCAAAUAGAACCCUAGAACAGAUACAGAAAACACAGGGAGUAACAAAAAUAAAAGAAUUUUUUUUUUGUUUUCCUUGGGAGUUUUGCAUGGAUUUCUCUCAGAAAUCAAACGAGGAUGAAUUUUCCCAGAAAUCGAAUGGGAAAUGGAUUUUCUUGGGAAGCAAACGGGGGUUGAAAAGAAAUAAUAAUAACAGGAUUAAAUUAGUACCUACGAGGAUUGAGAGUGGCAGAGGAAAAUAGGGCAUGAUGCUUGCCUAGAAAGGAAAUUCAAUAAAAGGGCUUCUUGAUGCCUCACUCGGGUGCCCGUUUUGUUUUUUAGAUUUAGUAGAGAAAUAAAAAGGAAACAAAUCAUAAGAACAAUAUUAUAAAUCAAAAUUAUUAAUUAUUAAUUAUAAAUAAUUAUUAAUUAUCCAUCUUUAUUUUGGUUAAAUCAAAAUUUUAGUUUUUAUCAGUAACAUUUUAUAAAUUAAAAUUAAUUUGAUAAGAUAAAUUAUUAAUAAUAUUAAUUAUUUAAAUAAAUUAAUGUUAAUAGAAAAUUUUGUUACCACAUAUUUUUAAUACAAAUGUAGAAAUUUUUUAAACAUUUAAAACAAUAUGGCUUUUAUUUAUCAAUAUAAAAAAACAUUAUAUUUUAAUUUAAAAAAAAAUCAAAAUUUACAUGAACUGUUAUAUAUAUACGUUAUAUAUAUAUAUAUACACAAAAACUAACCUCCUCAAUUCUGGAGCUUAUUCGUUACAAGAACUUUUUUUCUCAAAACUGAUUGGUUGACAAAGAAAAUUGCAAUAUUAUCUUCAUUUAUUUAAAAAUAAUUUAAAAUGCAUGCACUUUUUAAUUUAUGAUUUAAUUAUUCCCAAAAAUAGCCCUUUACUUGUCAUGUCAUCCUAAUCCAUUGACAAUUAGAAUCCUUCAUAUAAAUAUUUCCAUUCUUUUUAGAUAUUUUAUUAUUAUUAUUAUUGUUAUUAUUAUUAUUAUUAUUAUUAUUAUUAUUAUUACUUUAUUAUUUUAUUAUUUGGGAUUUUUUUUCUCUAGAAACAUUAUAAAGUAAGAAUUUGAAAAAAAAAAACAGAAUUUAUUAUAGUAUUAAUAAGUUAAAAAUAGAUUCAUAUUCUUGAUAAUAAAUAAACCAAUAAUAAAUUUCUAUUUAUUAUAUAAUAUUAAUAAUUGUUUAAUAUAAUAAUGAAUAAAAUUUGUUAUUAGAGUUUUUCAAUAAUAAAUUUGUUAUAAUAUUAAAAUAAUUAUAUAUUACGAAGUUUAUUAUUUAUUAUUUAAUAAACAACUUUAUUACUUUUUGAAUUGGUAAUUAUGAUUAAAUAUGAUUUGUUUGAUAAUAUUUCCUAAACUUUUAGAAAACUAAAAUAAGAAUCCUAUAAGGUGUUUGUUUCUAGAGGAAAAAAAAAUUAAAUAAUAAAAUAAUAAAAUAACAAAAAAAAUCUAAAAUAAUAAGGAAACAUUUAUAUGGAGGAGUGUAGUUGUCAAUUGAUUUGAAUAACAUGACAAAUAAAAUGGCCUUUUUUGGAAUAAUUGGAUAACUAAGUGCAUGUAUUUCAAAUUAUUUUUAAAUAGAUGAAGAUAAUACUAAUUUAAAAUAUUUGGGAUUCUUUUUACCAUAUAUUUUCUUAUUAGUGAAUCAAAUCCCAUUUUUCCCUAAACUAUAUUGAUUUGGUUAGAUGAGUAUGUAAAUUUGAGGCAUACCAUUUGUUUAAUUGGCUGACCUACUAAAAUGCACAUUGUCUGUUUUUUUUUUUUUUUUGGCAGUGGGUAUCAUAGUGGGUGACCCUAUAUAUAACAAUUUCACCCUUAUUGAUAACCAUAUUAUUGAAAGGCUGGGGGAAACCAAUCUCAAUGAUUUUCAUUUACAUGAUGUAACAAAAUGUUUCCCAUUUCUUUGUUAAUAUAUGUUAUAUUUGUGUAAUAAUUAUGAUGAAUGUAUAUAGGAACACUAUAUUCACGUUCACAUGUCUUUAACAUUUGAUUAAUUUAUUAAUGAAUUAUGGUUGUUUAAUGCAGUGAUAAUAUGAACAUACGAUGUCGUUGUUCUGACCGUAGAUUCCUCUCUGGAAUCCAUUUGCUCUCAGAAGUGAAGAAGGAUGUAAUAAGAGAACUUGGUUUUGGUGGGCUAUUGCAAUUAAGUUGUAAGGAGGUUAAUUUAGAUUUAUGUUUUUGGUUGAUAAAAAACACAAACAUUGCUUAUUCCCAACUCGAGUUAUUUGGGGGUAAGAAGGUCUCUUUAACAUGUCAUGAUGUUGGAGUGAUAAUGGACAUUCCACAUAGUGGAAGAAAGUUAAUUGUUGAGAAGGGAAGUGUUAAAGCUAGUCAAAUGCCGAGUUUGCAAGAUAUAGAGUCAAUGAUGGUUGGCAUCAAUGAUAUGGAGGAAUUUAAGCGGGUCUUCUUGAUUUUCGCUUGUGUAAUCUUAUUGGCACCCACAUCUUGUUUGGAAGGUAGUCACUCGUUAUGGUAUACACCCCGAGAGCAGUUACUUGGGAACAUAAAUUGGGGAGAAUAUGUCUUAGAAUUUUUUAUUCAAGCUAUACAUGAACAUAGGAGGAAGGAAAAUGUUUGGAUUAAAGGGUGUUUGAUGUUUCUACAUGUAACUUUUUGUCUUAUUUAUAAGUAUAUGUUCAUGUAUUAGAUAUUUAAUAAUGGUUAUACACUAUGUUGGCCAUGAUGUUACUACUAAUUAUGUCUUAUAUAAUGCAACAGAUAUUCUACUUUUCAAUAUCUAAUUUUCCAGCCAUGUAUGUGGAACUUACCACUCCUCGCAUUGCUGCAUGGAACGAUUUUUUGGUCAAGCAACACAUCAAGUUGGAGUUGGAAAUGCUUGGAGGAUUUGGCAAAGUUGAGGUAUAAUUAGCUUUUAGUUAUAUUACGAUAGUUGAUUACCAUUGUAAUUAGAUUAUUGGGAUGACAAUUUACAUGUUUUGCAAUGAUAGUUGGUUAGCACAUCAGCGGUGCAAGAUGAAACAGAAAAAAAUAAGGCUCCUACAGUUGAUGAACCAGUUGACCCAGAUGAGAAUGAAGACUUUGAUGUAAUCCUUCAUACUUAAUGACUAUGAAUAGUAACUUAUAUUAAGGCUUAGUUUAAAUAUAUGUCAUUUAAUGUUCCUUCAUUAUGUUUGACUUAGGUUAUUUGUGCUUGCAUGGAGGCAACACAACAUCAAAUCACCGAUGCACAAAGUCAUCUUAAUAGUCUUAUUGCAUCAUACAACCGUGACGUGAAAGUGUUGAGGACUCGUUUCACCUCUUCACACUAUCGCACAGAUGAAGGCCAACCGUCAAAUUGUCAUGAACAUGUUAAUGAAAGUGGUGCACCAUUUUAUACAAAUAAUCCACAACAUUCACCUGUUCAUUCUGGUGGUCAAAGAAGAUCUUCUGAAGAUGACCUUGGAUGUACAAAUGAAGGGGUGUCAGAAAGACCCAACGUAGAAGAUGGUGUGUUCUUUGCAAACGAGGAUCCUCUUCACCCUGGGCCACACAAUAUGUUGGUGUUAGUGCAAUCGUGCAUGGACAACAAUGCGGAUGUAGCACCACAAGCCUCAGAACAAAUACGACCACGAAGAGUAAAAAUUAAAGUACGUCGUCAUAGCCAACGAGUAGCUGCGAGCAAGUCACCUUUUGUAUAAUUAUGUGUAUCAAAAUACAAAAGGUUGACGGAGGAAGAGACACAUGUUGCCGACUAUGUGUUUGACGAGUCAAAAGAUCCUAGGUUAGUCCCAAAUCACACGUUUAGCAAGUAUUGUUCUUAAAAGACUAUGAUUAUGGAUUUGUCUAGAAAAACAAAAAAAAUUACUCACGUCUUGUGUUUCAUGUGAUUAAUAGUGAGAUGCUUUGUGCAUAUGGUGGCUAUGGCGUGACAUGGGAACAACUUCAAUGCUUAGUAGGGAAGAGCUUCAUUGAUAUUCCGGUAAGGUUUAUGAUAAAUAAGAAAAAAUACCUUCAUCCUUCCAUUGAUCAUUUUAACUAAUGAAGAGGCAUUAUGUAGGUGAUUUCCAUGUUCUGCCGAUACAUGAAUGCAAAAGAAAAGAAUCCUUCUCACAGACACUUUUUUAAUCCAUACUUUGGGGUGAGGUUUUUUCCUCGAGUACACCAAAUCUUGUCCCUAAUAUAAGAUGCAUGUAUAGUUUUAGUCAUACAUUGUUACUAUGAUCUCAACAACUUUUUACAGGAAAUAUGUGGUUCAAUGAGCAAGUCUACCUCAAAAUCAACACUCAAGAAAAGAUUAGGUAGCUAUUGUGUUAAUCUUGAAUGUUGCAACUAGGUAAUGCUUAACUAUUGUAUUGAUUACAUAGAUUGAUGACAAUUUUUUAGUAAUUUCGAAUUUAUAUUUCAAAUAUUUGAGCCUUCAUUGUUGUUAUGAUGAUUGUCUGUUUUGUAGUUUUAUAUCCCCUUUUUCCAAUUUAAUGAAUGGGUCAUCAUGGUAAUCAAUUUGGAGGUUAAAAGGGUGGAUCUACUUUCAUCAUAUCAUAGCAUUCAACGGAUUCACUUUGUUAAUGAAACUUUCAAAGUAGUUGGAUUUAUGUCGCAGUUAUUAAAAAAUUCCUUCAAAUGGAAUGAUGUGAAUAUAAAUAAUUUACAUCCACAGUAUGCAGACAUCAUUGGCGAUCCAAAAUUGUUAGUUACAUAUUUUUUUUUCAUGUAUUCAUUUUCAAUCCUAAUUGGGUCCUAUGUUAAUAACAUGUCACAAAUCAUACUUGUUAUUGCAGAUGUCAUACUAGGAUGUAUGUUAUUCUCUAUAUGCAACAUUGGGAUGGAAGUGGUCUUAAUAGAACCAUUAAUUCUAUAAGUUGUUAAGUAUGAUGUUAUGUUUUUAUUUUCAAAUGUACAUGUUAAAUGUUACCGGGAUGUAGGGUCUAACAUAAGUUUAAUGUGUAGGAACGCAUGAGCCUUGAAAGAUUGAAAUUUGCAACUCAUAUGGUUCUUGAUAGCAAAAACGAAAUUGGUGAAAUGGUUACAGCUAAUAUUUGGUCAACCAACAAUGCAGAAUAGUAUUGGGUAACCUUCACAAUUAAUUUCUUUUGUUUUAUUUCAUUCAAUUUUUUAACUAUACAUUCUAAUUUAAACUCUAACUUGGUCAUCGAUAGUGAAUAAUAGAUUUUGAGGCUAUGUCAUGUCUUCUUUAUGGUACAAUAGAAGGGAUACGUUAUCAAUACUGCUUCCAAGCAUGCAUGGUUCAUUUAACUACCAGGCUAGGUGCUAUCUCCUCCCUAUAUAUAUAAAACUAUAGUAAAUGACAUUUUUAUUUUUUAAGGUUAUAUUAUUGACAAUUUCUUUAUGCUUCCAUAAAUCGUUUGUGCUCUUCCAUAUAACCUGUUUAAAUCAGUUGAUAAUAUUAUAAUGACAUGGUCUGGUUGCUUAAACUUAUCCCCAAAUUUCUAUGUUUAUGUAUAAUCAUGAGCCAAUUAUUAGAUUAUUCAACAACCCUGUAAACCAAUUUGGUCAAAUGGCUGUAUUUUCUGUUUAGCUGAAAGAAUCCUUGUUACCAUCUGAUUGUGGGUUUGGCUGUCUCGCAUCUAUAAAGCAAUUGAUACUAAAUUUAGUUUAGAGUGAUUUUUGAUGGUUAGACACUUAAUAAGACAAAAGAUGAAUUGUUCCUGCAUUAAUAUUUCCUAGGGGAGUGUUGUGGAAAGAACCCUCUAAAGGAAUAAGUUCCUUCAUUACUCAUAAGCUUUAUGGGUUUUUAUUAUGUUUUAUUUACAUCUUGUGGUUAACUGUACUUCUCUUAUCUUUAGGAGUUCAUUGAUAAGCUGAUUGAGGAGGAUGAAUUUGAUGCAGAUCAAAAGGAUGCAUUUAAGGUGAUCUGUAAUUGAUGAUAUGCAUGUAACUGAUUGCUCCUUCAUGUAAUUAACCAUACCAUGAACUUAAAUUGUUUUGGUUGCUCAGAAUUUUGUCAAAGACAAUGUCCGAGAGGCAAAAAAAGCCAAUAAACAGGUAUUUUAUAGUAGAUACCAAUCGUUGCAAUAGUUUUGGUCCUACACAUAAAUUUCAAAUAUGUUGAGUACUUGUCAAUUCAUUUUCUUGUAGGCUAGAGAAGCCCGAAAAAAGGCCUUGCAGAAAUGAGUUAGUAGACUAAAGCAGCAUUUGAAAACAUGAAGUUUAACAAGUUCUACUCAGUCCAGACCGAUGAUACUCCUGACAUAUCAAAUGUUAAGGUACAAUUUUUUUUUUUUUUGCAAAAGCUAAUAUUAUUAACACCGCCUAAUUAAAAGAAGGUGCACAAAUGUACACAAGAAGUUUAAAAAUGAGACAUAAAGGCAAUUAGAUUGAGAGAUUAACAAAAGGACCUCUCUAUAAUCAUCAAGAGCCCAACCAAUCAACACAAUCUAAUAUGGAUAGUCAUGUUAAAAGCCAUAGAGAGCAUAAGAAAGAAUUUGUUAGAGUUUGUUCUGAUUAUUAUUCAUUGACAAAAACUUUAAAAUGUUAAGGUACAAUUUUGAACAUCCCUUCUAUUGAAAGAACAAAAUAUCUUCGACACCACUAUUUUUGUUUCUCCAUAUGAGACUAUUGAUAGCCUAUGAAUCUUGUGCAUUUUGAAGCUGGCCUUUAUGCGAUAUUCAAGAUCAUGGUGUAUUGCUAUAAGUCGUUCCCUACAUAAAUAGUCAAAAAUUAUGUAGGGAACAAAUAAAUAAAUUAAACAUAUAUUCCAUCAAGAGAUUAAUUUUUCGAUCACCUGGAAGGAACAAAAGAAACAUUUUGUUGUUUCUUCAACAAUUUCUUAUCUUUAAUGGACCUCUCAAUAGGAUUCGAACCCAGAUGAAGUUCUGACCAUCUGUCAGAGAAAAAAGAAAGAAUGGAUCUUGUAGGAUUCCUAAGAAAUUCUUCAAUUUCUUCCGGAAACAGAUGAAUAAUCAUCUGUUUUUCACGUUCCGUGAAUAGCCGGGACAUUGACAUUGAGGAAUAUCCAAAAAGGCAUUUCGGGAAUCGGUCUGAUUCUAUCUCUGUUCGUUCCGUUUGAAGAAAGGAAGGAUCCCAAAGAAUCGAUCUUUCUUUUAGUUGUUGAAUCUCUCUUUGAUUGACCAAUGUGUGAUAUUUCGAAUCCUCAUUACUAAUGGAAUCAAAAUGAUUUGACUAUUUAUGUAGGGAACGACUUAUAGCAAUACACCAUGAUCUUGAAUAUCACAUCAAGGCUAGCUUCAAAAUGCACAAGAUUCAUAGGCUAUCAAUAGUCUCAUAUGGAGAAACAAAAAUAGUGGUGUCGAAGAUAUUCUAUUAUUUCAAUAGAAGGGAUGUUCAAAAUUGUACCUUAACAUUUUAAAGUUUUUGUCAAUGAAGAAUAAUCGAAACAAACUCUAAUAAAUUCUUUCUUAUGCUCUCUAUGGCUUUUAACAUGACUGUCCAUAUUAGAUUGUGUUGAUUGGUUGGGUUCUUGAUGAUUAUAGAGAGGUCCUUUUGUUAAUCUCUCAAUCUAAUUGCCUUUAUGUCUCAUUUCUAAACUUCUUGUGUACAUUUGUGCACCUUCUUUUAAUUAGGCGGUGUUAAUAAUAUUAGCUUUUGCAAAAAAAAAAAUUGUACCAUAACAUUUGAUAUGUCAGGAGUAUCAUCGAUCUGGACUGAGUAGAACUUGUUAAACUUCAUGUUUUCAAAUGUUGCUUUAGUCUACUAACUCAUUUCUGCAAGGCCUUUUUUCGGGCUUCUCUAGCCUACAAGAAAAGGAAUUGACAAGUACUCAACAUAUUUGAAAUUUAUGUGCAAGACCAAAACUAUUGCAACGAUUGGUAUCUGCUAUAAAAUACCUGUCUAUUAGCUUUUUUUGCCUCUCGGACAUUGUCUUUGACAAAAUUCUGAGCAACCAAAACAAUUUAAGUUCAUGGUAUGAUUAAUUACAUGAAGGAGCAAUCAGUUACAUGCAUAUCAUCAAUUACAGAUCACCUUAAAUGCAUCCUUUUGAUCUGCAUCAAAUUCAUCCUCCUCAAUCAGCUUAUCAAUGAACUCCUAAAGAUAAGAGAAGUACAGUUAACCACAAGAUGUAAAUAAAACAUAAUAAAAACCCAUAAAGCUUAUGAGUAAUGAAGGAACUUAUUCCUUUAGAGGGUUCUUUCCACAACACUCCCCUAGGAAAUAUUAAUGCAGGAACAAGUCAUCUUUUGUCUUAUUAAGUGUCUAACCAUCAAAAAUCACUCUAAACUAAAUUUAGUAUCAAUUGCUUUAUAGAUGCGAGACAGCCAAACCCACAAUCAGAUGGUAACAAGGAUUCUUUCAGCUAAACAAAAAAUACAGCCAUUUGACCAAAUUGGUUUAUAGGGUUGUUGAAUUAUCUAAUAAUUGGCUCAUGAUUAUACAUAAACAUAGAAAAUUGGGGAUAAGUUUAAGCAACCAGACCAUGUCAUUACAAUAUUAUCAACUGAUUUAAACAGGUUAUAUGGAAGAGCACAAACGAUUUAUGGAAGCAUAAAGAAAUUGUCAAUAAUAUAAUCUUAAAAAAUAAAAAUGUCAUUUACUAUAGUUUUAUAUAUAUAGGGAGGAGAUAACACCUAACCUGGUAGUCAAAUGAACCAUGCAUGCAUUGGAAGCAGUAUUGAUAACUUAUCCCUUCUAUUGUACCAUAAAGAAGACAUGACAUAGCCUCAAAAUCUAUUAUUCACUAUCGAUGACCAAGUUAGAGUUUAAAUUAGAAUGUAUAGUUAAAAAAUUGAAUGAAAUAAAACAAAAGAAAUUAAUUGUGAAGGUUACCCAAUACUAUUCUGCAUUGUUGGUUGACCAAAUAUUAGCUGUAACCAUUUCACCAAUUUCGUUUUCGCUAUCAAGAACCAUAUGAGUUGCAAAUUUCAAUCUUUCAAGGCUCAUGCGUUCCUACACAUUAAACUUAUGUUAGACCCUACAUCCCGGUAACAUUUAACAUGUACAUUUGAAAAUAAAAACAUAACAUCAUACUUAACAACUUACAGAAUUAAUGGUUCUAUUAAGACCACUUCCAUCCCAAUGUUGCAUAUAGAGAAUAGCAUACAUCCUAGUAUGACAUCUGCAAUAACAAGUAUGAUUUGUGACAUGUUAUUAACAUAGGACCCAAUUAGGAUUGAAAAUGAAUACAUGAAAAAAAAAUAUGUAACUAACAAUUUUGGAUCGCCAACGAUAUCUGCAUACUGUGGAUGUAAAUUAUUUAUAUUCACAUCAUUCCGUUUGAAGGAAUUUUUUAAUAACUGCGACAUAAAUCCAACUACUUUGAAAGUUUCAUUAACAAAGUGAAUCCGUUGAAUGCUAUGAUAUGAUGAAAGUAGAUCCACCCUUUUAGCCUCCAAAUUGAUUACCAUGAUGACCCAUUCAUUAAAUUGGAAUAAGGGGAUAUAAAACUACAAAACAAACAAUCAUCAUAACAACAAUGAAGGCUUAAAUAUUUGAAAUAUAAAUUCGAAAUUACUAAAAAAUUGUCUUCAAUCUAUGUAAUCAAUACAAUAGUCAGGCAUUACCUGGUUGCAACAUUCAAGAUUAACACAAUAGCUACCUAAUCUUUUCUUGAGUGUUGAUUUUGAGGUAGACUUGCUCAUUGAACCACAUAUUUCCUGUAAAAAGUUGUUGAGAUCAUAGUAACAAUGUAUGACUAAAACUAUACAUGCAUCUUAUAUUAGGGACAAGAUUUGGUGUACUCGAUGAAAAAACCUCACCCCAAAGUAUGGAUUAAAAAAGUGUCUGCGAGAAGGAUUCUCUUCUUUUGCAUUCAUGUAUCGGCAGAACAUGGAAAUCACCUACAUAAUGCCUCUUCAUUAGUUAAAAUGAUCAAUGGAAGGAUGAAGGUAUUUUUUCUUAUUUAUCAUAAACCUUACCGAAAUAUCAAUGAAGCUCUCCCCUACUAAGCAUUGAAGUUGUUCCCAUGUCACACCAUAGCCACCAUAUGCACAAAGCACCUCACUAUUAAUCACAUGAAACAUAAGACGUGAUUAAUUUUUUUUGUUUUUCUAGACAAAUCCAUAAUCAUAGUCUUUUAAGAACAAUACUUGCUAAACGUGUGAUUUGGGACUAACCUAGGAUCUUUUGACUCGUCAAACACAUAGUCGGCAACAUGUGUCUCUUCCUUCGUCAACCUUUUGUAUUUUGAUACACAUAAUUGUACAAAAGGUGACUUGCACGCAGUUGCUCGUUGGCUAUGACGACGUACUUUAAUUUUUACUCUUCGUGGUCAUAUUUCUUCUGAGGCUUGUGGUGCUACAUCCGUAUUGUUGUCUAUGCACGAUUGCACUAACACCAACAUAUUGUGUGGCCCAAGGUGAAGGGGAUCCUCAUUUGCAAAGAACACACCAUCUUCUACGUUGGGUCUUUCUGACACCCCUUCAUUUGUACAUCCAAGGUCAUCUUCAGAAGAUCUUCUUUGACCACCAGAAUGAACAGGUGAAUGUUGUGGAUUAUUUGUAUAAAAUGGUGCACCACUUUCAUUAACAUGUUCAUGACAAUUUGACGGUUGGCCUUCAUCUGUGCGAUAGUGUGAAGAGGUGAAACUAGUCCUCAACACUUUCACGUCACGGUUGUAUGAUGCAAUAAGACUAUUAAGAUGACUUUGUGCAUCGGUGAUUUGACAUUGUGUUGCCUCCAUGCGAGCACAAAUAACUUAAGUCAAACAUAAUGAAGGAACAUUAAAUGACAUAUAUUUAAACUAAGCCUUAAUAUAAGUUACUAUUCAUAGUCAUUAAGUAUGAAGGAUUACAUCAAAGUCUUCAUUCUCAUCUGGGUCAACUGGUUCAUCAACUGCAGGAGCCUUAUUUUUUUCUGUUUCAUCUUGCACCGCUGAUGUGCUAACCAACUAUCAUUGCAAAACAUGUAAAUUGUCAUCCCAAUAAUCUAAUUACAAUGGUAAUCAACUAUCUUAAUAUAACUAAAAGCUAAUUAUACCUCAACUUUGCCAAAUCCUCCAAGCAUUUCCAACUCCAACUUGAUGCGUUGCUUGACCAAAAAAUAUCUUAAUAUACGAAGGAUUCUAAUUGUCAAUGGAUUAGAAUGACAUGACAAGUAAAGGGCUAUUUUUGGGAAUAAUUAAAUCAUAAAUUAAAAAGUGCAUACAUUUUAAAUUAUUUUUAAAUAAAUAAAGAUAAUAUUGGAAUUUUCUUUGUCAACCAAUCAGUUUUGAGAAAAAAAGUUUUUGUAACGAAUAAGCUCUAGAAUUGAGGAGGUUAGUUUUUGUAUAUAUAUAUAUAAUGUAUAUAUAUAACAGUUCAUGUAAAUUUUGAUUUUUUUGUAAAUUAAAUAUAAUAUUUUUUUUUAUAUUGAUAAAUAAAAGCCAUAUUGUUUUAAAUGUUUAAAAAAAUUCUACAUUUGUAUUAAAAAUAUGUGGUAACAAAAUUUUAUUAACAUUAAUUUAUUUAAAUAAUUAAUAUUAUUAAUAAUUUAUCUUAUCAAAUUAAUUUUAAUUUAUAAAAUAUUACUGAUAAAAACUGAAAUUUUGAUUUAACCAAAAUAAAGAUGGAUAAUUAAUAAUUAUUUAUAAUUAAUAAUUAAUAAUUUUGAUUUAUAAUAUUGUUCUUAUGAUUUGUUUCCUUUUUAUUUCUCUACUAGAUCUAAAAAACAAAACGGCCACCUGAGUGAGGCAUCAAGAAGCCCUUUUGCUAAAUUUCCUCUCCAGGCGAGCAUCAUGCCCUAUUUUCCUCUGCCACUCUCAAUCCUCGCAGGUACUAAUCUAAUCAUGUUAUUAAUAUUUCUUUUCAACCCCUGUUUGCUUCUCAAGAAAAUCCAUCCCUCAUUUGAUUUCCGGGAAAAUUCAUCCUCGUUUGAUUUCCGAGAGAAAUCCAUGCAAAACUCCCAAGGAAAACAAAAAAAAAUGCUUUUAUUUUUGUUGCUCCAUGUGUUUUUUGGAUCUGUUCUAGGGUUCUAUUUGCUUUUGUGCCAUUGGAUUUAAAUUUUACAAACCCUAAAUCCACGAUUUUUGAGUUAGGCUGAAAACCACAACCUUUGCCCGCAAAUUCUGGAUCUGUGUGCGGGCUGGACUGGUAAGUGGAGUGCGGGUAAUGAGGAUACCUUUGCCAACCACUGAACCACACCUAAACUUCAAAUACGCUAUUUCUUUAAUUAAUCAACUUUUCUUUUUAUUUCCAUCAAAGCUUCUUUUUAAGACCUACAACUUAAAGCCUAGAAUUUUAUUUUUAUUUUUUGACAGUUACAAACUUACAACCUCACUAGUUUCAGUGAGAUUUCCUGUAUUUAUUUUUUUUUUUUGAAAAAUGGGUAAAAAUACCCAUUAAUACCAAAAUCUCGGCGAUAUUUUUAAAAAAAUUACCCAAUUUUCUGUCAAAGAUCUCAACAAGCAACAAUAACAACCCAAAUUAACUCAUAAAUCCAUUACAUUCAUACCUGGGAAAGCUCCUCUCAGCUCAGACCACCUCUCUCUGUUUUCACUGCAAGCUCCCCUCGCAAAUUGUGGCUGUGAAAGAAAGUGAAAAAAUAUGGGUUUUUGGAGUUAGGGUUUGGUUCAAGAGAGAAAAAGGGAUUUGGGGGGUUUGGUUCAAAGAGAGAAGAAGGGAUUUGGGGUUUGGUUCAAGAGAGAAGAAGGGAUUUGGGGGGUUUGGUUCAAAGAGAGAAGAAGGGAUUUGAGGUUUUGAUUCAACACAAAAGAAAGGAUUUCGGGUAAAUCUCACUAUUAUAUUUUAGUAAAUAUUUUUUUUUAAAUAUUGCCACGUGGAGUGUCUACAUGUCAUAUGAGCCAUGUCAUUGGCUUAAGUGGAACACGACUUUUCUAAGCAAUUGAUUAUGUCAAAGUGCAUGAGGGUAUUUUUGGAAGGGCCCUCAAUAUCACUAUUACAGUGUAUGAAAGGUGGUUUAUUUUAUCCAUUGAAUUUGAAAAGUAAAAAGUAAAGUUUCCAAAAGGCAAAAAUUUGCCCCUUGGUGUAUGGUUACAUAAAUUCCCCUAAAAAUAUUUUGGUACAACUUUUGAAAUCAUUACAAUACAAGACACAGAGAGCAUGAUGUAUUAAGAAUGAGAAGAAUUUAUUUUCAACAAAUCAUUUGAUUCAACUUUACUUGUGUUUAAUUUUUAUUUUGAGAAAGUUAUUUUUACUCAUAUUAUUAAAAGAAUUUAUUGAAUUUUAAUUUUUAAAAAUCAAUUUGAUUAUAUUUAUAAGAAAAUUGCUUUUUAUUUAUUUUUUCUAGAAAAAGAAUGAUUCCUAUAACUUUUUUAUGAAGAUAUUUUAAUUUAAUUUUUUUAUAUAAAUUAUUUAGAAAAAAUAAUUUUUAUAAAUUGAUCAACAACUUUAUUUCAAUUAAAUUUUAUUUGCAAGAAAAUUGAUUUUUAUUAUUUUUAUAUAAAACAAGACUUUUACAUUUUGUUUACAAAAAUAUCAAAAUUCGAUCCAAAUUUAUUGGUAAAAAUAAUUUUUUAAUAGUAAAAAUGGAUUUUUUUACAAUUUUAUUUACAAAAUAUACUUCAAUCCCUUUUUUAUUUACCAAAACUGAUUUUUUUCUUAUUUGAUUUUUAAAAAAAAUAUAUUAAAAAAUAUCUUUAUUUGGUAUGAGCUAAGUUUUUUCCAUUUUAUUAUAAGAUGUUUGGAAAUUACUUCAAUUUUAUGAAAAUAAUUUCAACUUUAUUGUUUAAAAAAAGUUUCAAAUUUAUUAAAAAAAUUUGAAAAUACUUUUAUCCUUUUAAAGAAGAGAUUUCCAUAAUUUUAUCCACAAAAGUAUUUUAAUUUAUUUUUACUUUAAAAAAAAAGAAUUUUAUUCCAAUCAGAUUUAAAAAAUAGCUUUUUUUUUUUUUUUUUUUUUACUUUUAUUAAAAAACGGUUUUUCCAAUUUUAUUUUGAAGAAAAAAUUUGGGAGAAUUGUGUUUUCAACCCAGCUAGGUUGGGUAAUUGAGGUAAGGUCCUCCUAUCACUCAUAAUUAAACCCAAAACCCAAUGAAAGAGUAGAAAUUGAGAGGAAGAAUAUUGUCUUUAAAAAAUCCCUAAAAUACCCUUCUCAUUCUCUCUUUGACUCUUUUACCCUUCUCCCACCUAUUUAAUAGUGGAACCAAAUUGAAUCAUUUUUUUUCAUUUGUUAAAAAUUAUUAUUGCCAACUGUAUUUUUAAAAUGAAUAACUUUUAAAUACCUCAUUAAAUAUUAUUAUUUUUUCAAACUUACAUAAUAUAUAAUAAAUAUUUUUUAAAUAUGUUAAAAACUUACAUAAUAUAUAAUAAAUAUUAUUCUUUAUUUCAAACUUAUAUUAUUUCUCAUAUAUAUUAAAUAAUUUUUAAACACCUCAUAAAAUAUUAGUAUUAUUUAUUUGUUCUAACUUGUAAAUUAUAUAUCAUCAAAUAUUAUUUUUUUUUCAAAUUUAUAAAACAUAUAAUAAAUACUUUUUAAAUACCUUAUAAAAUAUUAUUAAUUUUUUUUUCUAACUUGCAAAUUAGACACAUGAUGUUUAUUAUUUCUUGUAUUAUUUCGAAAAUAAUGUAAAUACUAUAUAUCAAGAAAAAUAUUUACAAGACUAAUUUACCAACCUUUUAAUAAUUUUGAAAGUGUAAAUAGGGUAAUUGGCCAAAUUAAAGUCUUCAAAAUAUUCAAAAUUUCUCCAUUCCAAUAUUACCUAAUUGCUCCCCACAAUAAUCCUAAAUAUUUUUGAAUAAAUAUUUAAAUAUUUAAAACCAUUAAAAUAAAUACUCUCUUAUUAAAGCAAUUUUCUCCAAGUAAUAAGAUAAAAAUCAUGAAAUAUUCAAAACUAUAAUUACAACAAAUAUUUUUAAUUUUAAAACUAAUUUCAUAAUUUAAAUUAAUGAUUUUUAAAAAUAAAAAUGUUAUAAAAAUAAUUUUUGUUUAUUUUUAAUUCCAUUUAAAUAUGAUUUUUUUAAUCUCUAUUGAUAACAAUGAAAUUAUGUUUAUAAAGGCAAAAUAGUAAAAAUAUAUACUUCAUUUAGUUUACUUAUAAUGAACAAUUUAAACACGAUUUAUUUUAAUUUUAUUUUCUAUGUGUUGAUUUUUGUAGGGAAUGUCUUAAUGACAUAGUUUGGUAAAAAAAAAAAAAAAAAAAACUAUCAAUAAUCAUCUUAAUGUCAAACUCAAGUUGUUUAAAAAGCAUACAAAACUAUUAGGAGUCUUAUACAUCCUUGUACACUUAGCACAUUUCUCUUGUACAAUUAGUAUAAUACCCUUGUACAAUGACAUAAAUUUCAUAUCCAUCUUAAGUUAUAUGUCGUAUUAAUCAUAUUUUCAAUGGUUUGAUUGAGAAAAUGGUGAAUGACUUAGGGUCAAUUUUUUUUCCCCAAAUAUCAUUAUUGGGGAAAAUAUUGGAAGAUUAAAAAAGUUACUAAAAGUCAUGUUAAAAAAGUUAUUAAAAUAAGGAAGGAAGAAGAUUAAAAAAAAUUAAACCUUUUAUUUUAUAAUAGUUAAAAAAAACUUUAAAAUACCUUUUAGUAUAAAAGAAAUAAAAAUAGUGAAUAUAUUUAUUUUAAACAGUAUUUUAAUCAUUAAAUUAUUUACUUCUAAAAUGUAAAAGAUAAAAAUAAAUGUAAAUGAUAAUUUUUAUUUAUUUAAAUUAAUAUUUUUUUAGAAAUAAUUUUUUAAAAUAGUCUUUGAAUCAUUAAUAUAAUUUUUGUUUAUUUAUAAUUUAAAAAUAAAAAAUAAUGUUAAUUUUUUAAUUAUUUAUAAAAGAGUUUUAAAAAUAAUACAAAAUUUAAAAAUGAUUAAAUAAAAAAGAAUAAUGGCAUGUGAAAAGUGGUAAAAUAAAGACAAAAAUAAAUCAAAUGAGUAUUUUUGUUAAUUACUAUUUUAUAUCCUUAUAAUCAAUUAUGGGUGGUUGAAGGACUUUAAGUCUAUAUAAGUUGAAAACGCAAUUGUCCCAACAAAAUUCAGAAAAUAGUUUUUUUAUUAAUAUAAAAUUGAAAUCUUAUCUUUUAACAAAAGCAAUUUUCCAAUGUUAUUUUGAUGAAAAAUAGUUUCAAACAGUAGUUUUUAUUAAUAUAAAAAUAAAAAUCUUAUCUUUUAUCAAAAGCUGUCUUCCUCGUAGGGCUGUCUUUUUUGUCAAUCUAGCCAUCUCCCAAUCCACCCAUGCAAACAAAGGCCCUGAGCAAUAAAAAUCAAUAUGCCAAGUAACAUUCAGCAAAGCCCAAUCAUAUAAAGCCCAAAUGAAUAUAAACUAAUCAAGCCUAAACUCAGCUUAAAGCCCACAUGAACAAAUUUAGGCCCAAAAAUAAUCACAACUCAAUGCCUCGAGAGCCCACCAAUAAAACCCAAUGCUCAAAAUAUCAACUGUGAAGAUCAAAGGACAAUGGAAGAUCAACGGAAGGCAAGCUGAUGGAGAGGGACAAUGGUUGCACGUUGAUUAUGGCAGUGAGGGAAUGGAGAAGUGGGAUGGGAAUAGGAAUUUGUGAGUCGCGGCAUGGGCGGGACAAACGAAGGCACGGGUAUGGUGGAAGGGGCAGCAACAUGGGCUGGAUGUGAGAGGUGGGCAGGCGGCAAGAAAAUGGAGAUAAAAGAAAGGGAUGAAUGGAAGAGAGGAAGGGUAAUGAACGAAAGAAAAUGAGAAGAAGAAGAAGAAGUGAGGGCCUGGUCGUGAAGUGAGAGGGAAGAAGGGGGAUAAAAGGAAAAAAGAAAUUAAAAUAAAAUAAAAUGAUAACAAUAAUAAUAAUAAAAGAUAAAUGAAAAAAAUGUAAAAAUAGGCAUCGACAAAUUUGGGGGUGAUGGCAUAGAAAUUGGCCAAAACCCCGUGACAGAAAAAUAAUAAUAACAAUAAUCUAAAAAUAAUAAAAUAAAUAACAAUACGUGUAUUGAAGUUUUAAAUUUUGUUUAAAAAAUAUUUAUAUUUUUAUUAUAUAUAUUAAAUUGAUCUCAAAUGCAUAUCGUAGAGAGUAGUUUUCAUAAAAAUAUUUAAAGUGAGGGUUCUUUGUUUGUUUGUUUUAUUUUUACUCAAAUUUUAAAACAAGUUAUUUUAUUUAGAACUAUUUUUUUAACUUAUCAUAUCUUUUAAGACAAUUUUAAUUUUUUUUUUAAUUCUUUUAUGGUAAGAUAUGUAUAUCAUAAGAUAUCAUAUCUUAUUGGAUAAAAAGUACAUGUUUUAAAACAUAUAAUUUCCAAUGAGAUAUAUUAUUCUUGAAUAUACAUAUUUUAUGAACAUAAUAUUGUAUGAUAACAUAUCCAAUGAGAUAUGGUAUUUAAUUUUUGAAAUGAUUAAAAAAGGUAAUAUGAAAUAUAUAUUAUUUUCAAUAUUUAAAAUAAAAAUUAUAUCACAUCCAAUAUUUUUUUAUUUAAAAAAAUGAAAUUUCUCUUAUAUUUAGUAAUAUUCGUGAUUAAAAUAUUUUAAAUUUAUAAAUAAUUUUUUUUAUUAUGUUAUUCAAUAUAUAAAAAUAAUUCAUAUAUUAUAUAUGAUUAUUAUUUUAUAAAUAUUUUUUAAAAAAUCCUUUUUUAACCAUAAAUUUAAUUUAUAAAAAAAAAUUAUUUUGCGAAAUAAGUAUAUAAAAAAUUUUUUUUAUCAUAUAUAAGAUAUGCAUAUCAUAUAUCUUAGUAUGAGAUUAAUAUAUUUCAUGUAGAAUUGAAUAAAAAAAAAAGUGAAUAAUAUAUCUCAUCACUUAUCUUAUCUCAUGUUUGGAUAAGAUAAAUGAUGAAAUAACUUAUCUUAUAAAAGAUCAAUCAAACAUGUGAUAAUAUUUUAUUUUUUUAUCCUAUUUGAUGUUAUAUCAGCCAACCAAGUACAACUUUAUUCUCUUUAUUUAUUUAUUUUUCUUUUUUUUUUUUCAAUUCUAAACUUUAAUACUGUGAUCUAACUUUUUAUACAAAAUUAAACUAAAUCUAUUUUUGAAAGUUUUAGAUAACUUUUUUUUUUUGAAACUAGUUAAACUACCUUAAUGUAAUAUAAUUUGAAUAAAGAAAUGAAUUAAACAACAUAUAUAAGAAUGAACUAAACUUUUUUUUUUCUUUUCCGAGUCAAGUGUUUGCUUUAAACUUUUUUUUAGAAUCAAGUUGUUUAAUCCUCUUAUGCAAAACCCAUUUCUUACUCAAUUAUAAGGAACAAUAUGAAAUAAUAAAGUAAGAAUAACCUGCAAAUAAUAAAAUAAGAAUUAACUAUUUUUUUUUUCUUGGGUCAAGUUUUUUACUUUAUUUAAGACAGUUUUUGUUUUAAACUUUGCUUUUACACUCAAUUUGAGUUGAGCUCAAACCAAGGUUUGAAUAAUCCGGUCUAAUCCAAACUUGAUUUAAUAUUUUUAUGAUAUUUAUAAUGCAUUUAUGUUAUAUUAAUUUUCUUUCCAUAUUUUUAAAAAAAAUAUUAAAUUAUAUUAUUUCAUAUACUUUUUCAUUUUUUUAGAAAUAUGUACAAAUUUAUUUUUUACUUUUUUAUUGCUAUAUUGAAACUUUUUUUUUUUUAAUUUACUAAUUAAAUUUUCAUAUAAAUAUAUAAAAAAAAUGUAAAACAUUAUCAUGGAUUUUGAAUUAUGCAAUUCCAUCAACUUGUUUAUAUAUAUGAAUAUAAGGUAGCAAACCAAUCAAAUAAAUCCUCUAAACAAUCACAAACCCCAAAGAAAAUCCAACAAAAAUAGAAGAAGAAGAAAGAAACCUAGCUAAGUGUUGGAGACAAAGGAAAAAAAUCAUAAGUAUAUUUCAAAUUAAAAGAACUAUUAAUAUUAAUAUUAUUUUGUAGAGAAUCGUAUUAUGUUUUAAUGGGAAGAGUUUUUCAUUUUUUUUAUUAUGAUUUUAAUAUAAAAAGGGAGAGUAAGGUUGCAUUUUUCAUUUUCUAAAAGAAAUUUUUAUUUUCUUGAAAAUUAGCAUGAUUAAGAUAAAGGAAAAUUAUUAAUCAUGGUUCUCAAUAUAAAAAGAAAAGCCAAAAGAAAAAAAAAGUUAAAAUUGCAAUCAAAUGAAUAAUUUCUCAAAGAAAAUAUUAAAUAUUACCAAUUAUAUUAUAUUUUAUAUAUUCUGAAAUAUAAAAUAAUUUUUUUAUUUUUUACAUUUUGGUUUGAAUCAAGAUGACAUUUGAAAUUUUUUAUUGUUAACUAUUAUAUUUUUACUUUUACCCUUGAGUGAAGAGAAAAGGGCUGGGUUCCUUGGCCCAGAAAACCCUUGCAAGCUUUUGAUCUGGGUUGGGUUUCAAAAUUGGGCCUUCAUGCAUGAUUCAGCACAGAAGGUUUUGGGCUCACCCAUGAUGCGGGUGUACGAUAAAUCAUAAUUAAUGUAUGAUUAUUGAUUUAUUUUAUUUUUUUAAGCAAGUUCAAAAUCAUUGAAUUGGAUAGAAAUUUGCUAGCCCCGUUUGGAUUAACAUAAAAUGCUAGGAAAAAUAAAAGUUAGGAAAUAAAUUUAAAUUUUUAAAUUGGAUUUUUCAUGAAAAAUGUGAAAUAAAAUAAAAUGGAAAAUACCAUAAAAUUUAUAAAAAUUUUCAAAGUCUUCUUUCCAUUUUAUAAAAGAGAAAUAAAUUUGAAGAUUUGUUUUAUAGCUCUAAAUGUAAAAAGGGAAUAGAGGUGUUGAAAUGGUAAUCAAUACAAACCUACAAAAGUUUUCAAUAAAGUAAUUUUUUCUAUACCACUGACUUUAAAAAAAUAAUAAGAAUAAAUAUUUGGAACUAAAAUAAAAAAUAUAUAUAUAUUUCCAAUUUUAAAGGUUUAUUUUCAAAUUUGAUAAAUAUAUUUUCAAAGUUUUGCUGCUUUUAAUAUUUUAUUUCUCUAGUAAUAAACAAUUUUUAUGAGAAAACUUGUACAAUGCAAUAAUAAAAAUAUAAAAAAUUUACAAAAUAUUGGUAGUUGGAUUUUAUGAAGAUUUCGAAAAAUAUUAUAUAAAAAUUCCUAAAUAAUUCCGAUGUGAUCAAAAUUGGCCACAACCCAUAACAAGAAAGGAAAAUCCUCAAUUUUCUUUUCAAUCCUAAACUUCAUAUACUCGACUCGAAAUUUUCAUACAAAAUUAAACUAAAUAUAUUUUUGGAAAUUUUAAUUAACUCUUGUUUUAGAAACCAGUUAAACUACCUUCAUGUAGUACAAUUUAAAUAAAAAAAUGAAUUUACCAUAAAUUAAUGAAACUAUCUUCUCAAAAAUUUAAUAUGACUAAAAUAAAUUUUGUUUUUAUCUAUUUUCUCUCUUUUUUUUCAAGAAAAUUUAGAUCUAAAACUUUCCCAUGAAAAUGAUAACUCAAAAACCACACCAACAAUAUAAAAGUGGAAUCAAUAUAUAUAAAAUAAAUCCACAAAUUUCAAAAUCAUAAAACCAAAAUUCUAUGUUUUUUAAUAAAAUUUUACCUUAACGAAAUAGUGAAUUUUUUUUUUUUUUUUGCCUUAAUAACAAAGUUAUUUUUUUAUACAAAAAUAAACUAAAUUUGUUUUUGAAAAUUUUAGAUCACUCUCGUAUCAAAAACUAGUUAAACUACUUCAAUAUUAUACAACUUGAAUAAAUGUGUAUACAAAUGCAUAUAUAUUGUAAAUAUAAAGUAAAAAAGUAAUAUACAACUAAUUUCAUGAAAGAUAGUAGGAUUUAAAGAAUUAAAAUAUGUCAUACCAUAUGAAAACAUUGAAUGCUAGAUUUUUAAAAAGUUCAAUUUAACAAAAUAUAGGUUUAAUAUAAAAUUUCAUCACAAAUUCCAUAAAAAAAAAACUUCUUAGAAUUUUACAUUUAGGUUUUAGUUCCAAAUUCUACCUAGGCAUAAGUACUUAUAUGUGUUGUUGAUAUAAAUGUCUCUUUGUGCCAUCUCCAAAGUUCCAACUUUUCAUGUUCGUCAUUAUCUCUUCCUCGCCUAAAAAAACCCUAAUAAAUUAAGUAAAAAUUUUUUAUUCACUAAUUACCAUCAUUUUCAUUGUCAAUAUCAAAACCAUCGAAAUGGAAAUUCUCCGAUAUUCAUUAUAAGAAUAAAUUUAUUUAACUUCCACUUUGGCCUUUGACAACAUGAAUAUAGCUUUCAUGUAGGAUUAUCUUUACUCUUUCUCCUAUUAUGAUCAAUUUCUAACCGUUUUGUAUAUAUUUCCUUUAACAAAAUACUUCUGCUAAAAAUUAUGAAAAAUAGCUAAAAGUGUAAAUAUCAUUUUAUCAAGCAUUGGAUGAUGUAUCGUAUAUGUUUCAUAAGAUACACUUAAAAUAAGAUAGGGGUUGCUAAAUGCCUCGUAUCAUGUAUCCUAAGUUUUUAACAACUAUGAUCUAGAUAAAGUUUGAUCCAUAUGCUGAAUGGUGAAGUCAAUGUAAAUAUAACAAAUACAAGAACAUUGAUGCCAAAGGUGACCUCUGAAAUGAAAUACUCACGGGUGGAUGGCAUCUGGAGCACGCCUUGAGCUACUCAGACCAUAUGCAAGAAGAGGCUACAUUGUGAAUAUGUAUUAGUUUCUCUGCAUUCAAUAACUAAAAAAUCAACACAAAUGUAAACAAGAGUAAAAGAUAAGAACGUCAGGAAGAUGAACAAUUAGACUAACAGGAGUACCUGAUUUGCAAAAUCUGCGGCUGAGUGCACAACUUCAGCCAACAUAACAUGGCUAGAGGUUGUUAACCAGACCCCAAACUUGAGAGAAAAGACGAGGAAGUUACACCAUAAUGCAGUUCUGACUGCUCGUUGGCUAGAAUAAACAUGUUAGGCAGACACAAAAGAAACCACAAAAGGUCAGAUGGUGAAAAGUAUUAGCUAAAUUUCUGGUCCCUAAUUGCAAAAAAGGCUCAAAAUUCUUGAUAGGUUUGGAUUCAGUGCAGUUCAUUAAUAUGCAGCUUGGAUUGACGUCAUCCACAAUCACUCCACAUCCUAAGAAAGUCACCCAUAAAAUCACACUAGAGGAGAGAAUCAAGAAACAAAGGAAUCAAAAGAAUGAAAAGCUUUCUCUUUCAUGACUGCUUGCAUCAACUAGUUAAUUUACUCUUUUCUUGUAUUAAAUCAAAGAUAAUGUUACAGAAGAUUAAGAAUUUCCAAAACCAUAAAUAUACACACUCCUAAAGGUUUUGUAGCCUAUUUCUGUGAACUGGGACAUUCCAACUAACCCCAUUUUCAUUUUCGGGUUGCUAUAAAAUAGUGCCCCAAAAUAAAACAUUCCCAUAAAUCUUGCCUUACUUUCCCAAAACCAAAAUACAUGUACUCCGACUCUUAUUUGCAAGUCAACCACACAAAUGCUCACAUGAUCAAUCAACAAACCAACUUACAGCCCCAAAAAUGGCCAGAAAACAACUCAAUUUACCUGUCCUAUAGUAAGCCCUUAACAUGAACUGAAUAGUCCCAAAAAUGCAAUUCAAUUCAAUUCAAUUUGUUUAUCUUAACAUGAAUCAAAUAGGGCCCAGAAACUUAAUAUACUAUAGUCAGCCAUUAAUAUAGCUCAACUAGGACCCGAAAAUUCAAUUCAAUAUAAUUCCACAGUAAGCUAUAAAAUCCAAUCAUGAUUAGAACAAUAGCAAUAAGGAAACAAUGUAGGCCAAUAAAAGAAACCAAUGAAAACUAAUAAUAUCAAUAUCACCUGCUGAUCAUUGAUUUCAAUGUUCUUAACUUCCUUGGCUCUAGUAAAAAAAUCUGUAAAGAUCACAGAAAGUCAACAUCAACCCACAAAAUGGAAAAAGAAUAAAAAUAAAACCACACCAUUCAUCCACCUUCAAAGAAAAAAAAAUACUCACUACGAUUGAUACAGUGGCGAUUAGAAUCUAAAGAGGUCCCACAACUGCACAGAAAAUUCCGCAAUAUGGGCCUUGGAGCGAAAAAAAGGGCUCCAUUUUCUGGGAAUUUACAGUAAGAGCUGGGUUGUUGAAGGUUGUGGUUGAAGGAUGGAGAGGAAUGAAGGAACUGGGAGAGAGUGAGGAGGCGAGAGAGGGGGAAAUGGGAGUAGUGGUGGCGCGUGAGGAGAGCUGGAGAUGGGCUAGGCGUGAAUCGAAGAAGGCAAGAGCCUAUCUUCUUGUUGAUGCUUCUCUGCAUGCUCCUUGUUACUCCACCUCCAUGGAAGCCCUCGUUUCAGAGAUUUUAGGGUUUUGAGCUUUUUGGUUUUGUGAGUUGGAAGGGUUUUUGGAGAAAUGGGAGGAGAGGGGUUUCUGGAAUUGGAACAUGCUUUCUGAUGUGUUUUUCCACUUUUGGGUAAAAAUAAAAAUAAUAAAAUAAAUAAAUUUAUUAUUAUUAUAUUAUGACUCUAUAUGUUCAAGUCAAAAUUUAUUUUAUGAUACAAUUAAUUUUAUAAAAUUGAAAAUAUUUAUAUUAUAGAUAAAAUAAAUAUUAUAUAAAAAAUUAUUUGAGAAAAAAGGUAAAAAAGAUGGUAUUUAUGUUGAGGAAAAACUUUCCCAAUUUUAAAUUUUAGGUUUUUUCAUAUAAUAAUUAUAGAAAAAUACUUCAUUAUCUAAAAUACUUCAAAGGUUGGCUUCUCUUGCUACUUAUGUUUUUAUUAUUUAAACAAUGAUUUUUCUUCAAAAAAAAAAAAAAAAAAACAAAAACCUACUCUUAAACAUUAUUUUAAACAAUAAAUAUUGUAUAUAAAUAAAAUAAAUAUUGCACAAAAAAUAUAGUAUAUAAGAAUAUUAUAGUUAAAAAUAACUAUAGUACUUUUGUUUUUUGGAUAAAUAUGUAUACAACAUAUUCAUUAUACUAAUUGUAUUUUUAUCAUAAUAUUAUAAAUCGAUACCAAUUUUAACUUAGUUUUAUGUUGUUUGGUUGUGAAUGAGAAAUUUGCCGGAAAGAAAAAUUAAAUUUAUUAGGCAUGACCUAAAAGCAAAGAAUAAAAUCCAUUUUAUCCCCUCAACCUUUUGUGUCUCUUACACUUUGUCCCACAUUCAAAAUCCAACGCACUUCAAACUUCUUAAUGGGUAGCACUCAACUUUUUUUUUGGAUAAUUUUUAUUUUCAUUAAAUGGAUGUGCUCCACACGUGAUGUGAUAAGAGGGUAAAAAUGUCAUUUAAAAGAUAUCAAUGGCCCUAAAAUCUAUUCCUUCAUUUUUCUUUUUCUGAAACCUUGAAAUCCUCAAGUUUAAAAAAAGACACCUCCUUUAAUCAAUCUUCCUAUUAUGCUGAGACAAUGAGUCUAGCACAUUAUAUGUUGGCAAUUUUGUUUCAAUAUAUUCUGGUUCAUGAAAGUUUUUAAAUAGUGACUUACUCUUCAUUGAAGAUUCAAGGUUGUUGUUGGUUAAACCAUAAAGUUACAGGUAAGUUUAAAAAUGUUUAUUUAGUGGCAAGUUAAAUGAUUAAAGGGUUAAAGUGGAUCAAUAUUUUUUUCAUAAGCUAAAAAUACUUGAAUUAAUGUUUUGGAAAAAACAAGAGACACUUGAGCGGUGGAACCAACACUCAAGUGCUUAUCUAACACUCAAGCUCACAAGGCGUUCGAGCGAUGGUUAAGUGCAUUCAAGUGGUUGUCCCAAAUCUGCUAGAAUAUGGUAGAUUUCUUUUUGAAAUUUUAUAAGUAUUAUUUUUUGGAAAUUCUAUAUAUCGAUCCCUUAGGCCUAUAGACCUAUAUAAACCCUCUAUUAGCCCCUUUUAGGGUUAGACACCUUGAAAGAGUUGACCAACUUAACCUAUCAUUCCUAAUCUCUCAAGAAAAAAUUCAUAAUAUUGAAUUUCGGGUUGUUGGAAGAACUUGCAUCCCCUAAGAGGUUGAGAAGAAUCUACUAGAGCAUUAGAGGUGUUAUGUCGCGGAUGUGGAUCAAGGUAUAGGUGCUAGAGAAUAAGUUUUUAAGGUAAAAUGGUCAAGUAAAUCUGUGUACUUUGAUCUGAAAUAGUGGAUUGUAUAUUAAAGGUCUUAGACCUCAUGAUUUUUAUUUCCACAGUUAGUGUUAGGUUUUUCCACAUAAAAAAUUAUUAUGUCUCUUAUUUGAUAUUUGAUUACUUUGAUUAUCCCUAAUAUCUUCAAGUUUUAUUUUGGGAUAAUUUUUCAUCACUUAUAUUGUAUUAUUUUAAAACACCUAUUCCCUCAUCUCCCCUCUCAGGUGUUAUCCUAAUAGACAAAAGGUUUUUUCAAUUGGUAUUAGAGCAAGCUUUUCUAAAUAAAAAUCAUAUUUUUAUUGAUCUUGCAAGUCCAAUAUGGAACAACCAAGGUCUGAAGCUCCCCUAAAUAGUCCACCCUAUUUCGAUGGGAGUAAUUAUCCCAACUAAAAGGCCUGAAUGAUUUUUUGAAAAUGCAAGGAGAAAAGGUCUAGAAUGCAACGAAAUAUGGAUGAAGACUUCAUUGAAACUAUAUGUGAAUGGGAUAUCUACUGAUGAAUUAAAACCCAAAAAAGAAUGGCAUAAAUUAGAUAAUGAAGAAAGUGAUGCCAAUGCUCGGGUUCUCUUUAGCAUAUUCAAUAGGGUAAGUCCUAAUGAGUUUUGCAAGAUAGCCACUUGUAAAUAUGCUAAAAAAGCCUAGGACAUUCUCCAGGUUACACAUUAAGGCACUUUAGUUGUGAGGUUCGCUAAAUUGCAAAUGUUAACUUUCAGGUUUGAAAGCAUUAAAACGCAAGAGAAUAAAACUUUCUUUGCAUUCUAUGCUGAAUUAAGUGACAUUUUGAACUUCUUUUUUUAACUUAAGAGAACAAAUCCCUGACUUUAAAGUAAGUAGAAAAAUCUUGAGAUCUCUUCCUGAAAGGUUUAAACCUAAGGUCACCACAAUAGAGGAAAACAAGGAUAUUUACUCCAUGAGGGUUGAUGAACUUGUUGGUUUUUUUCAAAUCUAUGAAAUGACCUUUCUAAACUCUCACAAGCCUAAAGAGUCUACUUUUAAGGAUAAUGAAAUUGAAGAAAAAGAGUCUGAAAAUCAUAAUGAGAUAACUAGGGAUGAACUAGCGUUCAUGGCUAAACGUAUUAAAUGGGUUUGAAACUUAACAAUAGACCUAAUAAGAACAAGGACUUGGGAAAGGAAAAAAGAUUUGGUAGGUCUUCUAAAGAAAAAGAUAAGGAAAUUACGAAAGAGAAAAAAGGUAAAGUGUUUUAAUUAUGGAGGUUUGGAACAUUUUUCUAUUGACUAUGUCCUAGUCUCAAUGACAUUAAAAAAAAUUGUGCAAGCUACAUGAAGCGACACUUACUCUGGUGAGAGUGACUCUAUGACUUUUGAAGAUGCAAGGUAUGAGCAAAAUGAUUAUUUAAAUUUUAUUGCAUCUGUUGAUUCUAAGCAUGAUACUAAUAGUCAUGAGAGUGAGUAUUCUAAUGAAUAGAAUGCUAGUUUUCUUAGAAAUAUUUCCAUUGAAUAUCAAAAACUGAUUGAACAAUAUUUGAAGACUCAUAAUAUUCUUAACUCAUAAAAAGCUAAAAUUGAAUAUUUUUAGUGAAAAAAGACUAAUUAUCUUGCGAAAAUUUGAUUCAUUGAGUUUGAAUAUCAUUCUCUUCUUGAGAAAAACAAUAUUCUAACUUAAAAAAUUGAGACUAAAAAACCAUCAAUAAGGCUUUUCACCUUGGGACUAGUGUUGGAUGAAAUUCUUGAGAAAUGCAAGUCCCAAGGAGAUAAGAAAGGCCUCGACUAUAUUAGCAAAACCAAGACUUCCACAAGUGGAGGCAUAGUAUUAGUUAAAAGUAAGGAGGAAACUCCUAACCAAGAAACAUCUUCUAGCACUUGCUCACUAUUCACACACUGUAAGAAGUCUGAAUAUACUCAAAGUAGGUGUCACACUAGAUUUAUUGAGAGCUAUGAGUCUCAAUUGAAUAGGCUUGUGAACGAGUUUAAAUCUCUAAAGAAUAAUAUUUUGAACACUAUGAGAGGGAAGAAAACCAAUAUAGAGCUUAAGACUCAACAAAGCUCCUCCGAGUCACCACCUAAAACAAGUGUGGAUAAGAAAAGAUAGGCUUAAGUGUUAGAUUGUUUUCACAGCCCUUAGAGCUAAAGCCCUUAGUGAAGCUCUAGGCAUAUGACAGGUGAUAAGUCUUUCGUCACCUCUCUUGAGGAUUUUAAUGGAGGAAAAAUCACCUUUAGGGAUGGUAGUGUAGCCCAUGUGAAAGGUAAAAGUAGUAUCUCUAUCCCCAUAUGCCUAGAUUUAGAUGGAGUCCUUUAUGCUAAUGAACUUAAGGGUAAUCUUCUUAGCAUUAGCCAAAUUUAUGACAGUGACUAUAGGGUAAACUUCUUUUAAAGUUUGUGCGAAGUGAUAAACAAGGAAGGAGAAGUCAUUUUCAUUAUGCUUAGAACAGUGGAUAAUUGCUAUGCAAUAAAUUCUAGUUCUAAAACCUCUUUGGUUUGUAGUAGGGCUAAGCUUGAUAUUAUUGAGUCAUGGCAUAGGAGGCUAGAUCACAUAAACUAUAGACACUUGGUCCACAUAACUAACAAAGACCCAGUUAGAGGUAUCCCUAAGUUGAGUAGUCAACCUAAAUCUAUUUGUGGAGAGUGCCUAAAAGGUAAACAAGUAAGAAACUCACUAAAAAAUAUUCAAGGGAAUAACACUUCUAGGCCUUUAAGCCUUCUUCACAUGGAUCUCAUGGACCCUAUAUGAAAAGGGAGAGUAAAGGAUGUCGUUGAUUUUUCCAGGUAUUCCUUUGUAAGUUUUCUAAAGGACAAAUCUGAAACAUUGAGCACUUGAAGUCCUUGUGCACUAGAAUUCAGGUGGAAAUAGGUAAUCCUAUUGUUAGGAUUAAGAGUGAUAGUGGGAGAGAGUUUGACAAUGUAGAAGUUGAUCUCUUUUAUGAAUUAAAGGAGAUUAAACAUAAUAUUUUGCCUUUAGAACUCCUCAACAAAAUGGAGUGGUAGAAAGGAAGAACCGUGUUCUUUAAGAAAUGACCUGAGUAAUGAUUAACAUGCAUGAUACUUCUAUGCAGUUUUGGACUGAAAUAAUUAACAUGACUUGCUAUACUGCCAAUAGGGUUUUCCUUAGGCAUGGAACAAAGAAAACAUCCUAUAAAUUGUGGAUUGGAACAAAGAAAACAUCAUAUGAAUUAUGGAUUGGCAGUGAGUGCUAUAUUCUCAAGGAUAGAGAAAACCUAGAUAAAUUUAAUUCUAAGUCUAAUUUGGGUAUUUUCCUAUGUUAUUCCAAUAAAAGUAAAACUUAUAAGGUUUAUAAUCAGAAUACUAAAGUUAUCCAAGAAUCUUCAAAUGUAGUCAUCAAUGAUUUUGGAUAUGAUUAGGAAGUCAUUGACUUUGAAAGUUUAACCUAAAAAUCAAUUGGGAAUAACCUUGAAAAAGUUGACUUAGAUGAUAGUCUUAAAAGUAUCCUAAAGAGGUAAUUGACCCCAACAAGGAUGAAAAACCACUUGAAAUUGCUAAGUUGGGCAAAGUGGAAAGUAAACAUAAAUCCAGAGUACCCAAAAAUUACCCUAUCUCAAAUGUAAUAGGAAACAUGGAUGAUUCCAUGGUUACAAGGAGACAAUCUAGACAAAAUGAGAUAGAUUUUUUUUUUUUUUUGUUAUACCUCCUAAUUAGAUCUAAAGAAUGUAGAGGAAGCCUUAGGAGAUAAAUCAUGGACUACUACACUAUAGGAAGAAUUAAAUCAAUUUGUUAGGAAGAAUGUGUGGUACUUAGUCCCUAGGCUUAAAGACAAACCUGUAAUAGGCACAAAAUGGAUAUUUAAGAAUAAACAAGAUGAAAAUGGGUUCAUUGUGAAGAACAAAGCUAGGCUAGUAGUCCAAGGAUAUUCCCAAAUUGAGGGGAUUGAUUUUGAGGAAACUUUUGCACCUUUAACUAGGUUAGAAUCUAUUAAAAUCCUCCUAGAUAUUGCAUGCUCAUUGAGAAUGAAGCUUUUUCAAAUGGAUGUUAAAAGUGUGUUCCUAAAUGGGAUUCUUAGUGAAGAAAUCUAUGUUGAACAACCUAAGGGAUUUGCAGGUCCUAAACUUCCCAAUCAUGUUUAUAGGUUAAAGAAAACCCUUUUUGGAUUAAAACAAGCUCCUAGAGCUUGGUAUGAGAGGCUUACAACUUACCUUUUGGAAAAAGGGUUUGAGAGAAUGAGAGUUGAUAGAACUUUUUUUCAUUUAUAGGUCUAAGUCUAAAUUAUUAGUGGCUCAAAUUUAUGUUGAUGGUUAUAGUUUUUAGAGUCACCCUUACCCUUAACUUUGUUGUGGAUAUGAAAAAAGAGUUCGAAAUGAAUUUGGUAGGUGAACUCAAUUUCUUUCAAGGACUACAGAUUAGACAACUCAAAGAUGAUAUCUUUCUAUCUUAGUCUAAAUAUGAUAGGGAGUUAGUAAAGAAAUUUGGACUUGAGUCCACUAAACACUUUAGGAUACCCAUGAGCACCACUACUAAGCUUUGUAAGAACACAUUUGGGAAGGAUGUUGAGAAAAAGCUUUAUAGGAGUAUGAUAGGAAGUUUGUUAUAUCUUACUGCAAGUUGUCAGGACAUCUCCUUUAGUGUGGGAGUUUGUGCUAGGUACUAAGAAAAUUCCAAAGAGUUACACUUAACUUUUGUCAAAAGAAUCAUUCAUUACAUUAGUGGGACCUUAGAUUAUGGGUUAUGAUGUCCUUAUGAUUCCUCUUGUGUUAUUAUUGGAUAUUUUGAUAUUGAUUGGGUCGAAAAUGUAGAGGAUAGAAAAAGCACUUUUGGGGCUUACUUCUUUAUUGGGGAUUGUUUAGUCUCUUGGCUAAGUAGAAACAAAAUUUAAUUUCUUUGUCCACUGCACAAACGAAAUAUAUGGUCAUAGGAAAUUAUUGUACCUAACUCCUUUGGAUGAAACAGAUGCUCAGUGAGUAUGACAUUGAGUAGGGCAAUAUGAGUCUCCAUUGUGACAAUCUAGUGCUAUUAACAUUUCAAAAAUUUUUGUUCUUCAUUCUUGAACUAAAAAUAUAGACAUCUGUCAUCAUUCUAUUAAGGAUUUAGUUGAAGAUAAAGUCAUUUCUCUAGAGUUUGUCUCAAUGAAACAUCAAUUGGCAGAUAUUUUCACUAAACGCUUGGAUUCUCUUAGGUUUGAAUUCCUUAAGAAGUCCUUGGGUAUAUGACUAAUUGACUAAAAGUUAAAAGGGUAUAAACCUAAGGAUUUGUGUUUUUUUAUCUAUCUUCUUUCCUUUAGUCAAUCCCAUCUUCCUCUUAGAGCACUGGUCUUAUACCCUUUUUCAUUUGCCUUAUUAGUAAGAAUUUCAAUCUCUCAAGUUUUAAGUCUGAGUGAAAUAUACUAAACCUACAAGAGUUGAUUUUAUUUUCCCUAGAAUUUUUUUAAUUACUAUUGAGGUAAAGAAUCAAGGUAUAUAAAAAUCUUUGUAUAGUGGGAUAUCUAAAAAGAAAUAAUUGGCAAGUGAUCCAUGAGGAAUCUUCUUAAGUUUAACUAAUAAAAUAGAAUUUGUUUUUUUCUUUGGAAGUAAUAUCAUGCCUAAUUCUUUUUCAUUCACUUGCCUUGUUUGUCUAAGUUCUAUAUUAUUUUUUCCCAAAGUGUCUUAAGGCAUUCUUGGAUUCUUAGUUAAAAUAAACUAAAAUAUUAUUUCCAAGAUUCUUUCCAAGUUUAUAUACUUUCACUUGCAACAUUUGGAAACACCCUCCUAAGUGGAAUAAGACAACCAUAGUGAAAGUAUGAUUUCCAUAAAUGGUGUACAAUGCCUCCAUUUCUCGGAAAAAAAUAAAAUAAAAAAAUCAUGUUAUGAUUAAGGGGGAGUCAAAGUUGUGUUAUAUGUAGAUCAAAAAAUGCCAUGUCAAAUAGUCUGAUGAACUUAACACAAAUUGACUGAAUGUGAAUUUAUUGGAUCACGACAUGACUUAGUGACUUUUAGAAAUUCAAAUUCGAAAUAUGAAAUUAGACAGUAAGUUGUUUUCCCCUGAAAAUCAAUGCCAUUGAAUUCUCUUAGAUUCUUAUAUAUUUUGAUUGUUAUUCAUCUGAUUUCCAAACUAAGAUCAUGAUUAACCUUGUUCUUUAGAUUUGAAAAUAUCAAUCUUGUUUGGUUGAACUAUGUUUUUUGGGCAUUCUAUUUGUUUUAUUACUUUUCUUUCUAAUUUUGCGAGUUAUUUGAUUUGAAUCUUACUUUAAGUUGAAUUUUUGACCUAUUUCUAAGGUUUUUACAUGUCUCUAUGUUGUUAGUUGGUUUCUUAAUUUGUUUUGUUUUGUUAGUUCACUUUUAGCGUCCAUAAUCCUUCUAGAGUUUUUCACAUAGUCUCGAGCGUUUAUCCCAACGCUCAAGCAUUGGCUUCAUCGCUUAAGCGCUCAAGUGCCCUAAGUUUUUUCUAGUGUUGCUUCAUGUGGUUGUAUCACUCAAGUACUCCUUAAGUUACAUCCAACGCUUGACAUAGAUAUGAUCGAGAAGAAAAACAUCGGUAGGCAGAGAUAUAUCGGUAGAUUCAAUACUUGCAUUUUAAGAAUAAUAAAUAUGAAUUUUGGAAGUGCAUAAAGUUAGAAUUGAGUUAAGAAAUAUUUGAUUUUAUUAAAUAAAAACAAUUUAUGCAUAAAUAUAAUACAUAUGACAUUGCAAUAGUCCUUAGUACCAAAAUAAAGAUCAAUGUGGUUCCAUCAUAUUGUUAGAUGAAAGGAGCCCAUCUUGUUGAAGACAAUAUUUAUUUAAAAAAAUUUUAAAUAUUUUUAUUAAAACAUGUUUUAUUACAUUUUAAAUGAAAAAUUAAAUUAAUUUAUAUAAAAUAUUUUAUUUGAGAUUUAAUUUCUAAAAUUUUAUUAAAAAUAUGUGAUAACAACUUUUUCUAUUAACAUUAAUUUAUUUAAAUAAUUAAAAUUAUUAAUAAUUUAUCUUAUCAAAUUAAUUUUAAUUUAUAAAAUAUUAGAACUUUCUUAAUUUUUUAUAUUAUAGAAAUUUUUUAGGUAAAAUUAUAUUUUUAAUAUUUUAAAGUAAAAACAUUUAAAAUUUAAACAAAAUUGAAAGGAUAAAUGUAAAAAAAGAAAAAUUAAUAGUGAAGUGAUAAUAAUUUUUAAAAAUAAGAUUAAUGAGAUAAAUAUGAAAAGUGUUAAAAAUAAAAGGAUAAUAUAAAAUAAAAUGAUAAUAUAAAAACAUGGUUGAAAUUUGGACCAUCUCAAAAAUUCAAAUCUAGAAAUUUUCAAAAUUUUCAAAAGAAACCCCAAAAAAAUCCCCGAUUUUUCGAAGAUUUUUUUCCGUUCUCCCCCACAUCGCUCCACUCGCUAUUUAUCAGUUCCAGACCGAUAUAUCGCCGAUAUUUUGACAAUUUGCACGAUAUUUUUUUUAUAUUCCUCUCGUUCAAUAAUUAGUGCUCAAAAUCGUUUCGGGGCCAUCCGAUAUUCGAUAUAUCGGCGAAAUAUCGCCGAUAAAAACCGAAAUUUUAAUCCAUGCUCCUAGCACACCUUUUUGAAUCUAUUUCACUUCUUUAGUUCAUUUGAGCACUUUGGGUUGCUGCUUUUUGGCUUCUAGUGAUCUAUUCAUGGCUUGUUUCAUCUUUUCAUCUUCAUAGUAUUGUUUAAGACUGCUUUCUAAGCAUUUCUAAUGGUUUAGUUUCCUCAUAUAUUUUUCUCGAUUUUCGAGCUUUUUUACUUUUAGUUUUUGUAUGAUAUGUCAUUGUUGUCUUAGGGAGGUGUCUUCUCCGAAGCCUUACUCUCACGAAGUUGUUUAGGGCAUCCCUAUCUAGGGUCUUUUCGACUUGAAUAAUCUUCCAUUGGAGCAUUUUCACUCUAAGGAGGCUCAAGAUAGAUACUACUCUGUUCUCUAGAGUCAUCGAGUCAAGGUAGAGCUACCCAUUGAUCUUAGAGCCUUUAAGGACACCUCUUUCUAGGUUUCUUCCAUGUUAAGGGCUUGGAAACUCUUAUGACUGUUUGAGAGACCUCAUAUCCUCAUUACAUUCAGAUAUUCAAUUCAAACAUCAAUUCAAUAGUUUGUGGUCUCAUAUUUAGUGUCACCAUGUAUGGCUAGACCUUCAUGGUCUCUACUUGAUCUAUCAGGUGUGUUAUGGGCAUGUUUUUUCUUACUAAUCAGCUAGCUUUUAGUCUUCUUUCCUGAGGUUUAAGCACUCACUAGAGGUGAGCUUGCCACUAUUCCUGUUACUUUGUAUGACCAGUCCUAUCCGUUGUCGACUUACGUUUCCAUUGCUAACUUCACCAAGUUAGCUUGGGUCCUCACUAUGUUUAUGUCUUAUUCCUUCUACUCCUCCUUCCAUCGUACUUAGAUUCGUCACCUUGUGGCUUGUUUUAUUCAUACCAUUCUCUUUGGGUAGUAGUUCGACAUUGCCUAGGUGAUCCUUGACAUGAUGACAUCAUACCGCGAUCCCACCAUCCGCAGUGGAGCUCCCCUAUUCACCCUUCUUAUUACUAUGAUUCUGGAGCACAUCAGUUUCAAUUUCGAUCUUGCUUUGGUAGCUUGGGUGUCUCGCACUAUCAUUAAUGCGAGUUCCUGGGUUAAGCACUAUAGCCAUGUGUACGGUCGAUAAUCUCUCUGGCCUCAGCUCAAUCAACCUCCAUUCCUCUAACUUCAAUGUCAUAAGAGGUGGCUUAAGAGACCGCAAUAGAGAAGGAGGAGAUUAGGCCAACGGAGUAAGAUUUUCCCAUUUUAAAGGUGGUUUCAAGAUGGGGAAUAGGGCCCUUGUUUUCACCCGUCUCCAAUUCUGGAUCUUUAACAUUUGUUGACCUCAACCCUAAUUAUUUCUUCCAAUCUAUGCCCCAUUACAAGCAUUUUUUGUUAUCUCCUUAUCCCCACUUUAUGAUGGGCUUAGUCCAACACAAAUAGGUUGGUGAGUUAGUUAAGGUUUGUCUUAGAGGCCUAAAUGGACUAGACAUGAGCCUAGUUUUUUAUAACACCUACUAGUGGUGGGCCUUUGGCUCUUCUAUUGUAAGCUCCAAGGCUUCAUUGACAUAACAAAUGAUCAGGCAAAACCAUUUUAUAUUUUUUAUUGUUAGCUAUUAUAUUUUUACUUUUAACCAUAAGUAAGGAGAAAGAGGCUAGUUUCCUUGGCCUAAAAAACCCUUGUAUUCAAGCUUAUGAUCUAGGCUAGGGUUUCAAAAUUGGGCCUUCUAGCCAAGAAGAAUUUGGGCUCAGGGCGUUAGAUAAAUCAUAAUUAAUGUAUGAUUUUUGAUUUAUUUCUUUUAAGCAAGUUCAAAAUCAUUGAAUGUGAUAGAAAUUUAUUAGACCUGUGUGGAUUAACAUAAAAUGUUAGGAAAAAUAAAAGUGAGGAAAUGAAUUUAAAUUUUUAAAUUGGAUUUUUCAUGAAAAAUGUGAAGAAAAAUAAUAAAAUAUAAUAAAAAAUACCAUGAAAAUUUUCAAUUUUCAAAGUUUUCGUUCCUUUUAUAAAAGAAAUAAAUAAAUUUGGAGAUUUGUUUUAUAACUCUAAAUGUGAAAAGGGAAUAGAGGUGUUGAAAUGGUAAUCAAUAAAAACCUACAAAAUUUUCAAUAAAGUAUUUUACAAAAUAAGAAUAAAAAUAUAAAAAAAAAUUACAAAAUAUUGGUAGUUGGAUUUUAUGAAAAUAUUGAAAAAUAUUAUAUAAAAAUUCCUAAAAAAUUUUUAUGCAAUCAAAAUUGGCCAAAACCCAUAACAAGAAAGGAAAACCCACCUUUUUCUUUUCAAUCCUAAACUUCAAAUACUCAAAUUCAAUUUUCAUACAAAAUUAAACUAAAUAUAUUUUUAGAAAUUUUAAAUAACUCUUGUUUUAGAAACUAGUUAAACUACCUUCAUGUAGUAUAAUUUAAAUUAAAAAAAAUGAAUUUACCAUAAAUUAAUGAAAUUAUCAUUCUCAAAAAUUUAAUAUGACUAAAAUAAAUUUUGUUUUUUUCUAUUUUUUCUCUUCUUUUUCAAGAAAAUUUAGAUCUAAAACUUUCCCAUGAAAUGAUAACUCAUAAACCACACCAACAAUAUAAAAGUGAAAUCAAUAUAUACAAAAUAAAUCCGCAAAUUUCAAAAUCAUAAAACCAAAAUUCUAUCAUAUUUAACUACUAUUUUAAACUUAAAUUUCAAGGUUUUUAAUAAAAUUUUACCUCAAUGAAAUAGUGAUUUAAUUUUUUUUUUUACUUUAAUAAAAAGUUGUUUUUUCCUCGGUUAUCUUUUCCAUCUUCAACUUUAUUAUAAUACUCAAAUCUAAUUUUUUUUAUACAAAAUUAAACUAAACUUAUUUUUGAAAAUUUUAGAUCACUCUUGUAUAAAAAACUACUUAAACUACUUUAAUAUUAUAUAACUUGAAUAAAAAAAAUGAAUUUAUCAUAAAUUAACAAAGAUAUAAUAAAAAUAAAUAAAUAUGACUUAAAUAAAUUUUAUUUUUAUUGACAUUUUUUGACAAAACCAUAACCUUUCAAUAGCCUGAUUGUGUUGGACCAAGCCCACCUUAAAGUGGGCGUGUAACAGUAAGGAGAUAAUAAGAAAUGUCUGCUACUCAACCAAUAGGGAGAGAUGGUGCCAACUUAUAUUGUGUAUUCCAUUGUACUGGAUUAUUGGUCUUUGACACUACUUUGAAAGUUUAUUUUUGGUGUUUUUUAGUCCUUUUUAGAGUGUAGGAUCAGUAAAAAAAAAAUUGCAUGAAUUGAAUCUUUGUUGUGCUCUUAAUUCAUGCAAGAGAAUGACAUCUUGUGGGAUGAGAAUUCUUUGAUCCCUAAAUUUUUUAUAUCACAAGCAACCAACAAACAAAUUCCAUACACCAAUGUUUUAAAAACGUGACCAGCCAAUCAAAUUAGUUGGCUCUACUCGAUUUGGAUAUGAUCUUGACGAUUGGUAAACUAGUGGAACCAACUAGGUUUGGAACCGGUCUUGAUUUUUUUCCAUUUAGGUUAGACAAAAAUUUUGGAAAAAAUCAAUAAAUAGAGAUGAUGUUGAAAUUUUAAUAAAAUUAUCAUUUAUAUUUAUGUUCAACUAUUUUUCGUUAUAAUAUAGUUAUAGAAUGUAGUUGCAAACUAGAAGAAUAUAGUUGGAGGAAUGGUGUAUGCUCUAGUGGAUGGUGUCUCACACUCAAUUCCCAUGGAUAGAGGAGUAAGAGUCAGAGACAACAAAUGGAAUUGGCACUAAAACGGGUUGUGAAUUUGAUUGAGAAAUAACUAGUCUCAUGAUAGACAAAGGAACGACUAUGCUAAGAAGAAAUGGGGUUUUGUCACGGUUCUUUGUAGGUUGAUGAGUUCUUCGGUCUAACAUGUGUGAUUUUCUCACUUUUGAAACUUCAUUUUUGGUUUUGAUCUAUUUUAGAGAAGAUAUGUGACACAAUCCAAAAUGGGGUUACAUUGUCUCUUGCUUUUGGCUGUUGUUAUCAUUUGUUGCCUUCAUAUGGUAGAAUGAUGUUUGUCAACUAAAACUUCUAUGACCAAGUUUGAAUUUGAUACAUGGGUGGAGCUGAUUUGUUUAAAUAUUCAUGUUUUGGUGAAACAAGUCAUUUUAAUUGAGCAAAAAAUAUAUACAAUGUAGAAGAUGGAUAAAAUUAAGUUAAAUACUUACAGAAAAUUAAGAUUUUAAGACUCUUCAAUUUAAUAAAAGUUUUGUUGUACUAAGUAUUAUGGGUUAUGCAUUCAAUUUUGGGUAGAAGGAAAAUACUAUCCAAACAAGGCCUACAUAUAAUCUAAAGCAUUCUCAUCCUUAGGAAGCCUAGGGAAUGGAUUAGAUUAAAUAAGUUAGCUCAAAAGUGAUGUAAAAUGUGGGUAUGUUGUAUAAAAACACAUAUUUUCUUCUUGUUUUUCACCAUUCAAAAAGUUAUGAUUUGCUUAAUUUUAUUGAAAAAAAAAAAACCAUACUAAGUUUUUUUUCCCAAUUAUAAAUUUUAGCCACUUUUUGUCAAAAUUAACCAGAAUUCUGUAGACACCAAAAAGGGGGGAAAAGGUCAUAGAUUUAGGUUAAUAAAGAAAUAUAGUUUGGACAAAUAAUUAAAAUAUCUUACAUUGGUCGAUCAUCAUAUCCUACUCAAAUUUAAUAAGGUAGUGGAAACAUAACUAAUAAUUAUAUUUUCAAAGAGAAGUUGAAAAUUUGAAAUUGGAAAUUUCUUCUAUUCAUUUUUAAUAUUUUUUAGGGGCUACUAUAAAUUUUAUCCACAAAGGGAUAACGUACUCUUUUUUUAGUAGUUAAACAAGUUAUAACCUUUGAGAAUCACUAUUGAUCUUAAUAAAGGUCCUUUUUAUAUCAAGAAAUUUCUCUUUGAAUAAAUUAAAAGAGAAAUCUUGCUUUUUAUUGCAACUGUAAUGAAAUUCACUUUCAAAGCUUGUAAUUAUACAUAGAGCAUAUAAAGAUCUACAAACAAAAUUUAUUACCUUCGCAGGUGAUCUUUGGCAUAGGUUGCUCUUCCUCUCAACAACCAUUUGACAAUUUUAUCCACAAAAUCAAAGUAGGUCUCACACCAAGAUUUCCUUGUUGCCAAAACAAAAUAUGGAACUAAAAUACCCAUCGCAAAUCCCAAGCCAACACUCAAGUAAAACCAUUGAUCAAUAUAACCACCAUCAUUUUUGUCCUCAAUAGCACUAUACUUUUUAUCUAGAUCUUCAUCUUGGCAUUUUGUGACCAAUGGAGCUCCACAAAGAUUAGGGUUUCCAAUAAAGGCCGACUCAUUGAAGGUUGACAUUUGCCCUAUAAAGGGGAUCUUACCAGAGAAAUUAUUAUUCGAUAGAUUCAAAUAACUCAAGAAUGUUAAUGAAACCAUGCUUGAAGGAAUGCUGCCGGAAAGCUUAUUCCUUGACAAAUCAAGAGAUAAUAACUGGUGCAACAUUGAAAUGCUUUCAGGAAUUUGGCCACUGAUGUGAUUCCCAGACAAGUUCAAAACCACCAAACCAAACAAUUUUGUUAUUUCUUGGGGAAGCUCUCCACUUAAAUUAUUGUCGGAUAGGUCUAUGCCUAUGACCAGAGAAAGAGUCCUGGUGUAUUCAAGACUUUGACCUUUCAUAAUCACCACCAAUCGUUCUUCAUACGGAGAGUUGCUCACAUUGUCAUACAAAGGAUAUAUAUUCUUGUUAUACUCCGGAACCAUGGCUUUAAGCUCAAACAAAGUGACUGGAAUUUCACCCAUCAGAUUGUUU